rnacentral:lncRNA from 1 species
CGGGGAGUUGUCGACGCUUGAUGGGGAGGAUAUGCUCACCAUCCGUCACCAGAGAGGCAGGCUGAUGCUUUCUUCGUGGCCGCCGUCGUCACGGAACAAGGCCAGGAUCACCAAGACUGUCGUCGACGACGACCAUCUCGCCGUCUACCUCAUCGACGCCGUGCUGAUUCCGACAGAGCCGAAGAAGCUUGACUUCUUCUGGGACUUCUUGGGACCUUUACUGCUUGUUAUCGCUGGCGUCCUGGCGCUGUGAGUUUUCUUUCCUGACGCUUAAUUCCGCUACUAUCAAAUGCAGAACGCAGCUCGUACGCCUGCCUGUCCAUAGCAUCAGUUCAUUCGUGCGAUUUGUUGGUGUGCUAGCUCGCUAGCGUGUUCCGUCCGACAGAGAUUUGAGCGCCUACGUCUAUGUAUAAAUCGUAUAUAGUACAUUUACUCGACAGUAAUUUAGAUUUGGGCUUUCUGUACAUACGUCAAUUUAAUGAACAUGACUAGUUUUUGUCUUUUUGAUUAACUCGACUAUUAUGCUUGAAUUGCUCCAGCCUUUUCUAAAUCUUGAUUAUGCACGCUAACUGUAUCUGUUAUUACUAGUACUAUUAUUUUGCAGGCGGCUAACUGUAAUUUUGUUUAUUUACCCUGCAGAUUCUUGCUGUGGCAUGCGCUUGUUUAUGUUUGGUCUCUUGUGUGCCGGCUGAGAAGAUGGUGCAAGGAUCGCGCUACUGCCUACGUUUCCGCCGCCCGUGUCACUCCACAUGGACAACAAGAACAUUAGUCUGUGGCCGCUGAGCAGUGCCUCGCCUCCCGUCGUAUUCCCUUUUUUUUUUCGAAACGGAGACAAAAGUUUUGCCUCAUCGAUUAAUUAAGAAGAGAAUUGCCCAGUUAAUUUAUGAAAAACCGGACGAAAACCAACCAUCGUAUUCCCUCUUAUGGUCUAUAGUUUGAACGAUCAGGUCGGUGACUUGUGUAUAUAGUGUUUGCUCACUUUUGAAUCUAGGCUUCGUUUCAUUUAACAAAAUGUUGGUGACUAUGAAUUCGAUGUGUAGUAUGUGUUAUUUUUUUAGGCAACUUCUACUGCAAGCAUCCGUCCAUGGGGGCUGGAUUAGCAUUUUUUAUUGCAAUAUUGAGUCAUUAUAAAGAAAGUGUAGCAUGCAUGCUAGAUGGGGGAGGUUCCAUUUAAUUUAUAGUUACUUUCAACAACUUUUCAAAAAUCAUAUAUCCUGCAAAUGACAUGAUGUGAACCGACGUGGCGAUAAAUGGCAAAGCAAAGUGCUGUUGACCUAUUGAUUAGGCUGUGUUUUGAGCCUGUUCAAUCCAGAGCAUGACAAGGUAAGUUCACACAUGUUGCUCAGGUGUUCCGUGUAAUUUAUACUGUAUUUAUGAUCUUGUGCGUACAUACAGUCAGCGGUCUCGUCUAACAUGUAUGUAGGCUGCGGGCUGCCAACUGAUUGAUUGUUAGGAAGAUGCCAGGAGCUUAUUUUGUAACAUUUUUUUAAAAAGAAGGAAGACCCCCGGCCUCUGCAUCUGGACGAUGUAUACAACCAUUUUAUUAAUUAUUAACACAAGACCUUAGAGCAACUCUAGCAGACCCCGCAUCCGGCCGGCCCGCAAAACGCGUUUGCAGGUUGUGGAAAACCGCUUUUGCGGGCUGGCUCGGGCGGCCACAUAUGCAGACCCUGCAAACGGACCCGUAAAAAAGUAUAUUCGCGGAAUAUACUUUUUUACGGGUCGGUUUCUGCAGGUUCUGCUCGGACACCGUCGCGACGACCCGCAAACAUAAAAAGGCAAUUCUUGCAUUUGACAUAGGUUUCCACAAAUAAGUUCAAAUUCAAACGACAUAACACAGUUUCACGCGCAAAUAAAAGCCAACUUCAGUACGACAAACGCAAAAGAGGGCCCUGCAAAAGUUUGCGCCCAUGUCCGGCACCAUCUCGGUCGAUCUUCACUCCGCGCCAUCGAGCCCGUCUUGAAGUUCAUCGCCACCACCGACUCCACCUCCGGCGCUUGUUCCAACUCCCGCACCGAAAUCAUCGACAUUGCCACCAUAUGGAGCAGAGAAAACAUCUCCCGAACUGUAGCACGCACCGGCCGACGCAACCAUUCUCCUCUUCAAAAUUUCUCUCCUUACCAUAUCAUGCCAUGUUUUGGUGAGAUCGCCCAUGUCAUUGCGGUUCAUUGACAUGAUCUUGUUCUCUUCGGCGAGCAGCUUGGACAUGGCUUUGUUUUCUGCAGCGCAUGCUCUUCUCUCCUCAAUGACAGCUUUGUGCAGCCCCUCUUCCUUGAGCAAUUGCCACUUUUCUUGCUUCUCCUUUGCCUUCUUCUCAGCCAACUCUUUCUUGAUCUCCAACGACUUCAACAAGAUCAACUCGUUUGAUUGCACCAUGGCAUCAAUCUUCUCCCUCAAGGUCGAUGCUUCUUGCUCUCUCUUCAUCUUCUCCUUAGUCUUCUUGUCGCCAUCGGGCUUGUGCAAAUUUCUUGAGCCAUCAUCAUCCUCAUCUUCAUCCAUGUUUGUAAGUGGCCUCUCUUUGGUGGGGAUUCUUUGUCGAUCAACGCCCACUUCUCGCACUUUUGGAGCAACUCCCAACAAUGCUCUGGUUUGAUGAAUUUGCCUUCCGAAGCUUCCAUGUCUUUGUAUCUAUGUUGAGCAAUCUUGUCCUACACAAUGUGAACAAAGUGAUGCAAUCAUUUCACAUGAUGCAAAUAUGAUGAUGCACAACUUGAACAAAGGCAAUACAAACUCACAUAGUCGGAUUCCACGGUUCCACUUGGAGGUUGAAAGAUCGUGGAUGUCGCCUAUAGGGGGAGGGGUCAAUAGGCCCUUUAAAAUAAUAAUGGUUUAGGCUUGAACAAAUGCGGAAUAAACCUAGUGGUUAAUUUGUCAAGCACAAAACCUACAACAACUAGGCUCACCUAUGUGCACCAGCAACUUAUGCUAGGCAAGAUAAACUACUAGGUGAUAGCAAGAUAUAUGGCAAGAAACAAUAUGGCUAUCACAAAGUAAAGUGCAUAAGUAAAGGGCUCGGGUAAGAGAUAACCGAGGCACGCGGAGACGACGAUUUAUCCCGAAGUUCACACCCUUGCGGAUGCUAAUCUCCGUUUGGAGCGGUGUGGAGGCACAAUGCUCCCCAGGAAGCCACUAGGGCCACCGUAAUCUCCUCAUGCGCUCGCCGAAUGCAAGAUGCCGUGAUUCCACUAAGGGACCCUUGAGGGCGGUCACCGAACCCGUACAAAUGGCAACCCUUGGGGGCGGUCACCGAACCCGUACACUUUGGCAACCCUUGGGGGCGGUCACCGAUACCCGUCAAAUUGGUCGGGGCGAUCUCCACAACCUAAUUGGAGACCCCGACGCUUGCCCGGAGCUUUACACCACAAUGAUUGAGCUCCGAACACCACCAACCGUCUAGGGCGCCCAAGCACCCAAGAGGAACAAGCUCAAGGGUACCAAGCACCCAAGAGUAAUAAGCUUCUCAACUUGUAACUUCCAGGUAUCAUGUGGAGAACUCAAACCGAUGCACCAAAUGCAAUGGCAAGGGCACACAGAGUGCCCAAGUCCUUCUCUCUCAAAUCCCACCGAAGCAACUAAUGCUAGGGAGGAAAAUGAGAGGAAGAACAAGAAGGAGAACACCAAGAAAUCCAAGAUCUAGAUCCAAGGGGUUCCCCUCACAUAGAGGAGAAAGUGAUUGGUGGAAAUGUGGAUCUAGAUCUCCUCUCUCUUUUGCCUCAAAAACUAGCAAGAAUCCAUGAAGGGAUUGAGAGAUAGCAAGCUCAAAGAAGGUCAACAAUGGGGGAAGAACACGAGCUCAAAGGAUAAGGUUCAUUGGGGAAGAAGACCCCCUUUUAUAGGUGGGGGAAAAUCCAACGUUUAUGCUCACAACCCGCACCGAGCGGUACUACCGCUCCAAGGAGCAGUACUAUCGCUAGAGUGGCAGUAGCCCUUUGAAAAACAACGACGAGGAGGCAAAAGGCUAGAAGAACCGUCAGAGCGGUACUAUCGCUUGUCCUCACGGUACUACCGCUAGGUGUAGCGGUACUACCGCUAGGGGUAGCGGUACUACUGCUUGUGAGCGGUACUAAAAAAAUACAUCCGUGCCUACUUCCACUGAGUAUCGGUCAGUGCAAAAAAUCCGGCACGGUACUACACCUCACAGGGAGCGGUACUAAAAAAUUACACCCCCUCCAAGCAGUAGUACCGCUCCCAUGGGCAGUAGUACCGCAGCAGCCUUUUUAAGGACACCAAAACUGACACAACUUCUGCAAACGGACUCCGAAUUCAACGAAACCAAGUUUGUUGGAAAGCUAGCAACAAGGGCUAACACAAUCUUGAUAUAAAUAACAAUAAGAAGCAAAUUAGAAAAUUCCCAUAAGAAAAUGGUGAGAACCCUUCCUCGAAUAAGACCGGUAAAACCUCCAACACCGAAAAUGCAAUAGAAGAAGCAUGUGAACUCCAUUUUUGAUGAACUCGAGCUUGUCAAGAAGGUGACCAUAAGCUCCAAAUCUCACAAAGAGAACCAAACAAGAACCAAUAAAGAUGAUGCAAGGAUGCAAAGGUUUGAGCUCUCUACGAAUGAUACGAUCAAGCUACUCAUCGAGAGCCCCCCUUGAUAGUACGACAAUCGAUCCUAUAACCCGGUCUCCCAACUACCACCAUGAGACCGGUAAAAUAGAAGACCUAUCAAGGGAAAAUCUUUGCCUUGCACGAAGUCCACUUGAGCUAUAUGUUGACGAUCUUGACUCCCUCAAGUUGGACCACCUUUCUUGAUUGCGUUGGCUCGAUGAAGACUAGAUGAUUGCUCUCCCAUAGUCCACUAUGGGUGAGCCACUCUUCAGCACAUCUUCACAAGUCCAUUGUCACCACAAUGGACGGCAAGCUUCAAGCACUUGAUCUCUUCGUGAUGCAUCACUUGAACUUGCACACCGCAACCUAACCCCACAAAGAACUCUCACGAAGACCAUGGGUUAGUACACAAAGCGUAAUUGACAAUGCUUACCAUACCACGGGAUCACUUGAUCCCUCUCGGUACAUCUUCUACGCUUUGUGUGUUGAUCAACUUGAUUCACUCUUUGACUUAGUCUUGAUCAACCUCUCACAAGACCAAUCUUUAGGUAAUUCUUUGAAUAGCACCUUGGUCGAUACAAACUCUCCUUGAAACCAACACAUGUACUCCAAGAAAAGCCUAUGGACAAAACCUUCAAAUAUAACUCAAGGCAACCAUUAGUCCAUAGAGAUUUUCAUCAAUUACCAAAACCAAACAUGGGGGCACCGCAUGUUCUUUCAAUCUCCGCCAUUUUGGUAAUUGAUGACAAUCACUUUCAAGAGAGUUCAUAUAAGGAAUUAUGCAUCACCAUGCAAUGCAACAACCAAUGAUGCAUGAGUAAGAGAUGCAAAUGCUUAGGAACAAAACCAAAGCAAUGCAAAACUCUGAAAACGUCUCCACAAAACUCUCUGAAACUUCUCCCCCAUUGGCAUCGAUUGCCAAAAUGGGCGAAAAGCUUAGAAGGCCAAUAUGGAGAGUGUUCCUCCAUAAAUUGUGUAUUUCUCAACAAGAGAGUGGAAUGUCAUACAUAUAUCCAAAGGUAAAUACUUGGAGGAAGACAAACUAUAUUGAGGCACAAAGAUUGCUAGAGAAUGAUAUGCCACAAAGACAUAACAAAGAGAGACACAAGCAAUCAAGCAAUCAAAAGAUACCAAUUGAAGCAAGCAAUCAACAGAUACCAAUUGAACCAACUAGAUCAAUGAUCCUACGUGCCACAUGAAUAGAAGAAAUUAUGAUAUGAGCAAAGGAGUAUUCUAUAGAAACUAGAGAAGCUCCCCAUGAUCUGUGCACAAUUUAGUUUUGUAAUUGGAUACAACGAGCACAAAAUAGGAUCGUCACUCCCCCAAGAUCAAUAGAACCUCAUGACAAGUGCAAGAAGCAACAGAGUAUUCUAAAGACACCAGUGAAGCUCCCCAUGAUUUGUGCGCUCCUUAGAAUAUUUGCAUUAGGAUACCAAGUGCACAAAAAUAGGAUCAUCACUCCCCUAAAAUCAAUAGAAACUCACAACAAGUGCAAGUGAACAAGUAGGAAACAAAGCCUAGCACUUGCAACAAACAAAUGGUUGAGCAACAUGUAAAAGAGGCAACUUAAGAAUAGGCUCAACCAAAACCGAUGUGUGUGAGUCAUGGCAAAGCACUUGAGAAGACUAAUAUACGGAUGAGCAUUAAGCAUCAACAUAGUCUUGGAUAGUGGAGUACAAGGUGCAUGACAUGUCCUCCCCACACACACCAAGCAAAAGGGUUCACAAGCACACUAAAAACGCAAAAUGAAUAACCAACACUGUGACAGCCCAUGGUGAAGAUAGAAAGCGAAAGCCUCAUCAAGACGAGGGAUACCAAUUAAGAUGGCAAAAAGCCUCGUAAAGACAAGCAUGAUGAAAACAAUCUUCACCACACAAGAGUGCAUCAAGAUGCAACGAGAUAAGACACGCACUCAAGGCAAAAGCUUUCACGGAGCCAACAAAGAAAUAACAUAAGAAAGACAAGGUGGACGUGAAAGAAAGGAUAUCAUCUAGAGAUGUAAUUUCUCUCAAGUGUAUAAGGUUCUAAGUAGACGAAAUCAUGAUGAUAUAUAUCUAUAAAGAAGGAUGUACACCCGAAAUAGUUACAACAUGAAGGAACAAGAUAUCCAAAAGGAAGUCAUACAUAUACCAAUAAGAUAUUUGCUUGGAAGCAUAGCACAUGGCUAGAUAUGGUCUUAUUGUAUAUAAAUGAAUACCUACCACACAACCAUCAAAGACAUCACAACUAGCAACAUGAGAUCAUCGUUGAGAUUCUUUGAGAAAGGAAACACGUAUCACAAGAUGGAAUGAAUAUCAUGCCAAGAUUCAACCUACACAAGGUUGAAUGCAAGAAAAGAAUGCGUGCAUAGAUACUUGUUACCGAGAUAUCAUUGGAAGGAUGUAGAAGAAACCAAUUGAAGGUAGUAGAUAGUAGUUCAUUGAGCAUCCUAGCUUGACUCCAAUAAGCAAAUGGUGACACCACCUUCCUUGUGAGUGAGCCGAGCAUGCAAUGCAUCUCCAAUUGUUCCUAGAACAACAAACAAACAAAAUGGUACCCGAACUCAUUGGGACCAAAGAGUUAGAAACACCAAUAUACAUAGGACAAACUCCACAUAAAUAUGAGCAUAUAGAUAUGGAAAUGAAUAUCAUGCACAUCUCAUCCAAUUUGAGAUUUGGUGGAGUUUCCCCUAUAUAUUGGGUCAAAGAAAGAAAGCAUGCCAAAGAAACUACAUGAAGUUAAUUUGCAUGCUCAAGACUUUCAAGAACCGAUACCAAUUGACAAAGAAAUACCAAGUGAAGAAAAGAUACCAAAUGAAUAAAUAAUCACUUGGAGGAUAUCCAUAAUAGAUGCAUCGAGGAAUGAGAUAUCCAUUGAUACAUACUAAAUAAAAGAUAUCAAACUCCCAAAAGAGAGGAUGGUUCCAAAUAAACCAAGCUCUCUACAAAGUUUCAUGAUGGCACAAAGUACCAAAAAGAAAACGACUUGCCUUCCACCAAAUCACACUUGAUAAGGAUCACAAGAUGAGUGUUUUAUAGAAAAUAGGAUAGCUCCCCCAAGAUUAGUGCAUUAUAGAGAAUUUUCAUUUGAAUACAAAAUGCACAAGGUGGGAUCACCACUUUCACUAUAUCUAGAAAACACUAGACAAGAUCAAGAAAUUAACAAGAUCCACAAGUGGUAUGGAAGACAAAGGGAGUUGAUACAUUCCUUGGCAAGAGAUAAGGCAAAAAGAAGCAAACACCAAUGUGAAGAUGGUAAAUAAUUUCUACCACACAUAAGUGAGUACCAAUUGUCAAAAGACAAGAAGUAUUUGGAAAUAAUUCCCGGUGGUAGAUAUCAAGGAUAUCCGACAUCAUAUUCACACCAAACACACAAGCAACUUGCAACUUGUAGAGCUAACAUGCCACCUAGGAACAAGAUAAUUUACAAUAUCAACUCUAGGUGACAAUAACUCAAAUGUACACAUUUUCUAGGCUAGUAAUAUACACAUAGCAUAUUACUCCCCCAUAAUGUGAUACCAAUUAAAGAUAAACAAGAGGCAAAUAAAAGGAUCCAACAAGAGAUAAUUAAUGGACUAUUUAGAAUUUGAAUUUCUCAUGAGAAGACAUGCCACAUAGUGACUAGAUAAUCUUGUAAUAUCAAUACUAGAUGGUAUUCCUCAUGUACACACAUUUAUAGGAUUGUGAGGUGCACAAAGCACAUCACUCCCCCAUAAUGGGAUAUUCCAUUAAUCUCUCACAAGAGCCAACUAAGAUACAAACAAGAUGCAUAAAGGCUCAACACAAUACUCAAAUGUACAUGAUGUGCAAACCAACAAGCAAAUUGGAAGCACAACAUAUACACACACAUGCAAGCUACAAAACCGAAACAUGCAAAGGGGCAAGUAACUUUCAAUGUAAACAAUUUAAGUACAAGUUACUGCAAGGAGGCACAUUGGAUAUAAGAUAGAAACUUGAUAAGCCAAUUGACUUGGCUUGAGACAAUAAGAAUGAUGAAGUCCCCUUAAUUCUUCAUAAUGUAGCCAAGUCUCCAAUGACCUCCAACAACACCUAUUGAUCAAGUUUGAGCUUGUUGGUCCCCAACCAAGUUGGGUCCUAAGAGGUUAGUCACAAUAGGCUUGGCUACUGAGGGAGUCUUGGAUUAAGGGGUCCUUGGACAGCUGGACUAUAUACUUUGGCCGGACUGUUGGACUAUGAAGAUACAAGAUUGAAGACUUCGUCCCUUGUCCGGAUGGGACUCUCCUUUGCGUGGAAGGCAAGCUUGGCAAUUCGGAUAUGUAGAUCUCCUUCUCUGUAACCGACUUUGUGUAACCCUAUCCCCCUCCGGUGUCUAUAUAAACCGGAGGGUUUAGUCCGUAGGACAAGAACAAUCAUAAUCAUAGGCUAGCUUCUAGAGUUUAGCCUCUACGAUCUCGUGGUAGAUCAACUCUUGUAAUACUCAUAUCAUCAAGAUCAAUCAAGCAGGAAGUAGGGUAUUACCUCCAUCGAUAGGGCCCGAACCUGGGUAAACAUCGUGUCCCCCGCCUCCUGUUACCAUUAGCCUUAGACGCACAGUUCGGGACCCCCUACCCGAGAUUCGCCGGUUUUGACACCGACAUUGGUGCUUUCAUUGAGAGCUCCACUGUGUCGUCACGAUAAGGCUUGAUGGCUCCUUCAAUCAUCUUUAACGAUGCGGUCCAGGGUGAUGUUUUCCUCCCCGGACAGAUCUUCGUACUCGGCGGCUUCGUACUAUGGGCCAACUCGCUUGGCCAUCUCGAGCAGAUCAAUAGCUACGCCCCUGGCCAUCAGGUCAGGUUUGGAAGCUUAAACUACAUUGUCGACAUCCGCGGAGACUUGAUCUUCGACGGAUUCGAGCCCAUGUCAGGUGCGCCGGACUGUCACGACGAGCAUGACCUAGAUCUGCCAUCGGACGGCAUUGGGGAGAUCACACCUGUGGCUGCCCCGGCCUUCAAUCUGGAGCAGAUCGUGCCAUCCAAGGACGGGUGGAUGGACCCCGCCAAGGAGGCCGCACCCUCAGCGGCGAUAGAGCCCAACACCGACCUCACCUCCUAUGAGGCCGGCAUCGGACCCUCGGACUCGUCUCUGGCUACAGACUCCGAACCGCGUGCAUCCGUGCCUAUAGAAUCUGAUUGGGCACCGAUCAUGGAGUUUACCUCUGUGGAUAUCUUUCAGCACUCGCCCUUGAGCGAUGUGCUAAACUCAUUGAGCUCUCUCUCCUUGUCAGGAGACUCUUGGCCGAACUAUGUCCGGCUGGAGUGGGAAGCGGACGACGAAGAAAAUCGUUCCCCACCCACCACCCACUUAAUAGCCACUGUUGAUGACUUAACCAACGUGCUUGACUUCAACUCCAAAGAUAUCGACGGUAUGGACGAUGAUGCAGGAGAAGAACAGGAACCAUCGCCCACCGGGCACUAGACAGCCACCUCAUCAUAUGAUAUAUAUAUGGUGGACACACCCAAAGAAAGCUAUGGCGAUGAGGCAACGAAGGAUAAUCCCUUGGAGAAGCAAUCUAAGCACCGGCGUCAUCGGCGCCGCUCUAAGCCCCGCCAUAGAAAAAAUAGUGAUACCAACACAAGAGAGGAUAGCAAUCCGGAUGGUGCCGAAGACGGAAACAAUCCCGCCCAGCCAGGCUUCGAGCAGGCCGAGCGGGAGGAUGGGCAAGCUAGCCCUAAGGAACAGGCAACAGAUGGAGAGUCAGAGGAUGACUGUCGGUGUCAAAACUGGCGGAUCUCGGGUAGGGGGUCCCGAACUGUGCGUCUAGGCGGAUGGUAACAGGAGACAAGGGACACGAUGUUUUUACCCAGGUUUGGGCCCUCUCGAUGGAGGUAAAACCCUACUCCUGCUUGAUUGAUAUUGAUGAUAUGGGUAGUACAAGAGUGGAUCUACCACGAGAUCAAGGAGGCUAAACCCUAGAAGCUAGCCUAUGGUAUGAUUGUUGUAAUGGUUGUUCGUCCUACGGACUAAAACCCUCCGGUUUAUAUAGACACCGGAGAGGGCUAGGGUACACAGAGUCGGUUACAAUGGUAGGAGAUCUACAUAUCCGUAUCGCCAAGCUUGCCUUCCACGCCAAGGAAAGUCCCAUCCGGACACGGGACGAAGUCUUCAAUCUUGUAUCUUCAUAGUCUUGGAGUCCGGCCGAUGAUGAUAGUCCGGCUAUCCGGACACCCCCUAGUCUAGGACUCCCUCAGUAGCCCCUGAACCAGGCUUCAAUGACGAUGAGUCCGGCGCACAUAUUGUUCGGCAUUGCAAGGCGGGUUACUCCUCCGAAUAAUUCGUAGAAGAUUUGUGAACACCAGGAUAGUGUCCGGCUCUGCAAAAUAAAUUCCACAUUCCAUUGUAGAGAGAAUAAUAUGUACACAAGUUCAAUCUGCUGACGUAUUUUGUGGCAUGAGGUCAUGCCACCACCAAGCCUUUACUUGAAUCGUUUUUUAUUAUACCACCUCAGCGCGUUUAGCGAAGUGGUUUCCUUGGCACGUCUUGUCGAAGCAGAGAUCGUGUUCCCCUUAUUCCAGGAUUCCCAUCAAUACGGACGUGGGUAACCCAACCGCGCCAUUGAUGGUGGAGCUUGGGAGAUAAGCGAGUUUUACCAGGCCGGUGGGGAUGCAUAGUCUUCGUCCACCCAUAUAUAAGGGGAUAAGGAUCCACCUUUUUACCUACGCCUUCUUCCUCCUUUGCUUAUCCAUCUCCACGCACUCGAGCUCCAGCGCCCAAGUUCGCUCACCUCGCCUCAACCUUCUCCAGCCAUGUCCGGAGCGGGAAGCAAGUGGAUGGCCUCAUCCGUUACGGAGGGGCACAUCUAAAAACUGCGCGGCGCCGGAUACCUGUCCAGCGACAUCGCGCACCGGCUGCCUGAUGAGGGGCAGCUCAUCCCCACCCCCAGGCCCCAUGAGAGGGUCGUAUUCCUUCCCCACUUCCUCCGCGGACUGGGUUUCCCACUUCAUCCCUUCGUCCGGGGGCUCAUGUACUACUACGGCCUGGAUUUCCACGAUCUGGCGCCAAACUUCAUCCUCAACAUCUCGGCGUUUAUCGUCAUGUGCGAGGCUUUCCUCUGCAUCCGACCCCACUUCGGCUUGUGGCUAAAGACCUUUAAUGUCAAGCCGAAGGUAGUGAAGGGCGUCCAAGCGGAGUGCGGAGGCGCCAUGGUGGGCAAAAUGCCCAACGUCAUCUGGCUCGAGGGGGCCUUCGUGGAGUCCAUCAAGGGGUGGCAAUCGGGGUGGUUCUAUAUCACCGAGCCGCGUGACCCUAAAUGGGCAGCGGCCCCCGAGUUCAGAUCUGGUAUCCCCAUGCAGCUCACCUCUUGGAAAGAGAAGGGCUUGCUAUGGGGCAGUUCGGAGGAGCUGACAGGACUCCAGUCCUGUCUCCAGACCCUGAUGAACAAGAAGCUUAAGCUUGUCAAUGUGAUCCAGGUCAUGCUCGUCCGCCGGAUUCUCCCCUGGCAACAGCGGGCCUUCAAUUUGUGGGAGUUUGAUCCGGCACUGCACCGGACCCUGAGCGGGCUCUUCGACACAACGUACGAAGCUGCCUGGAGGGUGCUGUUCAAGGGCGGAGAAGCCCCCGCGUCCGCGACGGAGGACCGCGGAUUCAGCACCAAGCGCCCGGCCGGCGAGGUAAGCUUUGUUAUCCUCUAUGGGACACUUAUUUUCUUUCAUAGUUUGACUCUAUGUGGGAUUUAAAACUCCCAAUGCCUUUAACAGGACUGGCAGAGGACGUCCGGACAGGUAGACUGUCCGGCUCCCCUUCCCGAAGACCCAGUGGACACCCGUUUGACGGGGCUGCUGGUUCCGGCCCUUUACGUGGUGCCGGAGAAGAAGGCCAAGAAGAAGGCCACGGGAACCCGAAAGAGUUCCCAGCGCCAGGUGGUAUCGGACUCAUCGUCCGAUGGCUCCGAGGCGGACUCCUCCCCCGAAGACGAGGAGGAGAAAGAGGACUCUCCCCAGGAGGGGGGAGAGAGGAAGAGGAAGGCUUCCCCAACGGGGGAGGCCGAAGGGUCCAAGAGGGGAAGGACCCUUCCUCCGGACAGCUCCGCCAACGCCAAUGUUGGCGACGAAGGGUGGCCCUCAAGGGCCAAGCCUCCGGCAAGAUCGUAAGUAUCCGGAUUCCUGAGUGAUUUAUAAUUUUUUGUCACGUAGUGUCCUUCUAAUGCCGCACACUACCUGUAGUCCGGCCGAGGAUGAUCUUCCCGCUUCAUCAAGCGGGUCCUUGGCUCCGUCGGAUGUAGAUUCCAUUCCGACUGCCUCCACCCCUCGCGACGCUGAGGAUGCCGAGGUGGGAUCCCAGGAGGGGACCCAUCAGGAGGAGGCUCCGGAGGUGCCACAAGGCAGCCUCCCGGACUUUGCGCCGGACUCCAUGCCGGAACCCGCAGUGGUUCCGGAGUCCGGCAGGCGGCCCCUUCGUACGAAGGGCAAGACUGUGACACCGGCAGCCUCCGUCCAACCGGAGGCGCCGGACAACUUGUUGGAGGCGCUCAACGGCACUUCCAUCGAGGAAGAACACCGCACUUGAGGCUCCAAGUCCGGUCAGCGGAAAAAGGCAUUCAACAAAGACAAGUCGGGCCCAUCCAGUUUGGACCGCGUACUCGACCGUCCAUGCCAAAUUCAUGGCACCCCAGGAACACCAGCCAAUCAUACCAAUAGAGAAUGCUGGGUCUUCAAACAAGCCAGCAGGUUAGGUGCCGAAAACAAGGGGAAGGGGUCUCAAAGCGAGGAUGACGACGAGGAGCCCCCAUCACCGAAUAUAGGAGGACAAAAGAAAUUUCCCCCGCAAAUCAAAACGGUGAACAUGAUAAAUGCCACCCACAUUCCCAAGCUGGAACGAACAUGCACUCUUAGGGAUGUCGACUUAACGGAGCCAAUCGCCCCACAAUACAACCUAUGGCCGAUCACCUUCGAUCGUAAGGAUCGCCCAGCCAAUACCAAUCAGGGCAAUCCAGCCGCACUCGUCCUUGACCCAAUAAUUGAUGGAUUCCACCUCACACGAGUCCUUAUAGACGGAGGCAGCAGUCUAAACCUGCUGUAUCAGGACACAGUGUGCAAGAUGGGUAUCGAUCAUUCGAUGAUCAAACCCACUAAAACCACCUUUAAAGGUGUCAUACCAGGUGUGGAGGCCAAUUGUAAAGGCUCCAUCACUCUGGAGGUAGUCUUCGGAUCACCAAACAAUUACCGCACCGAGGAUUUAGUCUUCGACAUCGUCCCCUUUCGAAGUGAUUAUCAGGCACUGCUCGGAUGAACCAUGUUCACUCGAUUCAACACGGUGCCACAUUAUGCCUACCGUAAACUCAAGAUGCCCGGUCCGCGCGGCGUCAUCACAGUUAAUGGCAGGCCCGAACUUCCCGUCACUGUCGAAGAGUCUACCGCUGCUUUAACAGCAGAAGCAAUGAUUGGCACCUUUCAAUCGAACUUCGAGUCGACGGCCAAGCUCCCGAACACCGCCAAAGGAGUCCGAGCUACUGAGCGGCAGGAUAGCCCGGCUCUUCCGGAGCUAAAUUAAAACACUCCAGCAAAAGUUAAGACAUGCCACAUACUGCGGCUCAACCGCUCUGUGGCAUAAAACCAUUUCUUGCAUUUUCUUUGCAGGUUCACCUUUGUGUAGGCCAGGACGGAUGGCGUGGAAACAGUUCGAGCGCGUAAGGGAAUCUCUAGAUAUUCCCCUCGACGAUCAUCCGACUACACUCCGGAUCCACAUACAGCUUCCUCCUGCCUGGUCUCAGCAGGUUCCACAGUCAUAUUUGUUUUUAUCACAUUACCUGUACUCAUACGCAUCGACGUAUUAUUCAAAUGCAACAUGUGGAUUUAUAUGAUGCUUAUCUAUUGUUAUUUCUUACUGACAAUCUUUUGUCAAAAGGCAGCGGCAUAUCGCGUUACGCCUUAAUAUGUGCUAUGUAUUGAGCUUGCAUUGGUUUUCCAUGAAGAGGAAAGGGUGAUGUAGCAAAGUAGCGUAAGUAUUUCCCUUAGUUUUUGAGAAGCAAGGUAUCAAUCCAGUAGGAGGCUCCUCAAAAGUCCCACGCACCUACACAAACAAACAAAGAACUCGCAACCAAUGCAAUAAAGGGGUUGUCAAUCCCUUCACGACCACUUGCGAAAGUGAGAUCUGAUAGAGAUAGUAUGAUAAGAUAAAUAUUUUUUUGGUAUUUUAUAAUAUAGAUGCAAAAAGUAAAGAUGAAAAUAAAAGUAGAUGGAAAGCUUAUACGAUAAAAGAUAGACCCGGGGGCCAUAGGUUUCACUAGAGGCUUCUCUCAAGAUAGCAUAAGUAUUACGGUGGGUGAACAAACUACUAUCGAGCAAUUGAUAGCAAAGCGAAUAAUUAUGAGAUUAUCUAGGCAUGAUCAUGUAUAUAGGCAUCACGUCCGUGACAAGUAGACCGACUCCUGCCUACAUCUACUACUAUUACUCCACACAUCGACCGACUCCUGCCUGCAUCUAGAGUAUUAAGUUCAUAAAGAACAGAGUAACGCAUUAAGAAAGAUGACAUGAUGUAGAGGGAUAAACUCAAGCAAUAUGAUAUAAACCCCAUCUUUUAUCCUUGAUAGCAACAAUACAAUACGUGCCUUGCAACCCUUUCUGUCACUGGGUAAGGACACCGCAAGAUUGAACCCAAAGCUUAGCACUUCUCCCAUGGCAAGAAAGAUCAAUCUAGUAGGCCAAACCAAACUGAUAAUUCGAAGAGACUUGCAAAGAUAACUCAAUCAUACAUAAAAGAAUUCAGAGGAGAUUCAAAUAUUAUCCAUAGAUAAACUUGAUCAUAAACCCACAAUUCAUCGGAUCGCCACAAACACACCGAAAAAGAGUUUACAUCGAAUAGAUCUCCACAAGAGAGGGGGAGAACAUUGUAUGGAGAUCCAAAAAGAGAGAAGAGGCCAUCUAGCUAAUAACAAUGGACCCGAAGAUCUAUGGUAAACUACUCACAACUCAUCGGAGGGGCUAUGGUGUUGAUGUAGAAGCCCUCCGUGGUCGAUUCCCCCUCCGGCGGAGCGCCGACGAAGGCUCCAAGAUGGGAUCUCGCGGAUACAGAAGGUUACAAUGGUGGAAAUUGUGUUUUGUUGGCUCCCUGGAUGUUUUCGGAGUACGUAGGUAUAUAUAGGAGGAAGAAGUACGUCGGUGGCCGCCUGUGGGGCCCAGUGAAAGAACAUGCGGUGCCCCCAUGUUUGGUUUUGGUAAUUGAUGACAAUCUCUAUGGACUAAUGGUCGCCUUGAGUUAUAUUUGAAGGGUUUGUCCAUAGGCUUUUCUUGGAGUCCAUUUGUUGGUUUCAAGGAGAGUUUGUGAUGACCAAGGUGCUAUUAAGGAAUUAUCCAAACAUUGGUCAUAUGAGUGUUGUGCUUAUAGCAAGCAUGUCUUGAAGAAGAAGAGUGUGUGAUCAUUCAUGUUUACCUUCAAGACAUCAUCCAAAUGAAGAGAGUUGGAAAGAUUCAAGGUUGAUCAAGACUAAGUCAAAGAGUUAAUCAAGUUGAUCAACGCACAAAGCAUAGAAGAUGUACUGAGAGGGAUCAAGCGAUCCCAUGGUAUGGUAUGCAUUGUCAAUUACGCUUUGUGUACUAACCCAUGAUCUUCGUGAGAGUUCUUUGUGGGGAUAGGUUGUGGUGUGGAAGUUCAAGUGAAGAAUCAUGAAGAGAUCAAAUGCUUGAAGCUUGUUGUCCAUUGUGGUGACAAUGGACUUGUGAAGAUGUGCGGAAGAGAGGCUCACCCAUAGUGGAGUAUCGGGGAGCAAUCAACUAGUCUUCAUCGAGGCAACGCAAUCAAGAAAGGUGGUCCAACUUGAGGGAGUCAAGAUCGUCAUCAUCUAGCUCAAGUGGACCAUGUGCAAGGCAAAGGUUUGCCCUUGAUAGGUUUUCUAUUUUACCGGUCUCAUGGUAGUUGUGGGAGACCGGGUUAUAGGAUCGAUUGCUGUACUAUCAAGGGGGGCUCUCGAUGAGUUGCUUGAUCGUAUCGUUCGUAGAGAGCUCAAACCAUUGCAUCCUUGCAUCAUCUUUAUUGGUUCUUGUUUGGUUCUUCUCCUUGUGAGAUUUGGAGCUCUUGGUCUUUUUUAUGACAAGCUCGAGUUCAUCGAAAAUGGAGUUCACUUGCAUCUUCUAUGAUGUUUUCGAUGUUGGAGGGUAUGCCGGUUCUUCUCUGUUGGAGGUUUCACUCCUUUGUUUGUUCUUCGCUAUUUUGAAGCUACUCGUUGUCUUGUAUCCAACAAGCUUGAGUUUGCUCAAUUCGGAGCUCAUAUGAAGAAGUUAUGGCAUUUCUGUUUUUCUCCCUGCUCUGGUCUGAGCGGUAGUACCGCAGGCCGGAGCGGUAGUACCGCUUGGAUGCUAUAAGCGGCAGUACCGCUCCACAGCGGUAGUACCGCUUGUAGCCCCAGCCGUAGUACCGCUGCGGUUUCAUGCUAGAGCCGCCUCGUUUCGAGGGCUCAUUUUUCAUGUCGGACUUUCCGGUACCAGCCGCGGCAAGAGUGGCGGUAGUACCACUCUGGAGCGGUAGUACCGCGAGGAGGAGCGGUAGUACCACUUAGGCUGUUAAGCGGUAGUACCGCUGGCCUAGCGGUAGUACCGCUCUCUGCGGGACUGGUAGGGGGUAACGGUUGGUUUUUCCCCCUCCUAUAAAAGGGGGUCUUCUUCCCUAAUGAACCUUAUCCCCUUGAGCUCGUGUUCUUCCCCCAUUGUUGACGUUCUUCGAGCUUGGUAACUCUCAAUACCUCCAUGUAUUCUUGCUAGUUUUUGAGGGAAAAGAGAGAGGAGAUCUAGGUCCACAUUUCCACCAAUCACUUUCUCCUCUAUGUGAGGGGAACCCCUUGGAUCUAGAUCUUGGAGUUCUUGGUGUUCUCCUUCUUGUUCUUCCUCUCAUCUUCCUCCCUAGCAUUAGUUGCUUUGGUGGGAUUUGGGAGAGAAGGACUUGGGCACUCCGUGUGCCCUUGCCAUUGCAUUUGGUGCAUCGGUUUGAGUUCUCCACGGUGAUACGUGGAAGUUACAAGUUGAUAAGCUUAUUACUCUUGGGUGCUUGGUGCCUUUGAGCUUGUUCCUCUUGGGUGCUUGGGCGCCCUAGACGGUUGGUGGUGUUCGGAGCUCAAUCAUUGUGGUGUAAAGCUCCGGGCAAGCGUCGGGGUCUCCAAUUAGGUUGUGGAGAUCGCCCCGAGCAAUUUGACAGGUACCGGUGACCGCCCCCAAGGGUUGCCAAAGUGUACGGGUUCGGUGACCGCCCUCUAGGGUCCCUUACUGGAAUCACGACAUCUUGCAUUGUGCGAGGGCGUGAGGAGAUUACGGUGGCCCUAGUGGAUUCUUGGGGAGCAUUGUGCCUCCACACCGCUCCAAACGGAGAUUAGCAUCCGCAAGGGUGUGAACUUCGGGAUACAUCAUCGUCUCCGUGUGCCUCGGUUAUCUCUUACCCGAGCCCUUUACUUAUGCACUUUACUUUGUGGUAGACAUAUUGUUCUUUGUCAUAUAUCUUGCUAUCUCAUAGUUGCUUAUCUUGCUUAGCAUAAGUUGUUGGUGCACUUAGGUGAGCCUAGUUGUUUUAGGUUUUGUGCUUGACAAAUUAACCGCUAGGUUUAUUCCGCAUUUGUUCAAGCCUUAACCGUAAUUAUUUUAAAGCGCCUAUUCACCCCCCCCUCUAGGCAACAUCCACAAUCUUUCACCCAGGAGAUAGGGCCGCGCCCAGAGGGGGUGGGCGCGCCCUCCUAUCUCCUAGCCGCCUCGCAAGCUUCUUGACUUGCACUCCAAGUUCUCCGGAUCACGUUCGUUCCAAAAAUCAUGCUCCCGAAGGUUUCAUUCCGUUUGGACUCCAUUUGAUAUUCCUUUUCUUCGAAAUACUGAAAUAGGCAAAAAAACAACAAUACGGGCUGGGCCUCCGGUUAGUAGGUUAGUCCCGAAAAUGAUAUAAAUGUGUAAAAUAAAGCCCAUAAACAUCCAAAAGGGGUAAUAUAAUAGCAUGGAACAAUCAAAAAUUAUAGAUACGUAGGAGACGUAUCAAGCAUCCCCAAGCUUAAUUCCUGCUCGUCCUCGAGUAGGUAAAUGAUAAAAACAGAAUUUUUGAUGUGGAAUGCUACCUAGCAUAAUUCUCAAUGUAAUUUUCUUUAUUGUGGCAUGAAUGUUUAGAUCCAAAUGAUUCAAAAUAAAAGUUCAUAUUGAUAAAAGAAAUAGUAACACUUCAAGCAUACUAAUCAAAGCAAUCAUGUCUUCUCAAAAUAACAUGGCUAAAGAAAGUUCAUCCCUACAAAAUCAUAUAGUUAGGCUAUGCUUCAUUUUCGUCACACAAAGAUGUUCCCAACUUCUAUACCCCCGAUGACAAGCCAAGCAAUUGUUUCAUACUUAAAUAAUCUCAAACUUUUUCAACCUUCACGCAAUACAUGAGCGUGAGCCAUGGAUAUAACACUAUGGGUGGAAUAGAAUAUGAUGAUGGGGAUUGUGUGGAGAAGACAAAAAAGGAGAAAGUCUCACAUUGACGAGGAUAAUCAACGGGCUAUGGAGAUGCCCAUCAAUUGAUGUCAACAUGAGGAGUAGGGAUUGCCAUGCAGCGGAUGCACUAGAGCUACAAAUGAAUGCUCAACAAAAUAAAACUAGUGGGUGUGCAUCCAACUUGCUUGCUCACGAAGACCUAGGGCAUUUGAGGAAGCCCAUCGUAGGAAUAUACAAGCCAAGUUCUAUAAUGAAAAAUUCCCACUAGUAUAUGAAAAUGACAACCUAUGAGACUCACUAUAUGAAAAACAUGGUGCUACUUUGAAGCACAAGAUAUGAGACUCACUACAUGAAGAACAAGGUGCUACUUUGAAGCACAAGUGUGGAAAAAGAGAUAGUAACAUUGCCCUUUUUUUUCUUUUUUCUUUUUUUCUUUUUUUUCUUUUUUGGGAAAUGCUCUAAUAAUGAUGAUCAUCACACUUUCAUUGAUUACAACAUAUGAAUUACAACUCGAAACUAGAACAAGAUAUGACUCUAUAUGAAUGCCUCCGGCGGUGUACCGGGAUGGUGCAAUGAAUCAAGAGUGACAUGUAUGAAAAAUUAUGCAUGGUGGCUUUGCCACAAAUACGAUAUCAACUACAUGAUCAUGCAAUGGCAAUAUGACAAAAGUAAUGCAUGUCAUGAUGAUAAACGAAACGGUGGAAGGUUGCAUGGCAAUAUAUCUCGGAAUGGCUAUAGAAAUGCCAUAAUAGGUAGGUAUGGUGGUUGUUUUGAGGAAGAUAUAAGGAGGUUUAUGUGUGAUAGAGCGUAUCAUAUCACGGGGUUUGGAUGCACCGGUGAAGUUUGCACCAACUCUCAAGGUGAGAAAGGGCAAUGCAUGGUACCGAAGAGGCUAGCAAUGGUGGAAAGGUAAAAGUGCGUAUAAUCCAUGGACUCAACAUUAGUCAAAAGAACUCAUAUAUUUAUUGCAAAAAUUUAGAAUUCAUCAAAAAUCAAGCACUAUGCGCAUGCUCCUAGAGGGAUAGAUUGGUAGGAAAAGACCAUCACUCGUCCCCGACCGCCACUCAUAAGGAUGCACAAGCCAGGUACACUUCAUGUUUCAAAUUUGUUACACAACUUUAACCAUACGUGCAUGCUACGGGACUUGCUAACUUCAACACAAGCAUUCUUUAAAUUCAUAAUCACCCAACUAGCAUGACUUUAAUAUCACUACCUCCAUAUCUCAAAACAAUUAUCAAGUAUCAAAUUGAUCAUAGCAUCCAAUUCACUUCCUAUGAUAGUUUUUAUUAUACCCAACUUGGAUGCCUACCAUUCUAGGACCAAUUUAUAACCAUAGAAAAUACCAUGCUGUUCUAAAAGACUCUCAAAAUAAUAUAAGUGAAGCAUGAGAGACUAGCAAUUUCUAUAAAUUUAAGCCACCGCCGUGCUCUAAAAGAUAUAAGUGAAGCACUAGAGCAAAAACUAUCAAGCUCAAAAGAUAUAAGUGAAGCACAUAGCAUAUUCUAGCAAAUUCUAAUCAAGUGGGCUUCUCCCAAAAGGUGUGUACAAUAAUGAUGAUUGUGGUAAACUAAAAAGCAAAGACUAAUAUAAUACAUGACGCUUCAAGCAAAACACAUAUCAUGUGGCGAAUAAAAAUAUAGCUCCAAGUAAAGUUACCAAUGAACGAACACGAAAGAGGGGAUGCCUUCCCGGGGCAUCCCCAAGCUUAGGCUUUUGGCUAUCCCUGAAUAUAUUGGGGUGCCAUGGGCAUCCCCAAGCUUAGGCUGUUGCCACUCCUUAUUCCAUAGUCCAUCAAAGCUUUACCAAAUCUUAUAAGCUUCGUUAGUGAAAGAAAACAAAACCACCACAUAAGGUACUGUAAUGAACUCAUUCUUUAUUUAUUUUGGUGUUAAACCUACUGUAUUCCAACUUCUCUAUGGUUUAUAAACUAUUUUACUAGCCAUAGAUGCAUCAAAAUAAGCAAACAACACACGAAAGGCAGAAUCUGUCAAAAACAGAACAGUCUGUAGCAAUCUGUAACUAACGCAAACUUCUGGAACUCUAAAAAUCCUACCAAAAUAGGAAGUCCUGGAAACUUUGUCUAUUGAUCAGCACCAAAAAGAAUCAACACAAAAGAACGUUUCUGUGAUUUAACAAAACUAAUUUCGUGCAUGCGAAGUUUCUGUUUUUCCGCAGAAUCAAAUCAACUAUCAUCAUAGGUUAUCCUAUAGGUUCUACUUGGCACAAACACUAAUUAAAAGAUAAAAAACAUCUAAACAGAAGGUAGAUGCAAAACUUAUUACUAAACAGGAACAAAAAUAAAAAACACAAAUAAAAUUGGGUUGCCUCCCAACUAGCGCUAUCGUUUAACGCCCCUAGCUAGGCAGAAAAGCGAAGAUAGAUCUAAGUAGUGCCAUAAUAAUAAGAUAGAUCUUGAAAACUCAUCUCAUAUUGUCUACGUUCGGCAGCAAGUUUUCUUUGAGGCAAGCAAAAGUAAUCUAAAGGGCUAAAUUUAGCGGGACAAAAGUCCCCAAGAUCAAUCUCAGGAGGAACGGGUUCCUCCUUUGGCUCUUCAUAAUGCACAACUAAUUCAUCACUAAAAGCAUUCUUUUGGCAAAAUCUUGUGAGCCUAUACUCAAGAGAGUAUCCUAGCUCAUUAUUUCGAAGAGCAAAAUCAUUAUUAAGUUCGGAAAUUCUAUCAACCAAGACAUUGGUAGGAACCUUUUUCCUAAGGUUUUCAUUGAAAGCAACAUAGUCCGAAGAUUGAAAACGCCUAAUUUCCUCUUGAUCAAAGAGGACCGCCUCUAUGGGAGGACGACCGGCGUCCACCCUAUAGUGCUCAAAGAUUUCUUUGGCCUCUCUUAUUAUAAAUCUAAACUCAUGAGCCAAAAAGAUAGUAACAGCGCGCUUAACAGAAGAAUGCUCAACAUUGGAAAAUUCUAGGAAAAAUUCUUUGUAUGCAAGGAUGCAUAUGCAUAAUUUGUCUUUCAAAUUCAACUACAAGCAUAGCGAUAACAUCAGCAAGACUACUAGUUCUAUGAAGAAUAGAACCACCCAUGGAAGGUAAAGCACCGGCACAAGUAAAAAAAAUCUUGAAUAACACCUUUUCCAAUAAUGUUACCACAAUCGUUUCGAAACAUUUUAGUAUGCAAGAUAGGGGGUUCUUCAGCCGGAGCUUCAGAAUUUUCCAUGUUAUCAUUAUUGUCCAUAUCGACGAUAAUCUCCCCAAUUUCAGACAUAACGGCAAACAAAAGCAAGGGAGAACAAAGCAAGUGAAAGAGAGGAGGAGAUUGGGAAAGAGAGGGCGAAUAAAACGGCAAGGGUGAAGUGGGGGAGAGGAAAACGAGAGGCAAAUGGCAAAUAAUGUAAAUGCGAGGGAGAUGAGUUUGUGAUGGUACUUGGUAUGUCUUGACUUGAGCGAAGACCUCCCCGGCAACGGCGCCAGAAAUCCUUCUUGCUACGUCUUGAGCUUGCGUUGGGUUUCCUUGAAGAGGAAAGGGUGAUGCAGCAAAGUAGCAUAAGUAUUUCCCUCAGUUUUUGAGAACCAAGGUAUCAAUCUAGUAGGAGGCUCCUCAAAAGUCCCACGCACCUACACAAACAAACAAAGAACUCACAACCAACACAAUAAAGGGGUUGUCAAUCCCUUCACGGCUACUUGCGAAAGUGAGAUCUGAUAGAGAUAGUAUGAUAAGAUAAAUAUAUUUUUGGUAUUUUAUAAUAUAGAUGCAAAAAGUAAAGAUGCAAAUAAAAGCAGAUUGAAAGCUUAUAUGAUAAAAGAUAGACCCGGGGGGCAUAGGUUUCACUAGAGGCUUCUCUCAAGAUAGCAUAAGUAUUACCGUGGGUGAACAAAUUACUAUCGAGCAAUUGAUAGAAAAGCGAAUAAUUAUGACAUUAUCUAGGCAUGAUCAUGUAUAUAGGCAUCACGUCCAUGACAAGUAGACCGACUCCUGCCUGCAUCUACUACUAUUACUCCACACAUCGACCGACUCCCGCCUGCAUCUAGAGUAUUAAGUUCAUAAAGAACAGAGUAACACAUUAAGAAAGAUGACAGGAUGUAGAGGGAUAAACUCAAGCAGUAUGAUAUAAACCCCAUCUUUUUAUGCUUGAUGGAAACAAUACAAUAUGUGCCUUGCAACCCUUUUGUCAUUGGGUAAGGACACCGCAAGAUUGAACCCAAAGCUAAGCACUUCUCCCAUGGCAAGAAAGAUCAAUCUAGUAGGCCAAACCAAACUGAUAAUUCGAAGAGACUUGCCAAGAUAACUCAAUCAUACAUAAAAGAAUUCAGAGGAGAUUCCAAUAUUAUUCAGAGAUAAACUUGAUCAUAAACCCACAAUUCAUCGGAUCUCGACAAACACACUGCAAAAAGAGUUUACAUCGAAUAGAUCUCCACAAGAGAGGAGGAGAACAUUGUAUGGAGAUCCAAAAAGAGAGAAGAAGCCAUCUAGCUAAUAACUAUGGACCCGAAGGUCUGUGGUAAACUACUCACAACUCAUCGGAGGGGCUAUGCUGUUGAUGUAGAAGCCCUCCGUGGUUGAUUCCCCCUCCGAUGGAGCGCCGACGAACGCUCGAAGAUGGGAUCUCGCGGAUACAGAAGGUUACGGUGGUGGAAAUUGUGCUUCGUUGGCUCGCUGGAUAUUUUCGGGGUACAUAGGUAUAUAUAGGAGGAAGAAGUACAUCGGUGGCCGCCUGUGGGGCCCAGGAGAUAGGGGCGCACCUAGAGGGGGUGGGCGCGCCCUCCUCUCUCCUGGCCGCCUCGCAAGCUUCUUGACUUGCACUCCAGGUUCUCCGGAUCACGUUCGUUCCAAAAAUCACGCUCCCGAAGGUUUCAUUCCAUUUGGACUCCGUUUGAUAUUCCUUUUCUUCGAAAUACUGAAAUAGGAAAAAACAGCAAUACGGGCUGGGCCUCCGGUUAGUAGGUUAGUCCCAAAAAUGAUAUAAAUGUGUAAAAUAGAGCCCAUAAACAUCCUAAAGGGGUAAUAUAAUAGCAUGGAACACUCAAAAAUUAUAGAUACGUUGGAGACGUAUCAAUAUGCAGGGGCUUCAUUACACCCAUAAUAUGGCAAUAAAGCCCGAACACCUUCACGGCAGUUCGGCACCCCGAACUUAUAGCAUUAUAUGCAUCAGCUCCGGAUCAUGUCUUGGGUCAAUAGUUGGGUUUGCCCGACUCCCAUGUUUUGGUACCUUAUGUUCUGCUAUAUCGGGUAAGGUAGCACAUGGAGAACUACUACGAUUGUGUCCCGGUUCUUCCGGACGAGCACCUCAGUAGAGAAAGCCAAAAACUGACUGUCAUGAUACAACGAGAGACUGGUCAGCUGUUCGAGAGAUUGUAAAAUCUUUAAGGAUUUCUUCCACAUAAUGCCAUAACCAAUGCAGCGUGCGAUGGAUCGGCUUUUCUUCUGAUCAGGUGCUUAUAGAGCCCCUCGUGCGGUUUUCCGAGCACCAGGGGCUGCGCCUACCUUCCUUUUGUUAAAACUCCUAUGGCUAAGUGAGAGUGAUAAAGCCCUAUAGUUUGAUUGCCUAGUUCGUUGUGCUGAACACCUCCUUCAAGGACCCAACACUGGGAUAAAGAGUGCUCAGGUUUAUCCCGAACACCCCCGUACUUACUACGUGGGGGCAGAAGCCGACGACUGGCCAACUCUCAGGAUUAAUAUAUAAAAACGGCCGCACAGGAGGAAAAGCUUUCAAAUAACAAGCAAUAAAUAAUAUAAAUGACCUUGUUCAAUAUUACACAGGAUAACAUGACUGUAUUCAUGGAAAUAUAAUGUCCUUGGUGCCUAGCUCCGCCGCAAGGCGGGCUCCUCUCAAGACACCAUCAUAAUAUAAUUCGUGCUUGCGGUGCUCCUUCCCCUCCGGUGGUCCCUCGAUCAUCAGCUUUUCCGCAUCCAUCUUCCCCCAGUGCACCUUUGCACGGGCGAAGGCCAUUCGCGCACCCUCCAUACAGACCAACCGCUUGAUGACUUCAAGUCGAGGGCAGGCACUCACAAGCCGCUUCACGAGCCCGAAGUAACUGUUUGGAAUCGGCUCGGCGGGCCAUAGCCGGAUAAUUAAAUCCUUCAUGGCUAGCUCAGCCGCCUUAUGCAGUUCGAUCAGCUGCUUUAGUUGAUCGGCUAAAGGCACCGGAUAAUUCGGUGCCAGAUACUGCAUCCAGAAGAGCUUAUGCACAGUGUUCCUUUCUUCGGCUCGGUAGAAUUGGGCGGCAUCAGAUAUACUGCGUGGCAGCUCCACGAAUACCCCUGGAGAAAUUAGAAUUCAAAUUAUCAACUUAAUUUUCUCCUCUCAAAUACUUGCUUUGUAUAGAAAAAGCCUUACCAGCCGCAAUCUUCCUCGCCUCCUGGAUUUCCUUCAGGGCACCUUGGGCUUCCCCCCGGGCAUCACUUGCGGCCUGGUGAGCCUGGGAGAGUUCAGAUUCUUUCCUUGAUAAACUCUGCUCCAAGGUCUCGCAUUUCUUCACGGCCUCCUGAAGCUCUCGCUCAACUUCAAUAACUCUGGCCUCGGGCUUUUCACGAAGAGCCUGCUCUGCGGCUGCCUUCUUCUCGGCUUCGGCCACAGCCUUGUUAAGAGCCUCAAUUUCGGCCGUCGCCCCUAGAGCACAUCAUAAAAACAUUUUCAUCAUGCACAAUUAUUCAUUUGUGCUAAACGAACAAGGUUUCCGCAUACCUUGAUUCUCCUCCAACUGCUUCUUCACUCGGCCAAGUUCUCCUUCGGUCCGCUCCAGACUAUGCCUCAGACCAGAUACUUCUGCAGCAUGAGAGGCGGCAGUCGCUACAGACGCCUGCUUAUUAAAAGAGAUAGAUGUCAUCAAGUGAGUCUCCCGCGAACAAAAAAAAUUGAUCCUCUGUCCAGUUCUUCUUUUCACCAAACAGUGUAUCAGGGGCUGCUAUCUAUACUAUGACACUCUUCCAAACCUCAUAAAACAUACCUCGAAGCCUCUUAUAAGGCUGAUACCGGAUUCAUUCAGUCCACUCUCAGCAGAUUGAAUCUUCUCAAUCACCGCACCCAUAAGGGCACGGUGUUCAUCAACGAUGGAGGCGCCCUUCAGCGCCGCCAAUAAAACAUCCGGCACCUCUGGUUGGAAAGAGGUUGCCGGUGGAACAGACACACCCCCUCCAGCCAUUGGAGGCCGGCUGCCUAAUUCUGGGGCCUUAUUGGUCUUCGGGAUCGUGUCCGGCUAGGGGCCGGCUUUAAGAUGACCCCCGCCGUCGACGUCCACGGGAGCCUUCUCUCCCGUGUGUUCGAACCCUGAAGUCUGGCCUCCUGGCGUCACCUUUGUGAUCUUUCCCCCCCCCCUCUGUGGCCUGGGUCCUUCUGGGACGAAACCUCGGUAUCAUUCACAUGUUUGGGGGAGGGGGACUUCGGGGGUGUCUCGCUCUCCAUUGCAUCCCUCCGACGAGGAUUGCUCGCCGCGGGACCUCGCCGGACUAUAGAAAGUACGGCUCAGAUUAAAAUAUUAUGCCAUAACAAGUCUGGACGCAUAAGCGUGUUCGGAUUUUAUACUCACGAGUUCACCAGGGGCUGGGCCCUGGGAUCCCACUCUGGGCUGCUAUCGGCGGCGGCGGUGGACUCCUCUGGAAGAGGAGUUUUUCCCCUCUUAGGCGACUCGGCCUCCAAAGAUGUGGAGGCCGUCCUUUUAUUUCUUCCCCCCGUUGGGGAUUCAUCUUCCUCCUCCUCCUCGUCCUCUUCGGAGGAAGAACGGGCAUGGGAGUCUUCAGAUUUUGUGUCUGAAGCUCCACGGCGAUGGAGGCCGCCCCUGGACUUCUUGGCAUCCUUCUCGGCCUUCUUCUUCGGCGCCUUGUAAGGCGCCGGGACCAACAUCUUCGUCAGAAGUGGGCCGGCCGGUUCUUCUAGCAGCGGGGCCGGACAGUAGAUCCACCCCGCCUUCUUCGCCCAGCCCUAGGAGAGUUGUGGGAAACACGUUAAGCACUUUCCUAAGGAUAUGCGAAUAAAACACACGAAUUGUUAGCAUAUAGUGACUUACCGAACUUGCAGGGCGGGACAAUUGGUACCCGCGGUACUCGGCGGAGUCCGGCCAUGAUUUGCCAGACUUGAAAAGAACCUUCCAGAUGUCCUUGUGCGAGGAGCCAAAGAGCUCUAGCAGGGUCUGGUGCUUGGCCGGGUCGAACUCCAAUAAAUUGCAAGCUCGGUGUUGACAAGGUAGAAUCCGGCGAACUAACAUCACCUGGACUACAUUAACGAGCUUGAUGUUCUUGUCUUCCAUAUCCUGGACGCAUGUCUGGAGCACCGAUAGUUCAUCGGACGAGGUCCAGUUCAUGCCCUUCUUGGGCCAGGACGUGAGUCUCAGGGGGCUUCGGAUCUGAAUUCCGGAGCGGCGGCCCAUUCCUUGCCGCGCGGCUCAGUGACGUAAAACCACUGCCGCUGCCACUCCUUGACGGAAUCAUUGAAAGUACCUGUUGGCCAUGUAACUUUGGGCAUCAUGCUCACCGUGGCGCCUCUGCACUUGGUGUGCUCGCCGCUCACUACCUUGGGCUUCACAUUAAAAACCUUCAGCCAUAAACCGAAGUGUGGUGGGAUGCGGAGAAAGGCCUCGCACACGAUGAUGAAUGUUGAGAUGUUGAGGAAGGAAUUGGGGGAUAGAUCAUGAAAAUCAAUCCCGUAAUAAUACAUCAUGCGGCGAACGAAUGGGUGGAGGGGAAACCCUAGCCCGCGGACAAAAUGAGGGAGGAAUACCACCCUCUCGUGGGGUUCCGGAGUGGGGACGAUCUGUCCCUCCGUCGGAAGAUGGUGGCCGAUUCUCUUGGCCAAAUACCCGCCCCCCCGAAGCUUCUUAAUAUCCUUCUCCCGGACAGUAGAGGUCAUCCACUUGCCUCCUGCUCCGGAUCCGGACAUUUUCGAGAAACCUUUUCGGGCGGAGAAGACGAACGCUUGGCGCUAGGGCUCGAGCGAGAAGGAAUGGAUGAGCGGAGGAAGAAGAAGGCGUGGGUGAAAAAGGGAGUCCUUAUCCCCUUAUAAAGGCAGCAUAGGUCCUGCGCCUCCCCACUUGCCCGGUAAACUCGCUUAUUCCCCAAGCGCCAUGAUUGAUGGCGCGGUUGGGUUACUGAUACGUUUCCAACGUAUCUACUUUUCCAAACACUUUUGCCCUUUUUUUGGACUCUAACUUGCAUGAUUUGAAUGAAACUAACCCAGACUCACGCUGUUUUCAGCAGAACUACCAUGAUGUUGUUUUAUGUGUAGAAAAGAAAAGUUCUCGGAAUGUCCUGGAAAUCCACGGAGGCACUUUUUGGAAUUAAUAAGAAUUUUUGGCGAAAGAAUUAAUGCCAGGGGGCCCACAGCCUGUCCACAAGACAGGGGGGCGCGGCCUCCUAUCUCGUGGGCCCCCUGGACCUCCACCGAUGUCAACUCCAACUCCAUAUAUUCAAGUUCGGGUAGAAAAAAUCAAGGAGAAAGUUUCAUCGCGUUUUACGACACGGAGCCGCCGCCAAGCCCUAAUCUCUCUCGGGAGGGCUGAUCUGGAGUCCGUUCGAGGCUUCGGAGAGGGGGGUUCGUCACCGUCGUCAUCAUCAACCACCCUCCAUCACCAAUUUCAUGAUGCUCACCGCCGUGCGUGAGUAAUUCCAUCGUAGGCUUGCUGGACGGUGAUGGGUUGGAUGAGAUUUACCAUGUAAUCAAGUUAGUUUUGUUAGGGUUUGAUCCCUAGUAUCCACUAUGUUCUGAGAUUGAUGUUGCUAUGACUUUGCUAUGCUUAAUGCUUGUCACUAGGGCCUGAGUGCCAUGAUUUCAGAUCUGAACCUAUUAUGUUUUCAUGAAUAUAUGUGUGUUCUUGAUCCUAUCUUGCAAGUCUAUAGUCACCUAUAUGUGUUAUGAUCCGACAACCCCGAAGUGACAAUAAUCGGGAUACUUCUCGGUGAUGACCGUAGUUUGAGGAGUUCAUGUAUUCACUAUGUGCUAAUGCUUUGUUCCAGUUCUCUAUUAAAAGGAGGCCUUAAUAUCCCUUAGUUUCCGCUAGGACCCCGCUUCCACGGGAGGGUAGGACAAAAGACGUCAUGCAAGUUCUUUUCCAUAAGCACGUAUGACUAUUUACGGAAUGCAUGCCUACAUUACAUUGAUGAAUUGGAGCUAGUUCUAUAUCACCCUAUGUUAUAACUAUUGCAUGAGGAAUCGCAUCCGACAUAAUUAUCCAUCACUGAUCCAUUGCCUACGAGCUUUUCACAUAUUGUUCUUCGCUUAUUUACUUUUCCGUUGCUACUGUUACAACUACUACAAAAACCCAAAAACAUUUAUCUUUACUUUUGCUACUGUUACCUUUAUUAUCAUACCACUUUUGCUACUAAACACUUUGCUGCAGAUACUAAGUUAUCCAGGUGUGGUUGAAUUGACAACUCAACUGCUAAUACUCAAGAAUAUUCUUUGGCUCCCCUUGUGUCAAAUCAAUAAAUUUGGGUUGAAUACUCUACCAUCGAAAGUUGUUGCGAUCCCCUAUACUUGUGGGUUAUCAGUUACCCACACCCGUAUUGAUGAGAAUCCCGUGAUAAGGGGACACGAUCUCUGCUUCGACUAGACGUACCAAUAAACCCGCCUCGCGAUAUGCGCAGUGGUAGGUUGGGAAAACCGGUUCGAAUAAUGACCAGGUCGUGACUUGAUGUCACGUUGUGAAAAGUUGUCAACAGAUUAGAUUUGUGGAAUAUUGUGCUCUCUUUGGUGGUAUGUGGAAAUUAUUUUGCAGGGCCGGACACAAUCCUCGUGUUUGAAAUCUUCUAUGGAGUAUUCGGAGAAGGAACCCGCCUUGCAAUGCCGAAGACAAUCUGCGUGUCGGACUCAUCGUCAUUGAAGCCUGGUUCAGGGGCUACUGAGGGAGUCCUGGAUUAAGGGGUCCUCGGACAGCCGGACUAUAUACUUUGGCCGGACUGUUGGACUAUGAAGAUACAAGAUUGAAGACUUCAUCCCGUGUCCGGAUGGGACUCUCCUUUGCGUGGAAGGCAAGCUUGGCAAUUUGGAUAUGUAGAUCUCCUUCUCUGUAACCGACUCUGUGUAACCCUAGCCCCAUCUAGUGUCUAUAUAAACCGGAGGGUUUAGUCCGUAGGACAAGAACAAUCAUAAUCAUAGGAUAGCUUCUAGGGUUUAGCUUCUAUGAUCUCGUGGUAGAUCAACUCUUGUAAUACUCAUAUCAUCAAGAUCAAUCAAGCAGGAAGUAGGGUAUUACCUCUAUCGAGAGGGCCCGAACCUAGGUAAACAUCAUGUCCCCCGCCUCCUGUUACCAUUAGCCUUAGACGCACAUUCCAGGACCCCCUACCCGAGAUCCGCCGGUUUUGACACCGACAGCUACCCAAAUGGUUCUCUUCUUGACAGCACUUUGAGUACCAACAACUUUGGCAAACACAUUGCCAACCUUAUCCUUCCCAAGAGAAUAGAUAUCAUCAAUAAUAAUUGGGUUGGAUAAGUUACCACUAGUGCAUGAAGAAGCGAGGUGACCUUUCUCACGACAUAGGUAUCAACGUCUACUCUUCACUUUCUUCUCACUUGAUUUCUCAACUUGAGAAGCAUUAGCUUGAGUGUUCUUGGGAAUAGGCCUUUCUUCAACUUGAGGUUGAGCAUGAGAGUGAACUUGUGGCCGCUUCCCUUGUUUCUUGUCACUAAUGGGAUUCUUCUUCAAUGGGCAAGAUCUAACAUGAUGCCCUUCUACUUUGCACUUGAAGCAAAUAAUCUUGGCUGAAUUCUUGAGUUGUUCUUGGCCCUUGUUCUUGUUUCUCUUGGACUUCUUCUUCUUAUUGGAGUUGAAUCCAAGUCCACCUUUGUCAUUAGGGUAUUUUUGCACACUCAAGAUAUUGUUGAGUGUGAAUUUCCCUUCAUGACACUUUUCCAAGUCUUUCUUCAAAGAAGUGACUUGGGCCUUGAGCUCUUUGAUUUCCUCUACAUGGUUAGUCUCAACACAAGUACUAGAGGAAGUAUAAGCUUCAUCGUUAGAGCAACACGGCAAGGAAAGCAAUUCAUCACAAGAUGUACCAACAUUAUGAGUAGAUGAAUUACAAGGACUAGCACAUGGCAAAAUAGCAUUUUGACUAGAAGUAGUGCUAGUAUCCACAUGAGGAUCACUAGAUGUUACCUUAGCAAUCAUGGCCUCAUGAGCUAUCUUUAGCACAUUAUGGGAUACUAGAAUAUCAUCAUGAGAGCUUGGGAGCUUUUCAUGGAUUACUUCCAAUUUCCCAUAAUUUCUAGAUAGCAACUCAAGUUGAGCCCGAAGCUCAACAUUCUCCUUCAAAAUGGAUGCUUCACAAGUAAUAGAGUUAGUAGCACAAGCACCAUCAAUAAUAGCAAGAGGAGAAGGCAACUUGGCAAGCUCUUUUGAAUAUGAAGCUUUAAGUUGCGCAUGAGACUCGGUGAGUUUGAUGAGCUCACUCUUAAUGACCCUUGAGCCAUUUUCGAGGUGCCCAAAGUCCCCAAGGAGUUUAGCAUGCACAACUUCAAGCUUAUCAUUUUUAUUUUCAAAAUCAUUGGCCACCUCAAAAGCACUAUCAUGAGAUUCCUUCACUUUAGAUAGUUCUAGAGCAAAAGUCUCCUCAAGAGAUUCCUUGGUGGUUUGUUCAAGUUCAAGAUCUUGAGAGAGGUCCGCAAUCUCAUUAGCGUAAUCACGCUCAUGACUUUCCAUUUUCUCAAUGGUGACCUCAUGCUCCUCAAGAUGAGAUUCCAACUCCUCAAUAUAAUUCUUGCCCUCAAUGGCAAUGGACAUGAUUUCCAUGAAGUUGGAACGAGCAAUUUUAUUUUUAUGAAGAGCUUUAAAGACCAUUUCCCCCUUAAUUUUUAAGGAGGCAACAUUAUCAUUCUCUUCAUCAUUAUACUCAUCAUCAUUAGCAUUAACAUCAUCAUCAAGAGACAUAUUGGCAUUCAAAGUAGGAGAUACCUUUGAAGCCUUAGCCAUAAGGCAUAAAGCAAUAGAUGAUGAUGUAGGAUCCCAUGAAGCACCAUUUAAGACCACAUCUUGUUCCAUGGAGUGUUGAGUUUCCUCUACAUUGUUAGCACAACAACUCGAGGAAAUAGAUACAUUUUUAUCAUGGCAACAAGUCCUAGCAAGCAUAUCAUCAUGAGAUUUGAGCAAGAAAUUUCUACAUGAUAUGCAAGGACUAUCAACACAAGCAUGGAACACUAUCAUCAUUGCAAUGACCAACACUACUCACCAUAGCAUUACCUUGUGGCAAUCCACAUGUAGGUGAAGUAGAAGAAGUUGAGAAGGCAACACGGCUGGAGGUGGAGGGAGAACAAUCAUCCCCACAAAUCUUCGACACACCAUAUUUAUCUUGAAGCUUUUUCCACAACUCAUGAGCAUCCCGGAAUGACAUGAGUUGAAAUAUAACUACAUUGCUCAAAGCAUCGAAAAGAACAUUAGAAGCUUGAGCAUUGAGAUAAGAGUUUUUCUCAUCCUCUAAAGAUAAACUUUGGGUAUCCUUUGGAGGAGAAAAACCCAUAUCUACAAUUCGCUCUAAAUUUGGGUCCAUGACCCUAAAGAGAUUAAGCAUGUGAAUUACCCAAACAUCAAAAUUUGUGCCAUCAAAUCUAAGAGUGUCAAAGAAUCCCAAACCCCUAGUAGACAUCCUUACUCUCUAGGCGGUUAAACCCUAAAAAGAGAGACGAGGCUCUGAUACCAACUGAAAGAUUGUGGAUGUCGCCUAGAGGGGGGGGGUGAAUAGGCGCUUUAAAAUAAUAACGGUUUAGGCUUGAACAAAUGCGGAAUAAUCCUAGCGGUUAAUCUGUCAAGCACAAAACCUACAACAACUAGGACCACCUAUGUGCACCAACAACUUAUGCUAGGAAUGAUAAACUACUAGGUGAUAGCAAGAUAUAUGGCAAGAAACAAUAUGGCUAUCAAAAAGUAAAGUGCAUAAGUAAAGGGCUCAGAUAAGAGAUAACCAAGGCACGCAGAGACGACGAUGUAUCCCGAAGUUCACACCCUUGUGGAUGCUAAUCUCUGUUUGGAGCGGUGUGGAGGCACAAUGCUCCCUAAGAAGCCACUAGGGCCACCGUAAUCUUCUCACGCCCUCACACAAUGCAAGAUGACGUGAUUCCACUAAGGGACCCUUGAGGGCGGUCACCGAACCCGUACACUUUGGCAACCCUUGGGGGCUGUCACCAGUACUCGUCAAAUUGCUCGGGGCGAUCUCCACAACCUAAUUUGAGACCCCAACACUUGCCCGGAGCUUUACACCAUAAUGAUUGAGCUACAAACACCACCAACCGUCUAGGGCGCCCAAGCACCCAAGAGGAACAAGCUCAAGGGUACCAAGCACCCAAGAGUAAUAAGCUUCUCAACUUGUAACUUCCAGGUAUCACAUGGAGAACUCAAAUCGAUGCACCAAAUGCAAUGGCAAGGGCACACGGAGUGCCCACGUCCUUCUCUCUCAAAUCCUACCGAAGCAACUAAUGCUAGGGAGUAAAAUGAGAGGAAGAACAAGAAGGAGAACACUAAGAACUCCAAGAUCUAGAUCCAAGGGGUUCCCCUCACAUAGAGGAGAAAGUGAUUGGUGGAAAUGUGGAUCUAGAUCUCCUCUCUCUUUUUCUUCAAAAACUAGCAAGAAUCCAUGAAGGGAUUGAGAGAUAGCAAGCUCGAAGAAGCUCAACAAUUGGGGAAGAACACGAGCUCAAAGGAUAAGGUUCAUUGGGGAAGAAUACCCCCUUUUAUAGGUGGGGGAAAAUCCAACCGUUAUGCUCACAACACGCACCGAGCGGUACUACCGCUCCAAGGAGCGGUAUUACUGCUAAGGCGGCCGUAGCCCUUUGAAAAACAACGACGAGGAGGCAAAAGGCCAGAAGAACCGUCGGAGCGGUACUACCGCUUGUCCUCACGGUACUACCGCUAGGUGUAGCGGUACUACCGCUAGGGGUAGCGGUACUACUGCUUGCGAGCAGUACUAAAAAAAAUAAAUCCGUGCCUACUUCCACUGAGUAUCGGUCAGUGCAAAAAAUACGGCACGGUACUACAGCUCACAGGGAGCGGUACUAAAAAAUUACAACCCCUCCAAGCGGUAGUACCGCUCCCAUGGGUGGUAGUACCGCAUCAGCCUUUUUAAGGACAUGAAAACUCACACAACUUCUGCAAGCGGACUCCAAAUUCAACAAAACCAAGUUUGUUGGAAAUCUAGGGACAAGGGCUAACACAAUAUUGAUAUAAAUAACAAUAAGAAGCAAAUUAGAAAUGGACCAUAAGAAAAUGGUGAGGAACUGUCCUCGAAUAAGACCGGUAAAACCUCCAACAUCGAAAACGCAAUAGAAGAAGUAUGUGAAAUCUGUUUUUGAUGAACUCGAGCUUGUCAAGAAGAUGACCAUAAGCUCCAAAUCUCACAAAGAGAACCACACAAGAACCAAGAAAUAUGAUACAAGGAUGCAAUGGUUUGAGAUCUCUACGAAUGAUAUGAUCAAGCUACUCAUCGGGAUCCCCCCUUGAUAGUACGACAAUCGAUCCUAUAACCCGGUCUCACAACUACCACCAUGAGACCGGUAAAAUAGAAGACCUAUCAAGGGAAAACCUGUGCCUUGCACGAAGUCCACUUGAGCUAUAUGAUGACGAUCUUGACUCCCUCAAGUUGGACCACCUUUCUUGAUUGCGUUGGCUCGAUGAAGACUAGAUGAUUUCUCCCCCAUAGUCCACUAUGGGUGAGUGUAGGACCUUGAAGUAUGUCUAGAGGGGGGUGAUUAGACUACUUGACCAAUCAAAAACUUAAACUUUUCCCAAUUUUAGAGUUUGGCAGAUUUUAGCUAUCUUAGGACAAGUCAAGCAAUCAUCACACAAUUCAAGCAAGCAUGCAAAGAGUAUAUAGGCAGCGGAAAUUAAAGCAUGCAACUUGCAAGAAAGGUAAAGGGAAGGGUUUGGAGGAUUCAAACGCAAUUGGAGACACGGAUGUUUUUGGCGUGGUUCCGAUACGUGGUGCUAUCGUACAUCCACGUUGAUGGAGACUUCAACCCACGAAGGGUAACGGUUGCGCGAGUCCACGGAGGGCUCCACCCACGAAGGGUCCACGAAGAAGCAACCUUGUCUAUCCCACCAUGGUCGUCGCCCACAAAGGACUUGCCUCACUAGCGGUAGAUCUUCACGAAGUAGGCGAUCUCCUUGCCCUUACAAACUCCUUGGUUCAACUCCACAAUCUUGUCGGAGGCUCCCAAGUGACACCUAGCCAAUCUAGGAGACACCACUCUCGAAGAAGUAACAAAUGGUGCGUUGAUGAUGAACUCCUUGCUCUUGUGCUUCAAAUGAUAGUCUCCCCAACACUCAACUCUCUCUCAUAGGUUUUGGAUCUGGUGGAAAGAAGAUUUGAGUGGAAAGCAACUUGGGGAAGGCUAGAGAUCAAGAUUCAUAUGGCGGGAAUGGAAUAUCUUGGCCUCAACACAUGAGUAGGUGGUUUUCUCUCAUAAAUGGUAAGUUGGAAGUGUAGGUUUGUUCUGAUGGCUCUCUCCACGAAUGAAGAGGAGGUGGAGGGGUAUAUAUAGCCUCCACACAAAAUCUAACCGUUACACACAAUUUACCAAACUCGGUGGGACCGAUUCAACAGACUCGGUUGGACCGAUUUAGUAAACCUAGUGACUGUUAGUGAUUUUCGGUGGGACUGACAUGCAACUCGGUGAGACCGAUUCGAUUAGGGUUAGGGCAUAACAUAAUCUCGGUAAUACUGAUUACACAAACUCGGUGAGACCGAUUUUGGUAAUAAGCUUUCCAGAGAGUUGGUCAGGUAAACUCGGUGGGACCGAUUUGCUCUUUUCGGUGAGACCGAAAUGUUACAAAAGGGAAACAGAGAGUUUACAUUGCAAUCUCGGUGGGACCAAUCCCUCACUUCGGUUAGACCGAAACGUUACGAAGGGAAACAUAGAGAUUACAAUCCCAUCUCGGUGAGACCGAGAUCCCUAUCGGUAAGACCGAUUUACUUAGGGUUUGUGGCAGUGGCUAUGACUUUUGAAAUCGGUGGCGCCGGAUAGGAAGAAUCGGUGUGACCGAUUUUGGCUUUGGGUUUAGGUCAUUUGUGGAUGUGAGAAAGUAGCUGAGGGUUUUGGAGCAUAUCACUAAGCACAUGAAGCAAGAGGCUCAUUAAGCAACACCUCAUCCCUCCUUGAUAGUAUUGGAUUUUCCUAUAGACUCAAUGUGAUCUUGGGUCACUAAAAUAUAAAAUGAAGAGUCUUGAGCUUUUGAGCUUGAGCUAAUCCUUUGUCCUUAGUAUUUUGAGGGAUCCACUUUCAUCAUCCAUGCCAUGCCAUUCAUUGAGCUUUCCUAAAAUAAUAGUUUUGAAAUAGCAUUAGCUCAAUGAGCUAUAUGUUGUUAUGAAUUACCAAACCCACCUAGGGAUAGUUGCACUUUCAAUCCCCCCUUUUUGGUAAUUGAUGACAACAUAUAGAUCAAAGCUUCGACAAAUGAUAAUAAGAUUAAAAAACAUCGUAGCUUUGAGAAGUAUGUGAUAAGCAAGAGCCCCCCCUAAAUUUGUGCAUGGUUUAAGAUUUUCUUUCGACUGCAAAUGCACAAGGAGUUAGGCUCAUGGGUUACUCUUCCAUGUCACAUACAUCUUGGUGGAGCGCUCAAAAUAAUAAAGAUUGAAUACAUGCACUCAUCACCAAGCAAAGUGAAUGAUCACAUAGGAUAGAUAAGAUAAUAUCAUCAAACAUGCAUGAGUGUAGCUUAUGAUCAAACACAUGAUCAUCCAUGUCUCACAAGAAUAGUAUCUCAAGCAAUCAAAAGCAAACAAGUUUUAACCACCAAAUCAAAACAAAAGAGAACAAAAGCAACACACUCUCUCUCUCUCGAAGCCUAUGAUCUAUACAUUUUUCUCCCCCUUUGGCAACAAGUUACCAAAAAAAGUUCAUAGAAAAUGCAUAGUGCUAGAUCGACUCUCAGGCUUGAUCUUCAGGUGGUGGUGUCCGGAUAACUCCAAGAACGAAGGCUUCAGUUGAAGUAGAGGGUGCUGGAGUUGAUGCUGGAGCUGGUUGCAAUGGAGUAGUAGGGGCUGUAGCUGGUGCAGAAGAUGUUGCUCUGGUGUCUUUCACAGGCACUGCAACUGACCUCUAGGCUCUAGGCACUUUGGCAAACACAUUAGUGGUAGUCUUGCCCUGCCUCUCCUGCAUGUCAUCCUGCAGUUGCUCCACAACUAACUGAAUCUCAGUUACCUUGACAUCAAGGUCAUGGAAUUUGAGUUCCAUGAUUCUUUCCAAGCUCUCCUGAUUCUGAGUGAGGGUGGCAAAUCCUUUCUCAAUCCUCAGUGUUAAUGCUAUUAAGUAACCAAGCUGCCCCUGCUUGUUCUUCAAGAAAUACUCAGAUGCCUCCUCUUGAGUUGGCAUCCUGGCAGCCUUCUCCUUCCUUGCCUUCUCCUUCUUCUCUUGAGCAUGUACUGAUGAUGGAUCAUUCUCAUUCAUGACAACCUGAUUGUCCUCAAAGUCUGGAUAAAGUGGAAAAUGUUCCUUAUCCAAUUGAUAUUUCCCUGUGCCCAUCUUUGAGUUAAUCAACUCCUGAAUCUGAGGGGCAUAUCCACAGCUCCUCUUCUGAUCAGCUGCAGUCCUCUUAAUGGUUUCAAUCAUAAGGCUCAUGACCUUAAACUUCUGUGGCACAUCAAACAAAUGCAACAUGUUGAUGGCAUGCCCUCUGAUCAUGUUGUGAUCACCAGACUUAGGCAACAAAGUGUGCCUUAGGAUCCAAUUGAUAGUUGGCAGUCCUGACAGAAGGAAGUGGACUGAUCCAAACUUAUGUGUCUCAACAGUUAUGUCUGGGAUCUCCUUGUACAUGUGUGCCAUGGAAUUGUGGUCCAUCUUCUUCUUGGCAUAAAUAUCCAGGUCAUCUUCACUUUCCUUUGGGGCAUUGAUCAGACUUGUCCAUUCCUCAACAGUUGACUGGUACCUGGUGCCUUCUGACAUCCAAACUAUCCUCCCAUCUGAUUAGAAGUGUGCUGUGGAGUAGAAUUGCAUGAUAAGUUCAUCAUUCCAGUUGGUGAGCUUUUGCCCAACAAAAUCAGCAACUCCACAAGCAACAAAACUUUCUUGCACUCUAGGAUAGUGCUCUUCAUUGUUCUUUAUGUAAGUCCAGUCGACCCACCUCAUAUCACAUACUAUGGGCUUCUUAUCCAACAAGAUUGUCUCAUAGAAGUCAUGUUGUUCCUUUGUAUGGAACCUGUAAUCAACAGCAGUUCUUCUCCUUGAGGCAUAUGGAUCUUCCAUCCUCCAUAUCCUCAACCCUGAGUCCUUCCUGAUCCUUAUGUCCUCAGCCACAGGAUGGGCAUCAUUGUGGUCUGGUAUCUUGGGCUUGAGCUUCCUUAGGACCUGUCUUUCUUCAUCUUCCUCAUCAGCAACAUUAGGCACUGGGGCCUUGUUCUUCUCAGCAGCUGGAAUACUCCUGGUAUUCCUCUUUGGUGCAAGCUUGGCCUUGGGGGCAGCUUUGGGUGCUUCCUUGGGCUUAGAUGUUGUAGCCCCUGAUCUAAUAGCAUCACCCAUAAGCUUUGGUGCCUUGGGUGCUGGUGCAGCAACCUCUUCUUCUUCUUCUUCUUCAGAGUCUCUUCUCAUUGAGGGCUUUCCAAGAACCUGGGCAGUUGUGGUUCUUGCUCUCUUCUUGUUCUUGUCCUGAGCAGCUUCAUCCUCUGAUUCAAUGGUAAACUUCAUAGUUUCUCCAGUGGGAACUUUCUUGGAUUUGGAAGUUGUGACUUUCUUUGCAGGCGCCUCUUUGGAUUCAGUCUGUUCUAGCACUUGAGUGGACCUUCUGACCUUGGGCAUAGGUGUCCUCUUGGCAGGAACUUUCCUAUUGAGGCCAGGCUUUGUAUUCUUUGCUGAUCCAUAUUCCUUUUUGAGAACUACUUUCUUGGAAGUGGCCUCAUCUUCAGCUUCCACACAGUCCUCAUCCUCUGAGUCUGAGGUUCUCUUCCUCCUUUGCCUGGUAGCAGCCUUAGGCAGGUUGCUGGGACUGACAUGCAACUCGGUGAGACCGAUUCGAUUAGGGUUAGGGCAUAACGUAAUCUCGGUAAUAUCGAUUACACAAACUCGGUGAGACCGAUUUUGGUAAUAAGCUUUCCAGAGAGUUGGUCAGGUAAACUCGAUGGGACCGAUUUGCUCUUUUCGGUGAGACCGAAAUGUUACAAAAGGGAAACAGAGAGUUUACAUUGCAAUCUCGGUGGGACCGAUCCCUCACUUCGGUUAGACCGAAACGUUACGAAGGGAAACCGAGAGAUUACAAUCCCAUCUCGGUGAGACCGAGAUCCCUAUCGGUAAGACCGAUUUACUUAGGGUUUGUGGCAGUGGCUAUGACUUUUGAAAUCGGUGGCGCCGGAUAGGAAGAAUCAGUGUGACCGAUUUUGGCUUUGGGUUUAGGUCAUUUGUGGAUGUGAGAAAGUAGCUGAGGAUUUUGGAGCAUAUCACUAAGCACAUGAAGCAAGAGGCUCAUUAAGCAACACCUCAUCCCUCCUUGAUAGUAUUGGAUUUUCCUAUAGACUCAAUGUGAUCUUGGAUCACUAAAAUAUAAAAUGAAGAGUCUUGAGCUUUUGAUCUUGAGCCAAUCCUUUGUCCUUAGUAUUUUGAGGGAUCCACUUUCAUCAUCCAUGCCAUGCCAUUCAUUGAGCUUUCCUGAAAUAAUAGUCUUGGAAUAGCAUUAGCUCAAUGAGCUAUAUGUUGUUAUGAAUUACCAAAACCACCUAGGGAUAGUUGCACUUUCAGUGAGCCACUCUUUGGCACAUCUUCACAAGUCCAUUGUCACCAGAAUGGACGGCAAGCUUCAAGCACUUGAUUUCUUCGUGAUGCAUCACUUGAACUUGCACACCGCAACCUAAUCCCACAAAGAACUCUCACGAAGACCAUGGGUUAGUACACAAAGCGUAAUUGACAAUGCUUACCAUGCCAUGGGAUCACUUGAUCCCUCCCGAUACAUCUUCUAUGCUUUGUGUGUUGAUCAACUUGAUUCACUCUUUGACUUAGUCUUGAUCAACCAGUCAUAAGACCAAUCUUUAGGUAAUUCCUUGAAUAGUACCUUGGCCGACACAAACUCUCCUUGAAACCAACACAUGUACUCCAAGAAAAGCCUAUGGACAAAACCUUCAAAUAUAACUCAAGGUAACCAUUAGUCCAUAUAGAUUGUUAUCAAUUACCAAAACCAAACAUGGGGGCACCUCAUGUUCUUUCAGAGGUGCAUUGCGUACUUGCUCCAAGCAAGUUGCCCAACGACUGCACAUAGGCUUGAUAUUCUCCCAACGCCCUUGAAGCGACCGAAAUGUGCGUGGAGUCCUAUUGGGAUGCUUUGCCAUAAUGCAGAAGUAAUUAUCUUUGAUCCUUUGCCAAUAUCUCUUGGCGGUUUGAGAAGUGCCCAUGCAUGCAUCAAGAGACACCGCACUCCAUGCUUUGAUCAAAGCUUGAUCUUCCAAGAUCGUGUAGUUCUUUGAUCUUUGGCUUUUCCCAGUUCUUGUUUGCAAUUGCUCAUAUGCUUCCGCUUCGAUCUCGUCCAAUUCGUACUCACAACCAUUAUUGUCGCCGCCGCCCUCCGUUUCAUUGUAGUCGAAUGCGGCGAACGGGGCUUGAUCAAUGUCAACCACGUUUGUGUCCAACAAGUUCACGAACUCGGUGGUUGCAUUGUUCGAACCACCACUAUAGUAAACGACAACAAGUCACGAGCUAUCGAGAAUAAUGGCGAAAAUGAAAGGAAAUCGCCAUGAUCGAAGACGCAUACCUUUCAGCCAUUUCGUCGAACACCUCGCUUGUGGGGGGAGCGGCACUGUUGAACGGCAUCGCCGGAGCACCUCUUUCCGGGAUGGAGUGAGAGGAUGAAGAAGGUGGCUUCUUUGUAGCCGGAAUCUUCCUCCGCUUUACGCCCACGACCUUGCCGACCUUCUCUAUCGCCUGUCGAGAUCGUGCUGCGGCGUUGCCACCCGGAGCGCGGGCCUUCGCGGCGGGGGCAGCCGGAUUCCCACCCUGCACGACCACGUUGCCCUGCCGCUUGCGGGCAGGCGCGACGUUUGCUUGGGCGACGGCGGCGGGGCCAACAUGGCCGGCGACGAGAUCCGCCCGAGGGGAAGGAGCGUGCGCGACCUCGAUGGUGACGAGGGACAGCAGGGGGUCGUCCAUGGCGGCAGGGACGGCAACGGAGAAAGCACCGGAGCAUGCGGAGGCGGUGCAAUGGUGGCGGAGGGUGGGGGAGCGGGAAAGGGCGCGUGGAAAUCUCCCUCCCGCCAAAUCUCGAUGCAGAUAGGGACUGAGCUCGGGUCGGUCUCCCAGCCCGUGAAACUAGAGGUUGGGGGAGAAGAUUUGCCGCACCCCGCAAAAAUAUUUGUGGGUUGGGGCGGGAUGCGGGGUCUGAUCGGGCAGGGUUUUCCGCCCCGACCCGCACUUUGGCGGUUAUUUUGCGGGCCAGGGCGGGAUGCAGGGUCUGCUAGAGUUGCUCUUACAAAGUCAUACAACAGUAAGACUAAAGCCACCGUCUAAGCAACAUCUGUCGCUACUCCUCUCCAGGGGCGCUGAUAGUCUGGGCCUAAUACCAAACAGACCUCGCAGCCAAACCUAACAUAUAAGACCUGAGGUCCCAACCAGGACGCCUGUCGGGUAUGGGCACCCACCAGUCCGGCGUGCUCCUCAACCAGGACGCCUGCCGGGUAUGAGGCCGCCGCAGCCACCUGCCACCAAUCUAUCUUCACAGCUGUACUAUUGCAUCUACCUUGCCCGGUCUAGCUGCAAUCGAUGCCAGACAGCGUCACCCUCCUGCGCGAGUCCAUCUCCAUGCAUCGGGCGUCGAGUCUCCACUGCGCCAUGCCGCCGAGAUCCGCUGUCAUCAAUGGGCAAGAUAAAUUAUCGAUCCUCCUCUUGUCCCCUCCAACCAGCACUUGCUCCAAAACGAUGCGCCCAGGAGGGAGAACGAAACCGAAGGCUCCGUCAUCGUCCGAUCCGGUAGACCCAGAUCUAGGAUUUCCCUCGAAACUUCACGAUCAGAUUGACGUGACCUACAACGAUGAUGCCUCAAGAAGGGAACGACGUCCAAGACGCCGCCAUCAUCCACCAAGACCGCAAUCAGACGCGAUUUUCACUGGAAGCCACGUUGUCCCAAUCUCGCGGCUGGCUAGAACCGAGCGAAACCUCGCCAUGAAGACGUAUGGUGCAGUCGGAAAGCCGGUUGAGGACCUCCAGCCGCCCCACCCUGGCCCCAUCAUGCGCCGCCGGCCGGCCAUAGCCGAACGACGACGGAUCUGGCCGGGAUGCCAGAUCCACGGCCACCGCCGCCGCCCAUCGCAUAGCGGAGAAUCCCACCGGAGGACCUCGCUAGCCCAGGGUCCGCCGGCUGCCGCCGCACAGCCAGGACGCCGCCGUGGCUGCCGCGCAAAGACCCCGCACGAGGCGCCCCAGCCGGCUGUUGGGAGAUCCAUUGCUUUCCUCCUGCCCUAGCCCUUUGGGCGUCGGGCGCCGCCACCACCGCGGCCAAUGCCAGCAGUAGCGAUCUUCCUUGCGGCAAGGCUGGCGGCGCGAGGAAUUAGGUCCCUCUGGCGUCGCCCAGGGCGGCGGCGCGAGGGGGUCGCGAGAGGAAGGGGGGUGUAAUGCCUAUUCUGUAACAUAACCAUGCUGUUUCAUGUGUAUACAGUAAGUGUAUAUUCCUUACCACAUACUAGCAGUAGCACGCAUAGGUGCCAUGUUUACAGUUUAUCCUUUUACUAAAAUUAAAACCAUCACGCAAAUCGCCUCCUUUACAUUAUUUCGUCCCCUAAAUUAUGUGCCAUGUGCCGACUCGCCGAUUGAUACUGAUGUGGUAUUCAGCAUCAUGUCAGCAUGGCGUGUGUACUCGGUCUGUUAGAACAGAAUGCAAAAUGUUAACGAGAACAUAUCGUGUGAAACCGCGUUUCUGUGCGCCUAACGCACCGUGUGGAUUUGAGCUAUUGGAUGGAAAGGCAACAGAUAAGUUUGCAUGAAAGAUAGUUGCUGGCACAUUUGCAAAGAGGGCCAAGCAUUUCGUCAAAAUAAACACGCACUCCACCCUCAUAGUCUGGAACUUUUACAAUAAGACCUUGUGUUUCAUGAAAACCAGCCCAGUACAACGAAAUCGUGAUGGAGUAGGCCGAGGGUUGAUUUUGUUUAAAUGUAAGAUCCUUUUUGCAAACUAUAUUCAUAACACCAUCUCUGUCUUAAUAUUGGUCAUCAAUUUUUCAUCCAACGGUCCAAAUUUGCAUGAUGCAUUGGGUGCACAAGAAGUCACGUUUCACAUGAUAUGCUCUUGAUAGCCCCAACCAUGCAGAUUCGUGAACUGACCAUAGCUCAGAUGGUUAGGAUCCUUACAGUGGAACCACCUCACUAGGGUUCAAGUUCUAAACUUGGCACUGGUGCUCGCAUUUUCUGUAUUUAUUUUGGGCUUUCCGGCGAUGUUCGUUUAGUGGGAGGAGACGUUCUCGUCAGGCUCCUGGUCACUUCAUUAAUCUCACAAUGUUGUGCCGACUCGGUAUGUCGAAGAUACUAAUAGGAGUAGGGUAUGCGUGCAUAUGUGUUUCUGGGCGAGUGUAUGUAAGCAUCUACAUUUGUAUUGUGUUUGGAAAAAAAUAUGCACGUGCACAUUCACUCACCACUAACACUAUCUUUUGAAACGUGACCACCACAUUCCCAUUUUAAUGCAAGGAGCAGACUCCAAAGAAAAUUGGGAUCGAUGAUGUGGCAAUGGGUUGGUCACAAACCUGGAAAAUCCUACUUGCCGCUUGUUGCGGCAAGCAGUCGAAGCCUCGCACAGGGAAGGUGCAAGCGAGAGACCGAGUGGCCCGGCCCGUUUUAGCGUUACAGGCUUACAGCAGACACCGGUUUUGGGAACCUUCUAUGAUGUUUUCAGCCGUUUUUUUCCGGUUUUGGGAACCUUCUAGAAGGUUCCCAAACCGGUUUUCUCUUUUUCAGUUUCUUUUUAAUUUUUCUUUUUUCUAUUUCUCUUCUUUUUCUUUUUUCUUUUUCUUUUUUCUGUUACUUUUCCCUUUUCUUUUUUUGUUUCUUUUUUUCUUUUCCUUUUUUUUCUUUUCAAGUUUAUUUUCAAAAAAAAAAUCCGAAUUUCAAAAAAUGUUCCUAUUUUUCAGAUUUUGUUCACAAAUUCAAAAAAUGUUCCCAUUUUACAAAAUUUGUUCAUAAAUUCAAAAAAUGUUUCUAGUUUCAAAAUUUUUGUUCCGAAGUUUUAGAAAAUAUUCCUAUUUUUCCAAAAAUUGUUCUAAUUACUUUUUUUCAUUUUUUGAGAAAUUUGAAAAUAAUGACAUGGAUUUCAAAAAAAUCCUGUAUUAAAAAAUUGUUCACAAAUUUCAAAAAAUGUUCUUAUUUUACAAAUUUUUGUUGAUGUAUUAAAAAAUAGUUCACAUUUCAAAUUUGUUUGGGAUUUUCGAAAUUGUUCUCCAUUUUACAAUUUGUUCUAAAAAUUCAAAAUUUGUUUGUUAUUUUAAAAUUGUUCUCAUUUGAAAAUUUUGUUCGAAAAUUCUAAAAAUGUUCAUGUUUACAAAAAAAUGCAUGUUUACAAAAAAAAAUUGUUCACAAUUCAAAAUUUGUGCUCCUUUAAAAAAUAUUCAUGUUUUUUAAAAAAUCACUGUUAAAAUACUUGUUCAGAUUUUCGAAAAACUUUUUUGCAUUUAUCAAAAAAAAAAUUAAAACUCGUGUUGGUUCUGUAAAUUCCGAUUAUAUUUUUUAAUUUUUCUUCUCAAAUUUGAAAAGUGUUCGCAUAAAAAAAAGUACUUUUCUUAAAAUAAUGUUCGGAUCUGCAUUACCUUUAGCUGCGCGCGCCAAAUUAAAACAAGAAAGCUUAUGUAGCCCAUUGGCUGGGCUCGUGCGUAAGUAACAGGAGGUUCCUGGUUUGAUUCCUACCUCCUCCAGCCCCUAUGCGUUCGCUCGGCAAUUCGCCGCAACGAGCUGCACAUAGGAGCUCCCCACAAACCUGGCCAUCCGCGCUGAAUUGUGGGUCGGCCCGGUAGCACACAUCCGGCACGUAACGGGACUAAAUAGAUCGUGUCUGGCCCACAAAACAUCGUGUGUCGUGCUCGCUCGUCUAGGCGAGGCCGUCUGUGAGGCCCGAUAUGACCCGUUUAGCAUUGUGACGGCCCGUCUGGCAGGGACCUCCUGUAUGCCGCUCGUUGCGGCAACGAGUAGGCAUUUCGCACAGGUUGCGCGUGCGCUACGUUCGCGAGGUUAAAAAUAGCGAAAAGGAAAAAGGAGUGCCAGUGCUGAGAAUCGAACCCGCAUGUUCAUAUUGACGCAAGUGAUGAGCUAGCCGUUAUGACUAGCUAAUUCUUAUGCUAAAUUGGCAGCACGAACCUAAAGAAACUAACAGUAGAGACAAAAACUUAAAAUAUGAGUUCACAAAACUACGAUGAACUAAAAUGUGAGUGACGGAUAAAAUACGGUACCUCACGCCAGUCAAACAAGUAGCUAGCCACUAUAAUUUCUAAGAUUUCGUGUCAAGAAAGUCAGUCCGGCAUGCAUGAAAUAUAAGCCACGACAAAGAUCAUAUUUCUUCUUGAAAUUUCAAAUGUGAAUUUCUUUAUGGCAAAAGUAAAUAUCUUUUUGUAACGCAACCACUUUAUAAUUUGUGAUUUUUUUUAAAAAAAAACAAGAACAUUGUGUGAAAACACGAAAAAAAUUGAGAAUAAAAAAAGGAACAAAAUUGAAAACAAGAACAUUUUUUUCAAAAAAAUGCGAGCACUUACAAAUUUGGGAACAAAAAUAAAAACUUAGAACAUUAUCGGAAUCUCAAUCAUUUUUUAAAACAGGAAGAAUAAAUUGAAAACAAAAAUAUUCUUCAAAUUGGUGAACAAUUUUUUGAAUAUGUGCACAUUUUUUGCAACACGCAAAAAGUAUUUAAAACUGAAAAUUUAUCAAAAAAUACGUAAUUUUCAAAGCCUUAGCAUUUGUUGAAAUUUGAGAAACAAUUUUUUUGAAUUUGCAAAUAAAUAUUGGAAAAGUAAUUUGUGAAUUUUUUUAAAAGGAACAGUUUCUGAAAAUACGAAUUUUUUCGGGAACCUCAAAGAUUUUUUCAAAAAUGAACAAAAUUGUAAAUGAGAACAUUUUUUGAAAUUGCCAACAUUUUUAAAAAAAUGCAAACAUAUUUUAGAAACAGGAACAAAAUUGGAAACACGAACAUUUUCUUCAAAACACUGACCAUUUUUGAAUUUAUGAACAAAUUUUGGAAACAAGAACAUUUUUUGAAUCUGUGAACAAAUUUGAAAAGAGGAACAUUUGUUUAAAAUUCCCAAACAUGUUUCAUAUUUCUGAAAAAACCCCUAAAAAAUACAUACAUUUUUCAAAAUAUUUAACUUCUAAUUAUUUUUGAAAUUUUCAAACAUUUCUAGAAAAAUCGAACAAAUUCUAGAAUUCCAAACUUUUCUGCAAUUGCUGAACAAAUUUGAAAACAGGAACAUUUUUCCAAUAUAUGAACAAAAGAUAAGAAACUCGAAUAUUUAUCUAAUGUCUGAAUGUUUGUUAAAAAAUUAAACUUAAAAAAGAACAUAACCGAAAAUAAGAAGAAAAAAGAAAGAGUGGAAAAGGCAGAUAUAAGAAAAAAAAUGACAAAGAAAAACGGAAAAAAGAAAAAGAAACGGCAAAAGACAAACUAACCAGUUCAGGAACCUACUAGAAGGUUCCCAAAAUCAAAAAAGGUCGGGUGGAACCUCCUAGAAGGUUCGCAAAAGCGAGAAUCCUAAAAAAAUACUUAACGGGCUGGCCCACCCAGAAUGAUCGAUGUGCGUAGCCUCGACAUUUUGGCACAGCAAGCGGCAAACAGGUUUUUCCCGUUUGGCAUGUGUGGGAUUCAAAUUUGAAUCCGAGGUGAGGGGGGGGGGGGGCACGUGGGCCGUCUAGGCCUUUUUUUUUGCCUGUUAGGGUCAGUUUUCUCCCUUUUAUGCAGAAUUUCAAAAUUGAAGUUCAAAUUUUUUGUUGUAAAUAGGGCUGCCCACCCCCUCAUUCCCACACUCAAAUAUGACUGAUCACAACGAGUUCCCUUGCUUCAUAAUAUCUGAUUUUGGGAUUGACAUACCCAACUAUGUCACGUCAUCCCCACCUUGGAUAUCAUGAUGCGCGGAAUUGAUUGACGCCACAAAAAAUUUCAAGCGUCCUGCGAUUUAGCAAGACCGUAAUAUUUAUCCCCUAUGACACUUUGCCUCAUUUAUUAUUAUUUUUCUAACUUUUUAUUCUAAAUUUUUCCGAUGUAAUUAUAAACAGGCCUCUGUGUGCCGUGUCGUGCCAGGCCCAUUUAUUGCCGGGCCGGGCCGAGCAGUUGGCUACUGCAAAGCCGAGCAAAAGCCCUCUUUACCCCGUAUGCUCUGUGCCGGAUACACGGCUUCGGAAAACACACGACUAGCACACGCGGGAACGAAUAAGUGGGUGAAGCGCGCCGUGUAUCCAGUUCUGAGCAGGGAGAAAGAGGGUUUUUGGGCCGCUUUCAACUCGAGAUCCAGUGACCUACCCAUUGCAAUAAGUGGCGGAGACCGAGUGGGAGAAUCGUGAUGCCGCUCGUCGGGGCUGUCCCCUCCGCCGCAAUUCUUCUCCUUGUCGUCCUCUCGGCCGAGGGGCGGCUGUUCAAAGGACUCGUGCGUAAGAACGGGUGUGUGAACUUGGUCGGCAACAACGUCACGGCUGACGGCUGAUGCGGCAGCGAUGUGCUACCAGAGGAGUGUCGUCGACGAAGAAGCCAAGGCGAGCAAGAUGGUCGUCGGCGUGGCCCUGCUCGACAUGCAGCAAGUGAAAUAAUCUCAAAAAGUUAUGUCUGCUUCAAUCAACUUAACAUGAGGCGCUGAAUAUAAUUGCUCAAAGGAGAUGGACUUCAGUGUUGCAGUGAAGCUGAUACAGGUUAGGAGGUGGAUAGAUCUAUUCACGCGUCGCUUAUUAAGGAGAUUCGUUACCUUAUGUCCCUUCAUGAUUCUUCUAUUACUCAUAUCAAUCGUAUUCAAAAUAAAGUUGAUGAUAGUCUAGCUAAGUUUGCUCGUCUAGAAGGCAGAACCAUGACUUGGUUAGGUUCGGCCGUUCGGGGCCUUCGGAGGCGUUGGAGUCUACAGUGAUUGAUUGUAUGGACCUUGUGAUUGAGUAAUGCAUUAUUUCACCCGCAAAAAAACAAAACAAAAAAAACUUAACACGAGGCGCUAAAUAUCAUUGCUCAAAGCGAAAUCCACUGCAAUUCAAUUUUGGCAACAAGUUCACGUGUGCAAACAUACCAGGACGUGUCAAAUUUCAGCGCGAACGAAGUUUCGUGAAAGUCCCACGAAGUAAAACCCAUCGGUGUACAAUUUCCUCAAUCAGAGACACACAUCCUCUGUGGCAAAGUCACCAAGCCAACCAUUUCAGUGAUACUAGGCAGAGCCAGCCACGCGCAUUCAUUCACCAACACCAUCUUUUGAGUGUCGAAAGAGAAUUGGAAUCGAGGUAGCUGCGAUAGGGUAGGCACUGGGUCUGGAGUUGAAGGCCGGCCGCCGUCCAAAAACCCUCUUUUUCCCCUGCUCGUCUCCAUCCUCCUCAGUGUUCUCACUUCUCGGGGCCGGAGAAGCACAAUGGCGUCGCUCGCCGGAGCCGCACUCGCCUCCUGCAGCAUCCUUCUCCUCCUGCUCGUCCCCUGCGCCCAGGGCCAGGGGCAACCACCCGAGGCGCCGGAGGAGGCUUGGGCCGAGGGGCAACCACCGGAGGCGUCGGAGGACGCUUUGACGAUGCUCUUAUCCGAUGGCGGGUGCCGCGCCUUCUCCGGCCUCUCGCCAUGACGGCCGGCGUGGGCGACGCGUUCCGCGAGCAGAUCGGCAGCGAUCUGGGGCUCACCAUCCUCUGCCCUGACGACGAGGCGGUGGGGGCGUUCAUGCCGAGGUUCCAUAACCUCACCGCCGACGAGCAGGUCGCGCUUCUCCUGUACCACGGCCUGACGAUGGCUUACUCUGAGGAGCUGCUCAGCUGGGUGACCCGGGUCCACGGGGAGUUCUCGACGCUUGAUGGGGAGGAUAUGCUCACCAUCCGUCACCACAGAGGCAGGCUGAUGCUUUCUUCGUGGCCGCCGUCGUCACGUAACAAGACCAGGAUCACCAAGACGGUCGUCGACGACGACCAUCUCGCCGUCUACCUCAUAGACGCCGUGCUGAUUCCGGCAGAUCCCAAGCGUCAAAGAGUUGUGGCACUUAUCGUCAUUAUUCUGGUACUUGUUGCCGGCGUGCUCGUGGCGUUGUGAGUUUUCUUUCCUCACACUUAAUUCCGCUACGAUCAAAUGGAAGCACAUGCAAAACGCAGCACGUACGCCUGUCCAUAGCAUCAGUUCAUGCAAUUUGUUGGCGCACUAGCUCGCUCUUGUUCCGCUUCCGCCCCACAGAGUUUUGAGCGCCUUCGAGCUGGUGCUAGAGGAUUCUAUCUAUGUAUAAAUCGUAUACUAGUACAGCUAGUCGACAAUAAUUUAGAUUUGGGCUUUCUGUACAUAUACGUCAAUUUAAUGAACAUUGUUAAUUAGUUUUUACGGGUAUAUUUUAAUAGAAACCCCACCGUAAGUUUUUACGGUAUAUUUUAAUACGGCUGCUUGAAUUGCUCCAGCUUUUCUAAAUCUUGAUUAUGUACGCUAAUUGUAGUAUCUGUUAUUAUUAUUUUGCGGGUGGCUAACUGUAUCUAUGUUUCCCCUGCAGAUUCUUGCUGUUUCAUGCACUUGUAUAUCUUGGUUCUCUUGUGUGCCGGCUGACAAGAUGGUGUAAGGAUCGCGCUGCUGCCUACGCUUCGGCCGCCCGUGUCACUCCACAUGGGCAAGGGCAACAAGAACACUAGUCUGUGCCUCGCCUCCCCAGGUCGUUCCCUGGUGCUUAUUUCCGUUCGUGGUGAUAGAUUUCACGGAUGUUUUCUCCGUCUUCGGCGAAGAGAUGGUGAUACAAGUGCAAAAUAGAUAGUAGAUAAAGGUUUUUGCAAUCAGAAAUAAUAAAAACAACAAGGUAACUAAUGAUAAAAGUGAGCGUAAACGGUAUUGCAAUGAUAGGAAACAAGGCCUAGGGUUCAUACUUUCACUAGUGCAAGUUCUCUUAACAAUAAUAACAUAGAUAGAUAAUAUAACAAGCCCUCAACAUGCAACAAAGAGUCACUCCGAAGCCACUAAUAGCGGAGAACAAACGUAGAGAUUAUGGUAGGGUACGAAAACCACCUCAAAGUUAUUCUUUCAAAUCAAUCUAUAAAAGAGUUCGUACUAGAAUAACAUCUUAAGACACAAAUCAACCAAAACCCUAAUGUCACCUAGAUACUCCAUUGUCACGUCAAGUAUCCGUGGGCAUGAUUAUACGAUAUGUGUCACACAAUCUCAGAUUCAUCCAACCAACAUAAAAGUACUUCAAAGAGUGCCCCAAAGUUUCUACCGGAGAGUCAAGAACGUGUGCCAACCCCUAUGCAUAGGUUCCCAAUGUCACGAAACCCGCAAGUUGAUCACCAAAACAUACAUCAAGUGGCACAUGAUAUCCCAUUGUCACCACAGAUAAUCACGGCAAGACAUACAUCAGGUGUUCUCAUAAAAAACUCAAUCCGAUAAGAUAACUUCAAAGGGGAAACUCAAUUCAUCACAAGAGAGUAGAGGGGGGAAACAUCAUAAGAUCCAACUACAAUAGCAAAGCUCGGGAUACAUCAAGAUCGUGCCAUUGAGGGAACACGAGAGAGAACACGAGAGAGAGAGAGAGAGAGAGAGAGAGAGAGAGAGAGAGAUCAAACACAUAGCUACUGGUACAUACCCUUAGCCACGAGGGUGAACUACUCCCUCCUCGUCAUGGAUAGCGCCGGGAUGAUGAAGAUGGCCACCGGUGAUGGGAUCCCCCUCCGGCAGGGCGCUGGAACGGGCUCCCGAGAGGUUUUUGGUGGCUACAGAGGCUUGCGGCGGCGGAACUCCCGAUCUAUCUUCUGUUCUGGAAGUUUUAGGGUACAAGAGUAUAUAUGGGUGCAGGGGGUACGUCGGAGGAGCUACGGGGGCCCCACGAGNNNNNNNNNNNNNNNNNNNNNNNNNNNNNNNNNNNNNNNNNNNNNNNNNNNNNNNNNNNNNNNNNNNNNNNNNNNNNNNNNNNNNNNNNNNNNNNNNNNNNNNNNNNNNNNNNNNNNNNNNNNNNNNNNNNNNNNNNNNNNNNNNNNNNNNNNNNNNNNNNNNNNNNNNNNNNNNNNNNNNNNNNNNNNNNNNNNNNNNNNNNNNNNNNNNNNNNNNNNNNNNNNNNNNNNNNNNNNNNNNNNNNNNNNNNNNNNNNNNNNNNNNNNNNNNNNNNNNNNNNNNNNNNNNNNNNNNNNNNNNNNNNNNNNNNNNNNNNNNCCCCCACCCUCGUGAGCACCUCCCGUAUCUUUUGACGUGGGGUCCAAGUCCAUUAGGUGGGUUUCCUUCCAAAAAUAACUUCUCCAGUUGAUUUCGUUCCGUUUUGACUCCGUCUGAUAUUCCUUUUCCUCGAAACACUGAAAUAGGCAUAAAACAGCAAAUCUGGGCUGGGCCUCCGGUUAAUAGGUUAGUCCCAAAAAUAAUAUAAAAGUGGAUAAUAAAGCCCAAUAUUGCCUAAAAGAGUAGAUAAAGUAGCAUGGAGCAAUAAAAAAUUAUAGAUACGUUGGAGACGUAUCAAGCAUCCAUAAGCUUAAUUCCUGCUCGUCCUCGAGUAGGUAAAUGAUAAAAAAGAAUUUUUGAUGCGGAGUGAUACUUUGGCAUAAUUUCAAUGUAAAUAUCCUUAAUUGUGGUAUGAAUAUUCAGAUCCGAAAGAUUCAAGACAAAAGUUCAUAUUGACAUAAAAAUAAUAAUACUUCAAGCAUACUAAUAAAGCAAUCAUGUCUUCUCAAAAUAACAUGGCAAAAGAAAGUUCAUCCCUACAAAAUCAUAUAGUUAGGCUAUGCUUCAUUUUCGUCACACAAAGAUGUUCCCAACUUCUAUACCCCCGAUGACAAGCCAAGCAAUUGUUUCAUACUUAAAUAAUCUCAAACUUUUUUAACCUUCACGCAAUACAUGAGCGUGAGCCAUGGAUAUAGCACUAUGGGUGGAAUAGAAUAUGAUGAUGGGGAUUGUGUGGAGAAGACAAAAAGGAGAAAGUCUCACAUUGACGAGGAUAAUCAAUGGGCUAUGGAGAUGCCCACUAAUUUAUGUCAACAUGAGGAGUAGGGAUUGCCAUGCAACGGAUGCACUAGAGCUAUGAAUGCUCAACAAAAGAAAACUAGUGGGUGUGCAUCCAACUCGCUUGCUCAUGAAGACCUAGGGCAUUUGAGGAAGCCCAUCGUAGGAAUAUACAAGCCAAGUUCUAUAAUGAAAAAUUCCCACUAGUAUAAAAGACAACUUAUGAGACUCACUACAUGAAGAACAAGGUGCUACUUUGAAGCACAAUAUAUGAGACUCACUACAUGAGGAACAAGGUGCUACUUUGAAGAACAAGUGUGGAAAAAGAGAUAGUAGCAUUGGCCUUUUUAUUUUUUUUAUUAUUUAUUUUUUGGGGCCUUUGUUUUUCUUUUCUUUUUUUUGACCUUUCUCUUUUUUUGGGCAAUGCUCUAAUAAUGAUGAUCAUCACACUUCUAUUGAUUACAACAUAAGGAUUACAACUCGAAACUUAGAACAAGAUAUGACUCUAUAUGAAUGGCUCCGGCGGUGUACCGGGAUGGUGCAAUGAAUCAAGAGUGACAUGUAUGAAGAAUAAUGCAUGGUGGCUUUGCCACAAAUACGAUGUCAACUACAUGAUCAUGCAAUGGCAAUAUGACAAAAGUAAUGUAUGUCAUGAUGAUGAUGAUGGAAGUUGCAUGGCAAUAUAUCUCGGAAUGGCUAUGGAAAUGCCAUGAUAGGUAGGUAUGGUGGCUGUUUUGAGGAAGAUAUAAAGAGGUUUAUGUGUGAUAGAGCGUAUCGUAUCACGGGGUUUGGAUGCACCGGCGAAGUUUGCACCAACUCUCAAGGUGAGAAAGGGCAAUGCAUGGUACCGAAGAGGCUAGCAAAGGUGGAAAGGUAAAAGUGUGUAUAAUCCAUGGACUCAACAUUAGUCAAAAGAACUCAUAUACUUAUUGCAAAAAUUUAGAAGUCAUCAAAAACCAAGUACUACGCGCAUGCUCCUAGGGGGAUAGAUUGGUAGGAAAAGACCAUCGCUCGUCCCCGACCGCCACUCAUAAGGAUGCACAAGCCAGGUACACUUCAUGUUUGAAAUUUGUUACACAACUUUAACCAUACGUGCAUGCUACGGGACUUGCAAACUUCAACACAAGCAUUUCUCAAAUUCACAAUUACUCAACUAACACGACUUUGAUAUUAUUACCUCCAUAUCUCAAAACAAUUAUCAAGCAUCAAACUUAUCUUAGUAUUCAACUCACUCAAAAGAAAGUUUCACAUAUCUUGAAUACCAAGUAUAUUAAUAUUAAGCAAAUCACCAUGCUAUUAACGACUCUCAAAAUAAUAUAAGUGAAGCAAGAGAGUUAAUCUAUUUCUUAAAAAUAAAACUACCACCGUGCUCUAAAAGAUAUAAGUGAAGAACUAGAGCAAACAACAAACUACUCCAAAAGAUAUAAGUGAAGAUCAAUGAGUAGUCGAAUAAUUAUGCAACUAUGCGAAGACUCCCCCAUUUAAAAAUUUCAGAUCUUGAUACUUUAUUCAAACAGCAAGCAAAGCUAAAGAAAAUAAAAUGACGCUCCAAGCAAAACACAUAUCAUGUGGUGAAUAAAAAUAUAGCUUCAAGUAAAGUUACCGAUGAACGAAGACGAAAGAGGGGAUGCCAUCCGGGGCAUCCCCAAGCUUAGGCUCUUGGUUAUCCUUGAAUAUUACCUUGGGGUGCCUUGGGCAUCCCCAAGUUUAGGCUCUUGCCACUCCUUAUUCCAUAGUCCAUCGAAUCUUUACCCAAAACUUGAAAACUCCACAACACAAAACUCAACAGAAAACUCGUAAGCUCCGUUAGUAUAAGAAAAUAAAACCACCACUUAGGUACUGUAAUGAGCUCAUUCUAAAUUCAUAUUGGUGUAAUAUCUACUGUAUUCCAACUUUUUUAUGGUUCAUACCACUUAAUACUAGCCAUAGAUUCAUCAAAAUAAGCAAACAACACAUAGAAAAUAGAAUCUGUCAAAAAUAGAACAGUAAUGUAUACUUAUGGAGCUCCAAAAAUCCUACCAAAUUAGGAAGUCCUAAGCAAUUCAUGUACCAAUCCAUAUAAAAAAGAAUCAGAUCAGAAUCACGUUUCUGUGAAUUAACAAAACUAAUUUACUGAGUGCAAAAGUUUCUAAUUUUCAGCAGGAUCAACACAACUAUAAAACAUGAUGUGGGGUCCAAGUCCAUCAGGUGGGUUUCCUUCCAAAAAUAACUUCUCCAGUUGAUUUCUUUCCGUUUUGACUCCGUCUGAUAUUCCUUUUCCUCGAAACACUGAAAUAGGCAUAAAACAACAAAUCUGGGCUGGGCCUCCGGUUAAUAGGUUAGUCCCAAAAAUAAUAUAAAAGUGGAUAAUAAAGCCCAAUAUUUCCUAAAACAAUAGAUAAAGUAGCAUGCAACAAUCAAAAAUUAUAGAUACGUUGGAGACGUAUCAGUCCACCAUACCUACCUAUGGAUUGAGUAAGAUCCUUCAAGUAAGUUGUCAUCGGUGCAAGCAAUAAAAAUUGCUCUCUAAAUAUGCAUGACUUAUUAGUGCGGAGUAAAUAAGCUUUGUACGAUCUUGUUAUGGAAGCAAUAAAAGCGACGGACUGCAUAAUAAAGGUCCAUAUACAAGGGGCAAUAUAAAGUGACAUUCUUUCGCAUUAAGAUUUUGUGUAUCCAACCCUAAAAGCGAAUGACAACCUCUGCUUCCCUCUGCGAAGGGCCUAUCUUUUACUUUUAUGCAAGAGUCAAGGUGAUCUUCACCUUUCCCUUUUUCAUCUUAUCCUUUGGCAAGCACUUUGUGUUGGGGUGAUCCUGAUAUAUAUAUAUAUAUAUAUAUAUAUAUAUAUAUAUAUAUAUAUAUAUAUAUAUAUCCAAUUGGAUGUAAGUUAGCAUGAACUAUUAUUGUUGACAUCACCCAAAGGUGAAUACAUUGGGAGGCAACACUAUAAGCCCCUACCUUUCUCACUGUCCGACUGAAACUCCAUAACCAUUAGUAUUGCGUGAGUGUUAGCAAUUGUAAAAGACUAUACGAUAGUUGAGUAUGUGGAGUUUGCUAUUCCUGAAAAUAAGAUGAAUUGCAAUUGUUUGAUGACUAAGAAUGAAGUUUGCUAGUUUUCAAGAAAGUUUAUGGUCUAUGCUUUAACAUGUGAAUUGCUUGUUACUUGUUCAUGAGAAGUUUUAUGAGAUAAACUAUUGUUAUGACAUAUUAUCAUGCUAGAAAAGGUGAUUGAAAUUAUCAUUGAUCAAACUUGUGCACCUUCUAGCAUUCACACUUCAUAAAUUCUUUCUUUUAUCAUUUGCCUACUCGAGGAUGAGUAGGAAUUAAGCUUGGGGAUGCUGAUACGUCUCCAACGUAUCUAUAAUUUAUGAAGCAUUCAUGCUAUUUUAUUAUCUGUUUUGAAUGAUUAUGGGAUUUAUUAUACACUUUUAUAUUACUUUUGGCACUAACCUAUUAACCGGAGGCCCAUUCCAUAUUGCUGUUUUAUUGCUUGUUUCAGUAUUUCGAGGAAAAGGAAUAUCAAAUGGAGUCCAAACGGAAUGAAACCUUCGGCAGCAUGAUUUUUUGGAAGAAUAUCAUCCUGGAGACUUGGAGUUCACGUCAGAAGAUCCUCGAGGAUGCCAGGAGAUAGGGGGCAUGCCCCUCCUACUGGGCGCACCCCCCCUGUCUUGUGGGCCCCUCGAGCACCCCCCGACCGACUUCUUUCGCCUAUAUAAGCCUACGUACCCUAAAACCAUCGAAUAUCAUAGUAGAUCGGGAGUUUCGCCGCCGCAAGCCUCUGUAGCCACCAAAAACCUCUCGGGAGCCCGUUUCGGCACCCUGCCGAAAGGGGAACCCAUCACCGGUGGCCAUCUUCAUCAUCCCGGCGCUACCCAUGACGAGGAGGGAGUAGUUCACCCUCGGGGCUGAGGGUAUGUACCAGUAGCUAUGUGUUUGAUCUCUCUCUCUCUCGUGUUCUCUCUAUGGCACGAUCUUGAUGUAUCGCGAGCUUUGCUAUUAUAGUUGGAUCUUAUGAUGUUUCUCCCCCUGUAUUCUCUUGUGAUGAAUUGAGUUUCCCUCUUGAAGUUAUCUUAUUGGAUUGAGUCUUUAUGAUGAGAACACUUGAUGUAUGUCUUGCCGUGUUUAUCUGUGGUGACAAUGGCAUAUCACGUGCCACUUGAUGUAUGUUUUGGUGACCAACUUGCGGGUUCCGCCCAUGAACCUAUGCAUAGGGGUUGGCACACAUUUUCUUGACUCUCCGGUAGAAACUUUGGGGCACUCUUUGAAGUACUUUGUGUUGGUUGGAUGAAUUUGAGAUUGUGUGACGCAUAUCGUAUAAUCAUGCCCACGGAUACUUGAGGUGACAAUGGAGUAUCUAGGUGACAUUAGGGUUUUGGUUGAAUUGUGUCUUAAGGUGUUAUUCUAGUAUGAACUCUAUGAUGGAUUGAGCGGAAAGAAUAGCUUUAUGUUAUUUUACUACGAACUCUUGAAUAGAUAGAACAGAAAGGAUAACUUUGAGGUGGUUUCGUACCCUACCAUAAUCUCUAUGUUUGUUCUCUGCUAUUAGUGGCUUUGGAGUGACUCUUUGUUGCAUGUUGAGGGCUUGUUAUAUGAUCUAUCUAUGUUAUUAUUGUUGAGAGAACUUGCACUAGUGAAAGUAUGAACCUUAGGCCUUGUUUCCUACCAUUGCAAUACCAUUUACACUCACUUUUAUCAUUAGUACCUUGCUGUUUUUAUUAGUUCAGAUUACAAAAACCUUUAUCUUCCAUCCAUAUUGCACUUGUAUCACCAUCUCUUCGCCGAACUAGUGCACCUAUACAAUUUACCAUUGUAUUGGGUGUGUUGGGGACACAAGAGACUCUUUGUUAUUUGGUUGCAGGGUUGCUUGAGAGAGACCAUCUUCAUCCUACGCCUCCCACGGAUUGAUAAACCUUAGGUCAUCCACUUGAGGGAAAUUUGCUACUGUCCUACAAACCUGUGCACUUGUAGGCCAAACAACGUCUACAAGAAGAAGGUUUUGUAGUAGACAUUAGUGCCCGGUCCUAAGAUGACCUUUGUGCUCGGUGCUGAGGACAUGGACUUUGGUGCGACACAGACCAAUCCGAAGGUGGUAGCCGUGGGAACAAACAACUUGUCGGUGGUGCCCGACCCCGUUCCGCCCUCCCAGUGGACGUGCAUCCUAGAUUUGAGAUUUUCGCAAGCCGCCCCCGAUGCGUCCAUGAUGGCCGACUCACCACAGCUCCAAAGGCAUCGGGUGACAUCAGGCUAUGUAGGCUCCGGGCGUGCCCACACAUUGUUCAAUGGAAUGCCUGACCAAGAGCAAGUGCAAUCUUUGCCUCAUUCACGCUUGCAUUCGUAAAUUGUUUUUUUGCACAUACCAUCACAUCAAUGUUGUAGGAUGAUAGUUAAAUUGCGAUGCAUAUUGUAGGAACAAAUAUUGCAUAACAUGAUAAAUGAUGGUCAAGAGUCUUUGCAAUUUACCAUGGAAGAUACCAAUUCCUUGGUGUUUGAAGUGGAAAACGUCACAUACUAAAAGAAGAAGAUAGUGAAGCCAAGAGGUCUAGCAUUCACAUAAUUUAAAGAUGUUUUGUUGUGUGAAAGUUGAUGUAACACUAGCAUGGAUCUGAUAUGUGGAACUAAGCAAAAAAUGCAAGAAGUAUUGGAAACAUUCUCAAACUAUAGCAUGAGAAAAAACAUUACGUGAAGCCACACCCAAUUGCUAGCAACCAUGUCUCGUGCUCUGUCCAACAUAGAUGGUCACUCAUCCAAGAUUCCAUGAGCAAAUUUGUCCAUUAACUCAAACAAGUUGUUGGCCGGGACCAAAGCGGCAUCGGAGUUCAAACCCAUGCAGCUUUUACUACGGCUUUGUACCAUCAAGUAGAGAAGAAGACAUUCACUUUUUCAUAUUGUUGCAUGAAAUUGACUGGGAAACCCAAGUGGAAAAGCUUCCUCGAGGAGAUUAAAAUCGGCACGGUAAGCUUGUCAGGAAGAUUGUGUUUUGAGUCAAGACGCUGGGCACGGUAACCCGACAGUGGAUUCUCGUUAGCCGGAGAAGUGUCUUGGCAAUAAAACCAUGUCUGGUUCCAAUCUUUAGGGUGACUCGGCAAGAAAGCAUAAGGAAAGAUGGCAUCUCUUCUCCGUUGAAUUGAGAUUCCGCCAAGUUCCAAGCUGGGUCCGUUCGUAAACUCAUUUUGGUGGUUCAAAUAAAAAUAUUCCCUAAACAAUUCAACACUGGGCUCUUCUUGAAGGUAUACUUUGCAGAAGACUUGAAAAUUGCGGAUAUUUGACACGGAAUUGGGUCCGAUGUCUUGAGGAUGAAGUUCAAAGAAGUGCAGAACAUCUCGGAAAAAUUUAGAACCGGGCGGUGAGAAGCCCCGGUUCAUGUGAUCAGUAAAAACAAUGACUUCACCAUCCUUUGGCUGAGGUUUUCCUUCUUCUGGAUCAGUGGCACGAUAAUGCACGACAGUCUUUUCUGGUAAAUAGCCAGUUUUCACAAAGUCCUUAAGUGUGUCCUCAGUGACAAUGGAGGGAACCCAGUUACAUGAAGUGGAUGUCUUCGGCGCCAUUGUGAAGAAAGAAGCCUAAAACAAAGAAUAAUUUUGCCAGUUUAAGUUGAUUCAUUAAGCCGGAGGUAAAACACUACAGUACAUAUUCAGCAUGGCGGCUUAAAAGGGGCCUAAUGACAUAUGACUAGUUAUAACUGGUGAGGUAAGCUGCCAUGACAAUAUUGACAAUUAAGAUCUCUCAAGAAGGAAAAUUUUUGCUAAGUGAGGGACAAACCGAUUUCACAGACUAAAGCUAUAAUUUCGGAUCUAUGGCAGUUUAGAAAAUGCAAUAAAUUCUAAACCUAAAUAUCGCAGCAGCAGGAGAACUAGCACAAGGGCGAGAUGUUUUGCAUCUGUAAAGCAAGUUUUGAGAUAAACAGAAGGAGUGGAAACAGGUUCCGCGCGUCCUAAGGGAUAUAUUUGGAUCUAAAAUAAGACCUAACUAGAAGUACAGUGAAGAACGACGAAGAACUCGAAGAACUACAAAAACCCUAAUGGAGAUCUAUGGUGGAGAGGAUAAGGGGCUUACUGGAUCCGAGGAGCAAUGAGGAGGCACUACAGUUUCUCUGGCCCCGUUCAGGUCGAUGCAGCGGCCAAGGACGAGGAAGACGGUGAGCUUGUGGUGGCAACGGAGCUCGAAGCGGCAUAUGAGUCGUGAGAGGAGGAGGAAGACGAGAAGGAAAGCGGGGAGAGAAUGAAAGGAGGUUGUUUGACCCUAUUUAUAAGGAGAAGGGUGAACAGGUAGGCGCGAAAAAUGAGGAGGCCAAAACAUGAUUAUCCAGCGGUUCGGACACCUUGAUUUUCGGAAAGGUCAUUAAAGACAAAGAUCCGUUAAGAUAUGUUGGAUAUUGUGUAGAAUUAAACGGCAGAUGACGUCAUGGUGGGUUACCGCAAUCGGAGGAGAUGAUGUCAUGGCGGGUUAUGAGUUCUCACGCAAAUGAAGAAGGGAAGAUUCUUUCUAAGUGUUGAAGAUUGACAUGAACAAGUUCAAAUCAACCUGGGGCCUAAAUGUUGGGGAUAUGACUAUUAGGUAUGACCCGCCCAGGAGGGGCCGGGUUAUACCUAUGGCGAUUCAACCAUACGAAGCCCAUGAGGAUACUAAGAUGGCGGUUCACAGGCAAGGGCCCAAGGCGCAAGGGCGACUUAAGGCCCGUAGGAGUAAACCGCUAUAUGUAUAUGACUUGUAUUGUAAGGCAGGUAUAGUUAGUCACCGAGCCGGACACGUUGUCUAUGAGCCGGCCGGGACUCCAUGAGCCACUGGGCGUCAACCUGUAUAUAUAAAGGGACGACCCGGCAGUGGUUCAGGGCAAGAAAACAAGAGAUCGAAAGCUAGGUCAAGUGGAUUCGCUCCCUGGUAAUUGAGACAUAAGCAAUACCACCUUAAACUGGAUUAGGCCUUUACCUUCACCGCAAGGGGCCGAACCAGUAUAAACUCAUGUGUCCUUUGUCCCAUUUAACCCAUUUAAGCUAACCUAGUCGCGGUGGCUCCACGACUAAGUCCUCACACUAGGACAUCUGUCGUGACUAUUCCACGACAAUCAUCGUUUGGUUACAAGGUAACCCAUCGGGCAAGAGAGUCCGAGGGACUCGGUGCACCAGUUGAUUUCACUGCAUCAGUAGCAUGAAUUGCAUUGCAUUAAUCUAAAUAAUUGUCAUGAUAUUGUUUGCCAUUAUGCUUAUGUUUGUUGUGAUCUUGCAAGUACAUUCAAUGUACUGACCAGGCGUGUCAUGCCAGAUUUCAGGCAAGUCGUAUCGGAUCGGAGAGCUUCCCGCGUCUAGAUCGUGUCCACAUCGGUGUCCCUGUGCCAUGGAGUUCCACUUCAUCGUCAUUCCGCUGCCGUGUAGUUUAUGUGACCGAGGCCCCUUCAUGUUCAUUAAAUAAUGUACAUAUUGUUCAGCCGCACCGUGUGUGCUGCUUGGCCUCGCAACUGGAUGUAAUAUCAGACCUAUGUUCCCGCUAGCAUCAAUAAAAGCGGUUGUUUUCUGUACCAUGUUGUUGUGUGUUGCCAGAAGACUUGUUCUCUGGGCUGGAAAUGCAAGGUAAACCGGUUGCUCUGAGCCGGGGUGCUACAACCACCACAUUCCCAUUUUAAUGCAAGGAGCAGACUCCAAAGAUUUGGGAUCGAUGGUGUUGCGAUGGGUUGGUAACAAACCUGGCCAUCCACGCCGAAUCAUGGGUCGGACCGAUAGCACGCAUGCUAGCAUGUAACAUGACUAAAUAGGUGGUUUCUAUCGGUGUUCUGGGAACGGGGUCCCCAGACUUGCCUGCAUGCGGCCUGCAGCGUGGCUCACCAGCGGCCCAGUACGGCCCGUCUUCUUCAACCCAAGUUCAAGACCCUCGCGAGGGGCCAAGACUCACGAGGCGGAUGACACAAGGCCACAUCAGGGGCGGCCUCACCAGGCAGGCUCGCGAGGAGGCGGAGAGAUCAAGGCGAGGGUUACCUCGCGAGGUGCUCAUGACGCAAGCCAUGACGAUCAAGACCAGGCGGGCGCCAGCCUGUGCAGUGUCCUUGUUUCCUCUUUGGUGCAAAGGGGGCAAGUGAUAACCCACUCGUAUAGGGGAUCACAACAGUUUUCGAGGGUAGAGUAUUCAACCCAAAUUUAUUGAUUCGACACAAGGGGAGCCAAAGAAUAUUCUCAAGUAUUAGCAGUUGAGUUGUCAAUUCAACUAUACCUGGAUAACUUAGUAUCUGCAGCAAAGUAUUUAGUAGCAAAGUAGUAUGAUAAUAAUGGUAACAGUGGCAAAAGUAACAAUAGCAGUUUUGUAGUAGUUGUAACAGUAGCAACGGUAAAGUAAAUAAGGAAAGCACAAUAUGUGAAAAGCUCGUAGGCAUUGGAUCAGUGAUGGAUAAUUAUGUCGGAUGCGAUUCCUCAUGUAAUAGUUAUAACAUAGGGUGACAUAGAACUAGCUCCAGUUCAUCAAUGUAAUGUAGGCAUGUAUCCGAAUAUAGUCAUACGUGCUUAUGGAAAAGAACUUGCAUGCCAUCUUUUGUCCUACCCUCCCGUGGCAGCGGGGUCCUAGUGGAAACUAAGGGAUAUUAAGGCCUCCUUUUAAUAAAGUACCAGACCAAAGCAUUAGCACUUAGUGAAUACAUGAACUCCUCAAACUACGGUCAUCACCGAGAAGUAUCCCGAUUAUUGUCACUUCGAGGUUGUUGGAUCAUAACACAUAAUAGGUGACUAUAGACUUGCAAGAUAGGAUCAAGCACUCACAUAUAUUCAUGAAAACAUAAUAGGUUCAGAUCUGAAAUUAUGGCACUCGGGCCCUAGUGACAAGCAUUAAGCAUAGCAAAGUCAUAGCAACAUCAAUCUCAUAACAUAGUGGAUACUAGGGAUCAAACCCUAACAAAACUAACUUGAUUACAUGGUAAAUCUCAUCCAACACAUCACCGUCCAGCAAGCCUUCGAUGGAAUUACUCACGCACGGCGGUGAGCAUCAUGAAAUUGGUGAUGGAGGAUGGUUGAUGAUGACGACGACGACGAAUCCCCCUCUCCGGAUCCCCGAACGGACUCCAGAUCAGCCCUCCCGAAAGAGAUUGGGGCUUGGCGGCAGCUCCGUAUCGUAAAACGCGAUGAAACUUUCUCUCUGAUUUUUUUCUCCACGAAAGCAAAUAUAUAGAGUUGGAAUUGAGGUCGGUGGAGCACCAGGGGGCCCACGAGGCAGGGGGAGCACCCAGGGGGAGGGGGUGCGCCCCCACCCUCGUGGACAGGGUGUGGGCCCCCUGGCCUUGAUUCUUUCGCCAGUAUUUUUUAUAUUUUCCAAAAGUAAUCUCCGUGGAUUUUCAGGUCAUUCCGAGAACUUUUGUUUUCUGCACAAAAUAACACCAUGGCAGUUCUUCUGAAAACAACGUCAGUCCGGGUUAGUUUCAUUCAAAUCAUGCAAGUUAGAGUCCAAAACAAGGGCAAAAGUGUUUGGAAAAGUAGAUACGUUGGAGACGUAUGAACUCCCCCAAGCUUAAACCUUUGCUUGUCCUCAAGCAAUUCAGUUGAUAAACUGAAAGUGAUAAAGAAAAACUUUUACAAACUUUGUUUGCUCUUGUUGUUGUAAAUAUGUAAAGCCAGCAUUCAAGUUUUCAGCAAAGAUUAUGAACUAACCAUAUUCACAAUAACACUUAGGUCUCAUGUUUACUCAUAUCAAUGGCGUAAUCAACUAGCGAGCAAUAAAAAUAAAUCUCGGAUGACAACACUUUCUCAAAACAAUCAUAAUAUGAUAUAACAAGAUGGUAUCUCGCUAGCCCUUUCUAAGACCGCAAAACAUAAAUGCAGAGCACCUUUAAAGAUCAAGGACUGACUAAACAUGGUAAUUCAUGGUAAACGAGAUCCAGUCAAGUCAUACCCAACAUAAACUAGUAGUAAUGCAUGCAAAUGACAGAGGUGCUCUCCAGCGGGUGCUUUUUAAUAAGAAGGUGAUGACUCAACAUAGAAGUAAAUAGAUAGGCCCUUCGCAGAGGGAAGCAGGGAUUUGUAGAGGUGCCAGAGCUCGAUUUUAAAAUUGAGAUGAAUAACAUUUUGAGCAGUAUACUUUCACUGUCAAUGCAACAACUAUGAGAUCUCGAUAUCUUCCAUGCUACAUACAUUAUAGGCGGUUCCCAAACAGAAUGGUAAAGUUUAUACUCCCCCACCACCAACAAGCAUCAAUCCAUGGCUUGCUCGAAACAACGAGUGCCUCCAACUAGCAACAGCCCUGGGAGAGUUUUGUUUAAUUAUUUCGAAUUGCAUUGAUCUUUUUGAUCAUGGGACUGGGCAUCCCGAUUACCAGCCAUUUUCUCGUGAAUGAGGAGCAGCGUCCACUCCCCUUGAGAAUAACCCACCUAGCAUGGAAGAUACAGACAACUCUAGUUGAAACAUGAGCUGCUCGAGCAUACAAAACAGAAUUUCAUUUGAAGGUUUGGAGAUUGGCACAUACAAAUUUACUUGGAACCGCAGGUAAAUACCGCAUAUAGGAAGGUAUGGUGGACUCAUAUGGAAUAACUUUGGGGUUUAUGGAGUUUGGAUGCACAAGCAGUAUUCCCGCUUAGUACAGGUGAAGGCUAGCAGAAGACUGGGAAGCGAUCAACUGAGAGAGCGACAACAGUCAUGAACAUGCAUUAAAAUCAAUCAACACUGAGUGCAAGCAUGAGUAGGAUAUAAUCCACCAUGAACAUAAAUAUCGUGAAGGCUAUGUUGAUUUGUUUUCAACUACAUGUGUGAACAUGUGCCAAGUCAAGUCACUCGAAUCAUUCAAAGGAGGAUAACACCCUAUCAUACCACACCACAACCAUUUUAAUAGCAUGUUGGCACACAAGGUAAACCAUUAUAAGCUCCUAGCUAAUUAAGCAUGGCAUAAGCAACUAUAAUCUCUAAUUGUCAUUGCAAACAUGUUUAUUCAUAAUAAGCUGAAUCAGGAACGAUGAACUCAUCAUAUUUACAAAAACAAGAAAGGUCGAGUUCAUACCAGCUUCUCUCAUCUCAAUCAGUCCAUCAUAUAUCGUCAUUAUUGCCUUUCACUUGCACGACCGAACAAUGUGUAUAAUAAUAAUAUUGCACGUGCAUUGGACUAAGCUGGAAUCUGCAAGCAUUCAAUUCAAGGGAGAAGACAAAGUAAUAUGGGCUCUAGGUUAAAUCAACAAUCAUGCAUAUGAGAACCACUAAACAUUUUCAUUAUGGUCUUCUGCUCUCGACCCCCAAAGGAAAGAAAAGAAAUAAAACUAUUUACACGAGAAAGCUCCCAACAAGCAAAAGAAGAACGAGAAAUGUUUUUGGGUUUUAUUUUUAAUUAUUACUACAAGCAUGGAAAUUAAACUAACUAUUUUUUUGUUUUUCUUAAGGUUUAUCAAACACACAAGUAGAAAGCAAGAAAAAUAAAUUAAACUAGCAUGGAUAAUACAAUGAAAAAGUAUGAGCACCGACAACUAGAAUAAGUGUGUGAACAUGAAUGUAAUGUCGGUGAGAGAUACGUACUCCCCCAAGCUUAGGCUUUUGGCCUAAGUUGGUCUAUGGCCAUGGACCGCGGCUACUCUCCCCGGUGUACUGAGGAGUGUCAUCUGGAUACCACUGGCUGGCGAUCUCCUCCGGAUCCCACUGAUAACAUGAUGGUCGAUAAGGGUCAAGUGGUGGUUCCGGCUCAGGCUCUGGAGCUGAUGUCUAGCCUUGGUGGGCGUACACUGCCGUCGGCAGGACAAGGUAAUGGCCUACAAUUAAAUCAAAUAAAGAAGGUGCGAGUAGGGUAAUAAUCUCAUUGUGUUUCUUAUUAAAUCUCAGGUUAUACAGAAGCAUCUUAUCAUCAUUGUCAACGAUAAACUCAUGCGCUACCAUGCUCCUGUAAUCUAAAAAGGUAAGAGGCAGUGGUGUCCCCUCUUUCUCAUAAUGCCUAAUAGGUAUCUUGAAAUGUUUAGCAAGGCGUGCAACAUCGAUACCUCCAAAGAUGGGGACCUUUGUACUGUUCAGGCUUAAUAGUUUAGCAAUAACGGCACCCAUACUAAAAGUGUUAUCACAAAAUAAUGCAUGGAACAGAAAUAUCAGGAACACUGAGGUUUCCACAGUUUCCACGACCAAUUAUGCAUCGACUAGCAAAUAUGGCAAAGUAGUGUAAAACAGGAAAAUGUAUGCUAGUUAUUCUUGCAUCGAAAACCUUCCUCGAUUCCCCUACAUUGAUAGUGUCAAUAAAACCACCCACAUCUUUAUGAUGUGGUUCAUCUAAGCUACCCUUGAAGGGUAUUCUACAAACCGCGCAAAAGUUGCGUAAUGACAUUUCCUUAGCCUCAUCAUAUAAAUGAAAAGAUACUGAAGGAGGUGAAUUCAUAGGAUAAUAGUAAAAGUUUUGCACGAAAGUAUUGGUAAGUAAGAGAUAUUGUUCGAUCCGGUCGUGGAGGAAGUUGGUGAGGCCCGCAUUAUCAGCCAAAGAAUAAAAGUCUUCAUAAAUCCCGGCUGCUCUCAAGAAAUUAUCAGAAGGCCACUCACACGGCCUUACUUCCGCUACGCGAGGAAGAUUAUACUUGGCAUUUUCUUUCUCCUUAGCUUGUUUAUCCUUAGAGCCUUGGCUAGAAGAGCCCCUCAAUAAUCUCCUCAUCAUUUUCUGAAAUUUUUAGUAAUUCAAAAUAAAAGUGAAUCAAACUAAACAAGAUUGAUAGCAACUACUACCACAAGUGCCUAGAGCCUAUAUCAUGCAUUAGAAUUGCUUGGGACCUCAUAAAUUUGACAUGCAAGCUCAAGAACAGGGUCACCUAGGCAGCAAAAAUUUGCGAUGAAUAAAGCACUAGAACAAAAACUAAUUGGACCAUUGGAGGAGUCACAUACCAAAGAACAAUCUCCCAAAGCAGUUUUGUGAAAGGAGCUUUGAAAAAUGAGAUCGAAAAUCGCAGCAAAAUGCGCUAGAACUCGUGCUUGAGCUGGAUGGGGAUUUUUUUGGGAGGAAGAUGGAGUGUGUGGGUGCAGGAAUAAGUGGAGGGGGGCCACCGUGGGCCCACGAGGUAGAGGGCGCUCCCAGUCAGAGUGGGCGCGCCCUGGACCCUCGUGGCCAGGUGCUUGCCCCCCCUGCUGUGUUCUUAGUGCCUAAAAUCCUCAAAUAUUCCCUAAAAAACCAUACUAAAUUUGCAGGGCAUUUGGAGAACUUUUAUUUUCAGGAUAUUUUUUAUUGCAUGGAUAAUUCAGAAAACAGACAGAUAAUACUAUUUUUGCUUUAUUUAUUCUAAAUAACAGAAAGUAAAAAAAGAGGGUACAGAAGGUUGUGCAUUCUAGUUUCAUCCAUCUCAUGAUCAUCAAAAGGAAUCCACUAACAAGGUUGAUCAAGUCUUGUUAACAAACUCAUUCCGAAUAACAUGGAACCGGAGAAAUUUCGAAUAACACUAGGUUACCUCAACGGGGAUAUGAACAUCCCCAGUAAUAAGAAUAUCAUAUCUUUUCUUGACAGUAGGAAGAGGAAAUUCAAAACCUCCAAUAAUGAUAGUUGGAACUUUUCCAACAGAAUUGAUGCUAUGAACUUGAGGUUGUUUCCUCGGAAAGUGUACCGUAUGCUCAUUACCAUUAACAUGAAAAGUGACAUUGCCUUUGUUGUAAUCAAUAACAGCCCCUGCAGUAUUCAAAAAGAGUCUACCAAGGAUAAUCGACAUACCAUCAUCCUCGGGAAUAUCAAGAAUAACAAAGUCCGUUAAGAUAGUGACAUUUGCAACCACAACAGGCACGUCCUCACAAAUACCGACAAGUAUAGCAGUUGAUUUGUCAGCCAUUUGCAAAGAUAUUUCAGUGGGUGUCAACUUAUUCAAUUCAAGUCUACGAUAUAAAGAGAGAGGCAUAACACUAACACUGGCUCCAAGAUCACAUAAAGCAGUUUUAACAUAGUUUCUUUUAAUGGAGCAUGGUAUAGUUGGUACUCCUGGAUCUCCAAGUUUCUUUGGUACUCCACCCUUAAAAGUAUAAUUAGCAAGCAUGGUGGAAAUUUCAGCUUCCGGUAUCUUUAUUUUAUUUGUAAUGAUAUCCUUCAUAUAUUUAGCAUAAGGGUUUACUUUAAGCAUAUCAUUUAAGCGCAUACGUAAGAAGAUAGGUCUAAUCAUUUCAGCAAAGCGCUCGAAAUACUCAUCAUCCUUUUUCUUGGAUGGUUUAGGAGGAAAAGGCAUGGGUUUCUGAACCCAUGGUUCUCUUUCUUUACCGUGCUUCCUAGCAACAAAGUCUCUUUUAUCAUAAUGUUGAUUCUUUGAUUGUGGGUUAUGAAGAUCAACAACAGGUUCAAUCUCUACAUCAUUCUUAUUGCUAGGUUGAGCAUCAACAUGAACUUUAUUGCUAGGUUGAGCCUCAACAUGAACAUUAUCAUUAACAUUAUCACUAGGUUCAUGUUCAUCACCAGAUUGUGUUUCAGCAUCAAAAAUAGAAAUAUCGUUGGGAUUCUCAGGUGUGUCUACAACAGGUUCACUAGAAGCAUGCAAAGUCCUAUCAUUUUUCUUUUUCUUCUUUCUAGAAGGAAUGGGUGCAUCUACAUUAUUUCUCUGAGAAUCCUGCUCAAUUCUCUUAGGGUGGCCUUCAGGAUACAAAAGUUCCUGAGUCAUUGUACCAGUUCUAGUAGCCACUCUAACAGCAAAGUCAUGUUUAUUAUUUAAUUCAUCGAGCAAAUCACUUUGAGCUUUAAGUACUUGCUCCGCUUGAGUGGUAACCAUAGAAGCAUAUUUGCUAAUCAGUUUAAGUUCACCUUUAACUCUAGCCAUAUAAUCACUCAAGCGUCCAAUCAUGUAAGCAUUACUCUUUAAUUCUCUACCAACAUAAGCAUUAAAACUUUCUUGCCUAGCCAUAAAAUCAUCAAAUUCAUCUAAACAUUGGCUAGGAAAUUUAGUAGGCAGGAUUUCAACUUUAUCGUAUCUAUAGAGAGAAUUUACCUUUACUACCUGUGUCGGGUUAUCAAGACUAUGUGUUUCUUGAAUAGGCGGUAUAUUAAGACCAUGUAUUUCUUCAGUAGGAGGUAGAUCCUUAAAGUCUUCAGCUUUAAUACCUUUUGCUUUCAUAGAUUUCUUUGCCUCUUGCAUAUCGUCAGGACUCAGAAGUAGAACACCCCUCUUCUUCGGAGUUGGUUUAGGAUAGGCUCAGGAGUUGGCUCAAUUGGCUAAGGAAUUGGCUCAGGAAGAGUCCAAUUAUUUUCAUUAGUCAACAUAUUAUUCAAUAACACUUCAGCAUGGUCGACUGUUCUUUCCUUGAAAACACAACCAGCACAACUAUCCAAGUGGUCCUUGAAAGCAUCAGUUAGUCCAUUAUAAAAGAUAUCAAGUAUUUCAUUUUUCUUAAGAGGAUGAUAAGGGAAAGCAUUGAGUAAUCGGAGAAGCCUCCCCCAAGCUUGUGGGAGACUCCCUUCUUCGAUUUGCACAAAAUUAUAUAUUUCCCGCAAGGCAGCUUGUUUCUUAUGAGCAGGGAAAUAUUUAGCAGAGAAGUAAUAAAUCAUAUCCUGGGGACUACACACACAACCAGGAUCAAGAGAAUUAAACCAAGUUUUAGCAUCACCCUUUAAUGAGAACGGAAAUAUCUUAAGGAUAUAAUAGUAGCAAGAUUUCUCAUUGUUAGUGAACAGGGUGGCUAUAUCGUUUAACUUAGUAAGAUGUGCCACAACAGUUUCAGAUUCAUAGCCAUAAAAAGGAUCAGAUUCAACCAAAGUAAUUAUCUCAGGAUCAACAGAGAAUUCAUAGUCCUUAUCAGUAACAAAGAUAGGUGAAGUAGCAAAAGCAGGGUCAUAUUUCAUUCUAGCAUUCAGAGAUUGCUGCUUCCAUUUAGCUAAUAACUUCUUAAGAUCAUAUCUACAAUUGCAAGCAAGAAUAGCUCGAGCAGCUUCUUCAUCCAUAACAUAACCCUCAGGAACAACAGGAAAUUGAUACUUAGGGGGAGAACCUUCAUCAUCACUAUCUUCAAUAAUAUCAUCUUCAAUAAUUUCAUUCUCUCUAACCCUAGCAAGUUGUUCAUCUAGAAAUUCACUUAAUGGCAAAGUAGUAUCAAGCAUAGAAGUAGUUUCAUCAUAAGUAUCAUGCAUAGCAGAAGUGGCAUCAUCAAUAACAUGCAACAUAUAUAAAUUCAUAGCAGUAGCAGGUUUAGGUGUCGCAAGCUUACUCAAAACGGAAGGAGAAUCUAGUGCAGAGCUAGAUGGCAGUUCCUUACCUCCCCUCGUAGUUGAGGGAAAAAUCUUAGUUCUUUCGUCUUUCAAGUUCUUCAUAGUGAUCAUCAGAUAUAAAUCCCAAGUGACUCAAAGAACAAAGCUAUGCUCCCCUGCAACGCGCCAGAAAAUAGUCUUGAUAACCCACAAGUAUAGGGGAUCACAACAGUUUUCCAGGGUAGAGUAUUCAACCCAAAUUUAUUGAUUCGACACAAGGGGAGCCAAAGAAUAUUCUCAAGUAUUAGCAGUUGAGUUGUCAAUUCAACCACACCUGAAUAACUUAGUAUCUGCAGCAAAGUAUUUAGUAGCAAAGUAGUAUGAUAAUAAUGGUAACAGUGGCAAAAGUAACAAUAGCAGUUUUGUAGUAGUUGUAAUAGUAGCAACGGUAAAGUAGAUAAGCAAAGCACAAUAUGUGAAAAGCUCAUAGGCAUUGGAUCAGUGAUGGAUAAUUAUGUCGGAUGCGAUUCCUCAUGUAAUAGUUUUAACAUAGGGUGACACAGAACUAGCUCCAGUUCAUCAAUGUAAUGUAGGCAUGUAUUCCGAAUAUAGUCAUACGUGCUUAUGGAAAAGAACUUGCAUGACAUCUUUUGUCCUACCCUCCCGUGGCAGCGGGGUCCUAGUGGAAACUAAGGGAUAUUAAGGCCCCCUUUUAAUAGAGUACCGGACCAAAGCAUUAGCACUUAGUGAAUAUAUGAACUCCUCAAACUACGGUCAUCACCGAGAAGUAUCCCGAUUAUUGUCACUUCGAGGUUGUCGGAUCAUAACACAUAAUAGGUGACUAUAGACUUGCAAGAUCAGAUCAAGAACUCACAUAUAUUCAUGAAAACAUAAUAGGUUCAGAUCUAAAAUCAUGGCACUCGGGCCCUAGUGACAAGCAUUAAGCAUAGCAAAGUCAUAGCAACAUCAAUCUCAGAACAUAGUGGAUACUAGGGAUCAAACCCUAACAAAACUAACUUGAUUACAUGGUAAAUCUCAUCCAACCAUCACCGUCCAUCAAGCCUACGAUGGAAUUACUCACGCACGGCAGUGAGCAUCAUGAAAUUGGUGAUGGAGGAUGGUUGAUGAUGACGACAGUGAUGAAUCCCCCUCUCUGGAGCCCGAACGGACUCCAGAUCAGCCCUCCCGAGACAGAUUAGGGCUUGGCGGCGGCUCCAUAUCGUAAAACACGAUGAAAAUUUCUCUCUGAUUUUUUUCUCCACGAAAGCAAAUAUAUAGAGUUGGAGUUGAGGUUGGUGGAGCACCAGGGGGCCCACGAGGCAAGGGGCACGCCCAGGGGGAGGGGGCGCGCCGCCCACCCUCGUGGACAAGGUGUGGGCCCUUUGGCCUUUAUUCUUUCACCAGUAUUUUUUAUAUUUUCCAAAAGUAAUCUCCGUGGAUUUUCAGGUCAUUCCGAGAACUUUUGUUUUCUGCACACAAAUAACACCAUGGCAGUUCUGCUGAAAACAACAUCAGUCUGGGUUAGUUUCAUUCAAAUCAUGCAAGUUAGAGUCCAAAACAAGGGAAAACGUGUUUGGAAAAGUAGAUAUAUUGGAGACGUAUCAGCAAGCGCAGGCGCGGAGUACCGAGGCAUCAAGCAAAUGUUUCCAUAUCAGUGCAACGAGACCAAGACUAGCAGGACGGCAGGACGGAGGUUACCAUGGAGCCCAAGACGGCGUCAUCACCAGUGCCUUUGGCAGUCGAAGACCACCUUUAGUCAGGAUAGCUUGUACUGGUUGUCCCCUUACAAAAUGGCCAUUGUUGGCUCCCUUCCCGCUCAAUAUUUGGGAAGCGGACCAGGGCCUCUAUAAAUAGGGCUAGCCACCACAGUAGAAGGCAUCUCAUCUAGAGCCAACAGAGACGGAUCGACUCCUCUCCAAGCACACCACCACAAGAACACCUCUCCUCGCAAGGCUGUUCUUCCUCUGUACUGUUCAUCAUCAGCCCAAGAGGCAAUCCACCACACCACACACUGGAUUAGGGUAUUACACCACAACGCUGGACCCAACCAGUAUAAACCUUAUGUCUCUUGUGUUGUUCAUCGUGAUAGCUUAGAAUCGCGACGAGGUUCUGGGUGUGUUUCUGUAGGGAGAAGAUCUUCGUGCGCACCCCAGAGUUUGAACCUUAAGGUAUUCGCCGGAACCCGAUAUACGACAUUUGGCGCGCCAGGUAGGGGUGCGCCGAAGCUCUCCCUUCCGUCGGCGCUCUCCACCAACACUGCACUUCGCCCUUAUGGCGGACAAUGCGCCUCCGACUUCGGCGGCCGAUGCCAGCGCUGGGGCCAGGGGGCUCCGAGCCUUGGCCCCCGCCUUGUGUCAGGUGCAGUGGCCCCACAAGUUCAAGCCAGAGAUGCCGCCGCGCUACAACGGCGUGGCGGAUCCACUGGCUUUCCUGAUGGCGUACGAGGAGGCCGUGCUCAAGGCCGGAGGCGACGACAAGGUCAUGGCCAACUGGUUUCCCAUGGCCCUCACCGGCGUCCCACGCGUUUGGCUGCUCAACCUGCCCACAUCUUCUGUGGCCUCCUGGGAGGAGCUGCGCAACCUCUUUCUCACCCACUACACUGCACCGGCGCCCCCGGUUGUCACAACUCUCCUGGGCGGCUCACAGGCGCCACCCUCAGAUUGCCACGCCAAGCCGUUCUUCCGCCAGAUCGGCACCGCCCUCGCGCGACAAGGAGCUCCUCCGGGUUGGGCGGCACCCAAAGCCGACCUGACCUUCAACUCGGACGAUCACCCCGUCAACACCACCUGCUCGGGUGCGCUCCCAAUGCUUUGCACGCCCAUCAUCUGCCAGGUGGCCGUCACCAAGACCCUCAUCAACGGCGGCGCCGACCUCAACGUGCUCUCGGUGGAGGCCUUCAGCCUCCUUCAUGUACCGCUAGAGCGGCUCCGACCCAGCAAGCCCUUCUCAGGCGUCGGAGGCGGUUCCUCCAGCUCCCUUGGGCAGAUCCGCCUUCCUGUGACCUUCGGCACCCACGACAACUUCCGCACGGAGCUGGUCAACUUCGACAUCUCCCACAUCGGCCACCCGUACAACGCCAUCCUCGGAUACCCUGCCUUGGCUCAGUUCAUGGCAGCGACCCAUCCGGCCUACAACCUCAUGAAGAUGCCCCAGAGCAGCGGCAUCCUCACCGUAGCUAGAGAUACCAAGGAUGCUCUGCUGGUGCUCAAGCUCGCCCUCAAGACAGCCGCGGCAGCGCAGCCUGCCGGCACGGACACCUCCAAGGCCAAGGGGGCUGCGCUGACCAAGAAGAAGCAGCUGUUCACCCAGUACAAGGCGGAGACCAAGCAUGUACCAGUUGAGGAGGACGGGUCCUCCGGCGCCACCUUCACCAUAGGUGCCAAUCUCGACCCCGACCAAGAGGAGGCGCUGGUGAAGUUCCUGCGUGCGAACAAGGAUGUGUUCGCAUGGGAACCCAAGCAGCUAGCGGGGGUCCCAAGGUAGGUGAUUGAGCAUUACCUGAAUGUGUGCCCCAAUGUACGCCCCGUGAAGCAGAAAGCAAGGCGGCAGUCCACCGAGAAGCAGACCUUCAUCGUCCAAGAAACCCGCAAGCUGGAGGCGGCAGGUGUUAUUCACGAGGUUCGCUACCCCGAAUGGCUGGCAAACCCAGUUGUUGUGCCGAAAAAGGGGAGGAAGGAGCGCAUGUGCAUUGACUUCACCAACCUCAACAAGGCCUGCCCUCAAGAUCCGUUACCGCUCCCUCGCAUUGACCAAAUCGUCGACUCCACCGCCAAGUGCGACCUACUGUGUUUCUUGGAUGCGUUUCCGGGGUAUAAGCAAAUCAAGAUGGCGGUAGAAGAUGUGGAGAAGACGGCCUUCCUGACCCCAUGUGGGGUAUACUGCUACACCUGCAUGCCGUUUGGGUUGUGCAACGCGGGAGCAACCUUCUAGUGGCUGAUGCACAUCGCCUUAAGCCGGCAGCUCGGGAAAAACGCCGAGGCUUACGUCGACGACAUUGUGGUGGAGUCUCGGGAGGCAAAGACCUUGAUCCAGGACCUGGAAGAGACCUUCACGAGUCUCCGCAAAGUGGACCUGCGACUCAACCUGGAGAAGUGCAUGUUUGGCGUUCCUUCUGGCAAGCUUCUGGGCUUCCUUGUGUCCCAUAGAGGGAUCGAGGCCAACCCGGAGAAGGUCAAGGCGAUCGAAGACAUGAGUCCAUCACAAACCCUCAGAGAAAUGCAGAAGCUCGCCGGACACGUAACUGCGUUAGGAUGCUUCAUCUCCAAGCUGGGGGAGCGCGCCUUGCCUUUUUUCAAGCUGAUGAAGAAGAAGGGCCCGUUCAAAUGGACACAGGAGGCCGACCAAGCAUUUCAAUACCUCAAGAAGUACUUGACUAGACCUCCUGUAAUGGUGGCACCACGCCCUCUCGAGCCCCUGGUGCUCUACCUCGCCGCCACACCCUACUCCGCCAGUGCAUCUCUAGUGGCGAUUCGGGAAGAGCGCCAGGUCAAGUCUGCAUCACGACCGGCCACGGCCCCGGCCACGGCAGCACAAGACAAAGAAGGCCUCGCGAAGACCACGGCCUCGACAGAUGGAGACCAGCCCCAAUAGGAAAAUGCCCCUAGGGCUGAAGAGGCCGUACCAGGCAGCCAGGUGUUGGGGUCCCCGUCAUCUCAGGAGGUGCCUAACCCUCCGUAGGGCACGGACCUCGUUAGCACACCCACCCUCGUCUAGCAUCCAGUGUAUUUCAUUAGCACGAUGCUGCGGGAUGCAAGGGCACGAUACCCCAUGCCUUAGAAGCUCUUGCUAGCGCUGCUGGCGGCCUCGCGUAAGCUGCAGUACUACUUUCAAGGUCACCCCAUCAAGGUCGUCUCGGCCUACCCAUUAGAAAGGGUACUCACGAGUCCCAACUCCGCUGGAAGGGUCGCCGAGUGGAACAUUGAGCUGCAAGCGUUUCAGCUGGAAUUCAGCACAACCGGGGUCGUCAAGGGAGCCACACUUGCAGAUUUUGUGGUAGAAUGGACAGAGGCGCCUGGGCUCGAAGCAGGAGAAGAUCGGCCACUUUACCCAGGAAGUGAGGCACCGAAUGGCUGGGUCAUGUACUUUGAUGGAGCAUUCUCGCGGCACGGCGCAGGGGCUGGUGCAGUGCUUAUAUCCCCCACUCAGGACAAGAUCUAUUAUGUCGUGUAGCCCUGUUUCCAGCAUGGCGAGAAGGUCUCCAACAACAUAGCAGAAUACGAGGGCCUCAUAGCAGGCUUGAAAGCUGCAGCAACACUGGGGGUGAAGCGCCUCAUUGAUAUGUCUCCGUCGUAUCUAUAAUUUUUGAUUGUUCCAUGCCAAUAUUCUUCAACUUUCAUAUACUUUUGGCAACUUUUUAUACUAUUUUUGGGACUAACAUAUUGAUCCAGUGCCAAGUGCCAGUUCCUGUCUGUUGCAUGUUUUUUUGUUUCGCAGAAACCCAAUAUCAAAGUGAGUCCAAACGGGAUAAAAAUGGACGGAGAUUUUUUUGGAAUAUUUAUGAUUUUUGGGAAGUAAAAUCAACGCGAAACGGUGUUCGGUGUGGCCACGAGAUAGGGUGGCGCGCCUGAGGGAGUCUUGGACUAGGGGGUGUCCGGAUAGCCGGACUAUCAUCAUCGGCCGGACUCCAAGACUAUGAAGAUACAAGAUUGAAGACUUCGUCCCGUGUCCGGAUGGGACUUUCCUUGGCGUGGAAGGCAAGCUUGGUAAUACGGAUAUGUAGAUCUCCUACCAUUGUAACCGACUCUGUGUAACCCUAGCCCUCUCCGGUGUCUAUAUAAACCGGAGGGUUUUAGUCCGUAGGACGAACAACCAUUACAACAAUCAUACCAUAGGCUAGCUUCUAGGGUUUAGCCUCCUUGAUCUCGUGGUAGAUCCACUCUUGUACUACCCAUAUCAUCAAUAUUAAUCAAGUAGGAGUAGGGUUUUACCUCCAUCGAGAGGGCCCGAACCUGGGUAAAAACAUCGUGUCCCUUGUCUCCUGUUACCAUCCGCCUAGACGCACAGUUCGGGACCCCCUACCCGAGAUCCGCCGGUUUUGACACCGACAUUGGUGCUUUCAUUGAGAGUUCCUCUGUGUCGUCACCAGUAGGCUUGAUGGCUCCUUCGAUCAUCAAUAACGACGCAGUCCAGGGUCAGACUUUUCUCCCCGGACAGAUCUUCGUAUUCGGCGGCUUUGCACUGCGGGCCAAUUCGCUUGGCCAUCUGGAGCAGAUCGAAAGCUACGCCCCUGGCCGUCAGGUCAGAUUUGGAAGUCUAAACUUCACGGCUGACAUCCGCGGAGACUUGAUCUUCGACAGAUUCGAGCCACAGCCGAGCGCGCCCACUAUCACGAUGGGCAUGAUUUAGCUCUGCUGUCGGACAGUGCCCUGGAGGCCGCACAUGAGUCCGCUCUGACCCUUAGUUCGGAGCCGACCGCGCAGAUCGAGGACGGGUGGCUAGACACCGCCUCGUGGGCUGCAAUCUCUACGGCGAUGGAGCCGAAUACUAACCUUUUCCCUUGUAAAGCUCGUGACUCCGAGGUGCCGAACUCCUCGCCGGACUCCAAACCUCCUGCGCCCCUACCAAUCGAAUCCGAUUGGGCACCGACCAUGGAGUUCACCGCUGCGGACAUCUUUCAGCACUCGCCUUUCAGCGAUAUUCUGAAUUCGCUAAAGUAUCUCUCGUUGUCAGGAGAGCCCUAGUCGAACUGCGGUCAGGACGGUUGGGAUGCGGGCGACGAAGAAAUUCAAAGCCCACCCACCACCCACUUUGUAGCCACUGUCGACGAUCUAACCGACAUGCUAGACUACGACUCCGAAGACAUUGACGGUAUGGACGACGAUGCCGGGGACGACCAAGAACCAGCGCCUACGGGGCACUGGAAGACCACCUCAACUCAUGACAUAUACAUGGUGGACACACCAAAAGGAAGCGAUAACAAGGAACAACGGGACGCGGCGAAGGAUAAUUCCCCCGAAAAACAACCAAAACGGUGACGCAAGCACCGCCCGAAGUCCCGCCUCGGCAACAACAGCACCCAUAAUGACCCAGCCGUAGAGCAGGGCAAACCAGUGGACGACAAAGAUGCAACCAAGCAACCAUCCGAACAGGAUGAAUCGGACAACCAACCCAUCCUUGGCGAAAACAACAGUCCAGACGAUCUCACGCCGGAUACAUCACCGGAGCAUAAGAACCUUCACAAAAGGCUCGUCGCCACUGCAAGAAGUUUGAAGAAGCAGAAACGGAAGCUCAAAACAGUGGAAGACGUACUCAGAAUGAGGUGGAGCAAAGUACUCAAAACCGCAGACAAAUACGGCAAUAGUCACCAAGCAAAGAGCUACCUGUAGCGCAAGCUGCUGCCCGAAUUCGACGAGGAGGCCAUAGAGCCACCACAAUCAAAAAGCAAAGAGGCCGCUUGGCCGGAUAGAUGACCAGAUGACAGGCCAAGAGCGGCAAGCGGCGCCGCACACAAGCCGGCACAUGACACACAUGAAGAUGCUCGCCAAAAGGAUGGCCCGGUUAGGUCCAUUUACGGGCCAAAAGAGAGGGCACCACCAAGCAACACAACACGCCGAGUGCUCGAAGAUAACGGCACACCUAAAUACAGGGGUGCCGCACACCCACUAUGUUUCACCGAUGAGGUGCUGGAUCAUGAAUUUCCAGCGGGAUUCAAGCCCGUAAACAUAGAGGCAUAGACGGAACAACAGACCCUGGAGUCUGGAUUGAGGAUUACAUCCUACACAUACAUAUGGCUAGAGGAGACGAUCUCCACGCCAUAAAAUACCUACCCCUCAAGCUCAAAGGGCCAGCUCGGCAUUGGCUCAAAAGCCUCCCAGAACAUACCAUUGGAAGUUGGGAAGAGCUCGAGGACGCGUUUAGAGCAAAUUUUCAGGGGACUUAUGUCCGCCCUCCGGAUGCAGACGAUUUAAGUCACAUAACUCAACAGCCCGGAGAGUCAGCGCGCAAAUUCUGGAACAUGUUCCUCACCAAAAAGAACCAAAUAGUCGACUCUCCGGACGCCGAAGCUUUAGCAGCUUUUAAACAUAACGUCCGAGACGAAUGGCUCGCCAGACACCUCGGCCAGGAAAAGCCAAGAACAAUGGCCGCGCUAACGAGCCUCAUGACCCGCUUUUGCGCGGGGGAAGAUAGCUGGCUAGCAAGAUGCAGCACCAGCGACCCGAGUACAUCCGAGAUCAAAGAUGGAAAUGGAAAAUCACGACGCAGGAAAGAUCAGCGCUGAAAUAAAGAAAAUGGCCCAAAGAACACGGCGGUCAACGCCGGAUUCAAAAGCUCUCGGCCGAACAACAAAACACUGCCUCUUAAGGACAACAGUGAUGAGCUAUCCAACCUAAACAAAAUUUUGGAUCGGAUAUGUCAAAUCCACAGUACCCCCGGGAAGCCUGCAAACCACACCCACCGAGAUUGUUGGGUCUUCAAGCAGUCCGGCCGACUCAACGCCGAACACAAGGGGCUCAACACGCCAAGCGAGGACGAUGACGAACCCCACCAGCAGAGCACCGAAAAACAAAAGACUUUCCCGCAAGAAGUCAAAACAGUAAACUCACUCCAUGUGAUAAUAGGGAACAAUAGUGCGGCACCCGCUAAAGUACGCGUCGCUCGGUCCACCCCAGCGGAAUCCCGAGAUUGGAUGUCAAAACCAAUUACUUUCGACCACCUGGAUUAUUCCAGAAGUAUUCGAAACGCAGGAUGGACUGCUCUGAUAUUGGAUCCUAUAAUCAACGGACUACAUUUUACGCAAGUCCUAAUGGAUGGCGGCAGCGAUUUAAACCUGCUAUAUCCGGACACAAUCCGCAAGUUGUGGAUAGACCCUACUAAAAUUCGCCAUAGCCGCACUUCCUUCAAAGGAGUGACGCCAGGCCCUUACGCCAAGUGCACGGGCUCCUUACUACUAGAAGUUGUGUUCAGAUCACCCGACAACUUCCAUCGCGAAAAGCUAAUCUUCCAUGUCGCCCCAUUCAAAAGUAGCCAUCAAGCACUAUUGGGACAUGAAGCUUUCGCCCGCUUUAAUGCAAUACCGCACUAUGCGUCUCUUACACUUAAAAUGCCCGGCCCACGCGGGAUCAUCUCAUUAAAAGGUCGUUCAAGACCCCGGACACGGCUAGGCGAGUCUGGCAUAAAUAAACUAGGGGCUCCCUAGCCGCAUACCCCUUCACAAGGGGUUGUGCGUAUGAAUAAUAAGAGCCAAUAAAAGCUCAACUUUAUUCAUUCAUUCAUACUUUGUUUUCAUUACAUUUUUUGCACGGUUUCUUUUCAAAACUAAGUUCCUCUCUUUUACAGAUGAACAACGUGCUACACCCGUCCAGGAUACAGCACAACGGAGACACAGGUGCAGACGUGCAGCAGGGACCCGUCGCAAGGAUUCUUUUCAGAUUAAGACCCUGCGUAAACCUUUCCUACUGUCUCUUGUUGAAUCACGUCCCCCAGUUUUCCACCAUAACCGAUGAGGAGUCUGGCGUUUUGGCAUCGGCCGCGUCAGAAAUUUUCGCCCGUACCUGGACACUAGGGGCUUAGGGCAUUGUUCUGCCCGUUAUCAUAAAGACCGAAUACCUUAGGGAGUGUUCGGCGUCUCGAGUUAGGCCUUAUAUGCAUCAGCUCCGAAUCAUGUCUUUGGUCAAAUGUUGGGUUUGCCCGGCUCCUGUGUUUUGCUGCCUUACGUUCCGUAUCACCAGCUAACGCGGCACCAGGAGAACUACUGCGAUUGUGCCCCGGUUCGGCCGGGCGAGCACCUCAGUAGAGAAAGCCGAAAACUGACUGUCAUGAUACAGCGAGAGACUGGUCAACCACUCGAUCGACUACCGGAAUGUCUAGAAUUCCUCCGCUUUAACGAAGGACCGUUUCCCGGUCAGGCACAUACGCGCCCCAAAUUCGGAGAGCGCAGUGCCCCUAGGGGCUAUAUCGUAGCCCCACCUUCGAACUCCUAUAGCUAAGUGAAAGUGAUAAAGCAUUAUAGUCCGGUUGCCUCGUUUGCUACGCUACCACCUCCUUCACAGGACCAAGACGUUGGAUUAAGUGUGAAAAUGCACUAUUUUGCAAACACCCCCGCACCAUGUGCGUGGGGGCUGAAGCCGAAGACUGCCAUCUUUCAGGUUAUACACAAGUAUACAUUAACGGCCGCACAGGAGAUAUUUCAAUACUUGAACACACAAGUAUAAAAAGCACUUGUAUCAUGAAUAUCGUUUUACAAAUCAUAAAGAUCAUUUGAACAUGACAUUUUUUAGCACUGCGACUCUAUUACACGAGCACCCUGCAGGACUUCUCCAAAAUAGUGUUCGGCGGGUAACCGGCUCUCGUCCGAACCCUGGGUUGCAAUAGCGGUGGCAUCCAUCUCCGUCCAGUAUGUCUUCACACGGGCAAGGGCCAUCCAUGCACCCUCUAUGCAUGCCGACCGCUUCAUCACCUUGAUAUGCGGCACCGCCCCAAGAAAUUGCUGUAAUAAGCCAAAAUAACUCUUCGGCUUGGGCCUAUCCGGCCACAGAUGAGCCACUACAUCCGUCAUGGCAAAACCGGACAAUCUAUUCAGCUCAACCCACUCAGCCAACCGAUCGGUCAACAUAAGUGAACGCUCCGGACUGUGGAAUUGAGACCAAAAAAGCUCUUCCGUCUCGUGAUCCUUUUGGCUUCGAAAGUGCACAACCGCAUCCGCCGCACUCGCCGCCAAAUCCAGAUAAGGAUCCUCCGGACCCCACAGCUGGCCAAGCUGAGCAUACUUCUGAUCUGUGAACUUCCUGCGCAGCAGAAAGGGCCUGCCAGCCGCAAUGUCUCCGGCCUGACGCAGCUCCUCCUUCAUAGCCCUCAUUGCAGAACGGGCAUCCUUGGCUUCGGCGGUGGCCUUCUUCAGGUCUUCUUGCCCCGCUCGGCGUUCGUUUUCAAGAACCUCAUAGCGGUCGGCAACAUCCUUCAGCUUCACGGCCAUUCCGGCCAUCUCCUCCAUGCUUCGGCAGUGAGCAUCCCUUUCGGCUUCUAGCUCUUCAGUUGCCUUCGAGGCAGCCGCAUCACUCCUUCUAGCCUGCUCCUUAGCUCGAGCAAGCUCUGCCCGAAGGUCCUCCACAGCAGCGGCACCAUCUGCAUUAAGCAUACAUGUUGUAAGGGGUGGGCUUCAGCUCCCUUACUAGGUGACCACGGAGAAACAACCUACCUUGUGACUCGUCAAGUUGCUUAUUGACUAGCGCGAUGUCCGCAUCCGCAACAUCGAGUUGCCGCUCUAGUUCAGCAACUCCAUCAGUCCGGCUGGCCACCGGACUAUCCGCCACCUACAUAGGAAAGGUGAGAAUUAAUACCCGAGAUUAUGAUCUUCGGCACGCUGUCGCUUUCGACAACAUACCGAGUCUCAGGGGCUACUAUCUAUACAGGGCGCACUUUAUGUGCAAAACUGUCAAAAGGUAUGUCAUUUUUACGUACCUCAAACCCCGCCAGCAAACUUCUGACGGCAUCAUACAACCCGCCCUCAGCGGAUGAAAUUCUUUCAAUCACCGUACUCAUCAAUGUACGGUGACCUUCUGAGAUAGACGCCCUCUCGAGCAGAUCCUUCAGCUCCCCCGGCCUUACACCAGUUGGUGUCGAACUCUCCGGCCCUGCCGGACCCGGGGACACCCUCUGCGACGAUACCUCAGGGUCAUCUGCCUCACCCAACGGUGCGGCAGAUGGAGGCGUCUCGCUCUCCAUCAUCUCCGGACGAAGGUCCCCCGAAGACGAGCUCAGCUGAGAAGGACAGAGAUCCGAACUAUAGUAAAAACUUCGGUUAUCCUCAGAAGCAAAAAUAGGGACAUCCCUUGUUACAAUACUCCCCUUUUUCUACUUACGGCUCGCUGGAGGGCUGAUUCCUUGGGGGAGAUAGUGCGGCCGGGGCCUCCCCCGACGUAGGACCCUCUGGUGGAGAUUUCUUCCCCCGCUUUGAGGCCUUAACCUCCGGGUCUUUAGAAGCGGUCCUCUUCUCCCCAUGGAGGGAGGGAUUCUCGAUCCUCCCUUUCUCAAAAGCCUCCUUAGUAGAGGCGGUAGUUUCUCUGUUUUCCCCUUCGCCCUCCUCUAGAGGCGCGACCUCCGGCAUCUUGACCAACACCGGAUCCGGCGUGGUCUCUGGGAGGGGGGCCGGACACCGUAUCAGUUUUUCUUGCGCUACCCACCCCUGUUCAAAGGACGGUUGGUUAAAAGGCGAAUCCAAGAAUAUGCAAACAAAUGGUAUGUCCGGACACAGGGCUACUUACUUGAGCAUCCGGGCGAUUGCAGCUUAGGCCGGCAUCCUCGAUCAAUUCCGGACACACUUCUUGUGAUCCGAAGAACAAUUUGUACAUUUCCACGGGUGUCGUACCCAUGAAGAGUUGGAGAUCUCGUGGCCCCUCUGGAUUAAAUUCCCACAGGCGGAGGGGGCGACGUUUGCAGGGCAGAAGACGCCGAAUCAGCAUAACCUGCAUCACUACGACCAGAUUGAUCUCCCUCUCUUGGAGGUCUCGAAUCCGGCCCUGCAAUAGGGGUACGGUUUUUGACGGCCCCCAGUUAAGCCCUUGGUUGACCCACGACAUCAGCCGUUGUGGAGGGCCCGAGCGAAAGAUGGGCAGCGGCUUCUGCCUGCUGCCCCUGGGAGCGGUAAUAUAGAACCACUCCUGUUGCCACAAGCCGAGCUCCUCCUGGAAAGAGCCCUCGGGCCAUGGAGCAUCGGCCCUCUUGCUUACAAUCGCCCCGCCGCACUCUGCUUGACGCCCCUCGAUCAUCUUAGGCUCCACGUUGAAGGUUUUGAGACACAAACCGAAGUGAGGGGUAGUGCGGAGGAAGGCUUCGCAGACGACAAUGAAUGAUGAGAUGUGGAGGAUGGACUCCGGAGCCAAGUCGUGGAAUUCCAACCCAUAGUAAAACAUGAGCCCUCUCACAAAAGGAUCCAUCGGGAAGCCUAAACCCCGACGGAGGUGGGACACGAACACGACGCUCUCGCCGGGCUCGGGAGUAGGAAUGACUUGCCCUUUGGCGGGCAACCUAUGCAAAAUCUCAUAGGUCAGGUACCUGGCUUCUCUCAGCUUUAGCACGUCCUCUUCCGUGUCGGAGGAGGGCAUCCACCGGCCCUAUAGGUCGGAGCCGGACAUUGUUGAAGGUCCGAGGCGCUCGAAUCUGGGACUCUGGGUGUUGGAACUCGGGGUGAGGGGCAGAUUCGAUUGAGGAUUGAAGAAAAGAAACAAGCCUUGGUCUCAUUAUAAAGAGGGAGAAUACCAAGGCCCGUCCCCGUGACCAUUUGGAACUCACCUUCGAUGGAGGAGGCGUGGCAACGGGCACGGUUGGGUUACCCACGUCCGUGUUGAUGGGAAUCCCGGAAUAAGGGGAACAUGAUCUCUGCUUCGACAAGACGUGCCAAGGAAACCGCUUCGCUAAACACGCUGAGGUGGUAUAAUAAAAACGAUUCAAGUAAAGGCUUGGUAGUGGUGUGACGUCACGCCAACGUCAGCAGAUUGAACUUGUGUACAUAUUAUUCUCUCUACGGUGGUAUGUGGAAUUUAUUUUAUAGAGCCGAACACUAUCCUGGUGUUCACAAUCUUUUAUGAAUUAUUCGGAGGAGGAAACCGCCUUGCAAUGCCAAAGACAAUAUGCGCGCCGCACUCGUCGUCAUUGAAGCCUGAUUCAGGGGCUACUGAGGGAGUCCAGGACUAGGGGGUGUCCGGAUAGCCAGACUAUCAUCAUCGGCCGGACUCCAAGACUAUGAAGAUACAAGAUUGAAGACUUCGUCCCGUGUCCGGAUGGGACUUUCCUUGGCGUGGAAGGUAAGCUUGGCAAUACGGAUAUGUAGAUCUCCUACCAUUGUAACCGACUCUGUGUAACCCUAGCCCUCUCCGGUGUCUAUAUAAACCGGAGGGUUUUAGUCCGUAGGACGAACAACCAUUAGAACAAUCAUACCAUAGGCUAGCUUCUAGGGUUUAGCCUCCUUGAUCUCGUGGUAGAUCCACUCUUGUACUACCCAUAUCAUCAAUAUUAAUCAAGAAUGAGUAGGGUUUUACCUCCAUCGAGAGGGCCCGAACCUGGGUAUAAAAAAAAACAUCGUGUCCCUUGUCUCCUGUUACCAUCUGCCUAGACGCACAGUUCGGGACCCCCUACCCGAGAUCCGCCGGUUUUGACACCGACAGCGCCCUCCCCCUGGGUGUGCCCUGGACUCUCGUGGGCCACCCGUAAGGCGGUUGAUGCUCUUAUUUUGGUGCAAGAAAGCUAAUUUUAUGAGAAAGAGCUGGGCGAAAGAUUCACCCCAAUCGGAGUUACGGAUCUCCGGAUAUUUAAGAAACGGUGAAGGGGUAGAAUUAGAGAACGCAGAAACAGAGAGAUAGAUCCAAUCUCGGAGGGGCUCUCGCCCCUCCCAAGCCAUGGGGGCCAAGGACCAGAGGGGAAACCCUUCUCCCAUCUAGGGAUAAGGUCAAGGAAGAAGAAGAAGAAGGGGGGCUCUCUCCCCCUUGCUUCCGGUGGCGCCGGAGCGCUGCCGGGGGCCAUCACAAUCACCGCGAUCUUCACCAACACCGCCAUCAUCUUCACCAACAUCUCCAUCACCUUCCCCCAUCUAUAUCCAGCGGUCCACUCUCCCGCAACCCGCUGUACCCUCUACUUGAACAUGGUGCUUUAUGCUUCAUAUUAUUAUCGAAUGAUGUGUUGCCAUCCUAUGAUGUCUGAGUAGAUUUCUAUUGUCCUAUCGGUGAUUGAUGAAUUGCUAUGAUUGGUUUGAGUUGCAUGUUUUAUUAUUGGUGCUAUCCUAUGAUUGGUUUGAAUUGCUGUUCUAAGUUGUUCUCUAUCUUUAGUUAUGGAUAUGGAACACAAAAUACCAAAGAAAUUAGAGGUACUUGCUACUCAUGUAGAUGGGGUAACUCCUAAAACCCCCGAUUCUCAUUAUGUGAGAGAUAUUAUGUACUACUUUGAUAAUCCUGAGAAAACCCCAUUCAACUUUAUAAUGGGAGACACAUUGGAUCAACAUGAAUAAUUUAGGGAUUAUCGCUCGACACAAAAAGGGAAACUAUUAUGGGAUCAAUUUAUUAUGUUGCGUUGGUAUGCCUGGGCUCUAUGCUUGAGAUAUGAUAUUGCUUGUUGCUCUAGGAUGGAGGCUCCACACCUUCCCUUUUCAUGCAAAUUUAAUGGUAAUGAAACCUUAGCUUCUUAUGCUAAUGGUAUAUAUGAUUACUAUGAUGUAGAGCAAAUAGAAGAAUUUGUUGCUUUUAAGGCUGCUUAUGAAAUUGAAUCUUUGUUUGAAAAGUAUGAAGCUUUUAUAGGCCUGAAAAUCUUACUAUACUUAGAUAUUGCUAUGCAAAUUAUGAAUACAAUUACUAUAUUAAUGCAUUUAUGAAGAAAUUCUCCGCUGUCCAAGAAGAGACUAAUAUUUUGCAGGAAGCUAUGGAAGAAGAAAUUGAUGAAACUGUGAGCUCAUUGGAUGAAAAAGAUGAUGAGGAGAGCAAAGAACAAAAGGAGGAAGAGCGGAUUAGCUACCCGUGCCCACCUUCUAAUGAGAGUAACCCUCCAACUCAUACAUUGUUUAAUUCCCCUUCUUGCUUACCAAAGGAUGAUUGCUAUGAUGAUUGCUAUGAUCCCUUGAAUUUGUCUGAAAUAUCCCUUUUUGAUGAUGCUUGCUAUGCUUGUGGCCAAGAUGCCAAUAUGAAUUAUGCUUAUGGAGAUGAACUUGCUAUAGUUCCUUAUGUUAAACAUGAAGUUGUUGCUAUUGCACCCACGCAUGAUAGUCCUAUUAUCUUUUUGAAUUCUCCCGACUACACUAUAUCGGAGAAGUUUGUGCUUAGUAAGGAUUAUAUUGAUGGGUUGCCUUUUACCGUUGCACAUGAUGAUUUUGAUAGAUAUAAUAUGCAUGUGAUUUCUGCUCCUACUUGCAAUUAUUAUUAGAGAGGAACUACAUCUCCACCUCUUCAUGUUUCCAAUACGAUAGAAUUGCAAGAAACUGUUUAUACUAUGCAUUGGCCUUUACUUGGUGUGCAUGAAUUGUUCUUUUAUGAUAUGCCGAUGCAUAGGAAGAGAUUUAGACUUUGUUGUUGCAUGAUAUAUGUUACUUUGUGCUCACUACUAAAUCAUAAAUCAUUAUUAAUUCAAACUGGCUUUGAUAUACCUUGGGAUCCGGGUGGAUUCAUUACUUGAGCACUAAAUGCCUAGCUUAAUGGCUUUAAAGAAGCGCUGCCAGGGAGACAACCCGGAAGUUUUAGAGAGUCAUUUAUUUCUGUUGAGUGCUUUUAUAUAGUUUAAAAACAAAAAAAAUAAAGAGGGGAACCUAAAACUUUUCAAAAGGAAAGUGAAAGUGAGAAAGAUAAUCAUUGUUGAAGUGGGAGAGCUCCUUGAACUUUGUUCAUGCUCACGGAAACUUUGUGAAUCUUGAUUACAGAAAAUUUUCAUCAAAAAUAAUUAUCCCCUUGUAUAAUUCCAUUGUAUUAUAAAAUUAAUGUGCUAAGGUUUGCCUUUAGGAUGUUUACAAUGCUUGUUGGUUUGUACGGUGCAGGACAGAAACUUUGGCUGUAGUGCGCGAUUUUACAUUUUUAACUGGAACAUCAAUUGGUUCUGAUUCCUUUUGCACUCUCUUUCUAUACAACUUGUUAAUUUUUAUAAUUUUGGUAGAAUUUUUGGGGUACCAGAAGUAUGGUGGAUGUUCAGAUUGCUACAGACUGUUCUGUUUUUGACAGAUUCUGUUUUCGAUGCAUAGUUUGCUUGUUUUGAUGAAUCUAUCAAUUUAUAUUAGUGGAUUAAGCCAUGGAAAAGUUAUAUUACAGUAGACACAAUGCAAAAACAAAAUAUGAAUUGGUUUGCAGUAGUACUUAGAGUGGUGAUUUGCUUUAUUAUACUAACGGAUCUUACCGAGUUUUCUAUUGAAGUUUUGUGUGGAUGAAGUGUCUAAACGAGGAGGUCUUGAUAUUAGGAAAAGGAAGAGAGGAAAGAGCUCAAGAUUGGGGAUUCCCGAGGCACCCCAAGUAAAUAUUCAAGGAGACUCAAGCGUCUAAGCUUGGGGAUGCCCCGGAAGGCAUCCCCUCUUUCUUCAACAAGUAUCGGUAUGUUUUCGUAUUCGUUUCGUUUAUGCAUUAUGUGCAAGUCUUGGAGCGUCUUCUGCAUUUAGUUUUCAUUUUUAUUUUAUGCACCAUGCUAGUAUGAGAUAGUCCUUGGUUGAUUUUUAGAAUGCUCAUUGCACUUCACUUAAAUCUUUUGAGUAUGGCUUUAUAGAAUGCUUCAUGUGCUUCACUUAUAUCUUUUGAAGUUUGGAUUGCCUGUUUCUCUUCAUAUAGAAAACUGCCAUUUGUAGAAUGCUCUUUUGCUUCACUUAUAUUUGUUAGAGCGUGGGCAUAUCUUUUGUAGAAAGAAUUAAACUCUCUUGCUUCACUUAUAUCUAUUUAGAGAGAUGACAGGAAUUGGUCAAUAACAUGGUUAGUCAUAAAAUCCUACAUAACUUGUAGAUCGCUGAAUAUGAUAUGUUUGAUUCCUUGCAAUAGUUUUGCGAUAUAAAGGUGGUGAUAUUAGAGUCAUGCUAGUGGGUGGUUGUGGAUUGUAGAGACACUUGUGUUGAGGUUUGCAAGUCCCGUGGCAUGCACGUAUGGUAACCGUUGUGUGACAAAUUUGAAGCAUGGGUGUUUCUUUGAUUGUCUUCCUUAUGAGUGGCGGUCGGGGACGGGCCAUGGUCUUUUCCUACCAAUCUAUACCCCUAGGGGCAUGCGUAGUAGUACUUUGCUUCGAGGAAUAAUAAAGUUUUGCAAUAAGUAUAUGAGUUCUUUAUGACUAAUGUGAGUCCAUGGAUUAUACACACUUUUACCUUUCCAUCAUUGCUAGCCUCUUCGGUACCGUGCAUUGCCCUUUCUCACCUUGAGAGUUGGUGCAAACUUCGCCGGUGCAUCCAAACCCCGUGAUACGAUACGCUCUAUCACACAUAAGCCUCAUUAUAUCUUCCUCAAAACAGCCACCAUACCUACCUAUCAUGGCAUUUCCAUAGCCAUUCCGAGAUAUAUUGCCAUGCAACGUUCAUCAUCAUCAUAUUCAUGACUUGAGCACUCAUAUAGAGUCAUAUCUUUGUUCUAAUAUCGAGCUGUAAUAUUGGGUUGUAAGUAAAUAAAAGUGUGAUGAUCAUCAUUAUAGAGCAUUGCCCCAUAAAAAAAGAAAAAGAAAAAAAAGAAAAAAAGGAAAGGCCAAAGAAGCCUAAAUAAAAAAAGGGGGGCCAAAGAAGCCCACGAAAGAAAAAAGAAAAAAAAGCAAAAAAAAGAAAAAUAAAAAGGGGCAAUGUUACUAUCUCUUUUUCCACACUUGUGCUUCAAAGUAGCACCAUGUUCUUCAUUUAGUGAGUCUCAUAUCUUGUGCUUCAAAGUAGCACCAUGUUCUUCAUAUAGAUUGUCUCCUAUGUUGUCACUUUCAUAUACUAGUGGGAAUUUUCAUUAUAGAACUUGGCUUGUAUAUUCCAACAAUGGGCUUCCUCAAAUGCCCUAGGUCUUCAUGAGUAAGCAAGUUGGAUGCACACCCACUUAGUUUCUUUUGUUGAGCUUUCAUACACUUAUAGCUCUUAGUGCAUCCGUUGCAUGGCAAUCCCUACUCCUCGCAUUGACAUCAAUUGAUGGGCAUCUCCAUAGCCCGUUGAUUAGCCGCGUCGAUGUGAGACUUUCUCUUUUUUGUCUUCUCCACAUAACCUCCAUCAUUAUAUUCUAUUCCACCUAUAGUGCUAUAUCCAUGGCUUGCGCUCAUAUAUUGCGUGAGGGUUGAAAAAGCUUAAGCGCGUUAAAAAGUAUGAACCAAUUUCUCAGCUUGUCAUCGGAGUUGUGCAUGAUGGGGGCAUUUUGUGUGACGAAAAUGAAGCAUGGCCAAACUGUAUGAUUUUGUAGGGAUAAGCUUGCUUUUGCCUUGUUGUUUUGAAAAUACAUGAUUGCUUUAUUGGUAUGCUCGAAGUAUUAUUGUUUUUAUGUCAAAUGAUAGACUAUUGCUUUGAAUCACUCGUGUCUUAAUAUUCAUGCCAUGAUUAGACAUAUGAUCAAGAUUAUGCUAGGUUGCAUUCCACAACAAAAAUUAUCUUUUUUAUCAUUUACCUACUCGAGGACGAGCAGGAAUUAAGCUUGGGGAUGCUGAUACGUCUCCGUCGUAUCUAUAAUUUUUGAUUAUUCCAUGCCAAUAUUCUUCAACUUUCAUAUACUUUUGGCAACUUUUUAUACUAUUUUUGGGACUAACAUAUUGAUCCAGUGCCCAGUGCCAGUUCCUGUCUAUUGCAUGUUUUUUUUGUUUCGCAGAAAACCAAUAUCAAAUGGAGUCCAAACGAGAUAAAAACGGACGGAGAUUUUUUUUGGAAUAUUUAUGAUUUUUGGGAAGUAAAAUCAACGCGAAACGGUGUCCGGGGUGGCCACAAGACAGGGGGCGCGCCCUCCCCCCUGGGCGCGCCCUGGACUCUCGCGGGCCACCCGUAAGGCGGUUGAUGCUCUUCUUUUGGCACAAGAAAGCUAAUUUGAUGAGAAAGAUCUAGGCGAAAGAUUCAACCCAAUCGAAGUUACGGAUCUCCGGAUAUUUAAAAAACGGUGAAGGGUAGAAUCAGAGAACGCAGAAACAGAGAGAUAGAUCCAAUCUCGGAGGGGCUCUCGCCCCUCCCAAGCCAUGGGAGCCAAGGACCAGAGGGGAAACCCUUCUCCCAUCUAGGGAGGAGGUCAAGGAAGAAGAAGAAGAAGGGGGGGCUCUCUCCCUCUUGCUUCCGGUGGCGCCGGAGCGCUGCCGGGGGCCAUCAUCAUCACCGCGAUCUUCACCAACACCGCCGUCAUCUUCACCAACAUCUCCAUCACCUUCCCCCAUCUAUAUCCAGCGGUCCACUCUCCCGCAACCCGCUGUACCCUCUACUUGAACAUGGUGCUUUAUGCUUCAUAUUAUUAUCCAAUGAUGUGUUGCCAUCCUAUGAUGUCUGAGUAGAUUUCUAUUGUCCUAUCAGUGAUUGAUGAAUUGCUAUGAUUGGUUUGAGUUGCAUGUUUUAUUAUUGGUGCUGUCCUAUGAUGCCCUCCGUGUCGCGCAAGCGUGAGGGAUUCCCGCUGUAGGGUGUUGCAAUGCGUUCAUGAUUCGCUUAUAGUGGGUUGCGUGAGUGACUGAAACACAAACCCGAGUAAGUAGGUUGUUUGCGUAUGGGAUAAAGGGGACUUGAUGCUUUAAUGCUAUGGUUGGGUUUUACCUUAAUGAAUCUUUAGUAUUUGCGGACGCUUGCUAGAGUUCCAAUCAUAAGUGCAUAUGAUCCAAGUAGAGAAAGUAUGUUAGCUUAUGCCUCUCCCUCAAAUAGAAUUGCAAUAGUGAUUACCGGUCUAGUAACAUAGUUAGUUGCUUAGGGACAAUUUCACAGCUCCUACCACCACUUUUCCACACUCGCUACAUUUACUUUAUUGCAUCUUUAUCUAAACAGCCUCUAGUUUAUACUUACAUGUUCUUUAUUAUCUUGCAAACCUAUCCAACAACACAUACAAAGUACUUCUAGUUUCAUACUUUUUCUAGGUAAAGCGAACGUCAAGUGUGCGUAGAAUCGUAUCAGUGGCCGAUAGGACUUGAGAGAGUAUUUGUUCUACCUUUAGCUCCUCGUUGGAUUCGACAUUCUUACUUAUAGAAAGAGGCUACAACUAUCCCAUAUACUUGCGGGUCAUCACUCAUCAUCAAGGGUGAUUCACAGCUCCUCGUCAACUUCUCCAACAAGGUGUACGAGCUGAAGGACGAGCACAUGGAAGCGUAUCUUACGGAGGUGUGCAGGAUGGAAAAGUAGUUUUGGGGGCUGGAGUUGCAGCAUGUGCCUCGUGGCACCAACCAAGAGGCUAAUGGCAUUGCUAGGAGGGCAUCCAAGCAGCUGCUGCAGGAGCCUGGCGUUUUCGAGGAACGGCUCUUCAAGCCAUCGGCAACGCUGUCACUGUCAAGCACAGCGCAACCUCGGGAGGAACCCCCUUAGCCACCUACCACAGGAGCCCCGGCUAGCGGCCCAACCUCGGGAGCACGCUUACUCCUGGCGCUGGAGCCUCAGGAGGGAUGUUGGACCACAGAGUUCAAGGACUACCUGAUGCAAGGGACGCUGCCAGAGAAAGAGGAGGACGUGGAGCGCGUGGCCCACCAGGCCACGGCCUACUGCAUCCAAGAAGGAGAGCUCUACCGGAAGCAGCCAAGUGAUGUUUCCCUGCGUUGCAUCUCUAGGGAACAGGGGAAGGAGUUGCUGGCUGACAUACACGAUGGAGAUUGCGGACACCACUCGUCGUCACGGACCCUCGUCGGCAAGGCAUUUCGCAGCGGGUUCUACUGGCCUACAGCAGUAAACGACGCAAUCGAGCUAGUGAAGGCUUGCGAAGCCUACCAAUUCCAUGCCAAGCAGAUCCAUCAACCAGCUCAGGGCAUGCAGACCAUCCCACUCUCAUGGUCGUGCGCGGUCUGGGGGCUGGAUAUCUUGGGCCCGUUUCCUCGAGCGCCUGGGGGCUACUGCUACCUCUACGUCGCCAUCGACAAGUUCACCAAGUGGGCGGAGGUGGAAGCUGUCUGCACCAUCCCAGUUGGCUCUGAAGUCAAGUCCAUCAAGGGCCUUAUGAGCCGAUUCAGGGUCCCUAAUCGCAUCAUCACCGACAACGGUUCGCGGUUCACCAACAAUCUCUUCAAAACAUAUUGUGCUAACCUUGGAACGCAGAUAUGCUACGCUUCGGUGGCACACCCCCGGAGUAACGGCCAGGCCGAACGUGCCAACACAGAGGUCAUGAAGGGCCUCAAAACCAGGACCUUCAAAAAGAAGCUGGAGGCCUGCGGCAGGGGCUGGUACGACGAGCUCCAGUCCGUGUUGUGGUCCAUCCGCACUACCGCCACCAAGUCGACUAGCGAGACCCCGUUCUUCCUCGUCUACGGAGCAGAGGCGGUCCUCCCUCACAAGGUCAGGCGUCGCUCCGCGCGGCUCCUAGCGUUUGAUGAAGAGCAACAGGACGCCACGCGGGGGAUGGACCUCGUGCUGGGGGAGGAGCACCGCCGAGAAGCUGCACUACGAGCAGCAAGAUACCAGCAGGCGCUGCUGUGGUAUCAUUGCCGCAACAUCCGCCCCAGGACACUCGAGAUAGGUGACCUCGUACUCAGGCGGGUGCUCUCUAGGGAAGGGUUGCAUAAGCUCUCGCCCAUGUGGGAGGGCCCGUUCAAGGUUGUCCAUGUUUCUAGGUCUGGCGCCGCGCGCCUGGAGACUCAGGAAGGGGUGCCCAUCCCAAAUGCUUGGAACAUUCAGCACCUCCGGAAGUUCUAUCCUUGAAGAAGGCCCAGUGCCUGUGAAGAAGGCCCGGUGCCUGUGAAGCUCGCCGCCCAAAGAAAGGCCCGGUGCCUGUGAAGCUCACCGCCCGUGACACUCUUACGUAAUAAUGAGUUGGGGUUGUACACGCCCCGGAGUCUCCGGAGUGCCGCCCUCGGGCCUCAGGGGCUCCCGCCCACGCCCAGUGGCAGCACUUAGCUCCACACUGGCGAGAAGACGUCGAAGACUAGACUAGGUGCCGGAUGCGGCUUUUCAUUUGCUUUCCGCAGUUGGCUUGUUCUCCCUUGUUUGAACCUUUAUUGAAGUUGCUUCUAGUGUUGUUUGCCGCCUUCUGCCCCUGUUCUCUGUUUUCGGCUUUUGUCUAGCUCGCUCUCUCUCUCUCUCUCUCUCUCUCUCUCUCUCUCUCGCAAAGCUUGCGAGGGGUCUGCGCGGGCGCCCUCGUGAGCCCUUUCUCGCCUGGUUUUCGUGAGGCUCCCUCGUUCAAGUUCAUAGCGGGAGCACCCCUCCCAGUUCAUGACCCUCGGGCAUCGCGACACAAAGCACCGGGCCGUAGACGGCAACCCUCGCGACUAAGGUUCAGAAAUGAUUCUCCCAACUGAUUUUUGCAGCUCUUAAGGCACCCGGUGAGGCCUCAAGCAGGUACCUCGCAAGGCGGAAACUACUGCAAACAUCCCGAGCUAAGUUGUUCCUACGCGCAGGCACAUAAACACGACACCAUCACACAACACAGAGACAAUGAGUGUAGCAUGAUAAUUAGGGGAUCAUAGUCUGUUGCAUGCCCUCACGGGGCUCCAUACUUCUCUCUCUCAACGCAGGAAAAGGAGAAAAGCAAAAUAAAAACAACACACAACUCGCGAGAAGGGAUCUGCGUCAUCCUCCUGAGGUCAAUCAGACUCCGCCUCGCGCUUCACCGGGGCGCGGCGACGGGACGACCUGCUACCACCCUCAAAGCGGGCGCGGCGGCGUGGUGGCUGAUCGCGGCCACCGCUGGAGGAGCUGUCGCCAGAGGAGGAGCCGCUGAAGCUCGAUGAGCUGCGGUCGCCGCCGGGAGCGGGCUCACCUUCGCCCCUCGUCACGGCCGUCGCCAAUCCAAGCACCUCGUCGCUGUCAUCGUCUUCAGGGCAGCACCCAGCACGGCAGCCAUCUUCUCCGAACACCCUCACAUAGGGCGUCGCAUCACUGUCGUACUUAAAGUGGAGGGAGCAUCGCCUGCCCAGGCCACGCGCGCGGGCAAACGCCAGCCAGCCCUAGGCCAGGGCCACGUUCCCGGUGACGGAAAUCUCCACCGCGACCAAGGAGGCCCUACUGCAGCAGCCAUCCGCCUGCAGCAAGAGCCCGCCGGGGCCAGCGGCCGACAGUUCACCGGCGAAGAAGCGAGGGAGCUGGAGCCAGUUGCUAGCCGGGUUGUCUGACUACACAACAACUCUGGCAGCACCUCCGCUGAAUGGAAGCGCGAUCGGGGAGGCCGCGCAGCCACGACACGCCUUCCUCCACCGACUGGGCUGGCUCGAUAUGGGCGGCCACCACCGCGACCAUGAGAAGCCGACGGGAGUCGCGGGACGCUUGAGGGGGCGGCCGCGGCCGCGCUUGGGCGAAGGAGAGCCAGGCCCUUUCUGGCGAGCCUUCCUCUUCUCCGCGGCCAAGAACCUCUUCACGGGCACCGUGCGAUGCUGCAAGCAACCGAGGCAAGGAGGGAGAAGAAGCAGUCGGGGCGAGGGGAGAUGUGCAACGGGGGCUUUCGCCCCUCCCCAUUUAUAUCUCAAGGGAGGCCAAUCGUUGGCCCCCACGAUCACAGGUAAUGAUGACUCUUUUUGCAUGCAACAGGGACUCGUCAAAUCGGGCAGUUGCAGAGGCAGCGUGGGGAAGCGGAGACGCCCGCGUCCAAUCAACCGCCACGCGGCAACCAAGGCCGCAGGCUAUUGGGGCCCGCAGCACACCGCACUUGCCCUUUGGCUUCGCUGCUAAGCCAAGUCCGAGCGCGCCUUGGGCCCGGGGCUACUGUCGGCGUUCUGGGAACGGGGGUCCCCAGACUUGCCUACCUGCGGCCUGCAGCGUGGCUCACCAGCGGCCCAGUACGGCCCGUCUUCUUCAACCCAAGUUCAAGACCCUCGCGAGGGGCCAUGCCUCGCGAGGCGAAUGACACAAGGCCUCAUCAGGGGCGGCCUCACCAGGCAGGCUCACGAGGAGGCGGAGAGAUCAAGGCGAGGGGUACCUCACGAGGUGCUGAUGACGCAAGCCAUGAUGAUCAAGACCAGGCUGGCGCCAGGCGGGCGCCAACCUGCGCAGUGUCCUUGUUUACUCUUUGGUGCAAAGGGGGCAAGCGCAGGCGUGGAGUACCGAGGCAUCAAUCAAAGGUUUCCAUAUCAGUGCAACGAGACCAAGACUAGCAGGACGGCAGGACGGAGGUCACCAUGGAGCCCAAGACGGCGUCAUCACCAGUGCCUUUGACAGUCGAAGACCACCUUUAGUCAGGAUAGCUUGUACUGGCUAUCCCCUUACAAAAUGGCCGUUGUUGGCUCCCUUCCUGUUCAAUAUUUGGGAAGAGGACCAGGGCCUCUAUAAAUAGGGCUAGCCACCACAGUAGAAGGCAUCUCAUCUAGAGCCAAUAGAGACGGAUCGACUCCGCUCCAAGCACACCACCACAAGAACACCUCUCCUCGCGAGGCUGUUCUUCCUCUAUACUGUUCAUCAUCAGCCCAAGAGGCAAUCCACCACACCACACACUUGAUUAGGGUAUUACACCCCAACAGUGGCCCGAACCAGUAUAAACCUUGUGUCUCUUGUGUUGUUCAUCAUGCUAGCUUAGAAUUGCGGCGAGGUUCUGGGCGUGUUUCGGUAGGGAGAAGAUCUUCGUGUGCACCCCAGAGUUCGAACCUUAAGGGUUUUGACGGAACCCGAUAUCUUUCAAUUUCUGGCCCACGGAACACGUCUGUCGUGCUCGUCCGCCUAGGCGAGACCCGUGCGUUGGGCCUGACAUGACCCGUUUAGUAUUGUGACGAUCCAUCUGGCAUGUGCGGGAUUCUUCGAAUUCGAGGCAAGGGAGGGGCACACGGGCCGUCUAGGCAUGUUUUGUUUUGCCCGUGAGGGUCAGUUUUGUCCCUUUUAUGCAGAAUUUCAAAAUUGUAGUCCAAAUUUUUUACUGUAAAGAGGGCUGCCCACCCCCUCAUUUCCCACACUCAAAUAUGACUUAUCACAACAAGUUCUCUACCUUCGUAGUAUCUGAUUUCUGGGUUGACAUACGCAACUAUGUCACAUCAUCCCCACCUUCGACAUCAUGUUGCGUGAAAUUGAUUGACGCCACAAAAGAUUUCAAGCACCCGAGAUUUAGCAAGACCAUAAUAUUUAUCCGCUGUGACACCUGGGCUCAUUUAUUAUUAUUUUUUGAGUUCUUUUUCUAAAUUUUUCCGACGUAAUUAUAAAUGGGCCUCCAUGUGCCAUGUCGUGCCAGGCCCAUUUAUGUCCAGGCCGUUGGCUACUGGAAAGCCGACCAAAAACCCUCUUUUCCCCCUCUGCUCUGCGCCGGAUAUACGGCUUCGGAAAACAAACAAAUAGCACACACGGCAACGAUUGAGUGGGUGAAGCGCGCCGUGUAUCUAGUUCAGAGCCGUUGGAAAGAGGCUUUUUGGCCGGCUUUCAACUCGAGAUCCGGUGACCAACCCAUCACAAUAGGCGGCGGCGAACGAGCGGGAGAAGCGCGAUGCCGCUCGCCGGGGCCAUCAAGUCCGCCGCAAUUCUUCUCCUUGUCAUCCUCUCAGCUGAGGGGCAGCCGUUCAAGGGCCUCAUGCCUAAGAACGGGAGAGUGGACUUGGUUGGCAACAAUGUCAAGGCGACGACCGAUACGGCAGUGAUGUGCUACCAGAGGAGCGCCGUCGACGAAGAAGCCAAGCCGAGCAAGAUGGUCGUUGACGUGGCCCUGCUCAACACGUAACAAGUGAUAUAAUCACGAAAAGUUAUGUCUGCUUCAAUCAACUUAACACGAGGUGUUGAAUAUAAUUGCUCAUAGGAGAUGGACUCCAUCAUUGCAGUGAAGCUGACACAGGCUCAGGACGUGGAUAGAUCUAUUUACGCUUCGCUCAUCAAGAAGAUUCGUUACCUUAUGUCCCUUCAUGAUUCUUGUAUUACUCAUAUCAAUCAUAGUCAAAAUAAGGUUGGUGAUAGUCUAGCUAAGUUUGCUCGUCUAGAAGGCAGAACCAUGACUUGGUUAUGUUCGUGGCCUCCGCGUUGGGGUUUGCAGCGAUUGAUUGUACCAACAUUGUUUUUUUUUAAGAAAGGCAAAAGAUUUGCCUCAUUCAAUAAAUAAGAGGAAUAGAGUUUAUGGUCGUGUUACAACACAGACAACACCGUAACAACCGAAAAAAGUGACCAACUACUCUCCCGUCAUCAAGUAUCCCAACUUUCUAGCACCCAUAGUUACCCAAAGCGUGGCCUCCUUGAUGUUGGCGAGAAGCACCGUCGGUGGAGCACUCUUCUGACGAAACACCCGCGCAUUCCUCUCGUUCCAAUUGUACCGACCUAGUGAUUGAGUAAUGCAUUAUUUCACCCGCAAAAAGAAAAAAACUUAACACGAGGCGCUAAAUAUCAUUGGUCAAAGCGAAAUUCACAACUGUAAGUCAAUUUUGGCAACAAGUUCACGUGUGCAAACAUACCAGGACGUGUCAAAUUUCAGCGUGAACGAAGUUUCGUGGAAAGUCCCACGAAGUAAAACCCAUCGGUGUACAAUUUCCUCAAUCAGAGACACACAUCCUCUGUGGCAAAGUGACGAAGCCAACCAUUUCAGUGAUACUAGGCAGAGCCAGCCACGCGCAUUCACUCACCAACACCAUCUUUUGAGUGCCGAAAGAGAACUGGAAUCGAGGUAGCUGCGAUAGGGUAGGCACUGGGUCUGGAGUUGAAGGCCGGCCGCCGUCCAAAAACCAUCUUUUCCCCCUGCUCGUCUCCAUCCUCCUCAGUGUUCCCACUUCUCGGGGCCGGAGAAGCACAAUGGCGUCGCUCGCCGGAGCCGCACUCGCCUCCUGCAGCAUCCUUCUCCUCCUGCUCGUCCCCUGCGCCCAGGGCCAGGGGCAACCACCCGAGGCGCCGGAGGAGGCUUGGGCCGAGGGGCAACCACCGGAGGCGUCGGAGGACGCUUGACGAUGCUCUUGUCCGAUGGCGGGUGCCGCGCCUUCUCCGGCCUCGUCGCCAUGACGGCCGGCGUGGGCGACGCGUUCCGUGAGCAGAUCGGCAGCGAUCUGGGGCUCACAAUCCUCUGCCCUGAGGACGAGGCGGUGGGGGCGUUCAUGCCGAGGUUCCAUAACCUCACCGCCGACGAGCAGGUCGCGGUUCUCCUGUACCACGGCCUGACGAUGGCUUACUCUGAGGCAGUGGCGGGGCCACCGUUGUAUGGUUGGAUGUAGUUGAACCCAACGAAACUUGGUAGCUACGUACGUAUCGGCAGGUAGUUUGUACGCCUGAACCCAGUAAAAAGAUUAGGCUGACCCCAUCAAUCUCGUGAACUGCCUCGGUGGAUAGGCUAAAACGGCCCAAAGGCCCAUAAGUAAAUUGCCUCGGUGCCCACAGCUACCCAGGUCUCUCAAUCGAUCCUCAAAAAAAAAAGGUCUCUCAAUCGUGAACUGUACACAUACGAUUCCUACGCAGCCGCCGCCACGCCUUUACUCGUUCAAUUCGCCAAUUCACCUCUGGCCUCUCUCCUCUCGUCUCUUCUGUUCGUCCAUCCAUCCAUCAUCAGAACCCAGCGGCAAGCCGUCAAUUCAAUUCCAAAUUGAAGGUACAGACUUGUGAGAUUGCAGUUCUGUCUAGCAUAAUAGUCUAGUACCAUGACAAUAUUUCUGCUGUAGUUUGCUAAUGUACAUCACGGACUUUGAUUGAUCCAGAUGAUGGAACAAUAUUCUUAAAAGAGGAAUCGAUCACCACAUCAAGACAAAGAUGCAGACAUGUUAAGAUGACCUGUUAGAUGUAGGCAAAAUUCAUCAAAUAUGUCAUUGCAAUUAGUCUUCUCACACAUUGGAGGAAUUAAUUUGGAUCAGUUGCCUAAUGAUCCAACGGAUUGGCAGAGAAUUUCAUAAUACACAAGUAAACGCCAGGAGCAAGUUGAGAUUACACGCAAAUAUUUAACUGUGGGAAUUAGAAACCACUGGCUAAGUUUGAUUAUCCACAGAGAGAAAUUUGAAGAUACUCAACGGCGAUUUAAUGAUGCCAAAGAAAAGCGGUGCAACAAAAUGGGUGAACGGUUUAUAAAUGAUUGUCUAAUUUGCUAUGGGAAGAAAUAUAUGUUUUCUACCAUUCGUAAUGAUCCAGUGUUUGGUCUUUUUAAGAUAAUGAGACAAAUAAAAAGGAGACACUCUAAAAUAUGAGCAACUUUACUUCUUCUUUUUUGGCUUGAUGGUACUUAUAUUAAACUUGUCAAACUAACUUGUCCUGUGUUUACUGUUUUCAGAAAGAUGAGGAGCUAUGAAGUUAUUUGGGUACUAAUUUAUUUAUAGUAUCUAAACAAGUGGUUUUAGAAUUUCACCCAACUGGUAUGUCUUAUACUCUUCAACUAUUAACAUAGCAAAAUAUGUAGUAGGUACUAUCAUAUUUCUAUUUGUUUUGUUAUUUUGGGUGUUGUAAGAUGGUGUAAAAUAGCUUUUAUGCUUAACUAAUUCGUAUCAAAUCCUCAUGAGUUAACAAGUGAACCCAAUGACUAAAUUUUCUGGCUCCGCCCCUGCUCUGAGGAGCUGCUCAGCUGGGUGACCUGGGUCCACGGGGAGUUCUCGACGCUUGAUGGGGAGGAUAUGCUCACCAUCCGUCACCACAGAGGCAGGCUGAUGCUUUCUUCGUGGCCGCCGUCGUCACGUAACAAGACCAGGAUCACCAAGACGGUCGUCGACGACGACCAUCUCGCCGUCUACCUCAUAGACGCCGUGCUGAUUCCGGCAGAUCCCAAGCGUCAAAGAGUUGUGGCACUUAUCAUCAUUAUUCUGGUACUCGUUGUCGGCGUGCUCGUGGCGUUGUGAGUUUUCUUUCCUCACACUUAAUUCCGCUACGAUCAAAUGGAAGCAAUCAGUUCAUGCAAUUUGUUGGCGCACUAGCUCGAUCUUGUUCCGCUUCCGCCCCACAGAGUUUUGAGCGCCUUCGAGCUGGUGCUAGAGGAUUCUAUCUAUGUAUAAAUCGUAUACUAGUACAGCUAGUCGACAAUAAUUUAGAUUUGGGCUUUCUGUACAUAUAAGUCAAUUUAAUGAACAUUGUUAAUUAGUUUUUACGGGUAUAUUUUAAUACAAACCCCACCGUUAGUUUUUACGGGUAUAUUUUAAUACGGCUGCUUGAAUUGCUCCAGCUUUUCUAAAUCUUGAUUAUGUACGCUAAUUGUAGUAUCUGUUAUUAUUAUUUUGCGGGUGGCUAACUGUAUCUAUGUUUCCCCUGCAGAUUCUUGCUGUUUCAUGUAUAUCUUGGUUCUCUUGUGUGCCGGCUGACAAGGUGGUGUAAGGAUCGCGCUGCUGCCUACGCUUCGGCCGCCCGUGUCACUCCACAUGGGCAAGGGCAACAAGAACAUUAGCCUAUGGCCGCUUCGGAGUGCCUCGCCUCCUCGGGUCAUUCCCUCGUACUUAUUUCCGUUUGUGGUGACAGAUUUCACGGUUGUUUUCUCCGUCUUCGAUGUAUAUAGUGGUGUUCAGCGGGGCGGUGGGAUGGUCAGUUGAUGAAACUGCAGGAUCUAGAUCGUGUUAUUUUUCUAUGCACAUAUAUUUAUAUAUAUAUCUUUUGCCGGGAACACUUUCCAUGUAUUUUGUGUUUACUUACUUAUGGAUCUAGGCUUCGUUUGAUGUAACGAAAUACUGGUGGCCAUGAGUUCGAUAUGUAGUGGAGUAGGAGUAGCAUUGGAACUUCUAUUGCAAGCAUCCGUCCAUGGGGCUGCAUUAGAUGAGGGAGGAGUUUCAUUUUAUUAUGCACCAUAGUUUCUUUCAACAGCUUUCAGAAAAACAUAUAUAUCAUUCAAAUGACAUGAUGCAAACCGACUUGGUGACAAAUGACAAAGGAGAAGUGGUGUUGGCAUGUUAGCAUUGACAACAUAAUUUCACAUACGUUUCUCAGGUUGUUCCGUGUAACUUAUAUUGUAUACAUGAUCUUGUGCGUACAUACAGUCAGCGAUCUUGUCAACCAUAUAAGCAGGCUGCAGGUUGCCAACUGAUUGGUCAUUAGGAAGGUACCAAGAGCUUAUUUUGCAACCUAACCAUGUUGUUCAUGUGCACGCAGCAAACGUAUACUCCUUCCAAUGUACUAUCCGUAGCAUGCACAGGUGCCAUCUUUAGAAGAAAAAAAUUUGAAACAUGAGGCAACAUAUUUGCCUCAUCUCAAUAUCUCAUUAGUUGAGAAGAAGAAAGACAAGGUUUAAAAGGUAAUAUGACCAUAAAGAUCACUGACCGGACGCGAAAACCGCACCCAACCAGACCUUACAAAUCCGGCCCAAACGCCCAGAAUGACCGACACUCACCAUACCCGGCCCAUGCAUGGGGCGGAUAUGGGGACGCCUGGACGCGCCCACUGUGUCGGCUCUGACAAGCCCGACCCAUCCCAAAUACUCUCAAAAUUGGCUAGUCCUCCACUUCGACCGAUAUCCUCCUACCUCCAUCCUACAUUUCCUGUCUCUGCAUCACAACCCACCUCCUCCCUUGCUCGCUGUCCUCAUCCGCCGCUGCUGAUGUCAUCAUCGACAACCAUGUCUGGCACCAUGGGCACGGAUGAUGCCUCGGUGGAAUUGGUCGUGCUCCCCAGCCUGAUGGUUCCUUGCAAAGUGGAGAACCUUGCCCGGAAGGACCAUCGCCGGAGGCAGCGCGAGCGUGAGGUGGCGGCGAAGGUAACUGCAGAGGUGCCCGGUCCUAAGAUGACCUUUGUGCCCGGUGCUGAGGACAUGGACUUUGGUGCGACACAGACCAAUCCGAAGGUUGUAGCCGUGGGAAAAAACAACUUGUCGGUGGUGCCCGACUCCGUUCCGCCCUCCCAGUGUACGGGCAUCCUAGAUUUGAGAUUUUCGCAAGCCGCCCCCGAUGCGUCCAUGAUGGCCGACUCGCCACAGCUCCAAAGGCAUCGGGUGACAUCAGGCUAUGUAGGCUCCGGGCGUGCCCACACAUUGUUCGAUGGAAUGCCUGACCAAGAGCAAGUGCAAUCUUUGCCCCAUUCACGCUUGCAUUCGUAAAUUGUUUUUUUGCACAUACCACCACAUCAAUGUUGUAGGACGAUAGUUAAAUUGCGAUGCAUAUUGUAGGAACAAAUAUUGCAUAACAUGAUAAAUGAUGGUCAAGAGUCUUUGCAAUUUACCAUGGAAGAUACCAAUUCCUCGGUGUUUGAAGUGGAAAACGUCACACACUAAAAGAAGAAGAUAGUGAAGCCAAGAGGUCCAGCAUUCACAUAAUUUAAAGAUGUUUUGUUGUGUGAAAGAUGAUGUAACACUAGCAUGGAUCCGAUAUGUGGAACUAAGCAAAAAAUGCAAGAAAUAUUGGAAAAAUUCUCAAACUAUAGCAUGAGAAAAAACAUUACGUGAAGCCACACCCAAUUGCUAGCAACCGUGACUCGUGCUUUGUCCAACAUAGAUGGUCACUCAUCCAAGAUUCCGUGAGCAAAUUUGUCCAUUAACUCAAACAAGUUGUUGGCCGGGACCAAAGCGGCAUCGGAGUUCAAACCCAUGCAGCUUUUACUGCGGCUUUGUACCAUCAAGUAGAGAAGAAGACAUUCACUUUUUCAUAUUGUUGCAUGAAAUUGAAUGGGAAACCCAAGUGGAAAAGCUUCCUCGAGGAGAUUAAAAUCGGCACGGUAAGCUUCUCAGGAAGAUUGUGUUUUGAGUCAAGACGCUGGGAACGGUUACCCGACAGUGGAUUCUCGUCAGCCGGAGAAGUAUCUUGGCAAUAAAACCAUGUUUGGUUCCAAUCUUUAGGGUGACUCGGCAAGCAAGCAUAAGGAAAGAUGGCAUCUCUUCUUCGUUGAAUUGAGAUUCCGCCAAGUUCCAAGAUGGGUCCAUUCAUAAACUCAUUUUGGUGGUCCAAAUAAAAACAUUCCCUAAACAAUUCAACACUGGGCUCUUCUUGAAGGUAUACUUUGCAGAAGACUUGAAAAUUGUGGAUAUUUGACACGAAAUUGGGUCCGAUGUCUUGAGGAUGAAGUUCAAAGAAGUGCAGAACAUCUCAGAAAAAUUUAGAACCGGGCGGUGAGAAGCCCCGGUUCAUGUGAUCAGUAAAAACAAUGACUUCACCAUCCUUUGGCUGAGGUUUUUCUUCUUCUGGAUCAGGGGCACGAUAAUGCAUGACAGUCUUUUCUGGUAAAUAGCCAGUUUUCACAAAGUCCUUAAGUGUGUUCUCAGUGACAAUGGAGGGAACCCAGUUACAUGAAGUGGAUGUCUUCGGAGGCAUUAUGAAGAAAGAAGCCUAACAGAAAGAAUAAUUUUGCCAGUUUAAGUUGAUUCAUUAAGCCGGAGGUAAAACACUACAGUACAUAUUCAGCACAGCGGCUUAAAAUGGGCCUAAUGACAUAUGACUAGUUAUAACUGGUGAGGUAAGCUGCCAUGACAAUAUUGGCAGUUAAUAUCUCUCCAGAAGGAAAAAUUUCGCUAAGUGAGGAACAAACCGAUUUCAUAGACUGAAGCUAUAAUUUCGGAUCUAUGGCAGUUUAGAAAAUGCAAUAAGUUCUAAACCUAAAUAUCACAGCAGCAGGAGAACUAGCACAAGGGCGAGAUGUUUUGCAUCUGUAAAGCAAGUUUUGAGAUAAACAGAGGGAGUGGAAACAGGUUCUGCGCGUCCUAAGGGAUAUAUUUGGAUCUAAAAUAAGAGCUAACUAGAAGUACAGUGAAGAACGAUGAAGAACGACGAAGAACUCGAAGAACUACAGAAACCCUAAUGGAGAUCUACGGUGGAGAGGAUAAGGGGCUUAUUGGAUCCAAGGAGCAAUGAGGAGGCGCUGCAGUUUCUCUUGUCCCGUUCAGGUCGAUGCAGCGCCAAGGACGAGGAAGACGGUGAGCUUGCAGCGGCGACGGAGCUCGAAGCGGCAUAUGAGUCGCGAGAGGAGGAGGAAGACGAGAAGGAAAGGGGGGGAGAGAAUGAAAGGAGGUUGUCUGACCCUAUUUAUAAGGAGAAGGGUGAACAGGUAGGCGCGAAAAAUGAGGAGGCCAAAACAUGAUUAUCCAGCGGUUCGGACACCUUGAUUUUCGGAAAGGUCAUUAAAGACAAAGAUCCGUUAAGAUAUGUUGGAUAUUGUGUAGAAUUAAACGGCAGAUGACAUCAUGGCAGGUUACCGCAAUCGCAGGAGAUGAUGCGGGUUAUGAGUUCUCACGCAAAUGAAGAAGGGAAGAUUGUUUCUGAGUGUUGAAGAUUGACAUGAACAAGUUCAAAUCAACCUGGGGCCUAAAUGUUGGGGAUAUGACUAUUAGGUAUGACCCGCCCAGGAGGGGCCAGGUUAUACCUAUGGCGGUUCAUCCAUACGAAGCCCAUGAGGAUACUAAGAUGGCGGUUCACAGGCAAGGGCCCAAGGCGCAAGGGCGACUUAAGGCCUGUAGGAGUAAACCACUAUAUGUAUAUGACUUGUAUUGUAAGGCAGGUAUAUUUAGUCACCGAGCCGGACACGUUGUCUAUGAGCCAGCCGGGACUCGUGAGCCGCUGGGCGUCAACCUGUAUAUAUAAAGGGACGACCUGGCGGUGGUUCAGGGCAAGAAAACAAGAGAUCGAAAGCUAGGUCAAGCGGAUUCGCUCCCUGGUAACUGAGACAUAAGCAAUACCACCUCAAACUGGAUUAGGCCUUUACCUUCACCGCAAGGGGCCGAACCAGGAUAAACUCAUGUGUCCUUUGUCCCGUUUAACCCCUUUAAGCUAACCUAGUUGCAGUGGCUCCACGACUAAGUCCUCACACUAGGACAUCUGCCGUGACUAUUCCACGACAAUCACCGUUUGGUUACGAGGUAACCCAUCGGGUAAGAGAGUCCGAGGGACUCGGCGCACCAGUUGAUUUCACCACAUCAGUAGCAUGAAUUGCAUUGCAUUAAUCUGAAUAAUUGUCAUGAUAUUGUUUGCCAUUAUGCUUAUGUUUGUUGUGAUCUUGCAAGUACAUUCAAUGUACUGACCUAGCGUGUCAUGCCAGAUUUCAGGUAAAUCGUAUCGGAUCGAAGAGCUUCCCGCGUCUAGAUCGUGUCCACAUCGGUGUCCCUGUGCUAUGGAGUUCCACGUCGUCGUCGUUCCGCUGCCGUGUAGUUUAUGUGAUCGAGGCCCCUUCAUGUGCAUUAAAUAAUGUACAUAUUGUUCAGCCGCACCGUGUGUGCUGCUUGGCCUCGCAACUGGAUGUAAUAUCAGACCUAUGUUCCUGCUAGCAUCAAUAAAAGCAGUUGAUUUCUGUACCAUGUUGUUGUGUGUUGCCAGAAGACUUGUUCUCUGGGCUGGCAAUGCAAGGUAAACCGGUUGCUCUGAUCCGGGGUGCUACAACCACCACAUUCCCAUUUUAAUGCAAGGAGCAGACUCCAAAGAUUUGGGAUCAAUGGUGUUGUGAUGGGUUGGUAACAAACCUGGCCAUCCACGCUGAAUCGGUGGUCGGCCCGAUAGCAUGCAUGCUGGCACGUAACAUGACUAAAUAGGUGGUUUCUGUCAUCAUUCUGGGAACGGGGGUCCCCAGAUUUGCAUGCAUGCGGCCUGCAGCGUGGCUCACCAGCGGCCCAGUACGGCCCGUCUUCUUCAACCCAAGUUCAAGACCCUCGCGAGGGGCCAAGCCUCACGAGACAGACGACACAAGGCCUCAUCAGGGGCGGCCUCACCAGGCAGGCUCACGAGGAGGCGGAGAGAUCAAGGCGAGGGAUACCUCGCGAGGUGCUCAUGACGCAAGCCAUGACGAUCAAGACCAGGCGGGCGCUAGCCUGCGCAGUGUCCUCGUUUCCUCUUUGGUGCAAAGGGGGCAAGUGAUAACCCACAAGUAUAGGGGAUCGCGACCGUUUUCGAGGGUAGAGUAUUCAACCCAAAUUUAUUGAUUUGACACAAGGGGAGCCAAAGAAUAUUCUCAAGUAUUAGAAGUUGAGUUGUCAAUUCAACUACACCUGGAUAACUUAGUAUCUUCAGCAAAGUAUUUAGUAGCAAAGUAAUAUGAUAAUAAUGGUAACAGUGGCAAAAGUAAUGAUAGCAGUUUUGUAGUAGUUGUAACAGUAGCAACGGUAAAUUAAAUAAGCAAAGCACAAUAUGUGAAAAGCCCGUAGGCAUUGGAUCAGUGAGGGAUAAUUAUGUCGGAUGUGAUUCCUCAUGUAAUAGUUAUAACAUAGGGUGACACAGAACUAGCUCCAGUUCAUCAAUGUAAUGUAGGGAUGCAUUCCGAAUAUAGUCAUACGCGCUUAUGGAAAAGAACUUGCAUGACAUAUUUUGUCCUACCCUCCCAUGGCAGCGGGGUCCUAGUGGAAACUAAGGGAUAUUAAGGCCUCCUUUUAAUAGAGUACCGGACCAAAGCAUUAGCACUUAGUGAAUACAUGAACUCCUCAAACUACGGUCAUCACCGAGAAGUAUCACGAUUAUUGUCACUUCGGGGUUGUCGGAUCAUAACACAUAAUAGGUGACUAUAGACUUGCAAGAUAGGAUCAAGAACUCACAUAUAUUCAUGAAAACAUAAUAGGUUCAGAUGUGAAAUCAUGGCACUCGGGCCCUAGUGACAAGGAUUAAGCAUAGCAAAGUCAUAGUAGCAUCAUUCUCAGAACAUAGUGGAUACUAGGGAUCAAACGCUAACAAAACUAACUUCAUUACAUGGUAAAUCUCAUCCAACCCAUCACCGUCCAGCAAGCCUACGAUGGAAUUACUCACACACGGCGGUGAGCAUCAUGAAAUUGGUGAUGGAGGAUGGUUGAUGAUGACGAUGGCGACGAAUCCCCCUCUCCGGAUCCCCGAACGGACUCCAGAUCAGCCCUCCCGAGAGAGAUUAGGGCUUGGCGGCGGCUCCGUAUCGUAAAACGCGAUGAAACUCUCUCUCUGAUUUUUUUCUCCGCAAAAGCAAAUAUAUAUAGAGUUGGAGUUGAGGUCGGUGGAGCACCAGGGGGCCCACGAGGCAGGGGGCGCACCCAGGGGGAGGGGGUGUCGUGGUUCUAAGUCUGACAGUAGAAUGGGGGGUAGGUAUGGAGGGGCAAGAUCCUAGCUAUGGAGCAGUUGUAAACACAAGGGAUGUACGAGUUCAGGCCCUUCUCGGAGGAAGUAACAGCCCUACGUCUCGGAGCCCGGAGGCGGUCGACUGGAUUAUGAGUGUAUGGGUUACAAGGGUGCGAACCCUUUACACUGAGGAGGGGGGUGGCUUAUAUAGUGUCUGCCAGACCCCUCCGGCCCUCAGUUAUGCAGGGUUUAAAGUACAUUAAGGCUAGGCGUUACUGGUAACGCCUUACAUAAAGUGUCCUAAAUGCCAUAAAGACUACUUAAUUACAGACCGUUUGGAUGCAGAGUGGCUCUUGAUCUCCUGGUGGUCGAGUGAGUCUUCAUGGUCGAGUCCUUCGAGUCUGUCGAGUGUAGUCCCUCUUGGUCGACUGGAAGGCAGUUUCUUCUGAAGGUGUCCUUGGGAAGGGUACUUAGGUCAGGUCUAUGACCCUACCCUAGGUACAUGACUUCAUCAUUAGCCCCCGAAUGGAUCGAGGUUUGAGUGAGGAAGGAGUUGAUAAUAUUUCCGACCCACUUUUGUGUUCUGAACAUGUACCAUCGUGGACCAAUAAUCUCUUUGAUGAUAACAGCAACUUUUCUUUCAGUCGCCUUGAUCCAUUCUUUUCUCCCGUCGAGUGAAUUUUUGAAUUUAGUAAACUUCCGAGCAACGGAUCGCAGGGAAUCUCCUGUCUGACAGAUCGAUCUGCUGUUAGCGGAUUUUGUGGGAUCCGAAUUUUGGGAAGCGCGCGAAACGGGGCGGACCGCGGCGCUCGGAUGGGAUAGGGCAUCGACGCCUCGAUUCCCGCGCCGCCUUUUUUGCCACGUAUCGCGUACACGCGACUGUUUCGGGAUGUGAUAGGAUCGUCCGGGCCCACUCGUCAGCCACUCAGAAGUGCCCUUAUAAAGGCGCCUGGUGAGGGUUUUUGAACAAUAUCUCUCCAUUCUUCCUCCUGCCCUCUCCCUCUCCGCCCGCCGUGCCUGUUCUCGCCCCUGCCCAUCCACUCCUCGUGCGCUUCGUCGGCAACAAUGGUGAAGGAGAAUAUGGCGGCUUUGGAGCACGCGAAGAAGGCGACGGUGACAGGGAAGGGGAAAGGGAGAGCGCCCAGUCGGGGCGGAUCCUCGUCCAGGUCCCGCUUGCCGCAUGGCUGGGUACAAGGGGAUUGGAUCCGCUCGACCAUCACCGAGAUGGAUCUCACUGAGAUGGCCAAUGAGGGCUUGAUCCCUCAUGGGGCAGCGAGGCUCCCGGGGAACGAGUGGCAACCACAGCCGCAGGAGGGUGAGUGCGUCCUUGUAGCUACUCAUGUCGACCGUGGAUUCUCCUUGCCUCCGAGUGUUUCCUUCCGUGGUUUCUUGAAUUUCUUUGGGGCGCAACUUCACCAUUUCAAUCAAAAUUCCAUCGCCUACCUUGCUGCCUUCGUGUCCAUGUGCGAGAACUUCCUGGGGUGUCGACCGCACUGGGGUCUCUUUAAGCACAUAUUCACUUGCCGCUCAUAGACUGUGAAAAAGGCGAGUCCGGAUGACGAUAGGACUAAGGUUAUUCAGAUGUGUGGGGGUCUUGGGAUUCAGAUGAGGAGCAAGAGUACUUUUACGGCCAUGACUCUUCCUGAGUCGGUCAGAGGGUGGCAGUCGACUUGGUUCUACUGCCAAGACGAGUCGACGCCGGGGCAGUCGACUGGUCUACCUCCGUUUUCCAUGGACCGAGUGAACAAGCCCUCUUCUCUGAAGGUGCUCCCCGAGGAGAAAGCCCAAGUGAAGAUGUUGAUGGAGCGUGUAGUCCAGCUAGUUCGGGAAGGAGUGACGGGUAUGGACCUUCUGGAGGUCUUCCUUAGGCGGCGCAUCCAACCACUUCAGUACCGAGGCCAUUGUAUGUGGCUGUACUGUGGAACCGAGGAUGAAACUCAGGUCCAUCCAGAAGUAGUCGACGACGCCACACUGGAGAGGUGGAUGGCCGUGAUCGUAGGGAAUAAAGACAACCCUCAAGGAGCCAGGAGGAUUCCGCCACUCGACCAUUCUUACACUCCAGACACGGUAUGCCCACUUUAUCCCCAAUUGUAAUCUUGCCAUACUUAUUCUGCUUUUGCUGCAAAUUGGUCGAUUGAUCUUUAUUUUGCUGUCUGUCAGGCCACCACCGAACUAUACUCGAUGCCCAAUGGAGCACAGACGCCGACUGAAGAGGAGGAAGGAAGUGGGGGCAAAAGCCAAGAGGACUGGGAUUAGGACACUGCUGCUGAUGAUGAAGAUGACGACUCUGAUGGGGAGGAAGAAGAGGAGGAGGAGGAGGAAGUUGCACCGCCUCGCUCGGAAAGAUGCUAGAAGCUCGUCCAUGACCCUGCAACCGAGCGUGGUAAGGGGGUCGCAACUGUCGUUCAGUCGACCAAGCGCCCUCGAACCACUUCUUCGGCGCCGACCGAGAAAGCUCCGAAGCAAUCCAGGGUGGCACCGUCGAAGCCGGCCAAGGUCUUGCCGAAGAUGAAGAUGGCGAUCCCCACUAUCUCAGGGUAAUGAUGCUAGUUGAGUUUUUCUGUUCCCCAUGAACUUAUUCUUGGUCGACUUAUGAAUCAUCCGACUGACUUCUGGAACUGCAGCGCUGCUACUUUUGAUACCUCGGCCAGGGCUGACGAUCAUGAGAUGGAAGACGCUGCCACUUCAAAACCUGGUACGACUUUCAUCGUUCUGUCUUCAGUCGAUUGACUUUUUGUCUCUGAUUUUUGAUUCUUUUCUGUAGCUCCGUCUAAUGUCGUUAUUACCCUUCCUGAUGACGACAAUGAGGAACCACUAAAGCAAAGGAGGAGCAGGAAAACGUCUGCUGGCAAGGCGACUCAGAACGUGCCGGCGCCCGAGACACUGGUCGCGGAGGGAGAGAACACCACUCAGCCCACCGUAUCUUUCGCGGUGCCGUUGACGAGUGCUCACCCCACAUCGUCGAGUGCUGCACAGCCUUCACUUUUCUCGACCCACUACGUCCCAGAGGAUCAAGCCAGUGCUGCGAAAGAAGCGAUACGCCAGGCGGGAGUCAUGAUGGAGCAAGUGAAGGCCAUCCGAGAAGCCAGCCAGGCAGCCUAUGACGCCAGUUCCACUCUUCAAAGUAACAUUCAGGUCAGUCGGUCAUCGCCUGCUCUGUUAGGAUAUGAUAUCUGAAAAUUCUUCUUUCUGAAAUCCGUAGUGAUUGUCCUACACCCACUGGGUGCGUCGAUUGGAAUUCCGGGUUAGUGGGGGCACACUGAGUGCACCCACUGGGUGUAGUCCCCAAGGCUAUGGUGGACUGCUGGCAGUCGACCAUAUCUUUAUAGUUUAAAUUUUUUCUUCAUUUGACGAGGUCAAAUGGAUUUCCAGGCUGGUGGGGGCAUGCUGAGUGCACCCACUGGGUGUAGUCCCCGAGACUGUGGUCGACUGCUGGCAGUGGACUACAGUCUGAAGAGCAUUUCCCGUUUUUUUUUGGUUGGUCGACUGGUCGACUCGCCAUUCUCCUAGUGGGGGCACGCUGAGUGCACCCACUGGGUGUAGUCCCCGAGACUAUGGUCGAAUGUUUGCAUUCGGCUGUAGUCUUAGAAACGUAUGAUUUUUCCUUAGUCACUCGGAAGUGAAUUGUCUUUGACAUUUUGUCGAUUGGUUCUUCGUAGAAAUCCUGCGACCUCGCGGCUCGCUACACAGAGUUGGAAAACAAACACAUCCAGCUCGAGCUUGAUCUGAAGCUGGCCCAGGAGAAUUUAACGAAGGCGAAGGAGGAAGCCAAAGGUAUGUUUGGUGAGGCUUCGACGACUGCCUUUGCCCCUCAUUUGUUUCAAAGUCUGACCUUGCUGUAACUUUGCAGGCAAAGUGAAGGAGGCCCAGAAGAAGAAAGACCUUGAGUUGGCUGCAAUGCAGAAAACAACUUUAGAGAAGACCAAGCUAGCAGACGAGAAGUUGGCUUCGGUCACCAAGCUUGAAGAAGAAAACACCAAUCUGAAAGCUGCUCUUGAUGCCGCCAACCAAGAGGUCAGUCGACUGAAAAGUGAUAAUAUUGCUCUGAGUGACAAGGCCAGUGAGUUGGUGGGGAAGAAGAACGAUCUGGAGGCUUAUCUGGGUGGACUCACCAAGAAACUAUUCCUCAUGCUCGAAGGUAAUCUUUCGCACAAAAACAUGUAUUUCCACUGUGAUCUUUCCAUUCGACUAUUGUCUUGACUCGGUGGUUGUGCUUGCAGAAUUUUGCCAGAACUUUGAAGAGGAGACUGGUCGACUGGAGCCAAACUUGGACCCCAUCAACUCUCCAGUGAAUGACGAAGUCGCCAUGAACGUGCUCCGGCUCGAAUCUCGUGUCGCUGCCGUCGUUGAUUAUCUUGCAAGGCUGAAGGUCACCACUUCCCGCAUCGAUGCUACGCUCUGGCCCAGAGAGACGCUCCAGAAUGACCUCGAGUCUCUGAUGACUCGACUGAACACAGUCCCAAGUCGAGUGCAGGAGUGGAAGAAAUCCUCUGCCAGGUGGGACGCAGAUGUUGCUCUAUCUCUGGCCCGAGUCCAUUGCAAGGAUGCACGAGAAGACAAGUUGGCGGCUCUUCGGGUGGCUAACACCAAGAAGCACGAUUUCUGGUCCUUCAUGGAGACCUUCAUCACUGCUGCCACUCAGAUUGCUGAUGGAAUCGACCUCGACGAGUUUGUUGCACCCUCCAGCCCUCCACAGGAGGGGUAAAAAACUUCUUGAGCUCGACACUUUAAAUUUGCCUCGGUAUGCCGAGUGAUUUUGUAACCGACAAACCUUAACAGGCCUAGCGCCUGAGCACUUUUGGUUCCGUUAGGUAUCUAUUCGAACUUGGAUUCGACGUUUGAAUAUGCUUGUAUUUGGUUUGAGAUGUCUUUUGCAGGUUAAAGAGAGAUGCUUAUUGCAAUCGACUUGUUCCCCAAUUCACUUAGGCAGGCACUGGGCUGCAGCUAAGCCUCCGAGUGUGAGGUUUGCUCUCCACUUGGCAGGAUUUUCAAACUUAGGCGAGCACUGGGCUGCAGCUAAGCCUUCGAGUGGGAGGUUUGCUCUCCACUCGGUAGGAUUUUCAAAAACUUAGGCAAGCACUAGGCUGCAGCUAAGUCCCCGAGUGGGAGGUCUGCUCUCCACUCGGUAGGAUUUUCAAAACUUAGGCGAGCACUGGGCUGCAGCUAAGCCCCCGAGUGGGAGGUCUGCUCUCCACUCGGUAGGAUUUUCAAAACUUAGGCGAGCACUGGGCUGCAGCUAAGCCCCCGAGUGGGAGGUCUUCUCUCCACUCGGUAGGAUUUUCAAAACUUAGGCGAGCACUGGGCUGCAGCUAAGCCCCCGAGUGGGAGGUCUGCUCUCCACUCGGUAGGAUUUUCACGUUGUACUUGUGGCGUAGCUCGAAGGAGAGGGUAGCAGUCGACCUGCACCUCGUCCUCCUUGCGACCGCACGUUGUACUUGUGGCGUAGCUCAGAGGAGAGGGUCGCAGUCGACCUGCACCUCGUCCUCCUUGCGACCGCACGUUGUACUUGUGGCGUAGCUCGGAGGAGAGGAACGCAGUCGACCUGCACCUCAUCCUCCUUGCGAGCGCACGUUGAAUUUGAACUUAGGCGAGUACUUAGACUGCAGCUAAGCCUCCGAGUGGGAGGCUGGCUCACCACUCGGUAGGAUUUUAUUAAAACUUAGGUGAGUACUUGGACUGCAGCUAAGCCCCCGAGUGGGAGGCUGGCUCAUCACUUGGUAGGAUUUUAUUGAAACUUAGGCGAAACGGAUUCGCAGCUAAGCCCCCCGAGUGGGAGGCUGGCUCGCCACUCGGUAAGGAGUUUUUUUUACAAACUUAGGCGAAACGGAUUCGCAGCUAAGCCCCCGAGUGGGAGGCUGGCUCGCCACUCGGUAAGGAUUUUUUUUACAAACUUAGGCGAAACGGAUUCGCAGCUAAGCCACCCACUGAGGGGGAAUUUUACUGAACAAAUAAAAGUGACAAAAAUCAUUGGGGAAAUUGUGACACUAUUAUCUUGCAAAACAUGAACUACAGAAGUACUUUUAUUACAACUCAUCCGAGUGAAAACUUUAAGUGUAAAAUGGGCGGAGUAACUCCGCGUUCCAAGCUCGGGGCUCGUCGAUAUUGUGCUCGACGUUGUAGAGACGGUACGCUCUGUUAUGGAGAACCUUGGUGAUGAUGAAGGGUCCUUCCCAAGAAGGAGCAAGCUUGUGUGGUUUCUGCUGAUCCACUCGGAGAACCAAAUCUCCUUCCUGGAAGGCUCGACUCUUCACGUUUUUGGCGUGGAAGCGACACAAGUCUUGUUGGUAGAUGGUUGAUCGGAUCAGAGCCAUCUCCCUUUCUUCCUCUAGAAGGUCGACUGCAUCCUGCCGCGCUUGUUCUGCUUCAGCUUCAGUGUAGAGCUCAACUCGAGGAGCGUUGUGGAGUAGAUCACUCGGUAAGACCGCCUCGGCUCCAUAGACCAAGAAGAAUGGAGUUCUUCCAGUCGACCGGUUAGGCGUGGUCCUUAGACCCCACAGCACCGAGGGGAGUUCAUCGAUCCAUGCUCCAGCCGCAUGCUUGAGGUCACGCAUCAGUCGGGGUUUCAACGCUUUGAGGAUCAAGCCGUUGGCCCGCUCCGCUUGUCCAUUCGACUAGGGAUGGGCGACUCAAGCAUAGUCGACUCGUGUGCCCUGAGAUGUGCAGAACGCCCUGAAUUCCUCCGAAUCGAAGUUUGAUCCAUUGUCAGUGAUGAUGCUGUGUGGGACUCCAUAUCUGAAUAUCAGUUCUCUGAUGAAGCUGACAGCAGUACCGGCGUCAAGGUUCUUAAUGGGCUUAGCCUCGAUCCAUGUGGUGAACUUGUCGACUGCUACCAGUACAUGUGUGAAACCGCUUCGUCCUAUUCUCAAGGGACCAACCAUAUCCAAACCCCAAACUGCGAAGGGCCAGACGAGUGGAAUGGUCUUCAGAGCUAAUGCAGGCCUGGGUGACAUGUUGGAGUAAAAUUGGCAUCCUUCGCACUUGUCGACUAUUUCCUUUGCCAUUUCAUUCGCCCUUGGCCAAUAAAAUCCGGCUCGGUAUGCUUUGGCCACGAUGGUCCGAGAGGACGCAUGAUGGCCAUAGGUCCCCAAGUGGAUGUCAUCAAGGAUUAUUCGACCUUCUUCUGGCGUUAUGCACUUCUGACAAACUCCAGUCGCGCUCUCUCUGUAUAGCUGUCCUUUGAUCACAGUAAAGGCUUUGGAUCGACGGACGAUCUGUCGAUCCUCUUCCUCGUCCUCCGGGAGCUCUUUUCUCAGGAUAUACGCGAUGUACGGAACUGUCUAGUCGGGAGUGAUCACUAAAGCCUCCAUGACCAAGUCGACCACUGCCGGGACUUCGACCUCAGUCGGAUCUGUGGCACUCUUGGGCUGCGGAGCUUCUUCGGUAAAAGGAUCUUCUUUGACUGAUGGAGUAUGAAUAUGCUCCAAGAACACAUCGCUGGGAAUGGCUUCUCUCUUGGAACCUAUCUUCGCCAAAUCAUCAGCCGCUUGAUUUUUCAGUCGGGGUAUAUGAUGGAGCUCUAACCCCUCAAACUUCUUUUCCAGCUUCCUCACUGCAUUGCAGUAUCUAGUCAUGGCUGGGCUUCUAACGUCCCACUCCUUCAUCACUUGGUUGACCACUAAAUCUGAGUCGCCAUAAACCAUAAGGCCAUGGACGCCGAGUGAAAUGGCCAUGCGCAACCCAUACAAAAGGGCCUCGUAUUCUGCCUCAUUGUUGGAGGAAUCAAAGUGAAUCUGGAGCACAUAUCUGAGCUUAUCUCCUCUGGGGGAAACCAGGACAACCCCAGCACCGGAACCAUUUAACAUCUUAGAGCCAUCAAAGAACAUGGUCCAAUGCUCCGAGUGAACUUGAGUCGGUUGCUGUUGUUCAAUCCACUCGUCAAGGAAAUCUGCUUUUGCUUGGGACUUAAUGGCUUUCUUUGCCUCAAACUUGAUAUCAAGGGGAAGCACUUCAAUCGCCCAUUUCGCCACUCGACCAGUUGCAUCUCUGUUGUGCAGAAUCUCUGAAAGUGGAGCGUCGCUGACGACUAUAAUGGAAUGAUCAGAGAAAUAAUGAGCAACCUUCUUCGUGGUCAUGUAGAUCCCAUACACAAGCUUCUGAUAAUGAGGAUAUCUUUGCUUUGAUGGAGUCAAAACUUCAGACAGAUAGUACACUGGGCGCUGAACCUUGAAGGCUUUCCCUUCUUCUUCCCGUUCGACUAUAAGUACUGUACUGAUGACUUGUCCUGUGGCUGCAAUAUAAAGCAACAGAGGCUCUUUGCUGAUUGGAGCAGCAAGCACCGGCUGGGUGGAGAGAAGAGCUUUUAGCUCGGCAAACGCUGCAUCAGCUUCUGAAGUCCACUCGAACUUGUCUGCCUUCUUCAUCAGUCGGUAAAGAGGCAAUGCCUUUUCACCGAGUCGUGAGAUGAAUCGACUUAAUGCGGCCAAGCAUCCAGUAAGCUUCUGGACAUCGUGCACCCGCACGGGGCAUUUCAUUCGGAGUAUAGUGCCGAUUUUUUCCGGGUUAGCGUCGAUUCCUCAUUCGGAAACGAGAAAAGCGAGUAACUUGCCACCAGGAACUCCGAAUGUGCACUUUGAUGGAUUGAGCUUGAUAUCAUACCUCCUGAGGUUGGCAAAUGUUUCAGCAAGGUCAGUCAGCAGGUCGGAACCCUUUCGCGACUUUACCACCAUAUCAUCCAUGUACGCUUCCACAUUCCGACUGAUUUGAGUGAGCAAACACUUCUGAAUCAUCCGCAUGAACAUGGCUCCGGCAUUCUUGAGGCCGAAUGGCAUGCUGAUAUAGCAGAAGCACCCGAAUGGAGUGAUGAAAGCUGUUUUUAUCUCAUCGGGUCCGUACAGACGGAUCUGAUGGUACCCGGAAUAAGUGUCUAGAAAAGACAAUCUCUCGCAUCCGUAGUCGAAUCAACAAUUUGAUCGAUGCGAGGGAGAGGAAAAUGAUCUUUCGGGCAGGCCCGAUUGAUGUGUUUGAAAUCAAUGCACAUGCGGAGUGACUUGUCCUUCUUGGGAACCAUGACGACAUUGGCGAGCCACUCGGAGUGGUAUAUCUCUCGGAUAAAUCCUGCUGCCAAUAGUCGAGCCACCUCCUCGCCAAUGGCUUCUCUCUUCUGGACGACGGACCGUCGAAGAUGUUCUUUGACUGGUUUUGCUGCUGAGUCGACUCUAAGGCGAUGCUCAGCCAGUCCCCUGGGAACACCCGGCAUGUCAGCUGGCUUCCAUGCAAAGAUGUCCCAGUUCUCACGGAGGAACUGGAUGAGCGCUUCUUCCUAUUUACGGUCGAGUGUUGUGGAAAUAUGGGUCGGAGCCGCAUUGGGGUCGGUCGGGUGAAUGUGAACAGGCUUUGUCUCACCGGACGACUGAAACGCUGAUUCUAUGGAAGGCUUCUUAGCCUGCAACAAAUCGCUCGGAUCUGCAUUUUUCUUAUAUUCCUCUAGCUCGACUGUUGUCACCUGGGAGUCGGCAAUUUUCGAGCCUUUCCGGAAACACUCUUCUGCUUUUUUCCGAUCACCAGUGAUAGUGAUCACACCUUUGGGGCCGGGCAUCUUCAGUUUUAGGUACACGUAACAUGGUCGAGCCAUGAACUGUGCGUAAGCUGGUCUCCCCAAAAUAGCGUGGUAAGCGCUCUGAAAAUCCACGACUUCAAAUGUCAGCUUCUCUUUGCAGAAAUGCUUCGGGUCACCGAACACCACGUCCAGAGCUAUCUGACCGAGUGACUCAACUUUCUUCCCAGGUAUGACUCCAUGAAAACUCGUGUUGCUGGUGGUUAGUCGGGACAUCGGAAUGCCCAUUCCUUUCAGCGUGUCCGCAUAUAAUAAAUUUAGUCCACUACCACCAUCCAUUAGCACCUUUUUCAGUCGAGUGCCUUCGACGACCGGGUCGACCACCAAAUCUUGCCUCCCAGGGGUGGCUAUACGAGUCGGGUGAUCAAACUGGUCGAAUGUAAUGGGAGUUUGGGACCAUCUCAGAUAACUGGGUGUCUCCGAUGCGACCAUGUUCACCUCACGAUUGAUAACCUUCAGUCGGCUCUUGCUUUCCACAUCCGCAAAGAUCAUCAUAGUGGAGUUAACAUGAGGAUAUCCUCCCUCACUGUCCUCCUUGUCUUCGGCUUUGUCCGACUCCUUUUCCUUGUCCUUGGGCUGUUUACCUUGGAACUGCUGGAUCAGGAGCCGGCACUGGCGAGUGGUAUGCUUCGGGUAAAUGAAAUUACCCUCUUCGUCUUUCUUCGUGUGGAUGUGGCACGGUAGACCCAUCACGUCAUUUCCUUCUUUAUCCUUCACCUUUUUGGGGUUCCAGGAUCCUUUGGGUUUUCCUUUGAACUUGCCUUGAGUCACGGCCAGAGCCUCUAAAGGAGCCGCUGGUUUGGCUUUCCACUUCUGCUUCCGACUGGAGUUCCCUUUCUCCGACUGACUAGGCUUGUACUUGCCGCUCUGGAGUCGGUCCUCUUCUUCGCCGUUGGCGUACUUAGUAGCAAUUUCCAUCAUCCGACUCAGGGUCAUAUCUCCGGUCCGACCAAACUUCAAACUCAAUUCUCUGUUCUUGAAGGCGCAUACUGCCUGAUGAUCAGACACGUUCUCCACGGUAUGAUGCAAAGUGACCCAUCUUUGAAUAUACUCUCUUAAGGUCUCAUUCGACUUCUGCACACAAACUUGCAGCUCUGUCAAUCCAUCUGGACGCUUGCAAGUUCCCUCGAAUGUUCUGACGAACACUCGGGAAAGAUCUUCCCAAGUGUAAAUGCUGCUAGGAGUUAACUGAUUCAACCAUGCCUUGGCCGAACCUUCCAACAUGAGUGGCAAAUGCUUCAUAGCCACUUCAUCAUUUCCACCACCAAUCUGCACCGCCACUCGGUAGUCUUCAAGCUAAGUUUCAGGCUUAGACUCACCGGUGAACUUGCUGACUCCAGUCGCCAACCUGAAGUUGGGGGGAAUCACCGCGGCUCGGAUAGCCCUGCUGAAACAUUCCGGACCAGAAACAUGCACUCGGCUGCUAGUGGGCGCAUCUCUGUCGUGGCCACCUCGAUGAGCUCUGUUCCGAUCGACCAAGCCUUGCACGAUGAUGGAUCGCGCGUCAAAGCCUGGCUCCCUGGGGUCGACCGGAGCUCUUCGUCCCACACUGAGCUGGCGCCUGUCAUCUUGCUGCCGAUGAGCGUAGGACCCACCCCUCAGGGGAGGAGUGGGCACUCGACGCCUAUCAUCACGAUCGUAUCGGUCACCAUAUUGGUCCCGUCGAUUCUCGCGUCCUUCACGCCGUGGAGGCGAUCUAGGGCUGUGAGCCGUCUGAACCGUAUUCGCAGCGACGGAUCGACUGUGAAUCCUGUUGCGUGACUGCGACACGGCUGAAUUCUGAUCUCCUGCUGCCCGGAGCAAAUCUCUAAUCUGCAUCAAGCCUCUGCUAGCCUCCGACUGAGAGGGCUGAAUCGACUCUGCUAUACGGGUUGCAGCUGCUAAAUUCUGAAUCGGGGUUCGAUAUACCUGAGUCGGCUGCGGGAAGAGUUGACGUCGACUGGAGUCGGGUACUCGUUGCCGCGCGUGCUCGUCGAGUGCUCGCUGGAGAUUCUCCAGAUGAGUGCAUUUAGCCAAGUUGGCCAAACGCGCCUCCUCCAAGGCACGAGCCUUGGGGGUUUCUCCUGCUAUAGGAGUAUGCAGGGCAUCCAUGUUCCUGCGGCGAAGUUCUUCCCUUUGCAGGGAGUUAAGUGGCUCGGGUUGAUAUUCCUCAUGGACUUGAGCGGGGUCGCCUCCACCGUCUACCCUAUCGUCGCGGGGGAAGCUGGGAGGGCUACGAGGCCCGUUGACCAUCAAGACCUCUGCCGCCGGAUCGCUGCUGUCGCACUCGGAUGCGGUCUCUACGGGGCCAGUCGAUAGAUCGAACAGGCCGUAGAGAGAUUCGUCGGGCUCGAUUGCCGCGACUUGGGUGGUGGCCGACUGGCGGGCCACCGCAUGCCUUACCCACCACUGGAGCCUCGACCGACCAGAGCGCUUGCACUAGCGGGAGACUGAGAGGGAGGACGAUAGGGGAGUCGACCGAUAAGGAGUCGACGGCUGCCGCAGCAGAACGCCGCGGACACACGCCCGAAAAUGCGUCGCCCCGCGGACGGGGAGCGCGUCAAUGUCGAGCGGAGCCUCCUGGAGCCAAGCGGAGUCAUCGGCGAUGAAGGCGAGCGCGCCGAGACGGAUCUCGCGACCCUGGACCAAAACUCCACCAGAAACCAUGAUAAAGGCAAUAGGAACAAUUGCAACUUCUCCAGAAAUCGCUAAGACACCUGCCCCACGGUGGGCACCAACUGUCGUGGUUCUAAGUCUGACAGUAGAAUGGGGGGUAGGUAUGGAGAGGCAAGAUCCUAGCUAUGGAGCAGUUGUAAACACAAGGGAUGUACGAGUUCGGGCCCUUCUCGGAGGAAGUAACAGCCCUACGUCUCGGAGCCCGGAGGCGCUCGACUGGAUUAUGAGUGUAUGGGUUACAAGGGUGCGAACCCUUUACACUAAGGAGGGGGGUGGCUUAUAUAGUGUCUGCCAGACCCCUCCGGCCCUCAGUUAUGCAGGGUUUAAAGUACAUUAAGGCUAGGCGUUACUGGUAACGCCUUACAUAAAGUGUCCUAAAUGCCAUAAAGACUACUUAAUUACAGACCGUUUGGAUGCAGAGUGGCUCUUGAUCUCCUGGUGGUCGAGUGAGUCUUCAUGGUCGAGUCCUUCGAAUCUGUCGAGUGUAGUCCCUCUUGGUCGACUGGAAGGCAGUUUCUUCUCAAGGUGUCCUUGGGAAGGGUACUUAGGUCAGGUCUAUGACCCUACCCUAGGUACAUGACUUCAUCAGGGGGCACGCCCCCACCCUCGUGGACAGGGUGUGGGCCCACUGGCCUUGAUUCUUUUGCCAGUAUUUUUUUCUAUUUUCCAAAAGUAAUCUCCGUGGAUUUUCAGGUCAUUCCGAGAACUUUUGUUUUCUGCACAAAAAUAACACCAUGGCAGUUCUGCUAAAAACAGCGUCAGUCCGGGUUAGUUUCAUUCAAAUCAUGCAAGUUAAAGUACAAAACUGUUUGGAAAAGUAGAUAUGUUGGAGACAUAUCAACUCCCCCAAGCUUAAACCUUUGCUUGUCCUCAAGCAAUUCAGCUGAUAAACUGAAAGUGAUAAAUAAAAACUUUUACAAACUCUGUUUGCUCUUGUUGUUGUAAAUAUGUAAAGCCAACAUUCAAGUUUUCAGCAAAGAUUAUGAACUAACCAUAUUCACAAUAACACUUAGGUCUCAUGUUUACUCAUAUCAAUGGCGUAAUCAACUAGCGAGCAAUAAUAAUAAAUCUCGGAUGACAACACUUUCUCAAAACAAUCACAAUAUGAUAUAACAAGAUGGUAUCUCGCUAGCCCUUUCUAAGACCACAAAACAUAAAUGCAGAGCACCUUUAAAGAUCAAGGACUGACUAAACAUAAGAGAUCCAGUCAAGUCAUACCCAAUAUGAAAUAAUAGUAAUGCAUGCAAAUGACAGAGGUGCUCUCCAGCGGGUGCUUUUUAAUAAGAAGGUGAUGACUCAACAUGGAAGUAAAUAGAUAGGCCCUUCGUAGAGGGAAGCAGGGAUUUGUAGAGGUGCCAGAGCUCGAUUUUAAAAUAGAGAUGAAUAACAUUUUGAGCGGUAUACUUUCACUGUCAACGCAACAACUAUGAGAUCUCGAUAUCUUCCAUGCUACAUACAUUAUAGGCGGUUCCCAAACAGAAUGUUAAAGUUUAUACUCCCCCACCACCAACAAGCAUCAAUCCAUGGCUUGCUCGAAACAACGAGUGCGUCCAACUAGCAACAGCCCUGGGGGAGUUUUGUUUAAUUAUUUCGAAUUGCAUUGAUCUUUUUGAUCAUGGGACUGGGCAUCCCAGUUACCAGCCAUUUUCUCGUGAAUGAGGAGCGGAGUCCACUCCCCUUGAGAAUAACCCACCUAGCAUGGAAGAUACAGACAUCCCUAGUUGAAACAUGAGCUUCUCGAGCAUACAGAACAGAAUUUCAUUUGAAGGUUUGGAGAUUGGCACAUACAAAUUUACUUGGAACGGCAGGUAAAUACCACAUAUAGGAAGGUAUGGUGGACUCAUAUGGAAUAACUUUGGGGUUUAUGGAGUUUGGAUGCACAAGAAGUAUUCCUGCUUAGUACACGUGAAGGCUAGCAAAAGACUGUGAAGCGACCAACUGAGAGAGCGACAACAGUCAUGAACAUGCAUUAAAAUCAAUCAACACUGAGUGCAAGCAUGAGUAGGAUAUAAUCCACCAUGAACAUAAAUAUCGUGAAGGCUAUGUUGAUUUGUUUUCAACUACAUGCGUGAACAUGUGCCAAGUCAAUUCACUCGAAUCAUUCAAAGGAGGAUACCACCCUAUCAUACCACAUCACAACCAUUUUAAUAGCAUGUUGGCACGCAAGGUAAACCAUUAUAAGAUCCUAGCUAAUUAAGCAUGGCAUAAGCAACUAUAAUCUCUAAUUGUCAUUGCAAACAUGUUUAUUCAUAAUAAGCUGAAUCAAGAACGAUGAACUCAUCAUAUUUACAAAAACAAGAAAGGUGGAGUUCAUACUAGCUUCUCUCAUCUCAAUCGGUCCAUCAUAUAUCAUCAUUAUUGCCUUUCACUUGCACGACCGAACGAUGUGUAUAAUAAUAAUAUUGCACGUGCAUUGGACUAAGCUGGAAUCUGCAAGCAUUCAAUUCAAGGGAGAAGACAAAGUAAUAUGGGCUCUAGGUUAAAUCAACAAUCAUGCAUAUGAUAGCCACUAAAUAUUUUCAUUAUGGUCUUCUCCUCUCAACCCCCAAAGGAAAGAAAAGAAAUAAAACUAUUUACACGGGAAAGCUCCCAACAAGCAAUAGAAGAAUGAGAAAUGUUUUUGGGUUUUUUAAUUAUUACUACAAGCAUGGAAAUUAAACUAACUAUUUUUUUGUUUUUCUUAAGGUUUAUCAAACACACAAGAAGAAAGCUAGAAAAAGAAAUUAAACUAGCAUGAAUAAUACAAUGAAAAAGUAUGAGCACCGACAACUAGAAUAAGUGUGUGAACAUGAAUGUAAUGUCGGUGAGAGAUACGUACUCCCCCAAGCUUAGGCUUUUGGCGUAAGUUGGUCUAUGGCCAUGGACCGUGGCUACUCUCCCCGGUGUAUUGAGGAGUGUCAUAUGGAUACCACUGGCUGGCGAUCUCCUCCAGAUCCCACUGAUAACAUGAUGGUCGAUAAGGGUCAAGUGAUGGUUCCGGCUCAGGCUCUGGAGCUGAUGUCCAGCCUCGAUGCGUGUACACUGUCGUCGGCAGGAUGAGGUAAUGGCCUGCAAUUAAAUCAAACAAAGAAGGCACAUGCACGAUAAUAAUCUUACUGUGUUUCUUAUUAAAUCUCAGGUUAUACAGAAGCAUCUUAUCAUCAUUGUCAAUGAUAAACUCAUGCGCUACCAUGCUCCUGUAAUCUAAAAAGGUAAGAGGCAGUAGUGUCUCCUCUUUCUCAUAAUGCCUAAUAGGUUUCUCAAAAUGUUUAGCAAGGCGUGCAACAUAGAUACCUCCAAAGAUGAGGCCUUUUGUACAGUUCAGGCUUAAUCGUUUAGAAAUAAUGGCACCCAUACUAAAAGUGUUAUCACAAAAUAAGGCACAGAAUAGAAUAAUAAUAUCAGGAACACUGAGGUUUCCACAGUUUCCACGACUAAUUAAGCAUCGACUAGCAAAUAUGGCAAAGUAGCGUAAAACAGGAAAAUGUACGCUAGUUAUUCUUGCAUCGAAAACCUUCCUCGAUUCCCCUACAGUGAUAGUGUCAAUAAAACCAUCCACAUCUUUACGAUGUGGUUCAUCUAAGCUACCCUCGAAGGGUAUUCUACAAACCGCGCAAAAGUUGCGUAAUGACAUUUCCUUAGCCUGAUCAUAUAAAUGAAAAGAUAUUGAAGGAGGUGAAUUCAUAGGAUAAUAUUAAAAGUUUUACACGAAAGUAUUGGUAAGUAAGAGAUACUGUUCGAUCCGGUCGUGGAGGAAGUCGGUGAGGCCCGCAUUAUCAGCCAAAGAAUAAAAGUCUUCAUAAAUCCCGGCUGCUCUCAAGAAAUUAUCACAAGGCCACUCACACGGCCUUACUUCCGCUACAUGAGGAAGAUUAUACUUGGCCUUUUAUUUCUCCUUAGCUUGUUUAUCUUUAGAGCCUUGGCUAGAAGAGACCCUCAAUAAUCUCCUGAUCAUUUUCUGAAAAUUUUUGGAAUUUUUAGUAACUUCAAAAUAAAAGUGAAUCAAACUAAACAAGAUUGAUAGAAACUACUCCCACAAGUUCCUACAGCCUCAUGCAUUAGAAUUGCUUGGGACCUCAUAAAUUUGACAUGCUAGCUCAAGAACAGGGUCACCUAGGCAGCAAAAAUUUGCAAUGAAUAAAGCACUAGAACAAAAACUAAUUGGACCAUUGGAGGAGUUACAUACCAAAGAACAAUCUCCCAAAGCAGUUUUGUGAAAGGAGCUUUGAGCAAGGAGAUCGAAAAUCGCAGCAAAAUGAGCUAGAACUCAUGCUUGAGUUGGAUGGGGAUUUUUUGGGAGGAAGAUAGAGUGUGUGGGUGCAGGAAUAAGUGGACGGGGGCCACCGUGGGCCCACGAGGCAGGGGCGCGCCCAGUCAGAGUGGGCGCACCCUGGACCCUCGUGGCCAGGUGCUUGCCCCCCUGCUGUGUUCUCAGUGCCUAAAAUCCUCAAAUAUUCCAUAAAAAAUCAUACUAAAUUUGCAGGGCAUUUGGAGAACUUUUAUUUUCGGGAAUUUUUUAUUGCAUGGAUAAUUCAGAAAACAGACAAAUAAUACUAUUUUUGCUUUAUUUAUUCUAAAUAACAGAAAGUAAAAAUAGGGUACAGAAGGUUGUGCCUUCUAGUUUCAUCCAUCUCAUGAUCAUCAAAAGGAAUCCACUAACAAGGUUGAUCAAGUCUUGUUAACAAACUCAUUCCGAAUAACAUGGAACCGGAAAUUUUUUGAAUAACACUAGGUUACCUCAACGGGGAUAUGAACAUCCCCAAUAAUAAGAAUAUCAUAUUUUUCUUGACAGUAGGAAGAGGAAAUUCAAAACCUCCAACAAUGAUAGUUGGAACUUUUCCAAUAGAGUUGAUGCUAUGAACUUGAGGUUGUUUCCUCGGAAAGUGUACCAUAUGCUCAUUACCAUUAACAUGAAAAGUGACAUUGCCUUUGUUGCAAUAAAUAACAGCCCCUGCAGUAUUCAAAAAGGGUCUACCAAGGAUAAUCGACAUACUAUCGUCCUCGGGAAUAUCAAGAAUAACAAAGUCUGUUAAGAUAGUGACAUUUGCAACCACAACAGGCACGUCCUCACAAAUACUGACAGGUAUAGCAGUUGAUUUGUCAGCCAUUUGCAAAUAUAUUUCAGUGGGUGUCAACUUAUUCAAUUCAAGUCUACGAUAUAAAGAGAGAGGCAUAACACUAACACCGGCUCCAAGAUCACAUAAAGCAGUUUUAACAUAGUUUCUUUUAAUGGAGCAUGGUAUAGUUGGUACUCCUGAAUCUCCAAGUUUCUUUGGUACUCCACCCUUAAAAGUAUAAUUAGCAAGCAUGGUGGAAAUUUCAGUUUCCGGUAUCUUUCUUUUAUUUGUAAUGAUAUCCUUCAUAUAUUUAGCAUAAGGGUUUACUUUAAGCGUAUCAGUUAAGCGCAUACGUAAGAAGAUAGGUCUAAUCAUUUCAGCAAAGCGCUUGAAAUCCUCAUCAUCCUUUUUCUUGGAUGGUUUAGGAGGAAAAGGCAUGGGUUUCUGAACCCAUGGUUCUCUUUCUUUACCGUGCUUCCUAGCAACAAAGUCUCUCUUAUCAUAACGUUGAUUCUUUGAUUGUGGGUUAUCAAGAUCAACAGCAGGUUCAAUCUCUACAUCAUUGUUAUUGCUAGGUUGAGCAUCAACAUGAACAUUAUCAUUAACAUUAUCAUUAUCAUUAUCACUAGGAACAUUAUCAUUAACAUUAUCAUUGUGUUUCAGCAUCAGAAAUAAAAAUAUCGUUGGGAUUCUCAGGUGUGUCUACAAAUGGUUCACUAGAAGCAUGCAAAGUCCUAUCAUUUUUAUUUUUCUUCUUUCUAGAAGGACUGGGUGCAUCUACAUUAUUUCUCUGAGAAUCCUGCUCGAUUCUCUUAGGGUGGCCUUCAGGAUACAAAGGUUCCUGAGUCAUUCUACCAGUUCUAGGAGCCACACUCUAACAGCAAAGUCAUGUUUAUUAUUUAAUUCAUCGAGCAAAUCACUUUGAGCUUUAAGUACUUGCUCCGCUUGAGUGGUAACCAUAGAAGCAUAUUUGCUAAUGAGUUUAAGUUCACCUUUAACUCUAGCCAUAUAAUCACUCGAGCGUCCAAUCAUGUCAGCAUUACUCUUUAAUUCUCUACCAACAUUAGCAUUAAAACUUUCUUGCCUAGCCAUAAAAUCAUCAAAUUCAUCUAAACAUUGGGUAGGAAAUUUAGUAGACGGGAUUUCAACUUUAUCAUAUCUAUAGAGAGAAUUUACCUUUACUACCUAUGUCGGGUUAUCAAGACAAUGUGUUUAUUCAACAGGUGGUAUAUUAAGACCAUGUAUUUCUUCAAUAGGAGGUAGAUUCUUAACAUCUUCAGCUUUAAUACCUUUUUCUUUCAUAGAUUUCUCUGUCUCUUGCAUAUCUUCAGGACUGAGAAAUAGAACACCCCUCUUCUUCGGAGUUGGUUUAGGAGUAGGCUCAGGAGUUUGCUCAAUCGGCUCAGGAAUUGGCUCAGGAAGAGUCCAAUUAUUUUCAUUGUCAACAUAUUAUUCAGUAACACUUCAUCUUGGUUGACUGUUCUUUCCCUGAAAACACAACCAACACAACUAUCCAAGUGGUCCUUGGAAGCAUCAGUUAGUCCAUUAUAAAAGAUAUCAAGUAUUUCAUUUUUCUUAAGAGGAUGAUCAUGCAAAGCAUUAAGUAAUCGGAGAAGCCUCCCCCAAGAUUGUGGGAGACUCUCUUCUUCGAUUUGCACAAAAUUAUAUAUUUCCCGCAAGGCAACUUGUUUCUUAUGAGCAGGGAAAUAUUUAGUAGAGAAGUAAUAAAUCAUAUCCUGGGGACUACGCAGACAACCAGGAUCAAGAGAAUUAAACCAAGUUUUAGCAUCACCCUUUAAUGAGAACGGAAAUAUCUUAAGGAUAUAAUAGUAGCAAGAUUUCUCAUCAUUAGUGAACAGGGUGGCUAUAUCAUUUAACUUAGUAAGAUGUGCCACAACAGUUUUAGAUUCAUAGCCAUAAAAAGGAUCAGAUUCAACCAAAGUAAUUAUCUCAGGAUCAACAGAGAAUUCAUAAUCCUUAUCAGUAACAAAGAUAGGUGAAGUAGGAAAAGCAGGGUCAUAUUUCAUUCUAGCAUUCAGAGAUUGCUGCUUCCAUUUAGCUAAUAACUUCUUAAGAUCAUAUCUAUCAUUGCAAGCAAGAAUAGCUCUAGCAGCUUCUUGAUCCAUAACAUAACCCUCAGGAACAAUAGGAAAUUCAUACUUAGAAGGAGAACCUUCAUCAUCACUAUCUUCAAUAAUAUCAUCUUCAAUAAUUUCAUUCUCUCUAACCCUAGCAAGUUAUUCAUCUAGAAAUUCACCUAAUGGCAAAGUAGUAUCAAGCAUAGAAGUAGUUUCAUCAUAAGUAUCAUGCAUAGCAGAAGUGGCAUCAUCAAAAACAUGUGAUAUAUCAGAAUUCAUAGCAGUAGCAGAUUUAGGUGUCGCAAGCUUACUCAAAACGGAAGGAGAAUCUAGUGCAGAGCUAGAUGGCAGUUCCUUACCUCCCCUCGUAGUUGAGGGAAAAAUCUUAGUUCUUUCGUCUUUCAACUUCUUCAUAGUGAUCAGCAGAUAUAAAUCCCAAGUGACUCAAAGAAUUGAGCUAUGCUCCGCGGCAACACGCCAGAAAAUAGUCUUGAUAACCAACAAGUAUAGGGGAUCGCAAUAGUUUUCGAGGGUAGAGUAUUCAACCCAAAUUUAUUGAUUCGACACAAGGGGAGCCAAAAAAUACUCUCAAGUAUUAGCAGUUGAGUUGUCAAUUCAACCACACCUGGAUAACUUAGUAACUGCAGCAAAGUAUUUAGUAGCAAAGUAGUAUGAUAAUAAUGGUAACAGUGGCAAAAGUAACGAUAGCAGUUUUGUAGUAGUUGUAACAGUAGCAACGGUAAAGUAAAUAAGCAAAGCACAAUAUGAGAAAAAAUCGUAGGCAUUGGAUCAGUGAUGGAUAAUUAUGUCGGAUGCGAUUCCUCAUGUAAUAGUUAUAACAUAGGGUGACACAGAACUAGCUCCAGUUCAUCGAUGUAAUGCAGGCAUGUAUUCCGAAUAUAGUCAUACGUGCUUAUGAAAAAGAACUUGCAUGACAUCUUUUGUCCUACCCUCUCGUGGCAGCGGGGUCCUAGUGGAAACUAAGGGAUAUUAAUGCCUUCUUUUAAUAGAGUACUGGACCAAAGCAUUAGCACUUAGUGAAUACAUGAACUCCUCAAAUUACGGUCAUCACCAAAAAGUAUCCCGAUUAUUGUCACUUCGGGGUUGUCGGAUCAUAACACAUAAUAGGUGACUAUAGACUUGCAAGAUAGGAUCAAGAACUAACAUAUAUUCAUGAAAACAUAAUAGGUUCAGAUGAAAUCAUGGCACUCGGGCCCUAGUGACAAGCAUUAAGCAUAGCAAAGUCAUAGCAACAUCAAUCUCAGAACAUAGUGGAUACUAGGGAUCAAACCCUAACAAAACUAACUUGAUUACAUGGUAAAUCUCAUCCAACCCAUCACCGUCCAGCAAGCCUAUGAUGGAAUUACUCACGCACGGUGGUGAGCAUCAUGAAAUUGGUGAUGGAGGAUGGUUGAUGAUGACAACGGCGAUGAAUCCCCCUCUCCGGAGCCCCGAACAGACUCUAGAUCAGCCCUCUCGAGAGAGAUUAGGGCUUGGCGGCGGCUCCGUAUCGUAAAACGCGAUGAAACUUUCUCCCUGAUUUUUUUCUCCGUGAAAGAAAAUAUAUAGAGUUGGAGUUGAGGUCAGUGGAGCACCAGGGGGCCCAUGAGGCAGGGGGGCACGCCCAGGGGGAGGGGGCGCGCCCCCCACCCUCAUGGACCGGGUGUGGGCCCCCUGGCCUUGAUUCUUUCACCAGUGUUUUUUAUAUUCUCCAAAAGUAAUCUACAUGGAUUUUCAGGUCAUUCCGAGAACUUUUGUUUUCUGCACAAAAAUAACACCAUGGCAGUUCUGUUGAAAACAUCGUCAGUCCGGGUUAGUUUCAUUCAAAUCAUGCAAGUUAAAGUCCAAAACAAGGGCAAAAGUGUUUGGAAAAGUAGAUACAUUGGAGACGUAUCAGCAAGCGCAGGCGCGGAGUACCGAGGCAUCAAGCAAAGGGUUCCAUAUCAGUGCAAAGAGACCAAGACUAGCAGAACGGCAGAACGGUGGUCACUGAGGGAGUUCUGGAUUAAGGGGUCCCCGGACAGCCGGACUAUAUACUUUGGCUGGACCGUUGGACUAUGAAGAUACAAGAUUGAAGACUUCGUCCCGUGUCCGGAUGGGACUCUCCUUUGCGUGGAAGGCAAGCUUGGAUAGUCAGAUAUGUAGAUUUCCUUCUCUGUAACCGACUCUGUGUAACCCUAGCCCCCUCCGGUAUCUAUAUAAACUGGAGGGUUUAGUCCGUAGGACAAGAACAAUCAUAGGCUAGCUUCUAGGGUUUAGCCUCUACGAUCUCGUGGUAGAUCAACUCUUGUAAUACUCAUAUCAUCGAGAUCAAUCAAGCAAGAAGUAGGGUAUUACCUCCAUCGAGAGGGCCCGAACCUGGGUAAAACACCGUGUCCCCUGCCUCCUGUUACCAUUAGCCUUAGACGCACUGUUCGGGACCCCCUACCCGAGAUCCACCGGUUUUGACACCGACAUUGGUGCUUUCAUUGGGAGUUCCACUGUAUCGUCGUGAUAAGGCUUGAUGGCUCCUUCAAUCAUCUUCAACAACGCAGUCCAGGGGGAGGUUUUCCUUCCCGGAUAGAUCUUCGUAUUCGGCGGCUUCGUACUGCGGGCCAACUCGCUUGGCCAUCUGGAGCAGAUCAAAAGCUACGCCCCUGGCCAUCAAGUCAGGUUUGGAAGCUUAAACUAUACUGCCGACAUCCGCAGAGACUUGAUCUUCAACGGAUUUGAGCCCAUGCCGGGUGCGCCGAACGAUCAUGACGGGCAUGACUUUAAUCUGCCGUCGGAUAGUAUUUGGAAGAUCGCGCCUGCGGCAGCGCCAGGAAUCAAUCUGGAGCAGAUCGUGCCUUCCGAGGGCUGGUGGAUGGACCCCGUCACGGAGGCCGCACACUCAUCGGCGUCGGGGCCGAACACUAAUUGUCGGGGAUAUACCCCGCUGAAUGACCCGGCCGGAGUCGUAAACCGGCCGGGACUUGGUAAACCGGCGGAUGUUAAACCGGCGGACAGUUAAGACAGUCAAGACAGAUGGCUCAGACAGACGGUAAACCGGCUGGUGGUAAACCAGUAGGUGGUAAACCAGCAGACAAUGUUAAACCGGCUGGUGGUCAACCGGUAGGUGGUAAACCGGCAGACAAUGUUAAACCGGCAGACAAUGUUAAACCGGCAAACAGUGAUAACUGGGUUGUCAAGGGUUAUGAAGCCCGAGAUGUUAUGAAGCCCAAGAUGUUAAGAAGCCCAUGAAGAUAAGUUAGAAUAGUUAAGUCUUAAGUCCGAGUUGGACUCUACAUGUAACCCGCCUCUUCAACAUAUAUAAGGAGGGGUAGGGCUCCCCAAAGAGGGACAAGCAAGAAGAAACAAUCUUAGGGCUAGACACAAAGAGGAGAGCCGGUUUACGGCGACUCCCUCGUGAUGAUAAUGAGACCUAGCCUCAAACAGCAUGUAGGGUUGUUACUGGAUGAUGUUUCCCGGGGCCCGAAGCUGUCUAAAUCCCUGUCUUGUGUUGCGUCUCUCGAUUCCGCUCAACCCCUCUCAAGCUACCACAUAGAUGCGUUGGCCUCACGACUAAGUCCUGACACUAAGGACAUCUGCCGUGACAAAACCACGACAGUUGGCGCCCACCGUGGGGCGGGACGCACGGUGGUGAUGAGUUCUUGGAGGGAUAUUCCGAAGGAGCGAGGAGUUUGCAAUUUUUCGGAUGAAGAUUUUACAGUUCAUAAGAUCAAAGUCAAAGAAGAGAAAUUAGGGUUGCAUGAUGUACGCUGCUGUGAUCAAACAAUCUGACGAAACCGGAUUGACUUUCACUGUUGCUGAUACGGACAGAAGUUUUCCUGUGCUAUGCCUUACACGCGGCUUCCAAGUCGCUUCUAGUCAUAUUUAUAUUUCCUUUGGGAAGGAAAGAGACGAUGACAACAGGGAGUCAAUAACCAUGACUCGGAUUCACCGUGUUGAACCGCCGUGGGAUCUCCACCGUUCUGAUCCACCCGCCGUAAGCCGCCUGUGGUCUCACGCUGAGACCAAUUGACGACAAUCCACAAUCCGUGGCCGAUCCAACAUCAAUUUGCCAUCGCCUUCCCGUCUGCCAAAGUUGUCAUGGCCGCUGAUACUGCUUUUCAGAUAUGACAGCUGAAUAAAGAAAGUGCUACUGAUUUUUUAUUACAGUUUUUGGCUCACCGGUGCUACUUGUACACGUGAAGGACUCGAACCACAAGUCAGGAAACUACUCAUCACAACCCAUGAGUCAGAGGACGCAUAUGACGCAUGCAGACACGGCUGAACUCAGGAACAGUCAAAACAAGUGGCCUCGGAUGCAGCCACCAGCCGGUUCAUGUUCUUGUUCAUCAACAGAAUCACCAGACUGCAUACUAGGGUCAGACAAGGUAAUGCCACGGACUGGUACUGCUAGUUAGGCAAGUAAACAAUGUCAAGCCAAUUACGACCCGGACUCUGUUUUAACUUCGUUCCGAGUCACCUCGCAUGAACCGCAGCCACAUCAACUGCGCCUCGACUACCGGGCUGUCUCUGGUGGACUCGGUCUUUGCAAGUCGCCACCGUGUUCCGAGCCGCCGUCGCUGGCCCGCCUCCGCGACUGCUGGCUCGCCUCCGCCGUCAGACCUCCGGCGCGUCGCUCCACCGUCGGGCGUCGAGCUGCCUCUGCACUACCCGUAAACCGCCCCGCCUUUGUACAGCUCUGAGCCACCGUCCGCUGUGGCCGGCCCUGAACCGUCCAGUGCCUCAUGCCUCCAUCGCCGUCUCGCUCUGGAGAAGACCCACUGUACCAUUGCGGCUUUGAGUUGCUGAGGACGCCGUGAGUCGGCAUCGCUUAUUGCCGCUUUUGCCCUAACCCGUCGGCUGUUGUUCUGCCGUUGACCGGCACCGCCUCGUCAUGCCACGAUGAGUUGCGCCAUCGCCAAGUCACCAUUGCGGUCGAACUGAACCGCCAUCUCCAAAUCGCCGCGAGUCUGAGUCACCUCCACCAGAGUUUCAAGUUUCCCGCCUUGUUGUGCCCUUGCCGUUGUUGCCGGUUGGACACGAGCCACCUCCGACUGCGCCGCGCUUGCUGUCGAAACCUUUGCUUCGCUCCUUCAAGUCGCCUCCAUGGUCACUCACGCCAUGUUGACUCGCCUGAAUUGCCUUGGGCUGCCAAGUUAACUCCAACCUGGAAACAGAGAGAGUCCCACCGGAUUCACUUUCACCGGGCCAAUCCGGAUUCACCUACGGGCCGGUCGCCACCGUCGCACCCUUGUCAUUCGAACUGCCGCUCGCCGAGCCACUAAGCUGACCCAGCGUGAGCAGCCCGUCGCCCGCUGAGUCGCUGCGGCAUCUGCGCCCUGAGCCACCCCAUCGAGUCCCCCGCGCCGUAAGUCCCCAUGGCCUCACUUGCGCCACUGCGCCUCAAGCCGGCCUCAAACCAACUCUGCCCCUUGGGUGCAACUCGCCGGUUUGGAGCGGCCCGUUCUGCCUAAGCCGCCCCUGUUGAAGCUGCCGUCACUAUGACCAGGGGCUUGCCUCCAAGUCGCCGGGCUGCGUUAGGCUGCCGGUGAGUCGCCUCUUCGACGAAGGGUCAAUACCAAGCCGCACCUGUGCCUCGGUUGCCUGAACCGCCCGGUCACCGGAGAUCCGGUUUAGUCUCUGUGCUGCCGCUCUUUUGCCUCUCCAUGACCUCGCGGCGGAUCCACCUCGCGCCAAGCUGGCCUUGCCUCUGCCGGAGAAGGAUUGGGACCAUGAUUCAAGCUGCCAAGUCACUGUCAAAAUUUUGCUUCCCCUGAGUCGCCAUCGUCGGUUUGUUUUUGCCGGUUCACCUCGCCUCUGCUCUGCCGCCGAACCGCCUGUGUGUCAAACCGCCGGGCGCUAACCCGCCACCCGUGCCGAAUCGCCAUGACCUGCUGCCUGGCGCAGCCCUGGCCUGCUGCCGCACCUAUGGGACACCCGCGCUGGCCUCACGCUGGUUCUGCUGCGACGCAAUGCCCUGCCAUCACCAAUGUUGCCGGCUUGGCUGAUAGCCAUGGUCUCAACUCUGAACCGCCGUCACCACCACGUCACCACCCGCGGCCCGGCCUUGCUUCCUCGCCUUCGCCUUUCUGCCUUUGCACUGCGCCUGCCCUGUCUAUUAGCGCCGUCGGCAUGAGCCGGUUUGGAGCGCUUCUACUGCAGCCUCAAGUUGCCAGCGAGGCCUGUGUUCGAGCUACCCCUGGCUCCGCCUCUGCAUGCGCCCAGCAUGACCGAGAGUAGGGGGGAAAAGAGAUGCAGAGAGAAAAUGAUGUGCUGGUACUCUUGAUGAAGAGAUUAGGCGAGAACGUGUGGAUGAGGAUCACGGGAUAAAGUGAUGAGCUGGGGAAUAGUUUCAAGUGCCUUUUGUAUUAUCUUCUGGUUCUGAGGCCGCAGUGAAAAAAGUGGUUACUGACCACGUGAUGGCCAAAAAAAAGGUACCCAUUGCUGAAUGAGGCGAAUAUGCAUAUGAUAUUGCACGAUCAGGCAUUUGCAAACCGGAGCAGCAUACUGGAAAUAAGCAACCAGGAGAAGUUGACGCCCAUGUGCCGUUCCGGUCGGUUCGCAGACCAUGACUGAAUAUUUUAAAGGGCAAACUGGACCUAGAGACAGGGUCUGCAUACAGAGCUGUCGCCCAAGUAAAUCAGGUGAUAUUUAUCCUGUAUAUUGUUUGUUAAGCACAUGUUGAUCUCUUUUCACAAACAACUACUAUGCCUUGCUGUAUUUUUUAUAUGCAGGACAAUUAUAUUUAUACCAUGGGUACGGAGCAUGUGCUGACAAUAUUUCGACUGGCGUUAGUCCGUGCCACAUUACAUGGGUGUGCGUAAGCUGCCGCCCGUGCAGCUUGAUCUACAUCAACUCGCUGGGACUGCGCCUGCGAUUGAUUGGCCCGUCCACACCGACACCGGCUUACAACGUCAUGGCUGGUUCAUCAAUCUGCUCCCGCGACCGACUCGGCCGUCAUUAAUUUCAACUUUACCAUGGUGAUCAUCAACUCCAUGGUGAAUAACCCCUGACAUGAUAUAUCAGGUGAAAUCCAUCCAAUAUAUUUUAUAUUAUAUAUUGCCUUCUUUAAAAGAACAAUUACUUUGGCCUACAAAGUUGUCUAAUGCAGGACCCUAAGCCGCCAUAUUGGUGCAAAUUUAAAGGCCGUCAGAAAAUUUCUGGCUUAAAAAGAGGGAUUCCGGUUUAAAAUCCGGUUCAAGAGAAAGAUGUCUCCCACAAAGCUUUAAAGCUCUCAAUAUCCGGUUCAAAAUCCCAGCUCAAGAAGAAUUUAUCUCUUGCAAAAAAUUAAAGGUUGCCGAAGAGGACCUGCUGCCAUGAUGCGCGGUUCAAACAUGGGUAUCCUGCCUUAUUAGGCUUAUCAUAUUAUUGAUCACUUGGGGGCUUGGUCGUAUCCGAACCAAUGCAACACCUUUUGAUAGGCGAAAGCCACCAGAUCAUUUGGGGACAUGGUCAAGUCUGAACCAGUCACGCCUCUUGGUCGGCCUAAGGCCACAGAAUCACUUGGGGGCUUUGGUCGAACCCGAACCAUCGUCACCCCUCUUGAUCGGUAUAAUGCCAAUACAUCACUUGGGGAAUUGUGGUCAUGUCUGAACCAUAGUCACGCCUCUUGAUCGGCCUAGUGCCACAGCAUCACUUGGGGGCUUUGGUCGAACCCGAACCAUCGCUACACCUCUUGAUCGGCGUAAUGCCAAUGCAUCAUUUGGGGACCUAGCUGACUCGAACCAUAGCUACGCCUUUUUGAGGGCAUGGUCUUAUCCGACCAUGGUAAUGCCACUUGAUCGGCUCAAAGCCUCAUUUGCAAUGAUUGACGGAACACGAUUAAAUCAUAAUCCGGAGACUAUCAGCCCGGUUUGGUUUCGACUAUAAGUCGCCAGUAUAUAUUUGGAUUGCGCCAUUGGAAUCAUGCGCUUAUAAAUCAUUGGGUAAAUUAUUCAAAUAGCCAACAUGGCUGGAUUUUUAUUAUGGUUAUCAAUAACCGGUAUUAUGAUUAAGGUUUCCAAAGUCUCUUUUGCGCAAUGGCUAUCAUAUUAUCAAUAGAAAUGAUUUUUAUUCUACAUUGAAGGAAUAGUCCCGAGUUGCUGCAGGCUUACAACCCAACACUUGGGGGUUACAUUAUUUAAGUCAAGAUUACAUCAAAUAUAUAAGUAUCAUGUCGCUGCAAGCAUGCACCAUGACACUUGGGGGCUAAUGCAAAGUCAUUUUUUGCUCAUCUUAUUGAAGACCCGACUCAUCACAUUACAAUGACCCGGCCCUUGGGGGCUGCCAAUUGCUCCUGUCAACAAUUCAAGGUACAAAAGCUUUUUAUCCAUUAUAUUGAAGGGUACAUUGUUCAGUUGGUAAAGCACAAGGCUCUUAACUUUGUGGACGUGGAUUCAAGCCCUAUGAUGGGGGUUAUAUCAUAUGAUGUUAUUUUCAUUGAAGUAUAUAUCAAAGUCCCAGCUCAAUAUUAUCUUACUAAGCCGGCACUUGGGGGCUACACCAUUGCUAUUCAAAGUUUACAUGAUUAUAUUUGAAAAGUCCCUAUUCAUUAUUGCAUAAUGACCCGACCCUUGGAGGCUACACUGGUUAUAGUUUUUAUGAGCAUCAGGAAAUUACAAGUCCCAGGUUGCUGCAAGCAUGACAACCCGACACUUGGGGGCUACAUAUGUGGAAUACUCAAUUCUGACUAGUGAUUGAGAUGAACAACCUGGAUUUCUUCAAGAUUGUGAUAUUUAUAUUGAAGCAAGUCUUAAGCUAUUGCUAUGCUACCUUCUUAAGACUUGAGGGCUACAAGUGAUAGUCAUGUAAGAGGUAUAUUUUCAAGCUGGAUGUUAACUACAAGUAUGACCCAGUGCUAUUAAUAUUUACAAAUCGGCAAGUUCUACAUUCUUAAACCGGCUGAAGAUCAGAUGAGGAUUUCAAGGACCAUUAUUUUUGUUAAGUCAUUGGGAGCUGAGUCAAAGAAGUUAUUCUUCACAAUAUUUCUCUGUGACAAACCAAUGUCAGCAAAUUGAUUAUGAAGCUGGCCUAUUAAACCGGAUUUUCUAGAAGAAGGAAGUGACAAGGACUUAAGGAUGAUCAGAGUCAGUUUAACAUGGGUAAAUCCAAAUUAAACUGGGGGCUAAUGUCGGGGAUAUACCCCGCGGAAUGACCCGGCCGGAGUCGUAAACCGGCCGGGACUUGGUAAACCGGCGGAUGCUAAACCGGCGGACAGUUAAGACAGUCAAGACAGAUGGCUCAGACAGACGGCAAACCGGCUGGUGGUAAACCGGUAGGUGGUAAACUGGCAGACAAUGUUAAACCGGCUGGUGGUAAACUGGCAGGUGGUAAACGGGCAGACAAUGUUAAACCGGCAGACAAUGUUAAACCGACAAACAGUGAUAACUGGGUUGUCAAGGGUUAUGAAGCCCGAGAUGUUAUGAAGCCCAAGAUGUUAAGAAGCCCAUGAAGAUAAGUUAGAAUAGUUAAGUCUUAAGUCCGAGUUGGACUCUACAUGUAACCCGCCUCUUCAACAUAUAUAAGGAGGGGUAGGGCUCCCCAAAGAGGGACAAGCAAGAAGAAACAAUCUUAGGGCUAGACACAAAGAGGAGAGCCGGUUUACGGCGACUCCCUCAUGAUGAUAAUGAGACCUAGCCUCAAACAGCAUGUAGGGUUGUUAACGGAUGAUGUUUCCCGGGGUCCGAAGCUGUCUAAAUCCCUGUCUUGUGUUGCGUCUCUCGAUUCCGCUCAACCCCUCUCAAGCUACCACAUAGAUGCGUUGGCCUCACGACUAAGUCCUGACACUAAGGACAUCUGCCGUGACAAAACCACGACACUAAUCCCACCUCCUGUGAGGGUGGUGUCAUCGGACCCUCGGACUCAUCUCUGGCUACAAGGUCUGAACCGCGUGCCUCCGGGCCUAUCAAAUCGGAUUGGGCACCCGUCAUGGAGUUCACCGCCGCAGAUAUUUUUCAGCACUCUCCCGUAGGAGAUGUGCUAAACUCAUUAAGGUCUCUUUCCUUAUCGAGAGAUUCCUGGCCGAACUAUGUCCGACUAGAGUGGGAGGCGGACGACGAAGAAAUUCGUUCCCCACCCACCACCCACUUCAUAGCCACUGUUGAUGACUUAACCGACGUGCUUGACUUCAACUUCGAAGACAUUGACGGUAUGAAUGACGAUGCAGGAGAAGAACAGGAACCACCGCCUAUAGGGCGCUAGACAACCACCUCAUCAUAUGAUAUAUAUAUAUAUAUAUAUAUAUAUAUGGUGGACACACCAAAAGAAGGCGAUGGUGACAAUACAACGAAGGAUAAUCCCCUCGAUAAGCCACCAAAGUGGCACCGUGGACGCUGCUCUAAAUCCCGCCACAGUAAAAACAACGACAACAGCGCAAGAAAUAAUAAUACCCCGGUUGACUCCAAAGGAAACGACGACCCCAUGGACCCAGCGAUGGAGCAGGAUGAGCCAGGGGACGAUGAGCAUAGUUCGGAUCCGACAUCAGAUGACGCCAAUCCCGAGGGUAAAAUUCACCAACAUGUCUCCGGAGAAGAGAACAACCCAGACGAUGAUGCACUCAUCAUCCCAGAAAAACUCUUGGAACAAGAGAACCUCCACAGAAGGCUUAUCGCCACCGCGAGGAGCCUAAAGAUGCAGAAGCAAAGGCUUAAGGACGCGUAGGAUACGCUCAACCGUAGGUGGAACAAAGUGCUCGACACAGAAGAAAAAUACGGCGACGAUCAUCACACAAAGACCUAUCCAAAGCGCAAGCUGCUGCCCGAAUUCGACGACGAGGCCGUAGAGCCCAUUCAGCAGAAAACGACCGAUCAGCCGGAUCGACUGCCCCGUGGCUGUGAUAAGACGGCUAAUGAUGCCGCACACAAGUUAGCACAUGAUUUACGUGAGCUCCUGGACAAAAAGUCCGGUAUGGCCAGAUCCAUCUAUGGAUCUAGGAAGCGCGCUCCAGCACAGGAUCAGAGCUACCGAAACGAUCACAUUGAUCGAACACCAGCUAGGAAUCAGAACCGAACACAACAACCAUCGACAGCAUGCCACGACACGACCAAAUACAGGGGUGCUGCACACCCCCUGUGCUUCACCAAUGAGGUACUAGAUCAUGAAUUUCCUGAAGGAUUUAAACCCGUGAAUAUAGAGGCAUACGACGGAACUACAGACCCUGGGGUCUGGAUCGAAGAAUUUAUCCUUCAUAUCCACAUGGCUCGCGGAGACGAUCUCCACGCCAUUAAAUACCUACCCCUGAAAUUAAAGGGACCAGCUCGGCACUGGUUGAAAAGCCUUCCCGAAAACUCAAUUGGAAGUUGGGAAGAGCUCGAGGAUGCUUUCAGGGCCAAUUUUCAAGGGGCCUAUGUCCGACCUCCGUACGCAGACGACCUAAGUCACAUAAUUCAACAGCCCGAAGAGUCAGCCUAAAAGCUCUAGAACAGAUUUCUUACUAAGAAGAAUCAAAUAGUCGAUUGCCCGGACGCCGAAGCCUUAGUGUCUUUCAAACACAGUAUCCAGGACGAAUGGCUUGCCAGACACCUCGGCCAAGAAAAGCCGAGGACAAUGGCAGCCUUAAUCAGCCUUAUGGCCCACUUUUGCACGAGCGAGGACAGCUGGCUGGCCCGUAGCGGCACCAGCGACCCAAGCACAUCCGAAGUUAGGGAUGGCAACGGGAAGCCGCGACGCAACAAAAACAAGCGUCAAAACAAUGAUGGCAGCCCAGAGAACACGACGGUCAACACCGGAUUCAGGGGCUCUCAACCCGGUCAACGGAAGAAGCCAUUUAAAGGCAGUAGAGAAGGACCGUCCAGCCUAAACAAGAUUCUAGACAAAUUAUGUCAGAUUCACAGCACCCCCGCUGGCUUUUCUGAUGGCAUAUGAGGAGGCCGGAGGCGACGACAAGGUCAUGGCCAACUGGUUUCCCAUGGCCCUCACCGGCGUCCCGCGCGUUUGGCUGCUCAACCUGCCAACAUCUUCUGUGGCCUCCUGGGAGGAGCUGCGCAACCUCUUCCUCACCCACUACACUGCGUCGGCGCCCCCGGUCAUCGCAACUCUCCUGGGUGGCUCACAGGCACCACCCUCAGACCGCCACGCCAAGCCGUUCUUCCGCCAGAUCAGCGCCGCCCUUGCGCGGCAAGGAAAUCCUCCGGGUUGGGCGGCACCCAAAGCCGACCUAACCUUCAACUCGGACGAUCACCCCGUCAACACCGCCUGCUCGGGUGUGCUCCCAAUGCUUUGCACGCCCACCAUCUGCCAGGUGGUCGUCACCAAGACCCUCAUUGAUGGCGGCGCUGGCCUCAACAUGCUCUCGGUGGAGGCCUUCAGCCUCCUUCAUGUAUGGCUAGAACGGCUCCGACCCAGCAAGCCCUUCUCGGGCGUCGGAGGCGGUUCCUCCAGCUCCCUGGGGCAGAUCCGCCUUCCUGUGACCUUCGGCACCCACGACAACUUCCGCACGGAGCUGGUCAACUUCGACAUCGCCCACAUCAGCCUCCCGUACAAUGCCAUCCUCGGAUACCCUGCCUUGGCUCAGUUCAUGGCAGCGACCCAUCUGGCCUACAACCUCAUGAAGAUGCCCGGGAGCAGCGGCAUCCUCACCGUAGCUGGGGACACCAAGGAUGCUCUGCUGGCGCUCAAGCUCGCCCUCAAGACAGCCGCGGCAGCGGAGCCUGCUGGCACGGACACCACCAAGGCCAAGGGAGCUGCGCUGACCAAGAAGAAGCAGCUGUUCACCCAGGACAAUGCGGAGACCAAGCAUGUACCAGUUGAGGAGGACGGGUCCUCCGGCGCCACCUUCACCAUAGGUGCCAAUCUCGACCCCGACCAAGAGGAGGCGCUGGUGAAGUUCCUGUGCUCGAACAAGGAUGUGUUCACAUGGGAACCCAAGCAGCUAGCGGGGGUCCCAAGGCAAGUGAUUGCGCAUCACCGGAAUGUGUGCCCCAAUGUAUGCCCCGUGAAGCAGAAAGCAAGGCCGCAGUCCACCGAGAAGCAGGCCUUCAUCAUCCAAGAAACCCGCAAGCUGGAGGCGGCAGGUGUUAUUCGCGAGGUUCGCUAUCCCGAAUGGCUGGCAAACCCAGUUGUUGUGCUGAAGGGGGGGGGGGAGGAGCGCAUGUGCGUCGACUUCACCAACCUCAAUAGGGCCUGCCCUCAAGAUCCGUUCCUGCUCCGUCGCAUCGAACAAAUCGUCGAGUCCACCGCCGAGUGCGGCCUACUGUGUUUCUUGGAUGCAUUUUCAGGCUAUCACCAAAUCAAGAUGGUGGUAGAAGAUGCAGAGAAGAUGGCCUUCAUGACCCCAUGUGGUGUAUACUGCUACACCUGCAUGUCGUUCGGGUUGCGCAACGCGGGCGCAACCUUCCAGCGGCUGAUGCACAUCGCCUUAGGCCGGCAUCUCGGGAAAAACGCUGAGGCUUACGUCGACGACAUUGUGGUGAAGUCUCGGGAGGCAAAGACCUUGAUCCAGGACCUGGAAGAGACCUUCGCGAGCCUCCACGAAGUGGACCUGCGACUCAACCCAGAGAAGUGCGUAUUUCGCGUUCUUUUCGGCAAGCUUCUGGGCUUCCUCGUGUCCCACAGAGGGAUUGAGGCCAAUCCGGAGAAGGUCAAGGCGAUCGAAGACAUGAGUCCACCGCAAACCCUCAGAGAAGUGCAGAAGCUCGCCGGACGCGUAACUGUGUUAGGACACUUCAUCUCCAAGCUGGGGGAGCGCACCUUGCCUUUCUUCAAGCUAAUGAAGAAGAAGGGCCCGUUUGAAUGGACACAGGAGGCCGACCAAGCGUUUCAAGACCUCAAGAAGUACCUGACCAGCCCUCCUGUGAUGGUGGCACCAUGCCCUCUCGAGCCCCUGGUGCUCUACCUCGUCGCCACACCCUACUCCACCAGUGCAGCUCUAGUGGCGGUUCGGUAAGAGGGCCAGGUCAAGGCUGCGUCACGACCGGCCAUGGCCCUGGCCGCGGUAGCACAAGACCAAGAAGGCCUCGCAAAGACCACGACCUUGGCAGAUGGAGACAAGGCCCAACAGGAAGAUUCCCCUAGGGCUGAUGAGGCCGUACCAGGCAGCCAGGUGCUGGGGCCCCCGUCGUAUUAGGAGGCGCCUAACCCUCCGGAGGGCAUGGACCUCGUCAGCACACCCACCCUCGUCGAGCAUCCGGUGUAUUUCGUAAGCAUGGUGCUGCGGGAUGCAAGGGCACGAUACCCCAUGCCUCAGAAGCUCUUGCUAGCGCUACUGGUGGCCUCGCGUAAGCUGCGACACUACUUUCAAGGUCACCCCAUCAAGGUCGUCUCAGCCUACCCAUUGGAAAGGGUACUUAGGAGUCCCAACCCCGCUGGAAGGGUCACCGAGUGGAACAUUGAGCUGCAAGCAUUUCAGUUGGAAUUCAGCACAACCAGGGUCGUCAAGGGAGCCGCACUUGCAGAUUUUGUGGCAGAAAGGACAGAGGCGCCAGGGCUCGAAGCAGGCGAAGAUCGGUCACUUUCCCCAGGAAGUGAGGCACCGGAUGGCUGGGUCAUGUACUUCGAUUGAGCAUUCUCACGGCAUGGCGCGGGGGCUGGUGCAGUGCUUAUAUCCCCCACUCAGGACAAGCUCUAUUACGCCGUGCAGCUCUGUUUCCAGCAUGGCGAGAAGGUCUCCAACAGCGUAGCAGAAUACGAGGCCUCAUUGAAGGCUUGAAAGCUGCAGCAGCACUGGGGGUGAAGCGCCUCAUCAUCAAGGGUGAUUCACAGCUCGUCGUCAACUUCUCCAACAAGGUGUACAAGCCGAAGGACGAGCACAUGGAAGUGUAUCUUGCGGAGGUACGCAGGAUGGAAAAGCAGUUUUGGGGGCUGGAGUUGCAGCAUGUGCCCCGUGUCACCAACCAAGAGGCUGAUGACAUCGCCAGGAGGGCAUCCAGGUGGCUGCCCCAGGAGCCUGGCAUUUUUGAGGAAUGACUCUUCAAGCCAUCGGCAGCGCCAUCACUGUCAAGCAUAGCGCAACCUCGGGAGGAACCCCCUCAGCCACCUGCCACAGGAGCCCCGGCCAGCGGCCCAACCUCAGGAGCACGCUUACUCCUGGCGCUGGAGCCUCAGGAGGGAUGCUAGACCACGAAAUUCAAUGUGGGGACCCCGACUCGUAAGUCGUGAUCACCGAAUGCACGUGUACAGUGAUCCCAGAGAUCAAUGCUCACUGAACACACAGAAGCUGAAUAACAAGAGUCUUAUAUCCAUACAUACCGUCUUACACAAAUUAUGACCAUUAUGGUCAAGUCUUACAUAGAUAAAGCCACAGGGGCUGAAUACAAAUAAACUUAAGCAGCGGAAAUCUUCGUCGAUAAGUAGAACCCAAACCAUCUGCCUUAACCCUACAGGCAUUCUGACUGGGAAACGUCCUAGUUCACAUGUUUGUCUCCAAAGAACUCUUCCUCGAAUUCCUGUUCUUCCAUGCCUGGCCAAUUAAAUAACCAGUGGCAAGCCAAUGAGUACUUUGAAUGUACUCGCAAGCAACCCAUGAUUGGAACAAGGCACAAUAAUGCAAUGAUACAUCACUAAGUAGGUAAUUUGCAGAGAGCUAGUUUUGAGUGCAAUGAUGUGAUCUAUCAACCUGUAAAGCAUGCAUCAUGAGAGAACAGAUAUCCUUAUAACAUAAGCGGAGUUGGACACCAAUCCAACUUGAUCAUUGUGUCAAGCCAUCUGACUUAACCCAAAUAGCCUUAUCAACACACACACACGCGGUUUGAAAAACUCUGGACAUAGUUUAAGCAGCACCGCCCAACUGUCCUUGACCGUGGACACGGCUAUUCGAAUAGUUUUACACUCUCCAGAGGUUGCACACUUUACCCACAAGAUCCGGGGAACUUCCGUGUCGUCCAUGACCCGCGGUACCUAAAGUACCCGGGGUAAGCACCCGAUCACUAUCUUUCCUUAGACGACACUAACAAGGAGUCCACUCGUUGUUCCGUAUCCUCAUGAUGUACAUCAUACGAGACUCACUCGAGAUCGUAACAUCCGAGAGGGGAUGCAACGGUGUAUCCGGUGCCCUGUAAAAACAGUCAUGGCCACCCUACCUGGCACGACCCCGUCCCGAGAGAGAGCACCAACUCUCCCCCAUCACUAGUAAUGCGGGCUCCAAGCUAGUAUCGGCCUAGGUAAUCAAUAAUGCCCUUUCCCAUACAAGACUAGAGUGGUUGCGCAUGUAAGGUUGGGACAGUCGACAAAUCUUAAAUCUAAUCCGUUUUCGAGAACAACACACACACUUACCUCGGUACACCACUUCGUCAUCAAAUGGUUACCCAUCUCAUCAUCUCCCUCGGGCAUAAGUGGCACCCGAUGGGGUUUUCGAAAAGUCUUUUGAAAAUACUUUGUCUCCUUCACCAUGCAUAUACCCGUCCUUUUUUGCGUAGCAUCUACUUUAGCAUCCUAUCUACUCCCACCGGCAUAACCCUCAUAAGAAGGUAGGGUCAUGUACAAUGCAAGUAUGAACGAGGAGUAACGGUGGCAAACCACCCCAUGUGGUCACCACAGUAUCAUGUCUCCGAUGCAAGCAAUAAAAGUGCUAUAUGACAUGCAUAAAAAGGGUUUCAUAGACAUGGUCAAAGGAUGCUUGCCUUGAUUUUCUUGGUCUUCAGGUUCUUCAAAUCCUUCUCCUUCUUCUUCUUCAGCAACUUCGUCUAAUACGGGAUCUAAUCAUCACAAGAAAAUAACGAGAAAAUAAGGCAAUAGUAAAACAGAAAAACCAAAGUGCUCAGAAAAAUGUCAACUUAUUUUUGAUAAAUACUAGGGGGAAAGCUAAGAAGGGGAAAAUUACUAGUUAUGGAUUUGGAGUUGUGGAAUAGGAUAAACGGAUUUACAAAGGUAUAUUUAAAUGCUUAAAAGCACAUUUAAAUAUUUACAGUGAAGAAAAGUUUGUUGGAUUUGAAUGAAAGUUGCACCAUUAAAUAGGUUGCACUAUUUCAGGAAUUUAGGAGUUGGAAUUAAUUUAUUUGGACAAAUAUUCAACUCAGUGGAAUUUUUGGAAAAUUCAUAGAAAAAGAAAAGGAAAAAUGGCACUGUGCCAGAAAGGCCACAGUGCAGCAGGCCCAGAGGGAAAAGAGGCCCAGGCGAGCCAGCGUGCACGCGCCAGGUUUUUAAACCUGACGAGCGGGGCCCAGCUGCCAGUGGGAGAGAGAGGGGGCGAGAGAGAGGUGAGGAUGAAAGGCGAGGCCCACCUAUCAUCCCUAACCCUGCGAUAGAGGGCUGACGAGCUCACCGGCGACGUUUGCGGGCACAACAGGGUGAGCUGAUGGCACCGUUGGACUCCUCGUCGUGUCGCCGUUCGGGUGGUGCCGGAGUUGGCCGAAGGAGAGCAGUGGUUCACCGACGACGAGUUUCAUGGCGGAGGGGCGUCGGGCAUUGUUGGCUCCGGCCGUUUCCGACUGCAAAACGAGCGGGAAAGAGGGGGGAAUUGAUCAGUGAGCUAUGGGCGUUCCAGAUAAGCAAUAAAGAGGGCGAGGGGUGGCCUGUACCGUGGGAUCGACGACAACCCGAGGCGGCGGAGCUCGAGCUCGAUCUCGAGCUCGGGUGGUUCUGGAGAGGAACUGGGGGUGCAGGGAGAUGAUAUGGUGGUGNNNNNNNNNNNNNNNNNNNNNNNNNNNNNNNNNNNNNNNNNNNNNNNNNNNNNNNNNNNNNNNNNNNNNNNNNNNNNNNNNNNNNNNNNNNNNNNNNNNNNNNNNNNNNNNNNNNNNNNNNNNNNNNNNNNNNNNNNNNNNNNNNNNNNNNNNNNNNNNNNNNNNNNNNNNNNNNNNNNNNNNNNNNNNNNNNNNNNNNNNNNNNNNNNNNNNNNNNNNNNNNNNNNNNNNNNNNNNNNNNNNNNNNNNNNNNNNNNNNNNNNNNNNNNNNNNNNNNNNNNNNNNNNNNNNNNNNNNNNNNNNNNNNNNNNNNNNNNNNNNNNNNNNNNNNNNNNNNNNNNNNNNNNNNNNNNNNNNNNNNNNNNNNNNGCUCGUGCGCCAGCGAGCUUCUAGCCAUUGCUAGAGGCCACGGGGGCGCAUGUGGGCGUGUCUGGGGUGCUCGUGGGGUUGUUCUAGGGCGAGGGGAGAAAAGAGAGGGAAAGCAGGGGGAGCCAGGGCACCGCGCGUGUGAGCGCGCUCACUGGUGCGCUCGGGAGGCCGGCGCGUGUGCGAGCUGGGGCGAGAGGAGGGAGAGGGAGGAGGGGGACAGAGGCGUGGCGUGCUGCGGACGUCGAGGAGCAUCGGCUGGCGUGAGGGAAAGAGCCGAGGUGGCCGGAGGUGCUUGGCAGGGGGCGGCUAUAAUGCGGGAGCGCACUGUAGCGCGCUCCAGAGCGUGCAAAUGGCCGGCAUGCCAUUUUUUUGGCAAAGUGGGCACAUCGAAAGGUGUCUGUUGGCUCUAGGGGGGAGUAAAGAAUGGGGGAGGGGCAUUGGAUGGCCUGGGUGGCCACUGGAGUGAGGAGGGAGGUGAGAAAAGAGGAGAAUGCUGUUGUCCAGAAGGGUAAAUGGGGGUGUUUCACCCUUUAAUCAUUGAAUUGAGGCCAGGGAAGAGUUACUGGAGGUGCAAGGGGACUCUGAGGGGCUGUAGUAAAAAGUUGAGCUCAAGGAGAAUAGUGUUAGUGGUCAAAAAGGUGAUUUUUGAAAAGUGGCAGAUGGUGUUUCAUAAUUGUUUGGGCCAGCAGAUGAUUUCCAAAUGCCAUGAGACUCCACAGGGUGAAAUGAAACGUAUAAUUAGGGCCUUCCACCAAUUUGGAGCUUAUUUGGGCAAAGUUACCAAUGCAACUUUUGUAAACCCUAGAAAUUAGCAGAAAUGAACUUGUGUAGAUCUAGUUAAGCAAAUCACUUCUCCUUGAUGCACCACUUGGUGUAGUGGCCUCAUUUGGUCAUGUGAACAUGCUCACAAAAGUUGGGGUCAAGGAGAGAAAGUUGGUAGUACAAAGUUGUUCAAAUUUGAUUCUGGUUAGUGAGGGUUUGAAGGCACUUUGAUCAAGAUAUCAUUUUCUCCAACUUGUGCCAUUUGGUCUAGAUACAUGUUUGGACCAUUGGAGCAUGUGCACCAAGUUUGAGAACAUUUGGACAUGUUUGGCAAUGUAGAGUUGCUCAAACUUCAAAAUGGACAGAAAUGGUUUUGAGGAGAUUUUAUGAUGUUAUGUUGUUCUCCAAGACAUGGGGCUUGGCAAGAUCAUCCAACAUAUUAUAUGUGACAUCCUAGAAUUUUCUUGGAAUUUUUAGAGAAUAUUUCCUUUGUAAAUAUUUCAAAAGCUUGAAAUAUCCAUAAAGGGUUUUUGAGGGGUUUGACCCAUAUUUUGAACAUGACCAUGUGUUGAAACUCUUAUAUAUGGAAAAUAUAUGUCCACUGAGUUUCCCUGAAUUUUCACAAAUAUUUUUAAAGUGUUAAAAUAGUUUUAACAUAUUAAAGACGAUUUCUGGCCUAAAGAAAAAGCCUGUAAAUAAAAUAGUAAAAUAACUUUUAAAAUUAUAUUUUUGUGGUUUUUGGGAGUCCUAUAUCUUAUAGGAUUCAAAUAUACUCUUUUAAAGAUUUUUCAUACCCCAAAUCAAGUACUUUCAGUGCAAACCUCAAUUCAGGGGUUUUGGGAAGACUAAUUUUUGAAAAUACUUUUUGGCCAAAUUAUUUUUUUAAGAAAAUACAAUAUUGCACUAUACACAUGGCAUGAUCAUUGGGCAGAAGUUUUGGGCAAAGAGAUGAAGUACAGAAGGUGGAGUAGUUGACUUUAAAGAGCACUUGAAAAUAACAGAGAGAAAACCAACUCCAACAUAAAAAGCCAAAUAAUGCAAAAGUUCUUGCCAAACCACACUUCAUCAUGAUUUAAUAGCUUAAGUGUUGUGGCAUGAAAAUCAGGGUGUGACAGACCUACCCCCUUACAAGAAUCUCGUCCCCGAGAUUCCCAAACUAGGCGCGGAAGGGAAUACAGAAAUUUAGGUUUGGGCUAGUCUUCACGUCCUCAUACUGCUUCUGCUUUCAAGUGGUGCUCCAUUGAUCCUUGAAGUACUUGAUGGUGUAGCUUCGUGUAUAAUGUUCUGCUUGAUCCAGGUCAUCAAUGGGUAGUUUGUGGUAGGUCAGAUUUGGCUGGGGGUCGAUGGCUCGAUGAUCGAUGUCCCUGUUAGUGAUCGGGCUAGUUUGGAACCACUUUUGGAGUUGUGUUACAUGGAAAACAUUGCGCACAGUGGGUAACUCAGGUGGUGACUCUAGCUGGUACUUGUCUGCCCUUCAUCUUGGAAUGAUCUCGGAGGGGGUUGUUAAAUCUUGGUGUGAGCUUCCCUUUGACAUGGAAAUGCUUGGUUACUUUGAGAGAAGUGGCUUCCAGAUACACCUAGUCUUCGACGCGGAUGUUUACUUCUUGACGAUGGUGGUUGGUGUAGUUCUUCCUUUUGGACAUGGUAGUUUUAAAAUGUCUUCUAACCAGCUGAAUGACUCUUCUUCCGUCUUUGGGUAGGCAAGUAGGUCACCAAAUAAACAUGACAACCAACCUGUCCAAGUACUCCAUGAAGGCUAUGGGGUAUGCAAAGUAGGCUGGGGUAUUGGUGGUGGUCUCGAUUGAGCAUUGGCAAAGGUCUUCUCGUCCUAGUGCCAAAGCCCAUGGUCAUGAUCCGACCAUGUUGUGGUUUGGUGGGGCUUAAGAGUUUCAAAGGUUCUAGUGUGUGGGUGAACGCUUAUCGUCUCAUCCUUAAGCAUAGUUCUUGAGGUGCCAAUAGUUCUACCUAGUCUUCACAUCAUAUUACCAGAAGAAUCAUCUCGUAUAGGUCAACUCCAAUCAUCACUCAUGUUAUUCAUAAGCUCAUGGCUCCCGAGAGGGGGUCUAACAAAAUCGUACAUUUCAACCAUACCCAAACUCAUAUGUAUGGCUAUCUCUAUGCACAAAUCCAUGGGUAGAGCAUACCAGCUUCCAAGCUUGAAUUAAACAUGACAAUCCAGGUUCUCAACUUAUUCUUCCUAGGUUCAAGAUAGUGCAUCUCUAUCCCAAGGAAACACGUCGUAUGCCACUCCAAGAUCAUGUUUCCUUCCUAUGAAUCAACUCCCACAGCCCAUUAACUUCCAUUAACCAAUACAAAUCCAAUGUCUAUGGUGUUCCACACGAUCUUCUAAUGUCCUAUAAUCCCCAAAUACUUGAAAGAGCUAUCUCUAGUAUAGUUAAUCCACCAAUUCCCAUCUUUGGGGUCAAGUAACUUCCAACCUCAAGCUUAUAUAGAUCCCUAAAUCAACUCCGACAAUUAAUCCAAUCUCCUAGUUUAUUAUCCACCGAGAAACAUGGUAUCAUAAUUGAGAUCAUCAGUAUAAAUCCAAUUUAAUCCGAACCAUGUAGACUUACUCAGCAUCUAGACUCCAUUAGGAUCACCUAUUUAAUCCAAAUAUCAUGGUCCGCUAUCUUCUAUCAAUAUCUCCUGGCUAAGUCAAAUCCUUAUACCUUCAAGAAUUUCAUCGUGCGAUCAUAAUUGUCCUACAAAAUCCAAUUUACUCCACGGGUAAUGAAUGCUAUGCUACUCUAUUAACAUGAUCCCACCAAGUUCACGAAAACCUCAUAAUCCACCAAGAAGUCUCAGAUGAUUCCUCAAGGUCUCUGAUAUAAACUCAUCAAGUCAUUUGUCCUAUUUCAAUAUCCUUGAAUAGGUGCUAUCUUAGGAUGAUAAUGUGCUCGUUCACUAUGUCCACUAGUUCCAUAAUGAACCAGUGCAAGGUUACGGAGGCUUAGUUGGUUCUCUUGCAGCUUUGUGAGGUAAGCACUUGGUUAGGGAUUCGAGCUGGGUUAUCUCAUGAAGUCUCAAAGGGUCUAGGGAUGGGUUUCUAAUCUUGAGAGGUAAACAUAACUCUACUGGGCUGCUCUUGGUCGAGGAGGCUGCAGCAAAAAUCUCCACUGCUAGUUAGUCGCCGAAGUAGAAUCCUUGGUGUACCUCAUCUUGUCGGUCUUCAGUCGAGGAGAGAGGGGUGAGAGGGAAAAGCAUCAUAGAUGGGGGGGAAUGCUUGAAGGGGGUUCUAUAGUGCAGGUGCAAACAAACAGGUGCCAAAAAGACCACACACACAAUUUCAUUAAGAUAAGAUAGGUGAUAUAGUCGCAUACAUGAUGCCUAAGGCAAAAGUGCAACUUAUAUCAAAACACAAACAGAUGAGAACAAGCGACACUCAACAUGGUUUCAUUUGAACCAUCAUAUGGACUCGACUGCGGAUAGGGGGUACACAACUCAUCCUACACUAGGGGUCCUCGGAUUCAGUAGUCGUGCUUGCUUCAUCACUUUGAGAGAAAGGCGUUCGGUCUUCAGCUUCUAGGUUCUCCUGGGUGCCAAUGGACAUGCGAUAGUCGGCUGCUUGUUGGGACACAUCCUAUUAAUAUGCUCGAGUUCACCACACCCGUGCCAAGUGACGGAAGCAAAAGGGUUGCUAUUAGUCUUGGGUAUUGUUGUCAGGGGCCUGACGAUGAUCCUCUAUGAGGUUGAUAUGGAAAUCCAUUCCUAUGCCUUUUGUGUGGGGUUUGGUUGCGAGCUUUCUGAAGUUCCUUGAUUUUGCUGCUCCUGAUUAAAAAUGUGGGCUUCUAGGGAAGUGAUUUGCUGUUCUUGCUCGACCACCUUCUUCUUCUCGAGGCAGUGGAGGUGCAGAAGUGAAGGGAGAUCUUGGCGAGCCUUGAGAAAUGCUUCGGUAAGGUGGCAUAGAAGGUAGUCUCCUGCAUUGCCGAAAUGGAUCUGGUACUUGAGGGUUGGAUCCUCGUCUUCAGGGGAAAUCAUCACUUGAGUCGGAGCUCCAAAUCCGCUUUUGACAGGCAGGUAGCGGGUGGCAUGUUCUUCUUUAAUUUCUGGAAGGAGGUCUCAAAGACGGAGGAGUGCUUCGUAUGCCACUUGCUGAAUUGCCAGGUCUCUUGUUGGCAUGGGUGUUCCAAUGAAGAACCACCCCUGGGGUGAGGUCUUGGCAGGCACAAAAACCUUGGCGUAGAACUCCUUUUCGAGCACAUCGUUCAUGCAGGGUGUAUAUGGGCAGCAAGGGAUAGUGGCAUUGUUGGAGGCAGUCUUUUAGGAGUGAUCGAAACCCUGUCAUAAGGAGUUUCAAGGGGGCGACGACCAUCUACAAAAGUUGAAUAUGAGAGGUCAUUAAGGAAAAAUAUCCCUUAGGUUAGGGAAAUCUCAGAAAGAAGAGGAGUAUAGAGGGUUUUGCAAAACGAGUUUUGUCCUAUCUAACGCCCAUGCUAACUAAGGCUUCCUACAGUCAACCUGGCUCUAAUACCAGCUCUGUGGGGACCCCGACUCGUAAGUCAUGAUCACCGAAUGCACGUGUACAGUGAUCCCAGAGAUCAAUGCUCACUGAACACACAGAAGCUGAAUAACAAGAGUCUUACAUCCAUACAUACCGUCUUACACAAAUUAUGACCAUUAUGGUCAAGUCUUACAUAGAUAAAGCCACAAGGGCUGAAUACCAAAUAAACUUAAGCAGCGGAAAUCUUCGUCGAUAAGUAGAACCCAAGCCAUCUGCCUUAACCCUACAGGCAUUAUGACUGGGAAACGUCCUAGUUUGCAUGUUCGUCUCCAAAGAACUCUUCCUCGAAUUCCUGCUCUUCCAUGCCUGGCCAAUUAAAUAACCAGUGGCAAGCCAAUGAGUACUUUGAAUGUACUCGCAAGCAACCCAUGAUUGGAACAAGGCACAAUAAUGCAAGGAUACAGCACUAAGUAGGUAAUUUGCAGAAAGCUAGUUUUGAGUGCAAUGACGUGAUCUAUCAACCUGUAAAUCAUGCAUCAUGAGAGAACAGAUAUCCUUAUAACAUAAGCGGAGUUGGACACCAAUCCAACUUGAUCAUUGUGUCAAUCCAUAUGACUUAACCCAAAUAGCCUUAUCAACACACACACACACACGCGCGGUUUGAAAAACUCUGGACGUAGUUUAAGCAGCACCGCCCAACUGUCCUUGACCGUGGACACGGCUAUUCGAAUAGUUUUACACUCUGAAGAGGUUGCACACUUUACCCACAAGAUCCGGGGAACUUCUGUGUCGUCCAUGACCCGCGGUACCUCAAGUACCCGGGGUAAGCACCCGAUCACUAUCUUUCCCUAGACGACACUAACAAGGAGUCCACUCGUUGUUCCGUAUCCUCACGAUGUACAUCAUACAAGACUCACUCGAGAUCAUAACAUCCGAGAGGGGACGCAACGGUGUAUCCAGUGCCCUGUAAAAACAGUCAUGGCCGCCCUACCUGGCACGACCCCGUCCCGAGAGAGAGCACCAACUCUCCCCCAUCACUAGUAAUGCGGGCUCCAAGGUAGUAUCGGCCUAGGUAAUCAAUAAUGCCCUUUCCCAUACAAGGGUAGAGUGGUUGCGCAUGUAAGGUUGGGACAGUCGACAAAUCUUUAAUCUAGUUCGUUUUCAAGAACAACACACACACUUGCCUCGGUACACCACUUCAUCAUCAAAUGGUUACCCAUCUCAUCAUCUCCCUUGGGCAUAAGUGGCACCCGACGGGGUUUUCGAAAAGUCUUUUGAAAAUACACUACUAGGGAAAAGCCUAGCAGCAACACGGGUUUUGGCCCUCUCAAUAGCGCGGGUACCAGCGCUACUAAUAAGGCGCUACAGCUAACGUAUAGCAGUAGCGCCUGUUGACCCACGCUACUGCUACACAUGAAUAGCUGUAGCACUCUUUAGAAAAGGGCACUACUGAUAUUAUCUGCAGCGUUGUUUACAGGGAAGCGCUACUGGUAAGGCGGCGCUACUGCUAAAUUUCCCCCCCUCGCUACUACUAGUUUUAUUAGUUUUUUUUCCUGCAUAUUUGUUUUUUAUUUGUUUUGUAUUUGAAUAGGCUUUAUACAAUAAUCUUUAGCAUAUCAUCCACAUACAAAUGUAAUCAUAGCAUAUACAUACAAUUAGUCUCAUCAAAUCAUGUCAUCAUCAUAAUCAUCAUCCAACACAAAGUGGUCUCUCGUCAUCAAUCUCGAAAAUAGCGAUACAAGUCUCGAUUACUUGCAAAUACAUCGUCAUCCAUCUAAACAAUGAUAUACGCUAGAAUAGCUAUCACUUUGAGUACAUGAGUUCGUAUCCCUCUCUCGCAUUAGCGUGAACCUAAACUAACUACUGCGUGUCGCUCGGAAAUCGAAAACCGGUACACCUGGGCCUGACACUCCGACCACUUGUUGUAUAUAUACUCCUGGCGUAGCACUUCUUCGCCAUCUAUGAUCUAUGCACCUGCAUCAUCACAUGAGUCGAUGAUAUGCAACAUAUAUAGUUGAGCAACAGAAAGAGACAGACUUGGCAAAAAUAGAAACAACAUAUCAUAAGCAUAAAUAACAAAGUUCAUCGUACCCAAAAUGCCCUAACUAGAGUGAUUUUUGCUAGUCGAGGAGGAGGACGGUUUAAUUACAUCACAAAUAAAGUUUCACCGUGCAUAACUCAAAGUUUUGUCAUAAAAGAAAGUAUGGACUAAACGGACACAUUGUCAUAUAUCGACAAUCACUCCAUCAUGUCGUGCCAUCCAUCCAUGUUAGGGAGAUAGUCAUCAAGCUUAGUGAAAGGCUUCAUGUCGAGACGCUGAGAGGCUAUCCAUGUUCGAACGUCUUCCCGCGACAUUUGUCCUUCUGCGUAGAACAUCCCUGUUUUUCCGACGACCUCAUUCAUGAUGAUUUGGGCAAGUUCGCGCUGGAUGUUAUAGAACUCAGCUCGAAGUCGAUGAUCCUCAGUCGAUGAUCCUCGAUAUCUCCUAUUUCCUUUGCCCAUGGCAGAAUAUGGGCAUCACCAGAUCUAGGUGACAUGAAAAGGUUCUGGUGAUCCCGUCUGUACUCCAGCAUGUGGUGUAGGACAUAGAAUCCAUCAUUAAGAGAAUCGUUCAGUUGCUGGUUGCAGCAGAAGUCGGUCUUAUGGCUGAAGGCGGUCCUGCCGCCCCUUCUCUUCUUGUCCCUAACCUCUCCACCCCUUGCUUGGUAGUAAAACAUAGCACUGUCGAGAACAUCUUUGAUGUGGGUGUAAUCCUUUUUGUGAAUGUUCUUCGACGAGUCCAAGUAAAAAGCGUGGGAGAAUCGGGGGUAGAGGAUGAUGAGGACGGCGCGCCCGCCGCUGCGCAAAAUAAGUACACCUCAAAUUAAUUAGCCUCCACCGUGCAAAUGAAUUAUUGAAAUCAAAGGAAGGAUAGCAGCGCGGAUGACUUACACGGGAUGAUAAGGCACGAGAAUCGCCUCCUUGUCCUUAUUGGCGAGCAUGAAACUGACGAUGUAAUCCCUCGCGUAUUCACGCUGCUCUGCACAGACUCCCAAGAAGCCCUCGUGCAUGUAGUACGGGUCAGCGACACAGAUAUGACGUAUCUGCUCAACCCCAAUGAUGUAGUUCAUGUGCAAGGCAUAGAGGCGGACAAACGUAGAAUCCAGCUUCUUCACAUGAAACAUGUCAAAUAUGUAAUCGAAUCAGAGGAAGAACUUAUCCGCGGGGAAGCUGUCGACGUACGACAUUUGCCGCGGAACGUUAACCACAUAGAGUGGGUAUCCUGGAUCUUUCGAGGCGAUGAGGCCUUUCUCUACCCGCGGCACAUCGUCAUGAAGUCUCCUUAGAUCGCCGAAUCUGGCCCGUAGCGCUGUUUCAGGUAGGAUUGGUUGACCGGGGAUAUGCCAUUUAUCCGCAUUGGGGAUAUCUACACGGUCCUGAAGCCGAGGCUGCUGAGGUGGCUGGAUCAUAGAAUCAGCUUUUUUGCCUUUCCUCGCUCUCUUCCUAGACUUCUUUACUACCGGAAGGUCGUCAAUAAUACGUUGAGACAGUAAUUCAGGCAUCGACUCAUGACGCUCAAACCCUGAGGAGGCGCCAGUAUAGACAUACUGUUCAGCGCCAUCGUCAUCCUCAUCCUCAUCCAUGGCGACGUCAUCAGCGACUAAUGGAGCCAGCUGCUUACCCCGUCCGCUAUCACCCAACCCGACACCCGACGCUAAUUGGGUAGGUGGGGUGUUGAUGUUCAUACCUUGCUGAGGCUGCGUGCUCGUGGGUGUGCUCCCGGCCGCCUCCAGACGAAGCAGACUCUUUGGCCACAACAGGACCCACCCAUUGCAACAAUCACCAAGCCACCGCGGGGUCUCGUCGUCAUCCCCCACUAGUAUUAUAGGAGGCAAAUUACACUGGCCAUGGAAACCUUGAAGACGUUCGGGGGGAUCGGCCGGCUGUGGAACAAUGGUUCCUUCGGCUCCUUUAUCGUCGCCUUCCCCACGUCCACCUUCUGUUUGCCGAUGGUGUACAAUAUGGUGCACGGGGUUUCGUCGGCCUGCAAAGAAAAGUCUGCGACGUGAGACAUCUGAAAGGCAACGAAAACGGGAGAUUAUACAUUUAUAUUGAAGGGGGCCGGUGUGACAAAUACUGUGAGGGCGUCGAGCUCAGCCAAAGAGGAGGCACCACCGAGCAUGUCCGGUGUGGGAGCCGGUGCGGGAGCCGGUGCGGGAGCAGGUACGGGAGCCGGUGCGGGAGCAGGUGCUCCCAGGAAGUCAGCAAGGGGAAAGUCCUCUGCAUUUUUUUCUGGAUUUUGCCUUGUCCAAGUGAAAACGCCCGUCACCAAGUUAGUAGAUAUAUCUGCAAUCGCCUGUUUUGCGGCAGCUACCGCUACUGCGACUGUGUGAGAUGAUUUCUUCUCAACCGCAAUCUCAACCUUCUUGUUGAUGUUUUCUUCAGUUAACCUCCGUCUUUCCUUUCUCUCCUCCGUGGUCUCAUGGUAGUACUUCUUCCACGUGGCGCCGUCUCCGACACCGUGCACACGUCCAUACGACGGUCGAGUAUCCACCGGUUGUUGUUUCAAUAUGUUCAACGCCCGGUUGAAUGGAGUGUCCCACUUGGGCCUCGCCAAUGCCUCAGACGGCGAGUUGCUUUCGGCCGCAAUCCAGUGCUGCUCUCUUUGCAAAGGCACAAGGAUCGUUUACAAAUAUGACUAACGUGUGCAGUCGAAUUGAUCAGAAACUAAAAUUACCAGCAGUCUCAUGAACUCCGUAAUGACCAGUGUUGUCUCGUAAACCUUCUUCACUGGGUCCCAACGGUGUCGGGCCCUCAGGACGUCACGCUCCUGCGGGACGGUGAAAUCCGCCAAGGGGUCUGGGAUGCCCAGACUCGCGGCUUCCGCGUCCUCCUUGGCCCAUUUGGACCUCUUUCCGCCGUAACCACGGCUUCCGAGGUGGUGGCUCCCAAUGUUCCUCUUUUGAAGCCCCUUCAUGUACUUAGACUUUUUUUUGGCAGCUUCGGCCUCGCAAGCCUCCUUGAAUAUUUCAAACUGCUCUUCCGUGAUUGUCGGAUUAUCCUUUACAAUCUCGGAGUAGGGUUCCCCGUCGUUAUCUUUGCUUUCACUCGAUUUUUCCAGGCGGCCAACGCGUCGCUAAACUUGGUCAUGGCGUGUUUGUUUAUCUUCUUCAUUGCCGGGUCCUCGUCUGGAUCUUCAUAAUCCUUCUCAUUCCGGCCCGGGAACAAGAAUAUCUGGUGAAACUUCUUUAGGAGGGAGCUCCUCAUAUUUUCUAUCUUCUGUAGUUUCUCAUCGUUGAUGGUGGUUGUUGUCCGUAUGAUGCAGCCUAUUUGAUUGCCAUAGCAGCGGCGCGCUUCCUCGGGCGCCUUUGGCUCAAAAUUGCCAUCGUCCACCUCCGUGACCACCAGUCUAGUAGUCCUGAGUUUGUUAGGAACCUGUUGCCUCUUUGCUUUCGGUUCUACACCGGCUCCGCUCCCCGAGGCAGCACCGGUCUCAGCGCUGGUCUCGAUGCCGGUCUGAAUCUCAGCGCCGGUCUCAGUCUCAGCACCGGUCUGCGUGUCGGUCUCGGUCCCUGAUGCCACCGAUGGGCCCAGCAACAACAUCUGUUGAUCGUCGGUAAGGCUAAAAAAUUUGUCUGCCGCACGGUAGACGUCGUCGAAUUCACCAGAACCCUGUCCUUCAUCGUUGCUAGCCAUGUUUCCUAUGAUUAAAUCUAGUCAAUUAAUUCUAGACCUAAUAAAAUGAAUAAUGACAUUAAAAAGGACUAUUGUUUUGCAGGAAUGUUGACUCCUUCCUGGUGCGGCAAAUCCCGGGCACUCGAUAUGUCCUAGUUUGUAGCACAAGUCAUGCCGAAAUUCACGGAAAAUUUCGGCAUGACCUUUGCUAAAAAGUGGACAAAUCGAGAACCUGAAAUUUGCCGGAACAGAAAUGAGUCAACAUUCCGGCAAAACUUAGACCACUCAGCAUCAUUCCCUGGAAACAACAAAGCCACUUGGGCACAAUCGAACAACUUCAAUGAAAAGAUAUAACAUGAGCAAACACUAUUGAGGAAUUUGCAUAUAACAUGGCCACUUCAAUGAAAAGAUAUAAUCAACAAUAAUGGAAUAUGCAAAUGAACAUCAAUGACAUAUAUCAUAUAAAAACAAUCUUGUUUUUUGUUUACAUAGCAACAAUUUGUUUGACCAAGUUUUUGAAAAGAAAAACAAUUUUGUUUUUUGUUUAUAGCUAAAUGCCAUAGCUACUGUUCUUUAUUUAUAGCUAAAUACUUUUGUUUUUUGUCUAAAGCUAAAAGUCUAGGAACUACAUUUUCUCUAACCCUUUUGACCUCACCAAAAUUUCCACAGCAAGACCUUAGUACCUACACCCAAUUUCUUCAAAAAUAUUUAGGUCCAUAGUCCAAAUAAUUCAAAUUUCAUUUGAAUGAAAUUUGGAACAAAUUCAGGUUCGUAGUCAAAAUAUUUUUUUAUAGCUAAGUGCUUUUUGUUUAUACCCUCUGUUAAUUUAAAUCUAAAUGCUACUAUUAUUUAUAUACCCUCUAUUAGUUUAAAGCUAAAUGGAAUUACUGUUUAGGAAUUUUCAUAAAAAUUGCCCUAGCUAAUUUCCUAAAAAAAUUGCUAAUCAUUUUUCCUAAAUGAUAUAAAAUGCCUACUGCCCUAAAAAAAUCUAGGGUUCAUAUGAACAUCAAGACAGUAUCAACAUAUAUAUAAUUGCCCUAGCAAAGAGAAAUAGGAGGGUAGGGGACAGGAGAGGCAUAGCCUUACGGUCGACGGCGAGGGCAGGCUCUGGCUCGGGCAGCGGCGGUGAGGUCGAGGGCGGCAGCGGUGAGCUCGAGGGAGGCGACAGUGAGGUCUACGACGGCCUCGGGCGAUGGCUGUGAGGUCGAGGGGGCGGCCUCGGGCGGCGGCGGCGUGGUCGAAGGCGGCGGGCGGCGGCGGUGUGGUCGAAGGCGGCCUCGGGCGGUGGCGGCGAUGGAGCAGUUGGGGGAUAGGGGGAGUAGAGAGGGGGGAAAGGACUUAGCGAAAUUUUGAGCCCGGGCUGCCGUGAUUUGAGUCAAACUAGCAGUAGCGCGUUUUGGCGAAACGCGCUAUAGCUAAGAUAGCUAUAGCGUGUUCCAGAGAAACGCGCUACAGCUAUCCCUUUCUAUUUUCUUUUUCUUUUUCUUUUGUUAUCUUUACAUUUUCUUUUUUUCAUUUCUCCUUUUUCUAUUUCUUUCAUUUUCAUUUACUUUUCUACUUAUUUUUCUAUUUAUUUUCUUUUACAUGGUAGUAGCGCUCUACAGUAGAAACGCGCUGCUACAAUGUUUUUAGCAGUAACGUGCUUCUGGGAGAACCGCUACUACUAUUCCUAGCCUACCGGCACUAGUGAGGGAAUUUUAGUAGUAGCGCUUUUCUGUGAAGACGCGCUACUGCUAAAGUAAUGGUUGUAGCGUGGUUUUGCAACAAGCGCUACUACUAAGUGUAUAGCGUUUUGACCAACGCUACUGCUAUACCUCUGUGUAUAGCGUUUUCCCUAGUAGUGGUACUUUGUCUCCUUCACCAUGCAUAUACCCGUCCCUUUUCGUGUAGCAUCUACUUUAGCAUCCUAUCUACUCCCACCGGCAUAACCCUCAUAAGAAGGUAGGGUCAUGUACAAUGCAAGUAUGAACGAGGAAGUAACGGUGGCAAACCACCCCAUGUGGUCACCACAGUAUCAUGUCUCCGAUGCAAGCAAUAAAAGUGCUAUAUGACAUGCAUAAAAAGGGUUUCAUAGACAUGGUCAAAGGGAUGCUUGCCUUGAUUCGCUUGGUCUUCAGGUUCUUCAAAUCCUUCUCCUUCUUCUUCUUCAGCAACUUCGUCUAAUACGGGAUCUAAUCGUCGCAAGAAAAUAACGAGAAAAUAAGGCAAUAGUAAAACAGAAAAACCAAAGUGCUCAGAAAAAUGUCAACUUAUUUUUGAUAAAUACUAGGGGGGAAAAUUACUAGUUAUAGAUUUGGAGUUGUGGAAUAGGAUAAACGGAUUUACAAAGGUAUAUUUGAAUGCUUAAAAUCACAUUUAAAUAUUUACAGUGAAGAAAAGUUUGUUGGAUUUGAAUGAAAGUUGCACCAUUAAAUAGGUUGCAAUAUUUCAGGAAUUUAGGAGUUGGAAUUAAUUUAUUUGGACAAAUAUUCAACUCAGUGGAAUUUUUGGAAAAUUCAUAGAAAAAGAAAAGGAAAAAUGGCACUGUGCCACUAGGCCAGAAAGGCCAUAGUGCAGCUGGCCCAGAGGGAAAAGAGGCCCAGGCGAGCCCAGCUAACGGGCGGGGCCCAGCUGCCAGUGGGAGAGAGAGGGGGCGAGAGAGAGGUGAGAAAAGAGGAGCUCACCAGCGACAUUUGCGGGCAUGGCGGGGUGAGCUGAUGGCACCGUUGGACUCCUCGUUGUGUCGCCGUUUGGGUGGUGCCGGAGUUGGCCGGAGGGGAGCAGUGGUUCGCCGGCGACGAGUUUCACGGCGGAGGGGCGUCAGGCGUUGAUGGCUCCGGCCGUUUCCGACUUCAAAACGAGCGGGAAAGAGGGGGGAAUUGAUCAGUGAGCUAUGGGCGUUCCAGAGAAGCAAUAAAGAGGGUCGGGGGUGGCCUGUACCGUGUGACCGACGGUGACUCGAGGCGGUGGUGCUCGAGCUCGAUCUCGAUCUCGGGCGGUUCNNNNNNNNNNNNNNNNNNNNNNNNNNNNNNNNNNNNNNNNNNNNNNNNNNNNNNNNNNNNNNNNNNNNNNNNNNNNNNNNNNNNNNNNNNNNNNNNNNNNNNNNNNNNNNNNNNNNNNNNNNNNNNNNNNNNNNNNNNNNNNNNNNNNNNNNNNNNNNNNNNNNNNNNNNNNNNNNNNNNNNNNNNNNNNNNNNNNNNNNNNNNNNNNNNNNNNNNNNNNNNNNNNNNNNNNNGGGGAUGAUAUGGUGGUGCAGAGGGCGAGUGGUGAGGAGAGGAGAGCUCGGGGGGGGCUUAAAUAGAAGGGGGCGAGGUGCACCGUGGCUCGUGCGCCAGCGAGCUUCUAGCCGUUGCUGGAGACCACGGGGGCACGUGUGGGCGUGUCUGGGCUGCUCGUGGGGUUGGUCUAGGGCGAGGGGAGAGAAGAUGGGGAAAGUAGGGGGGCCAGGGCACCGCGCGUGUGAGCGCGCUCACUGGUGCGCUCGGGCGGCCGGCGCGCGUGCGAGCUGGGGCGAGAGGAGGGAGAGGGAGGAGGAGGACAGAGGCGUGGCGUGCUACGGAUGUCGAGGAGCAUCGGCUGGCAUGAGAGGGAGAGCCGAGGUGGCCGGAGGUGCUUGGCAGGGGGCGGCUACAGUGCGGGAGCGCACUGUAGCGCGCUCCAGAGCGUGCAAAUGGCCGGCAUGCCAUUGUUUUGGCAAAGUGGGCACGGCCAACGGUGUCUGGUGGCUCUAGGGGGGAGUAAAGAAUGGGGGAGGGGCAUUGGAUGCCCUGGGUGGCCACUGGAGUGAGGAGGGAGGUGAGAAAAGAGGAGAAUGCUGUUGUCCAGAAGGGUAAAUGGGGAUGUUUCACCCUUCAAUCAUUGAGUUGAGGCCAGGGAAGAGUUACUAGUGGUGCAAGGGGACUCUGAGGGGCUGUAGUAAAAAGUUGAGCUCAAGGAGAAUAGUGUUAGUGGUCAAAAAGGUGAUUUUUGAAAAGUGGCAGAAGGUGUUUCAUAAUGGUUUGGGCCAGCAGAUGAUUUCCAAAUGCCAUGAGACUCCACAGGGUGAAAUGAAACAUAUAAUUAGGGCCUUCCACCAAUUUGGAGCUUAUUUGGGCAAAGUUGCCAAUGCAACUUUUGUAAACCCUAGAAAUUAGCAGAAAUGAACUUGUGUAGAUCUAGUUGAGAAAAUCACUUCUCCUUGAUGCACCACUUGGUGUAGUGGCCUCAUUUGGUCAUGUGAAGUGCUCACAAAAGUUGGGGUCAAGGAGAGAAAGUUGGUAGUACAAAGUUGUUCAAAUUUGAUUCUGGUCAGUGAGGGUUUUGAGGCACUUUCAUCAAGAUAUCAUUUUCUCCAACUUGUGCCAUUUGGUCUAGAUACAUGUUUAGACCAUUGGAGCAUGUGCACCAAGUUUGAGAACAUUUGGACAUGUUUGGCAAUGUAGAGUUUCUCAAACUUCAAAAUGGACAGAAAUGCUUUUGAGGAGAUUUGAUGAUGUUAUGCUGUUCUCCAAGACAUGAGGCUUGGCAAGAUCAUCCAACAUGUCAUAUGUGACAUGCUAGAAUUUUCUUGGAAUUUUUAGAGAAUAUUUUCUUUGUAAAUAUUUCAAAAGCUUGAAAUAUCCAGAAAGGGUUUUUGAGGGGUUUAACCCAUAUUUUAAACAUGAUCAUGUGUUGAAACUCUUAUAUAUGGAAAAUAUAUGUCCACUGAGUUUCCCUGAAUUUUCACAAAUAUUUUUAAAGUGUUAAAAUAAUUUUAACCUAUUAAAGACCAUUUCUGUCCUAAAGAAAAAACCUUUAAAUAAAAUAGUAAAAUAACUUUUAAAAUUAUAUUUUUGUGGUUUUUGGGAGUCCUAUAUCUUAUAGGAUUCAAAUAUACUCUUUUAAAGAUUUUUCAUACCCCAAAUCAAGUACUUGCAGUGCAAACCUCAAUUCAGGGGUUUUUGGAAGACUAAUUUUUGAAAAUACUUUUUGGCCAAAUUAUUUUUAUAAGAAAAUACUAUAUUGCACUAUAUACAUGGCAUGAUCAUUGGGCAGAAGUUUUGGGCAAAGAGAUGAAGUACAGAAGGUGGAGUAGUUGACUUUAAAGAGCACUUGAAAAUAACAGAGAGAAAACCAACUCCAACAUAAAAAGCCAAAUAAUGCAAAAUUUCUUGCCAAAUCACACUUCAUCAUGAUUUAAUAUCUUAAGUGUUGUGGCAUGAAAAUCGGGGUGUGACAUUCAAGGACUACCUGAUGCAAGGGAUGCUGCGAGAGAAAGAGGAGGACGCGGAGCGCGUGGCCCGGCAGGCCACGGCCUACUGCAUCCAAGAAGGAGAGCUCUACCGGAAGCAGCCAAAUGACGUAUCCUUGGGUUGCAUAUCCAGGGAAUAGGGGAAGAAGUUGCUGGAUGACAUACACAGUGGAGAUUGCGGACACCACUCGUCGUCACGAACCCUUGUCGGCAAGGCGUUUUGCAGCGGGUUCUACUGGCCUACGAUAGUCAACGACGCAAUCGAGCUAGUGAAGGCUUGCGAAGCCUGCCAAUUCCAUGCCAAGCAAAUCCAUCAGCCAGCUCAGGGCCUGCAAACCAUCCCACUCUCGUGGCCGUUCGCGGUCUGGGGGCUGGAUAUCUUGGGCCCGUUUCCUCAAGCGCCUGGGGGCUACCGCUACCUCUACGUCGCCAUCGACAAGUUCACCACGUGGGCGGAGGUUGAAGCCGUCCGCACCAUCCCAACUGGUUCUGCAGUCAAGUCCAUCAAAGGCCUCAUGAGCCGAUUCGGGGUCCCUAAUCGUAUCAUCACCGAUAACGGUUCGCAGUUCACCAGCAAUCUCUUCAAAACAUAUUGUGCUAACCUUGGAACGCAGAUAUGCUACGCUUUGGUGGCACACCCCCGGAGUAACGGCCAGGCCGAACGCGCCAACGCAGAGGUCCUGAAGGGCCUCAAAACCAGGACCUUCAAAAAGAAGCUGGAGGCCUGCGGCAGGGGCUGGUACGACGAGCUCCAGUCCGUGUUGUGGUCCAUCCGUACUACCGCCACCAAGUCGACUGGCGAGACCCUGUUCUUCCUUGUCUACGGAGCAGAGGUGGUCCUCCCUCACGAGGUCAGGCAUCGCUCCGCGCAGGUCCUAGCAUUUGAUGAAGCGCAGCAGGACGCCUCGCGGGGGAUGGACCUCGUGCUGGGGGAGGAGCACCGUCGAGAAGCCGCACUACGAGCAGCAAGAUACCAGCAGGCGCUGCGGCGGUAUCAUUGCCGCAACAUCCGCCCCAAGACUCUCAAGGUAGGUGACCUCGUACUUAGGCGGGUGCUCUCCAGGGAAGGGCUGCAUAAGCUCUCGCCCAUGUGGGAGGGCCCGUUCAAGGUUGUCCAUGUUUCCAGGCCUGGCGCCGCGCGCCUAGAGAGUCAGGAAGGGGUGCCCAUCCCAAACGUUUGGAACAUUCAGCACCUCCGGAAGUUCUACCUUGAAGAAAGGCCCAGUGCCUGUGAAGAAGGCCUGGUGCCUGUGAAGAAGGCCCAGUGCAUGUGAAGCUCGCCGCCCGUGACACUCUCACGUAAUAAUGAGUUGGGGCUGGACACGCCCCGGAGUCUCCGGAGUGCCACCCUCGGGCCUGGUGGGCUCCCGCCCACGCCCAGUGGCAGCACUUAGCUCCGCGCUGGUGAUAAGACGUCGAAGACUAGACUAGGUGCCGGACGCGGCUUUUCAUUUGCUUUCCGCAGUUGGCUUGUUCUCCCUUGUUUAAACCUUUAUUGAAGUUGCUUCUAGUGUUGUUUGCCGCCUUCUUCUCCUGUUCUCUGUUUUCGGCUUUUGUCUGGCUCGCGCUCUCUCUCGCAAACCUCGCGAGGGGGCUGCGCGGGCGCCCUCGUGAGCCCUUUCUCGCCUGGUUUUCGCGAGGCUCCCUCGUUCAAGUUCAUAGCGGGAGCACCCCUCUCGGUUCAUGCCCCUCGGGCAUCACGAUGCAGAGCACCGGGCCGUAGCUGACAACCCUCGUGACUAAGGUUCGGAAAUGAUUCUCCCAACUGAUUUUUUUCAUCUCUGAAGGCGCCCGGCGAGGCCUCAAGGAGGCACCUCGCAAGGCGGAAACUACUGCAAACAUCCCGAGCUAAGUUGUUCCUCGCGCAGGCACAUAACCACGACACCAUCACACAGCACAGAGACAAUGAGUGUAGCACGAUAAUUAGGGGAUCAUAGUCUGUUGCACGCCCCCACGGGGAUCCAUACUUCUCUCUCUCAACGCAGGAAAAGGAGAAAAGCAAAAUAAAAACAGCGCAUAGCUCGCGAGAAGGGAUCUGCGUCAUCCUCCUGAGCUCAAUCAGACUCCGCCUCGCGCUUCACCGGGGCGCGGCAACGGGACGACCCGCUACCACCCUCGAAGCAGGUGCGGCGGCGUGGUGGCUGAUCGCGGCCACCGCUGGAGGACCUGCCGCCAGAGGAGGAGCCGCUGAAGCUCGACGAGCUGCGGUCGCCGCCUGGAGCGGGCUCGCCUUUGCCCUCGUCACGGCCGUCUCCAAGGCCGAGCACCUCGUCACCGUCAUCGUCUUCAGGGCAGCACCCAGCAUGGCGGCCAUCUUCUCUGAACACCCUCACGUAGAGGGUCGCAUCGCCAUCGUACUUAAAGUGGAGGGUGCACCGUCUGCCCAGGCCACACGCGUGGGAAAACGCCUGCCAGUCCCGGGCCAGGGCCAUGUUCCCAGCGGAGAUAUCCACCGCGACCCAGGAAGCCCUGCUGCAGCAGCCAUCCGCCUGCAGCCAGAGCCCGCCGAGGCCAGCGGCCGGCAGUUCACCGGCGAAGAAGCGAGGGAGCUAGAGCCAGUUGCCGGCCGGGUUGUCCGACCACACAACAAACUCCGGCAUCACCUCCGCUGAAUGGAAGCGCAGCCGGGGAGGCCACGCAGCCACGACACGCCUUCCUCCACCGACUGGGCUGCCUCGAUAUGGGCGGCCACCACCGCGUGAAGGGCCACCACCGCGACCACGAGAAGCCACGACGGGAGUCGCGGGACGCUUGCGGGGGCAGCCGCGGCCUCGCUUGGGAGGAGGAGAGCCAGGCCCUUCCUGGCGAGCCUUCCUCUUCUCCGCGGCCGAGAACCUCUUCACGGGCUCCAUGGGAUGCUGCAAGCAACCGGGCGAGGAGGGAGAAGAAGCAGGCGGGGCGAGGGGAGAUGUGCAACGGGGAUUUCGACCCUCCCUAUUUAUAGCCCAAGGGAGGCCAACCGUUGGCCCCCACGAUCACAGGUAAUGAUGACUCUUUUUGCAUGCAGCAGGGACUCGUCAAAUCGGGCAGUUGCCGAGGCAGCGUGGGAAAGCGGAGACGCCCACGUCCAAUCAACCACCAUGCGGCGACCAAGGCCGCAUGCUGUUGGGGCCCGCGGCGCUCCGCACUUGCCCUUUGGCUUUGCUGCUAAGACAAGUCCAAGCGCGCCUUGGGCCCGGGGGCUACUGUCGGCGUUUUGGGAACGGGGGUCCCCAGACGUGCCUGCCAGCGGCCUGCAGCGUGGCUCAUUAGCGGCCCAGUACGGCCCGUCUUCUUCAACCCAAGUUCAAGACCCUCGCGAGGGGCCUAGCCUCGCGAGGCGGACGACACAAGGCAUCAUCAGGGACGGCCUCACCAGGCAGGCUCGCGAGGAGGCAGAGAGAUCAAGGCGAGGGGUACCUCGCGAGGUGCUCAUGACGCAAGCCAUGACGAUCAAGACCAGGCGGGCGCCAGCCUGCGCAGUGUCCUUGUUUACUCUUUGGUGCAAAGGGGGCAAGCGCAGGCACGGAGUACCGAGGCAUCAAUCAAAGGUUUUCAUAUCAGUGCAACGAGACCAAGACUAGCAUGACGGCAGGAUGGAGGUCACCAUGGAGCCCAAGACGGCGUCAUUACCAGUGCCUUUGGCAGUCGAAGACCACCUAUAGUCAGGAUAGCUUGUACUGGCUAUCCCCUUACAAAAUGGCCGUUGUUGGCUCCCUUCCCGCUCAAUAUUUGGGAAGAGGACCAGGGCCUCUAUAAAUAGGGCUAGCCACCACAGUAGAAGGCAUCUCAUCUAGAGCCACAAUCCACCACACCACACUCUGCAUUAGGGUAUUACACAACAAUGGUGGCCCGAACCAGUAUAAACCUUCUGUCUCUUGUAUUGUUCAUCGUGCUAGCUUAGAAUCGUGGCGAGGUUUUUGGCGUGUUUCGGUAAGGAGAAGAUCUUCAUGCGCACCCCAGAGUUCGAACCUUAAGGGUUUUGCCGGAACCCGAUAUCUGACAGUUUCUGGCCCACGGAACACGUCUGUCGUGCUCGUCCGCCUAGGCGAGGCCCGUGUGUUGGGCCUGACAUGACCCGUUUAGUAUUGUGACGCUCCGUCUGGCAUGUGCGGGAUUCUUCGAAUCCGAGGCGAGGGAGGGGCACACGGGCCGUCUAGGCAUGUUUUUUUUGCCCGUGAGGGUCAGUUUUAUCCCUUUUAUGCAGAAUUUCAAAAUUGUAGUACAAAACUUUUGCUGUAAAGAGGGCUGCCCACCCCCUCAUUUCCCACACUCAAAUAUGACUUAUCACAACAAGUUCCCUACCAUCGUAGUAUCUGAUUUCGGGGUUGACAUACGCAACUAUGUCACAUCAUCCCCACCUUCGACAUCGUGUUGCGUGAAAUUGAUUGACGCCACAAAAAAUUUCAAGCACCCGAGAUUUAGCAAGACCGUAAUAUUUAUCCGUUGUGACACUUUGCCUCAUUUAUUAUUAUUUUUUGAGUUCUUUUUCUAAAAAUUUCCUAUGUAAUUAUAAACGGGCCUCCAUGUGCCAUGUCGUGCCAGGCCCAUUUAUGGCCGGGCCGUUGGCUACUGGAAAGCCGACCAAAAACCCUCUUUUCCCCCUCUGCUCUGCGCCGGAUAUACGGCUUCGGAAACCAAACGAAUAGCACACGCGGCAACGAUUGAGUGGGUGAAGCGCGCCAUGUAUCUAGUUCAGAGCCGUUGGAAAGAGGCUUUUUGGCCGGCUUUCAACUCGAGAUCCGGUGACCAACCCAUCACAAUAGGCGGCGGCGAACGAGCGGGAGAAGUGCGAUGCCGCUCACCGGGGCCGUCAAGUCCGCCGCAAUUCUUCUCCUUGUCAUCCUCUCAGCUGAGGUGCAGCCGUUCAAGGGCCUCGUGCCUAAGAACGGGAGAGUGGACUUGGUUGGCAACAAUGUCAAGGCGACGACCGAUACGGCAGUGAUGUGCUACCAGAGGAGCGUCGUCGGCGAAGAAGCGAAACCGAGCAAGAUGGUCGUCGACGUGGCCCUGCUCGACACGUAACAAGUGAUAUAAUCACAAAAAGUUAUGUCUGCUUCAAUCGACUUAACACGAGGCGUUGAAUAUAAUUGCUCAAAGGAGAUGGACUCCAUUGCAGUGAAGCUGACACAGGCUCAGGAGUUGGAUAGAUCUAUUUACGCUUCGCUCAUUAAGAAGAUUUGUUACCUUAUGUCCCUUCAUGAUUCUUGUAUUACUCAUAUCAAUCGUAGUCAAAAUAAGGUUAAUGAUAGUCUAACUAAGUUUGCUCGUCUAGAAGGCAGAACCAUGACUUGGUUACGUUCGUGGCCUCGGAGGCGUUGGAGUUUGCAGCGAUUGAUUGUACCGACCUUGUUUUUUUUAAGAGAGGCAAAAGAUUUGUCUCAUUCAUUAAAUAAGAGGAAUAGAGUUUAUGGUCGUGUUACAACAGAGACAGCGCCGUAACAACCGAAAAAAAGUGACCAACUACUCUCCCGUCAUCAAGUAUCCCAACUUUCUAGCACCCGCAGUUACCCAAAGCGUGGCCUCCUUCUUGAUGUUGGCGAGAAGCACCGUCGGUGGAGCACUCUUCUGACAAAACACCCGCGCAUUCCUCCCGUUCCAAUUGUACCGAUCUUGUGAUUGAGUAAUGCAUUAUUUCACCCGCAAAAAGAAAAAAAAAACUUAACACGAGGCGCUAAAUAUCAUUGCUCAAAGCGAAAUCCACUGUAAUUCAAUUUUUGCCACAAGUUCACGUGUGCAAACAUACCAGGACGUGUCAAAUUUCAGCGCACGCGAAGUUUCGUGGAAAGCCCCACGAAGUAAAAUCCAUCCGUGUACAAUUUCCUCAAUCAGAGACACACAUCCUCUGUGGCAAAGUGACGAAGCCAACCAUUUCAGUGAUACUAGGCAGAGCCAGCCACGCGCAUUCACUCACCAACACCAUCUUUUGAGUGCCGAAAGAGAAUUGGAAUCGAGGUAGCUGCGAUAGGGUAGGCACUGGGUCUGGAGUUGAAGGCCGGCCGCCGUCCAAAAACCCUCUUUUCCCCCUGCUCAUCUCCAUCCUCCUCAGUGUUCUCACUUCUCGGGGCCGGAGAAGCACAAUGGCGUCGCUCGCCGGAGCCGCACUCGCCUCCUGCAGCAUCCUUCUCCUCCUGCUCGUCCCCUGCGCCCAGGGCCAGGGGCAACCACCCGAGGCACCGGAGGAGGCUUGGGCCGAGGGGCAACCACCGGAGGCGUCGGAGGACGCUUUGACGAUGCUCUUGUCCGAUGGCGGGUGCCGCGCCUUCUCCGGCCUCGUCGCCAUGACGGCCGGCGUGGGCGACGCGUUCCGCGAGCAGAUCGGCAGCGAUCUGGGGCUCACCAUCCUCUGCCCUGACGACGAGGCGGUGGGGGCGUUCAUGCCGAGGUUCCAUAGCCUCACCGCCGACGAGCAGGUCGCGGUUCUCCUGUACCACGGCCUGACGAUGGCUUACUCUGAGGAGCUGCUCAGCUGGGUGACCUGGGUCCACGGGGAGUUCUCGACGCUUGAUGGGGAGGAUAUGCUCACCAUCCGUCACCACAGAGGCAGGCUGAUGCUUUCUUCGUGGCCGCCGUCGUCACGUAACAAGGCCAGGAUCACCAAGACGGUCGUCGACGACGACCAUCUCGCCGUCUACCUCAUAGACGCCGUGCUGAUUCCGGCAGAUCCCAAGCGUCAAAGAGUUGUGGCACUUAUCGUCAUUAUUGUGGUACUUGUUGCCGGCGUGCUCGUGGCGAUGUGAGUUUUCUUUCCUCACACUUAAUUCCGCUACGAUCAAAUGGAAGCACAUGCCACACGCAGCACUAGCUCGCUCUUGUUCCGCCCCACAGAGUUUUGAGCGCCUUCGAGCUGGUGCUAGAGGAUUCUGUCUAUGUAUAAAUCGUAUACUAGUACAGUUAGUCAACAAUAAUUUAGAUUUGGGCUUUCUGUACAUAUACGUCAAUUCAAUGAACAUUGUUAAUUACUCCACCGUUAGUUCAUUUCAGAGGGGUGUACCGAAGCAAUGCUUGUACGGCUGCUUGAAUUGCUCCAGCUUUUCUAGAUCUUGAUUAUGUACGCUAAUUGUAUCUGUUAUUAUUAUUUGGCGGGUGGCUAACUGUAUCUAUGUUUCCCCUGCAGAUUCUUGCUGUUUCAUGCACUUGUAUAUCUUGGUUCUCUUGUGUGCCGGUUGAGAAGUUGGUGUAAGGGUCGCGCUGCUGCCUAUGCUUCGGCCGCCCGUGUCACUCCACAUGGGCAAGGGCAACAAGAACACUAGUCUCUGGCCACUUCGGAGUGCCUCGCCUCCUCGGGUCGUUCCCUCGUACCUACGUAUUUCCGUUUGUGGUGACAGAUUUCACGGUUGUUUCCUCUGUCUUCGAUGUAUAUAGUGGUGUUCAGCAGGUGGUGGGAUGGUCAGUUGAUGAAACUGCAGGAUCUAGAUCGUGUUAUUUUUCUAUGCAUAUAUAUUUAUAUAUAUCUUUUGCCGGGAACACUUUCUAUGUAUUUUGUGUUUACUUACUUAUGGAUCUAGGCUUCGUUUGAUGUAACGAAAUACUGGUGACCAUGCGUUCGAUAUGUAGUGGAGUAGGACUAGCAUUGGAACUUCUAUUGCAAGCAUCCGUCCAUGGGGCUGCAUUAGAUGAGGGAGGAGUUCCAUUUUAUUAUGCACCAUAGUUACUUUCAACAGCUUUCAGAAAAACAUAUAUAUAUCAUUCAAAUGACAUGAUGCGAACCGCACAUGUUUCUUAGGUUGUUCCGUGUAACUUAUAUUGUAUACACGAUCUUGUGCGUACAUACAGUCAGCGUUCUUGUCAACCAUAUAAGCAGGCUGCAGGUUGCCAACUGAUUGGUCGUCAGGAAGGUACCAAGGGCUUAUUCUGUAAUAACAUAACCAUGUUGUUCAUGUGUGUAAGAUUUGAUGGAAGCGUUUCUACUCCUCGUAAGGAGCCGCGUGGUGUAUAUUUAUGUGCGACGGGAAAGCCCCUGUUUGUGGCGUACAAGGCAAGGUUGAUCGCUAGGAUACAACUCGUACAAAGAAGAGAGAACGAGGUAGUUACGAGAGGGAAUAGAGAUAGGAGAUAGUUGAGAUUACAAUAAGUUUAAACCAUAUCAUCUAACACCCUUUCUUAAUCUCAACUACCUACAUUCAAUUUUCAAUUGAAUUCUUCAAAUGGCUUGACUGGCAAAGCUUUAGUGAAACCAUUUGCCACUUCAUCCUUGGAAGGAAUAAAUCGUAUGUCCAGCUUCUUCUCUGCAACUCUUUCUCUCACAAAGUGAAAAUCAAUUUCAAUGUGUUUGGUCCUACCAUGAAAGACCGGAUUAGCAGAAAGAUAGGUUGCUCCCAAGUUGUCACUCCAUAAACAAGAUGCACGAUGUUGUUUAAUUCCUAACUCAUGAAGUAAUGACUCCAACCAAAUAAUUUGAGCAGUAGCAUUUGCUAAAGAUUUGUACUCAGCUUCUGGACUUGAUCUUGACACUGUAGCCUGUUUUCUGGCACUCUAGGAAAUGAGAUUAGAUCCAAAAAAUACUGCAAAUCCUCCAGUUGAUUUUCUGUCAUCAGUACAUCCUGCCCAGUCAGCAUCGAAAAAAGCACUAACAAGAGUAGAACUAGAGCGUCUAAACUGAAGACCCAAACUUGCAGUAUACAUUAUGUAUCUCACAAUCCUUUUAACAGUUGUCCAAUGUGUAGUAGUAGGUGCAUGUAAAUACUGACAAACCUUAUUAACAACAAAAGAUAUAUCUAGCCUUGUCAAUGUCAAAUAUUGCAAAGCUCCCACAGUACUCCUGUAUCUUGUGCUUUCUUCUUUCUUAAGAGGUUCACCUUCAAAUGCUGAAAGUUUCUCUGAAGAAGAUAAUGGUGUGAUGGCUUACAAUCCUUCAUCCCCAUUCGAGUUAGAAGUUCAGUAGCAUAUUUUUCUUGAUGAAGUACUAUGCCAUCUUGAAUCUGAAGGGGAACGUAGUAAUUUCAAAAAAAUUCCUACGCACACGCAAGAUCAUGGUGAUGCAUAGCAACGAGAGGGGAGAGUGUUGUCCACGUACCCUCGUAGACCGAAAGCGGAAGCGUUAGAACAACGCGGUUGAUGUAGUCGUACGUCUUCACGGCCCGACCGAUCAAGCACCCAAACUACGACACCUCCGAGUUCUAGCACACGUUCAGCUCGAUGACGUCCCUCGAACUCCGAUCCAGCCGAGUGUCGAGGGAGAGUUCCGUCAGCACGACGGCGUGGUGACGAUCUUGAUGUUCUACCGUCGCAGGGCUUCGCCUAAGCACCGCUACAAUAUUAUCGAGGAGGACUAUGGUGGAGGGGGGCACUGCACACGGCUAAGAGAUCAAGAGAUCAAUUGUUGUGUCUAUGGGGUGCCCCCUGCCCCCGUAUAUAAAGGAGCAAGGGAGGAGGAGGCCGGCCCUAGGAGGGGCGCACCAAUGGAGUAGGGUUCCUACUCCUAGUAGGAGUAGGUUUCUUUCUUUCCUAGUCCAACUAGGAGAAGGGGGGAAAGGAGGGGAGUGGAGAAGGAAGGGAGAGGGGGGCCGCACCCCAAACCCCUUGUCCAAUUCAGACUGGGCUUGGGAGGGGCGCGCGCCACCUCCUGGCUCCUUCCCACUAAGGCCCAUUAAGGCCCAAUACUCUUCCCCGUAUUCCCGUAACUCCCCGGUACUCCGAAAAAUACCUGAAUCACUCGGAACCUUUCCGAUGUCCGAAUAUAGUCGUCCAAUAUAUUGAUCUUUACGUCUCGACCAUUUCGAGACUCCUCGUCAUGUCCCCGAUCUCAUCCGGGACUCCGAACUCCUUCGGUACAUCAAUACUCAUAAACUCAUAAUAAAACUAGCAUCGAAACCUUAAGCGUGCGGACCCUACGGGUUCGAGAACUAUGUAGAUAUGACCGAAACACGUUUCCGUUCAAUAACCAAUAGCGGAACCUGGAUGCUCAUAUUGGCUCCCACAUAUUCUACGAAGAUCUUUAUCGGUCAAACCGCAUAACAACAUACGUUGUUCCCUUUGUCAUCGGUAUGUUACUUGCCCAAGAUCCGAUCGUCGGUAUCUCAAUACCUAGUUCAAUCUCGUUACCGGCAAGUCUCUUUACUCGUUAUGUAAUGCGUCAUCCCGCAAGUAACUCAUUAAUCACAUUGCUUGCAAGGCUUAUAGUGAUAUGCAUUACCGAGAGGGCCCAGGGAUACCUCUCCGACAAUCAGAGUGACAAAUCCUAAUCUCGAAAUACGCCAACUCAACAUGUACCUUCGGAGACACCUGUAGAGCUCCUUUACAAUCACCCAGUUAUGUUGUGAUGUUUGGUAGCACACAAAGUGUUCCUCCGGUAAACAGGAGUUGCAUAAUCUCAUAGUCAUAGGAACAUGUAUAAGUCAUGAAGAAAGCAAUAGCAACAUACUAAACGAUCAAUUGCUAAGCUAACAGAAUGGAUCAAGUCAAUCACAUCAUUCUCCUAAUGAUGUGAUCACGUUAAUCAAAUGACAACUCAUGUCUAUGGCUAGGAAACUUAACCAUCUUUGAUUCACGAGCUAGUCAAGUAGAGGCAUACUAGUGACACUAUGUUUGUCUAUGUAUUCACACAUGUAUUAUGUUUCCGGUUAAUACAAUUCUAGCAUGAAUAAUAAACAUUUAUCAUGAAAUAAGGAAAUAAAUAAUAACUUUAUUAUUGCCUCUAGGGCAUAUUUUCUUCAGUCUCCCACUUGCACUAGAGUCAAUAAUCUAGUUCACAUCGCCAUGUGAUUUAACACCAAUAUUCAUAUCUAUAUAUGAUUAACACCCAUAGUUCACAUCGUCAUGUGACCAACACCCAAAGGGUUUACUAGAGUCAAUAAUCUAGUUCACAUCGCUUAUGUGAUUAACACCCAAAGAGUACUAAGGUGUGAUCAUGUUUUGCUCGUGAUAGAAGCUUAGUCAAUGGGUCUGUCACAUUCAGAGCCGUAUGUAUUUUGCAAAUAUUCUAUGUCUACGAUGCUCUAUACGGAGCUACUCUAGCUAAUUGCUCCCACUUUCAAUAUGUAUCCAGAUUGAGACUUAGAGUCAUCUGGAUCGAUGUGAAAGCUUGCACCGAUGUAACUCUUUACGACGGGCUCUUUUAUCACCUCCAUAAUCGAGAAAUAUUUCCUUAGUCCUCACUAAGGAUAUUCUUGACCAAUGUCCAGUGAUCUACUCCUAGAUCACUAUUGUACUCCCUUGCCAAAUACAGUGCAAGGUAUACAAUAGGUCUGGUACAUAGCAUAUCAUACUUUAUAGAACCUAUGACUGAGGCAUAGGGAAUGACUUUCAUUCUCUUUUCUAUUUUCUGCCGUGGUCGGGAUUUGAGUCUUACUCAAUUUCAUACCUUUGCAACACUGGCAAGAACUCUUUCUUUGACUGUUCCAUUUUAAACUAUUUCAAAAUCUUGCCAAGGUAUGUACUCAUUGAAAAUCUUAUCAAGCGUCUUGAUCUAUCUCAAUAGAUCUUGAUGCUCAAUAUGUAAGUAGCUUUACUGAGGUCUUUCUUUUAAAGAACUCCUUUCAAAACACUCCUUUAUGCUUUCCAAAAAAUUCUACAUCAUUUCUGAUCAACAAUAUGUUACUCACAUAUAUUUAUCAGAAAGGCCGUAGUGCUCCCACUCACUUUAUUGUAAAUACAUGCUUCACCGCAAGUCUGUAUAAAACUAUAUGCUUUGAUCAACUUAUCAAAGCAUAUAUUCCAACUCUGAGAUGCUUGCACCAGUCCAUAGAUGGAUCGCUGGAGCUUGCACAUUUUGUUAGCACCUUUAGGAUUGACAAAACCUUCUGGUUGCCUCAUAUACAAAACCAUUAAAGAAUGCAGUUUUGACAUCCAUUUGCCAGAUUUCAUAAAAUGUGGCAAUUCCUAACAUGAUUCGGACAGACUUAAGCAUCGCUACAGUUGAGAAAAUCUUAUUGUAGUCAACACCUUGAACUUGUCAAAAACCUUUUUGCGACAAGCUGAGCUUUGUAGAUAGUAACACUACUAUCAGCAUUUGUCUUCCUCUUGAAGAUCCAUUUAUACAAUAUGGCUUGCCGAUCAUCGGGCAACUCCACCAAAGUCCACACUUUGUUCUCAUACAUGGAUCCCAUCUCAGAUUUCAUGGCCCCAAGCCAUUUCGCGAAAUCUGGGCUCAUCGCUUCCUCAUAGUUCGUAGGUUUAUCAUGGUCUAGUAACAUGACUUCCAGAACAGGAUUACCGUACCACUGGUGCGAACUAUACUUUGGAAGACCUACGAGGUUUUGUAGUAACUUAAUCUGAAGUUUCAUGAUCAUCAUCAUUAGCUUCCUCACUAAUUGGUGUAGGAAUCACUGGAACUGAAUUCUGUGAUGAACUACUUUCCAAUUCGGGAGAAGGUACAAAUUACCUUAUCAAGCUCUACCUUCCUCCCACUCACUUCUUUCGAGAGAAACUCCUUAUCUAGAAAGGAUCCAUUCUUAGCAACGAAUGUUUUGCCUUCGGAUCUGUGAUAGAAGGUGUACCCAGCAGUUUCCUUUGGGUAUUCUAUGAAGACGCACUUCUCCGAUUUGGGUUCGAGCUUAUCAGGUUGAAACCUUUUUCACAUAAGCAUCGCAACUCCAAACUUUAAGAAACGACAGCUUAGGUUUACUGCUAAACCAUAGUUCAUACGGUGUUGUAUCAACGAAUUUAGUUGGUGCCCUAUUUAAAGUGAAUGCAGCUAUCUCUAAUGCAUAACCCCAAAACGAUAGUGGUAAAUCGGUAAGAUACAUCAUAGAUCGCACCAUAUCCAAUAAAGUGCGGUUACGAUGUUCGGACACAGCAUUACGCUGUGGUGUUCCAUGUGGCGUGAGCUGUGAAACUAUUCCACAUUGUUUAAAAUGAAGGCCAAACUCGUAGCUCAAAUAUUCAUCUCUACGAUCAGAUCAUAGAAACUUUAUUUUCUUGUUACGAUGAUUUUUCCACUUCACUCUGAAAUUCUUUGAACUUUUCAACUAUUUCAGACUUAUGUUUCAUCAAGUAGAUAUACGCAUAUCUGCUCAAAUCAUCUGUGAAGGUCAGAAAAUAACGAUACCCACCACGAGUAUCAACACUCAUUGGACCGCAUACAUCGGUAUGUAUUAUUUCCAUCAAGUUAGUAGCUCGUUCCAUUGUUUCGUAGAAUGGAGUUUUAGUCAUCUUGCCCAAAAGGCACGGUUCGCAAGCAUCAAAUGAUUCAUAACCAAGUGAUUCCAAAAAUCCAUCUUUAUGGAGUUUCUUCAUGCGCUUUACACCGAUAUGACCCAAACGGCAGUGCCACUAAUAAGUUGCACUAUCAUUAUUAACUUUGCAUCUUUUGGCAUCAAUAUUAUGAAUAUGUGUAUCACUAUGAUCGAGAUCCAACAAACUAUUUUCAUUGGGUGUAUGACCAUUUGAAGGUUUUAUUCAUGUAAACAGAACAACAAUUAUUUCUGACUUUAAAUGAAUAUCCUUAUUGCAAUAAACAUGAUCAAAUCAUAUUCAUGCUCAACGUAAACGCCAAAUAACAUUUAUUUAGGUUUAACACUAAUCCCGAAAGUAUAGGGAGUGUGCGAUGAUGAUCAUAUCAAUCUUGGAACUACUUCCAACACUAAUCGUCAUUUCCCCUUCAACUAGUCUGUAUUCUAUAACUCCUGUUUCGAGUUACUAAUCUUAGCAACCGAACAAGUAUCAAAUACUCAGGGGCUACUGUAAACACUAGUAAGGCACACAUCAAUAUCCUGUAUAUCAAAUAUACCCUUGUUCACUUUGCCAUCCUUCUUAUCCACCAAAUAUUCAGGGCAUUUCCGCUUCCAGUGACCAUUUCCUUUGCAGUGUAAGCACUCAGUUUCAGGCUUUGGUAUAGCUUUGGUCUUCUUCACGGGAGUGACAACUUGUUUGCCAUUCUACUUGAAGUUUCCCUUUCUUUCCCUUUGCCCUUUUCUUGAAAUUAGUGGUCUUGUCAAUUAUCAACACUUGAUGCUCUUUCUUGAUUUCUACCUUCGUUGAUUUCAACAUCACGAAGAGCUCGGGAAUAGUUUUCAUCAUCCCUUGCAUACUAUAGUUCAUCACGAAGUUCUAGUAACUUAGUGAUGGUGACUAGAGAAUUCUGUCAAUCACUAUCUUAUCUGGAAGAUUAACUCCCACUUGAUUCAAGCAAUUGAAGUACCCAGACAAUCUGAGCACAUGCUCACUAGUUGAGCGAUUCUCCUCCAUCUUUUAGCUAUAGAACUUGUUGGAGAUUUCAUAUCUCUCAACUCGGGUAUUUGCUUCAAAUAUUAACUUCAAUUCCUGGAACAUCUCAUAUGGUCCAUGACAUUCAAAACGUCUUUGAAGUCCCGAUUCUAAUCCGUUAAGCAUGGUGCACUAAACUAUCAAGUAGUCAUCAUAUUGAGCUAGCCAAACGUUCAUAACGUCUGCAUCUGCUCUUGCAAUAGGUCUGUCACCUAGCGGUGCAUUAAGGACAUAAUUCUUCUGUGCAGCAAUGAGGAUAAACCUCAGAUCACGGAUCUAAUCCACAUCAUUGCUACUAACAUCUUUCAACACAAUUUUCUCUAGGAACAUAUCAAAAUAAACAUAUGAAAGCAACAAUGUGAGCUAUUGAUCUACAACAUAAUUUGCAAAAUACUACUAGGGCUAAGUUCAAUUAAUCAUAUUACUUAAGAACUCCCACUUAGACAUGCAUCUCUCUAGUCAUCUAAGUGAUCACGUGAUCCAAAUCAACUAAACCAUGUCCGAUCAUCACGUGAGAUGGAGUAGUUUUCAAUGGUGAACAUCACUAUGGUGAUCAUAUCUACUAUAUGAUUCACGUUCGACCUUUCGGUCUCCGUGUUCCGAGGCCAUAUCUGUAUAUGCUAGGCUCGUCAAGUUUAACCUGAGUAUUCCGUGUGUGCAACUGUUUUGCACCCGUUGUAUUUGAACGUAGAGCCUAUCACACCCGAUCAUCACGUGGUGUCUCAGCAUGAAGAACUUUCACAAUGGUGCAUACUCAGGGAGAACACUUCUUGAUAAUUUAGUGAGAGAUCAUCUUAAAAUGCUACCGUCAAUCAAAGCAAGAUAAGAUGCAUAAAGGAUAAACAUCACAUGCAAUCAAUAUAAGUGAUGUGAUAUGGCCAUCAUCAUCUUGUGCUUGUGAUCUCCAUCUCCGAAGCACCGUCGUGAUCACCAUCGUCACCGGCGCGACACCUUGAUCUCCAUCGUAGCAUCGUUGUCGUUACGCCAUCUAUUGCUUCUACGACUAUCGCUACCGCUUAGUGAUAAAUUAAAGCAAUUACAGGGCGUUUGCAUUUCAUACAAUAAAGUGACAACCAUAUGGCUCCUGCCAGUUGCCGAUAACUCGGUUACAAAACAUGAUCAUCUCAUACAAUAUAGCAUCACGUCUUGACCAUAUCACAUCACAACAUGCCCUGCAAAAACAAGUUAGACGUCCUCUACUUUGUUGUUGCAAAUUUUACGUGGAUGCUACGGGCUUAGCAAGAACAGUUCUUACCUACGCAUCAAAACCACAAUGAUAGUUUGUCAAGUUGGUGCUGUUUUAACCUUCGCAAGGACCGGGCGUAGCCACACUCAGUUCAACUAAAGUAAGAGAGACAGACACUCGCCGGUCACCUUUAAGCAACGAGUGCUCGUAGCGGUGAAACCAGUCUCGCGUAAGCGAACGCAUAAUGUCGGUCCGGGCCGCUUCAUCUCGUAAUGCCGCUGAACCAAAGUAUGACAUGCUGGUAAGCAGUAUGACUUAUAUCACCCACAACUCACUUGUGUUCUACUCGUGCAUAUGACAUCUACGCAUAAAACCAGGCUCUGAUACCACUGAAGGGGAACGUAGUAAUUUCAAAAAAAUUCCUACGCACACGCAAGAUCAUGGUGAUGCAUAGCAACGAGAGGGGAGAGUGUUGUCCACGUACCCUCGUAGACCGAAAGCGGAAGCGUUAGAACAACGCGGUUGAUGUAGUCGUACGUCUUCACGGCCCGACCGAUCAAGCACCGAAACUACGGCACCUCUGAGUUCUAGCACAUGUGCAGCUCGAUGACGUCCCUCGAACUCCGAUCCAGCCGAGUGUCGACGGAGAGUUCCGUCAGCACGACGGCGUGGUGAUGAUCUUGAUGUUCUACCGUCGCAGGGCUUCGCCUAAGCACCGCUACAAUAUUAUCAAGCAGGACUAUGGUGGAAGGGGGCACCGCACACGGCUAAGAGAUCAAGAGAUCAAUUGUUGUGUCUAUGGGGUGCUCCCUGCCCCCGUAUAUAGAGGAGCAAGGGAGGAGGAGGCAGGCCCUAGGAGGGGCGCGCCAAGGGAGUAUGAUUCCUACUCCUAGUAGGAGUAGGUUUCCUUCUUUCCUAGUCCAACUAGGAGAAGGGGGGAAAGGAGGGGAGUGGAGAAGGAAGGGAGAGGGGGCCGCGCCCCAAACCCCUUGUCCAAUUCGGACUGGGCUUGGGAGGGGCACGCGCCACCUCCUGGCUCCUUCCCACUAAGGCCCAUUAGGGCCCAAUACUCUUCCCCGUAUUCCCGUAACUCCCCGGUACUCCAAAAAAUACCUAAAUCACUCGAAACUUUUCCGAUGUCCGAAUAUAGUCGUCCAAUAUAUCGAUCUUUACGUCUGGAUCAUUUCGAGACUCCUCGUCAUGUCCCCGAUCUCAUCUGGGACUCCGAACUCCUUCGGUACAUCAAUACUCAUAAACUCAUAAUAAAACUGUCAUCGAAACCUUAAGCGUGCGGACCCUACGGGUUUGAGAACUAUGUAGACAUGACCGAAACACGUUUCCGGUCAAUAACCAAUAGCGGAAUCUGGAUGCUUAUAUUGGCUCCCACAUAUUCUACGAAGAUCUUUAUCGGUCAAACCGCAUAACAACAUAUGUUGUUACCUUUGUCAUCGGUAUGUUACUUGCCCGAGAAUCGAUCAUCGGUAUCUCAAUACCUAGUUCAAUCUCAUUACCGGCAAGUCUCUUUACUCGUUAUGUAAUGCAUCAUCCCGCAACUAACUCAUUAGUCACAUUGCUUGCAAGGCUUAUAGUGAUAUGCAUUACAGAGAGGGCCCAGAGAUACCUCUCCGACAAUCGGAGUGACAAAUCCUAAUCUCGAAAUACGCCAACUCAACAUGUACCUUCGGUGACACCUGUAGAGCUCCUUUAUAAUCACCCAGUUAUGUUGUGACAUUUGGUAGCACACAAAGUGUUCCUCCGGUAAACAGGAGUUGCAUAAUCUCAUAGUCAUAGGAACAUGUAUAAGUCAUAAAGAAAGCAAUAGCAACAUACUAAACGAUCAAGUGCUAAGCUAACGGAAUGAGUCAAGUCAAUUACAUCAUUCUCCUAAUGAUGUGAUCCCGUUAAUCAAAUGACAACUCAUGUCUAUGGCUUGGAAACUUAACCAUCUUUGAUUCACGAGCUAGUCAAGUAGAGGCAUACUAGUGACACUAUGUUUGUCUAUGUAUUCACACAUGUAUUAUGUUUCCGGUUAAUACAAUUCUAGCAUGAAUAAUAAACAUUUAUCAUGAAAUAAUGAAAUAAAUAAUAACUUUAUUAUUGCCUCUAGGGCAUAUUUCCUUUAGAAUCUUCUUAACUUCAAUACCUAGGAAGAAGUGUACAUCACCAAGAUCCUUGAGAGCAAAUUAUGAACUUAGAUCACGUUGAAGAGCAUUAGCGGCAUUUUGUGAAGAACUUGCAAAAAUAAUAUCAUCAACAUAUAUCAACAAAAAUAUAACUGUGGUUGCCUUGUUAUAAAUAAAAAGUGAUGUAUCAGCCUUGGAUGCAACAAAACCAAGGUGCCUCAGCUGAGAGCUCAAUCUUGAGUACCACGCCCUUGGUGCUUGUUUUAGACCAUAAAGAGUUUUGUCAAGAUUGCAAACAUAGUGAGGUGUUUUCCUAUACUCAUACCCAGGUGGUUGUCUCAUGUAAACCUCCUCUUCCAGAACACCAUGCAAAAACGCAUUCUGAACAUCUAGCUGCCUCAAACUCCAUCCUCUGGACACAACAAUAGCUAGCACAAGUAUGAGAGUUGCAGCUUUAAUAAUAGGACUAAAAGUAUCUUCAUAGUCUAGCCAUAACAUUGUUAAAAAUCUUUUGCAACUAGACGUGCCUUAUACCUAUCAACCGAGCCGUCUAGCCAUAACAUAGUCAUGUCCAUAGGCGAUUUUUCCGGCGAGGUGUUAUGUCCUGGACUUGUUACUAUUCUGAACCGUUUUACAGCCCUCGCUUCGUGUUUCGAGGCACGGUCAUGGGCACGUCCUGAAAAAGCGGGGAUCGUGUCCCCUUAUCACGGGAUUCUCAUCAACAGGGGUUUGGGUAAUCCAACCGUGUCGUUCACACGUCCACUUGGGAAUAGGCAAGAUUUAAGGCUCCAGAGGGGACGCUUGAUAUACAGUGUCUUUAUAAGAAGACAAAGAUCCAUCUUUUUACCCCACGCCUUCUUCCUCCUUAGCCUAUCUGCCAUUCGAGCUCCAGUGCCCAAGUCUCAAUCCUUUCCAUUGCCACAAAAUACCCCAGUCAUGUCCAGAUCUGGAGCGCGGGGCAAGUGGAUGGCUUCCUCUGUUACAGAGGAGAACAUCAAGGAGCUCCGGGAGGCUGGGUACCUGGCCACAGAUAUAAUCCACCGGCUUCCUUCAAAAAAAUAGAUCACUCCUACUCCGAAGCCUAAUGAGAGGGUAGUGUUCAUUCCCCAUUUCCUUCACGGGCUAGGGUUUCCCAUCCAUCCUUUCGUCCGUGGUAUCAUGUUUUACUAUGGGUUAGAUUUUCAUGAUCUAGCCCCAAAUUCCUUCCUGAACCUUUCGGCGUUUAUCGUCGUGUGCGAGGCAUUCCUCCGCGUCCCUCCCCACUUCGGCCUAUGGCUCAAGGUCUUCAAUGUGAAGCUGAAGGUGGUCGAAGGCCAACACACAAAGUGCGGCGGCGCCAUGGUGAGAAAACUCCCCAACGUUACCUGGCCAAAGGGAACCUUUGCGGAGUCCGUCAAGAGAUGGCAGCAGGGGUGGUUCUAUAUCACGGAACCCCGCAAUUCCACAUGGGCCGUCGCUCCUAAGUUCAAGUCCGGGCUCCUGAUGCGGCUUACAUCCUGGCUCAAUAAGGGCCUAGAUUGGGAGUCGCCUGAUGAGUUGACGAUGCUGGAGAGCCGCGUCAAGGGUGUGAUAAACAAGAACACGAGCCUUGCCAGCAUGAUCCAGGUGAUGCUUUUUUGCUAGAUUCUCCCUUGUCAAUGCCGGACCCAACAUAUGUGGGAAUUCCACCCGGCCGGUCCUCGAACCCUGCAGUGGUUCUUCGGCACAACGCACGAAGACAUAUGGAAGUUGCUCUUCAAGGCUCAGAAGUCGUGUACGGAAACGAUCGAAGACCGCGGCCUCGACUGUGCUCAUCCGGCUACUCCCGUAAGUUUUAUGAUGACUUUAAUUUGCAAAUCCAAGGAGUAUAAUGAACUUUCUUACUCCCACAGGGCUGGACAAAGAAGGCGGAGUAGAUCAAAUGCCCGGAUCCACUGCCCGAAGACCAGGCCACCCCUUUCAUAACGAAGAUGCUGCUUCCGGCGCCAUAUCAGGCGCCGGAGAAGAAGGCCAAGAAGAAAGGCAAGGAAGCCAGAAGUGGCCUCCGCCCUAAGGGUGCUUCGGACGCCGUGUCUGAAGACACCGAGUCCUCCUCCUCUCAUGACGAAGAUGUAGAGGAGGAAGAGAGAAACUUCCCACUUAAGGGGGGAAAGAAGAAAAGAACGGCUUCCAUGGAUCUAGAGGUGGAAGCGUCCAAGAAGGGGAAACCCUCCCUUUCGGAUGACUCCAAAAUGGAUGCCGAAGCCAUCCCCUAGUGACACCCCAGGCCAAAGCCCCUGGCCGGAUCAUAAGUAUCUGAUACGUCUCCAUCGUAUCUACUUUUCCAAACACUUUUGCCCUUGUUUUGGACUCUAACUUGCAUGAUUUGAAUGGAACUAACCCGGACUGACGCUGUUUUCAGCAGAACUGCCAUGGUGUUAUUUUUGUGCAGAAAUAUAAGUUCUCGGAAUGACCUGAAAAUCCACGGAGCAACUUUUUGGAAUUAAUAAAAAAUAUUGGCGAAAGAAUAAAUGUCAGGGGUCCAUACCCUAUCCACGAGGGUGGGGCGCGGCCCCUGCCUCGUGGGCCCCCUGAAGGUCCACCGACCUUAACUCCAACUCCAUAUAUUCAUGUUCAGGGAGAAAAAAACCAGAGAUAAGGAUUCAUCACGUUUUACGAUACAGAGCCGCCGCCAAGCCCUAAACUCUCGGGAGGGCUGAUCUGGAGUCCGUUCGGGGCUCCGGAGAGGGGAAUCCGUCCCCGUCGUCAUCAUCAACCAUCCUCCAUCACCAAUUUCAUGAUGCUCACUGCCGUGCAUGAGUAAUUCCAUCGUAGGCUUGCUGGACGGUAAUGGGUUGGAUGAGAUUUACCAUGUAAUCGAGUUAGUUUGUUAGGGUUUGAUCCCUAGUAUCCACUAUGUUCUGAGAUUGAUGUUGCUAUGACUUUGCUAUGCUUAAUGCUUGUCACUAGGGCCCGAGUGCCAUGAUUUCAGAUCUGAACCUAUUAUGUUUUCAUGAAUAUAUGUGAGUUCUUGAUCCUAUCUUGCAAGUCUAUAGUCACCUAUUAUGUGUUAUGAUCCGACAGCCCCAAAGUGACAAUAAUCGGGACCACUCUCGGUGAUGACCGUAGUUUGAGGAGUUCAUGUAUUCACUAAGUGUUAAUGCUUUGGUCCAGUACUCUAUUAAAAGGAGGCCUUAAUAUCCCUUAGUUUCCAACAGGACCCCGCUGCCACAGGAGGGUUGGACAAAAGAUGCCAUGCAAGUACUUUUCCAUAAGCACGUAUGACUAUAUUCAGAAUACAUGCCUACAUUACAUUGAUGAACUGGAGCUAGUUCUGUGUCACCCUGUGUUAUAACUAUUACAUGAGGAAUCGUAUCCGACAUAAUUAUCCAUCACUGAUCCAAUGCCUACGAUCUUUUCACAUAUUGCUCUUUGCUUAGUUACUUUACCGUUGCCACUGUUACAAUUACUACAAAACUGCUACUGUUACUUUUGCUACCGUUACCGUUACUUCCAUACUACUUAGCUACUAAAUACUUUGCUGCAGAUACUAAGUUAUCCAGGUGUGCUUGAAUUGACAACUCAACUGCUAAUACUUGAGAAUAUUCUUUGGCUCCCCUUGUGUCGAAUCAAUAAAUUUGGGUUGAAUACUCUACCCUUGAAAAGUGUUGCGAUCCCCUAUACUUGUGGGUUAUCAAGACUAUUUUCUGGCGCCGUUCCUGGGGAGCAUAUCUCUAUUCUUUGAGUCGCUUGGGAUUUAUAUAUGCUGAUCACUAUGAGGAACUUGAAAGACGAAAGAACCAAGAUUUAUCCCUCAACUACGAGGGGAAAUAAGGAACUACCAUCUAGCUCUGCACUUGAUUCUCCUUCUGUUAUGAGUAAGCUUGCGACACCAAAACCUGCUUCUGCUAUUAAUUCUGAUAUGUCGAAUGUUAUUGAUGAUGCCACUUCUGCUAUGCAUGAUACUUAUGAUGAAACUACUUCUAUGCUUGAUACUACAGUGUCGUUAGGUGAAUUUCUUGAUGAACAACUUGCUAGGGCUAGAGAAAAUGAAAUUAUUGAUGAAAGUGAUGAUGAAGGUUCUCCCCCCUAAAUAUGAAUUGCCUGUUGUGCCCGAGGGUUAUGUUAUGAUGAAGAAACUGCUAGAGAUUUUCUUGCUUGCAAUGAUAGAUCUGAUCUUAAGAAAUUACUAGCUAAGCUGAAAGAAAAGUCUCUGAAUGCUAGAAUGAAAUAUGACCCUGCUUUUGCUACUUCACCUAUCUGUGUUACUGAUAAGGAUUACGAUUUCUCUGUCGAUCCUGAAAUAAUUACGUAGGUUGAAUCUGAUCCUUUUUAUGGCUAUGAAUCUGAAACUGUUGGGCACAUCUUACUAAAUUGAAUGAUAUAGCCACCCUAUUCACUAAUGAUGAGAAAACUCGCUACUACUAUAUCCUUAAGAUAUUUCCAUUCUCAUUAAAGGGUGAUGCUAAAACAUGGUUUAAUUCUCUUGAGCCUGGUUGUGUGUGUAGUCCCCAGGAUAUGAUUUAUUACUUCUCUGCUAAAUAUUUCCCUGCUCAUAAGAAACAAGCUGCUUUAAGGCAAAUAUAUAAUUUUGUGCAAAUUGAAGAAGAGAGUAUCCCACAAGCUUGGGGGAGGCUUCUCCAAUUACUUGAUGCUUUGCUUGAUCAUCCUCUCAAGAAAAAUGAAAUACUUGAUAUCUUUUAUAAUGGACUAACCGAUGCUUCCAAAGACCACCUGGAUAGUUGUGCUGGUUGUGUUUUCAGGGAAAGAACUGUUGAUCAAGCUGAAUUGCUAUUGAAUAAUAUGUUGACUAAUGAAAACAAUUGGACACUUCCUGAACCAACUCCAAAGCCAACUCCGAAGAAAAGGGGUGUUCUAUUUCUCAGUCCUGAAGAUAUGCAAGAAGCAAAGAAAUCUAUGAAAGAAAAAGGUAUUAAAGCUGAAGAUGUUAAGAAUUUACCUCCUGUUGAAGAAAUACAUGGCCUUAAUAUACCACAUAUUGAAGAAACACAUGGUCUUGAUAACCCGACACUGGUAGUAAAGGUAAAUUCUCUCUAUAGAUAUGAUAAAGUUGAAAUCCCGUCUACUAAGUUUGCUAGCCAAUGCCUGGAUGAGUUUGAUGACUUUAUGGCUAGACAAGAAAACUUCAAUGCUUAUGUUGGUAGACAAUUGAAAAGUAAUGCUUAUAUGAUUGGACACUUGAGUGAUUAUAUGUCUAGAGUUAAGAAUGAACUUAAACUCAUUAGUAAACAUGCUUCUAUGGUUACCACUCAAGUAGAACAAGUGCUUAAAGCACAAAAUGAUUUGCUCAAUGAAUUAAAUGAUAAGAAAAAUGAUAAUGCUGUUAGAGUUAUGACUAGAACGGGUAAAAUGAUUCAGGAACCUUUGUAUCCUGAGGGCCAGCCUAAGAGAAUUGAGCAAGAUUCUCAGAGAAAUAAUGUUGAUGCACCUAGUCCUUCUAAGAAGAAGAAGAAAAAUGAUAGGACUUUGCAUGCUUCUAGUGAACCUAUUGCAGACACACCUGAGAACCCCAAUGAUAUUUCUAUUUCUGAUGCUGAAACACAAUCUGGUGAUGAACAUGAACCUAGUGGUAAUGUUAAUGAUGAUGUUCAACCUAGCAAUAAUAAUGAUGUAGAGGUUGAACCUGCUGUUGAUCUUGAUAACCCAUAAUCAAAGAAUCAAUGUUAUGAUAAGAGAGACUUCGUUGCUAGAAAGCACGGUAAAGAAAGAGAACCAUGGGUUCAGAAACCCAUGCCUUUUCCUCCUAAACCAUCCAAGCAAAAGGAUGAUGAGGAUUUUGAGAGCUUUGCUGAAAUGAUUAGACCUAUCUUUUUGCAUAUGCGUUUGACUGAUAUGCUUAAAAUGAAUCCUUAUGCUAAGUACAUGAAAGAUAUUGUUACAAAUAAAAGAAAGAAACCGAAAGCUGAAAUUUCCACCAUGCUUGCUGAUUAUACUUUUAAGGGCGGAAUACCUAAGAAACUUGGAGACCCAGGAGUACCAACUAUACCAUGCUCCAUUAAAAGAAACUAUGUUAAAACUGCUUUAUGUGAUCUUGGAGCCGGUGUUAGUGUUAUGCCUCUCUCUUUAUAUCGUAGACUUGAAUUGAAUAAGUUGACACCUACUGAAAUAUCUUUGCAAAUGGCCGAUAAAUCAACUGCUAUACCUGUCGGUAUUUGUGAGGAUGUGCCUGUUGUGGUUGCAAAUGUUACUAUCUUAAUGGACUUUGUUAUUCUUGAUAUUCCCGAGGACGAUAGUAUGUCGAUUAUCCUUGGUAGACCCUUUUUAUAUUGGAGGGGCUGUUAUUUAUUGCAACAAAGGCAAUGUCACUUUUCAUGUUAAUGGUAAUGAGCAUACGGUACACUUUCCGAGGAAACAACCUCAAGUUCACAGUAUCAAUUCUAUUGGAAAAAUCACAUCGAUUAUUAUUGGAGGUUUUGAAUUUCCUCUUCCUACUAUCAAGAUGAAAUAUGAUAUUCUUAUUGUUGGGCAUGUACAUAUCCCCAUUGAGGUAACCUAGUGUUAUUCGAAAAUUCUCCGGUUUCAUGCGAUUCAGAAUGAGUUUGUUAACAAGACUUGAUCAACCUUGUUAGUGGAUUCCUUUUGAUGAGCAUGAGAUGGAUGAAGUUAGAAAGCACAAACCUUCUAUACCCUCCUUUUACUUUCUGUUAUUUAGAUUAAAUAAAGCAAAAAUAGUAUUUUCUGUCUGUUUUCUAAAUUAUCCUUGCAAUAAAAAAUACCCCGAAAAUAAAAGUUCUCCAAAUGCCCUGAAAAUGAAAUAUGAUUUUUUUCUAAAAUAUUUGAGAAUAUCUGGCACUGAGAACACAGUAGGGGGAUCAAGCACCUGGCCACGAGGGUCCAGGGCGCGCCCACCCCCAUGGGGCGCGCCCCCUGCCUCGUGGGCCCAUGGUGGCCCCCCUCCACAUAUUCCUGCACCCACACACUUCAUCUUCCUCCCAAAAAAAUCACCAUCCAUCUCAAGCACGAGUUCUAGCUCAUUUUGCUGCCAUUUUCGAUCUCCUUGCUCAAAGCUCCAUCCACAAAAUUGCUUUGGGGGAUUGUUCUUUGGUAUGUGACUCCUCCAUUGGUCCAAUUAGUUUUUGUUCUAGUGCUUUAUUCAUUGCAUAUUUUUACUGCUUAGAUGACCUUGUUCUUGAGCUUGCAUGUUGUGACAGCCUGACUUUUGGCCCUGUCUUUUUCUUUUGUUUUUUCGAGGUUUUUGCGUGAGUUUUCUUUUUCCGUGGCUUUGUGGUCUGGAAACUGAAGAAGAUGCCCUCUUAUUUGUUUCUAGAGUGGCUUGCCAUUCCCAAAUCUUUCCCUAGACCCUGUCAUUUCCAUCCUAGCCCAAAUCCCAAUAUUCUUUUUAUUGGGAAUAUUCCUUUUCUAUUAAAGGAAUAACUCCAAUUGCCCUAGGUUGUGAAGCAACCUAUAUUUCCAUCACUCCAAAAAUUCCCAAAUAAUUCUCAUAAAUUGUUUGGGUCAUAUAUUGAUCAAAUAUGGCAAAACUUUUCAUUGCCAUGUUCAAAAAUAAUCCUACAAUAAUUCAUUUCCUAUUCUGCCCUGAAUGGCACUUUGUGAAGGAAGUGUCAUUUAUAUUUCUCCUAUUGACUCCAAACCUUUUUUGGCAUGUUUAUAUGUCCAAAUAAUUGCCUCAUGCACAAGUUCAAAUUUAUUUGCCUACCCAAUCUUCCUCAGUGAAUUUUCAAAGUUUCUGUCAGACACAAAGCUUUCUGAAGGAAGUGCUAGCUAGGAGUAUCCAAAUAAGUUGAACUUCUGCACACUCCUUAAUGUGCUCAUAUUAAACCCCUCCACCCAUUUGCAGCCCCAUCCAAUCAUCUAUGUGAGCACAGGAGCAAAUCUUUGUGUUUGGCAAUAUUUUCAGGUUGUGAAGCAAGUAUAUUUUUUAUUGCUUCAAAAACCUGAUAAAUUACCAAAUCAUUCUUAUACCCAUAAAACAUCUCUCCACCCAAUUUGGCAUAAUUUCAUUGAUCCAUUUGACCACCAUAAUUAUUUCAAGUUUCUGUCCAGAGAAGAUGAUUGUGAAGCAAGUGCUAUUUUGGCUUGUCCAUUUGGCAUGAGCUUUUUGCAACAUCUUCAUAUGACCAAAUGACUAAGCCUUGACCAAUCUUAGCUGAAUUGGACACUCCAUGUGAGUGCACCAUCCUAAUCUUGAUUCUGGACCAUAUUUGGAAGUUGCAAAGCAACUCUGUUAAAUCUUGCUCCAAACCCAUCCAUAGUUACCAGGAUGUAAGUCCUUCUUUACCUCAACCUCCCAGACAACUCCAUUUGACCCAAUCACAUCCCUGUUGAGCAGCAGUACACGAUCAAGUUUACUGCAGUAAACUUCAGGUGUUAACUGCCAUUUAACCAUGUCACUUUUAACCAAACUACCACCUCAGUUGCGACCUCCCCAGGAAGGACAAGCCCCCAGACAUUUGUUUGGCCGGCUGUGUGCCAAUGUGAGCACCAGUGCACGCGGUGACCACCGACUUGGCAUGCAGUGAGCGCGUCCAGAAUGGCUUCUUGCUCGAGCCCCUCUCCCUCUCGUUGCUUCGCGCUCAUGAGUGUGUCUACCAGCUGGCUCUCGUCAUCGCCGCUCCGAUGGACCCCUCUUCCCCUCUGGAAGCUAGCUCACCGACGCUCACCGCCGCGUGAACACGAGAGCACAGUGGCGUCUUGGAUCUUUUGUCGCUGUCGUCUUCCUCCCUGCACCCCCUUGGCCUCCUUUGCCCCGUGAGAGUCCCCACUGAUCCUCCGCCGUCGUUUGCCCCCGAGCCCAUGCGCGCGGGCACGCGUCCGUGGCGCCGGACACGCGUCGCCAGUGGUGCCAGCUCGGCUUUCCUCGCCCGCGGCUAUUUAAGCCAUCCCCGAGCCCUCCCGAGCUCACCAGCAGCCUACCCUCUCUCCCUGGACCUCGCCUAGCCUCUCCAUUAAGCUCGAGGAGCUCCCGCUGCCAUCCAUUGCCGCCAUGGCCGCCGUCUCUGUCCUCCCCGAUUCCGGCGAUGGCGUGCCGCUCCCUCCGUUCUAGCACCACCAGAGGUCUCCACCACCACCCUAGAACCACCCCAGCGCUCCCCUUCCUUCUCCGGUGGCCUCUAGCAAGCCCGAAGAUCGCUGUCCGCCGCGGCUGGCCUCUCUCUCAGCCGUCCCUGCGGCUGCGCCUUGCCUGGACGGGUGCGCCUCUCCGUCCUAAGCACUCCAGUGGUCCGAGCUCCACCGGAGGUGGCCGGAGUCGACCGGGCGAGCGCUGGAGCCGGCGACCCCUCCCUCUGUUCUGCGCCCACGUCGGGGAAGAAAGAAGAGGAGCAGGAGGUGGGCGUUGACCAGCGCGUGGGCCCCUCGGCCCCACCUGUCAGCGGGUGGGCGCUGACCCAGUCAGCGCCAGGUGGAUAAGUGACGGGCCCCACCCGCAGGACCCGCACGCGUCAGCCCCGCCACUGUUGUUAUGGAUAAGGUGAAGGCGUAUUUCCCAGAAUGCGUUUUCUGUUUUUCUAUCCAGGCCCCUGUUUGAAUUUUUUUUUCAUUACAGAUAGGUCCCUGGCAGUAAAACCCUCAUAUCUUUUUAUCCGUAACUCUGUUUGAGGUGAAUCCAACGCUCACUCCUUCGUUUUGCCGAGCCCGUUCUGUUGGUCACAUUUCACUAUGGUUUGACAUUGUGAAAAUGACCUUUAUGCCCUUGCCCUUAUUCAGCCCCCUUCGAGAGAGAACGAUUUUCGAUGAAUCUUUCCGCGGCUUCACCGCACUUCUCCCCGGUGCCUUCUUCAUCCCCAGGCAAGCCACAAUACCCACUUGCAUGAUAGUCAUGCAGUAGCCAUGGUUUUAAACUUCAAUCUUUAUUAAAUGUUUGCUUGUUGAAAAGAUGGUUAUCGUUGUUCCGGUGAUGUUCAGUUUUGCAUGUUCACUUUUGUGCUAUGUUGUCUUAUACUCUGUGAUCAUGUUAUACCUGCUAGUAUUACCUUUCAUAUGAUUAUGCUGGUUAGUAGUACAUGUUGAUGUUGGAGAUGGUCAUGCUAGUCAGUAUGCGAUGCUCAGUGGAUAUCAUUUAUUGUUGAUAUGGUGGAAAGUUAUGUGAUACUCUCAUGAUGAAGUUGAUAUCAUGUUCGUGCAUUUUAUAAUGACUCGGCAUAUUUGCAUUCAAGUUAACCGGAUUAAAUUGAACUUGAACAACUGUUGGCUGAGUCAUGGUGCCGCUGAAUCGAUGCUGACCAGUGCAACCACGCUUACCGGUAUGGGACGGUCCUAACUGGGUCUAUUGUCGUGCCUCUCGCCGGUGCCUCCAACGAGGGAAGGUUAUGGGCGCACGCUACCCCGAUCAGGUAGGCGGACAUAAGCCUUGUGUGCCCAUCGUUGAGUUAGUUUUUGGAUCCUUGUCCCAGAGUGGGACGGGCCACGACGGUAGCCGUUGUGUCUGGAGGUAGACACGGGGCCACCCAUGACUUAGCCCAGUGGGGAGUGAGUCGGAGUGGCCGGGAGAGUGUCAUGGCAGUAGAUCGAUUUUGUCAGAACGCCGUUGGUCCACCCGAAUGGGAGUGCGAGGCCAUGGGUUUUGUAGUGUGGGUACAGUGUACUAACCUCUGCAGAGUGUAUAUUAAAUCUAUCGAUAGCCGCGCCCGCCGAUAAGGGCCUAGGUCGAGAUGAGGUCACACCAUGAGUCAACAGUAAUAAGAAUAAUGUGUCUAAUAACAACGUGAUGGGCCAUGUGUUGGUCGGGUGGUGAUCGCUGUAAGGAUCACGGGCCAUGUAGUGGUCGGGUUGUGAUCGCCGUAAGGAUCACGGGCCAAGUAUUGGCCGGGUGGUGAUCGCCGUAAGGAUCACAAUGGCAUAGAGCAACUGAGGAUGGCGUAGUGUCGCCGUAUCGAUGUUAUUCAUUGUAAUAUCGGAGACAUUGUAUUCAUAUUCGUGUAAUAAUAGAAAGCUGGUUUGUUCUAUGCUAAGCAGUGCCGCAUUCUAAAAGACUUCUCCUCGAUCUCUGGGCUGGAAUACGGGGCAUUCCAGUUUCUCUGAGCCGGGGUGUCACACAUGUCAAAUUUAUAUGGUCCCAAGUAGUUUUAAUGCAUGAUAUAGUCUCUAGGCACUUGUGGGAGUAGUUUCUAUUAAUUUUAUUGAGUUUGGUUCACUUUUAUUUUGAGUUACUAAAAAAUUCAGAAAUUUUCAGAAAAUGAUGAAGAGAUUUUCAAGGGGCUCUUCGAGCCAAAGCUCAAAGGAUAAACAAGAUAAGGAGAAUAAAAAGCCAAAUUAUAAUCUCCCUCGCGUCGCGGAGGUUCGGCCGUGCGAAUGGCCUUGUGAUGAGUUCUUGAGAGAAGCCGGGAUUCAUGAUGAUUUUUAUUCUUUGGCUGAUAAUGCGGGCCUCACCGACUUCCUCCACGACCAGCUCGAUCAGUAUCUCCUACUCACUAAUACUCGCGUGCACAAAUUUUACUUUCAUGCUAAGAAAUCACCACCUUCAGUGGAGUUUCAUUUAUAUGAUGAGGUUAGGGAGAUGUCACUAUGUGAUUUUUGUGCGGUUUGCAAGGUACCCUUCAAGGGAAGCAUAGAGGAACCACAUCAUAGAGAUGUGGAUGGAUUUAUUGAUAGGAUUAUUGUAGCGGAAACGAGGAAGGUUUCCGAUGCAAGAAUUACUAGCAUACACUUUCCUGUUCUACGUUACUAUGCAAUAUUUGCUAGUAGAUGCUUAAUUGGUCGCGGGAACUAUGGAAACCUUAGUGUUCCUGAUAUUGUUAUUUUAUGCCGUGCUUUAUUUCGUGAUAACACUGUUAGCUUAGGCGCUAUUGUUGCUAAACGUUUAAGUCUGAACCAUAUAAAGGGCCCCAUCUUUGGAGGCAUCUAUGAUUCACGCCUUGCUAAACACUUUAGGAUACCUAUUAGGCAUUAUGAGAAAGAGGAAAAAUUGUUGCCCCCUACUUUUCUAGAUUAUAAGAGUAUGGUAGCACAUGAGUUUAUUGUUAAAAUGAUGAGAAGAUGCUUAAGUAUAAUUUGAGAUUUCAUAAAACUCACAGUGAGACUAUUAUCUUGCCUACACCCUCUUUGUUUGACUUAUCUUCAAGCACGUACCUCGUCUUGCCGGAUGCCGUUUACGCAUAUCGGAGCCAGACACCAGCUCUAGAGCUUGAGCCGGAACCACCACUUGAGCCUUAUCGACCGUCCUUUUAUCAGUGGGAUCCGGAGGAAAUUGCUAGCCAGUGGUACUCAGAUGACACUCCUCAGUACACCGGAGAGAGUAACUCUGAUCCAUGGGCAUAGACCAACUUAGGCCAAAAUCCUAAGCUUGGGGAGUAUGUAUUUCUCACCGAAUUACAUUCAUGUUCACACACUCAUGCUAGUUGUCGGUGCUCAUACUUUUUCAUUGUACUAUCCAUGCUAGUUUAUUUUCUUUUUCUAGCUUUCUUCUUGUGUGUUUGAAUAACCUUAAGAAAAACCAAAAAAUUAGUUGUAGCUUUUAGCUAGUUUACUUUCCAUGCCUGUAGUAGUAGUAAUUAAAAGAAAACCCCAAAAAAAUUCUCGUUCUUCUUUUUGCUUGUUGGGAGCUUUCCCGUGUAAAUAGUUUUAUUUAUUUUAUUUUCUUUGGGGGUCGAGAGGAGAAGGCUAUGAUGAAAAUGUUGAGUGGCUCUCAUAUGCAUUGUUGUUGAUUUAACCAAGAGCCCAUAUUACUUUGUCUUCUCCCUUGAAUUGAAUGCUUGCAGAUUCCAGCUUAGUCCAAUGCACGUGCACUAUUAUUAUUAUCCACAAUGUUCGGUUGUGCAAGUGAAAGGCAAUAAUGACGAUAUAUGAUGGACUGAUUGAGAUGAGAGAAGCUGGUAUGAACUCGACCUCUCUUGUUUUUGUAAAUAUGAUUAGUUCAUCAUUCCUGAUUCAGCCUAUUAUGAAUAAACAUGCUUGCAAUGACAACUAGAGAUUAUAGUUGCUCAUGCCAUGCUUAAUUAGCUAAGAGUUUAUAAUGGUUUACCUUGCGUGCCAACAUGCUAUUAAAAUGGUUGUGAUGUGGUAUGAUAGGGUGGUAUCCUCCUUUGAAUGAUUCGGGUGACUUGACUUGGCACAUGGUCACGCAUGUAGUUGGAACAAAAUCAACAUAGCCUUCACGAUAUUUAUGUUCAUGGUGGAUUAUAUCCUAAUCAUGCUUGCACUCAGUGUUGAUUAAUUUUAAUGCAUGUUCAUGACUAUUGUCGCUCUCUAGUUGGUCGCUUCCCAGUCUUUUGCUAGCCUUCACUUGUAACAAGCGGGAAUACUGCUUGUGCAUCCACUUCCAUAAACCCCACAGUUAUUCCAUAUGAGUCCACCAUACCUUCCUAUAUGUGGUAUCUACUUGCCGUUCCAAGUAAAUUUGUAUGUGCCAAACUCCAAACCUUCAAAUGAAAUUCUGUUUUGUAUGCUCGAACAGCUCAUGUAUCAACUAGGGAUGUCUGUAUCUUCCAUGCUAGGUGGGUUAUUCUCAAGAGGAGUGGACUCCACUCCUCACUCACGAGAAAAUGGCUGGUAACCGGGAUGCCCAGCCCCAUGCUCAAAUCAAAUCAAAAUAAUUGCAAACAAAACUCCCCCGGGGUUGUUGUUAGUUGGAGGCACCCGUUGUUUUGGGCUAGCCAUGGAUUGAUGCUUUUUGGUGGUGGGGAGUAUAAACUUUACCAUUCUGUUUGGGAACCGCAUAUAAUGUGUGUAGCAUGGAAGAUAUUGAGAUCUCUCAGUUGUUAUGUUGGCAUUGAAAGUAUACCGCUCAAAAUGUUAUUUAUCUCUAUUUCAAAACCGAGCUCUGGCACCUCUACAAAUCCCUGCUUCCCUCUGUGAAGGCCUAUCUAUUUACUUUUAUGUUGAGUCAUCACCCUCUUAUUAAAAAGCACCUGCUGGAGAGCACCGCUGUCAUUUGCAUACAUUACUAUUAAUUUAUAUUGAGUAUGAAUAUGACUGGAUCUCUUUUAACAUGAAUUACAAUGUCUAGUCAGUACUUGAUCUUCAGGGGUGCUCUGCAUUUAUGUUUUGCGGUCUCAGAAAGGGCUAGCGAGAUACCGUCUGGUUAUAUCAUAUUAUGAUUAUUUUGAGAAAGUAUUGUCAUCCGAGAUUUAUUAUUAUUGCUCGCUAGUUGAUUAUGCCAUUGAUAUGAGUAAACAUGAGACCUAAGUGUUAUUGUGAAUAUGGUUAGUUCAUAAUCUUUGCUGAAAACUUGAAUGCUGGCUUUACAUAUUUGCAACAACAAGAGCAAACAGAGUUUGUAAAAGUUUUUCUUUAACACUUUCAGUUUAUCAACUGAAUUGCUUGAGGACAAGCAAAGGUUUAAGCUUGGGGGAGUUGAUACGUCUCCAUCAUAUCUACUUUUCCAAACACUUUUGCCCUUGUUUUGGAUUCUAACUUGAAUGAUUUGAAUGGAACUAACCGGGACUGACACUGUUUUCAGCAGAACUGCCAUGGUGUUAUUUUUGUGCAGAAAUAAAAGUUCUUGGAAUGACCUAAAAAUCCACGGAGCAACUUUUUGGAAUUAAUAAAAAUAUUCACGAAAGAAUGAACGUCAGGGGGCCCACACACUAUCCACGAGGGUGGGGGCGCCCCCCUAGGGCGCGCCCCCUGCCUCGUGGGCCCCUUGAAGCUCCACCGACCUCAACUCCAACUCCAUAUAUUCACGUUCGGGGAGAAAAAACCAUAGAGAAGGAUUCAUCGCGUUUAACGAUAUGGAGCCGCCGCCAAGACCUAAGCUCUUUCGGGAGGGCUGAUCUGGAGUCUGUCCGGGGCUCCAGAGAGGGGAAUCCGUCGCCAUCGUCAUCAUCAACCAUCCUCCAUCACCAAUUUCAUGUUGCUCACCACCGUGCGUGAGUAAUUCCAUCGUAGGCUUGCUGGAAGGUGAUGGGUUGGAUGAGAUUUACCAUGUAAUUGAGUUAGGUUUGUUAGGGUUUGAUCCCUAGUAUCCACUAUGUUCUGAGAUUGAUGAUGCUAUGACUUUGCUAUGCUUAAUGCUUGUCACUAGGGCCCGAGUACCAUGAUUUCAGAUCUGAACCUAUUAUGUUUUCAUGAAUAUAUGUGAGUUCUUGAUCCUAUCUUACGUGUUAUCAUCCGACAACCCCGAAGUGACAAUAAUCGGGACCACUAUCGGUGAUGACCGUAGUUUGAGGAGUUCAUGUAUUCCCCUAAGUGUUAAUGCUUUAGUCCGGUACUCUAUUAAAAGGAUGCCUUAAUAUAUCCCUUAGUUCCAAUAGGACCCCGCUGCCAUGGGAGGGUAGGACGAAAGAUGUCAUGCAAGUUCUUUUCCAUAAGCACGUAUGACUAUAUUUGGAAUACAUGCCUACAUUACAUUGAUGAACUGGAGCUAGUUCUGUGUCACCCUAUGUUAUAACUAUUACAUGAGGAAUCGCAUCCGACAUAAUUAUCCAUCACUGAUCCAAUGCCUACGAGCUUUUCACAUAUUGCUCUUUGCUUAGUUACUUUACCGUUGCCACUGUUACAAUUACUACAAAACUGCUAUUGUUACUUAUGCUACCGUUACCGUUACUUCCAUACUACUUUGCUACUAAAUACUUUGCUGCAGAUACUAAGUUAUCCAAGUGUGCUUGAAUUAACAACUCAACUGCUAAUACUUGAGAAUAUUCUUUGGCUCCCCUUGUGUCAAAUCAAUAAAUUUGGGUUGAAUACUCUACCCUCGAAAACUAUUGUGAUCCCCUAUACUUGUGGGUUAUCAGUAUCUAGACACACUGUUCAUAUAUCCGAUUUCAUGCCUUGUAGUUCUAAUAUAUUGAAUUACACAUUGUAGCCCGGCUCGUGAUCUCCCUCAACGAUCAUCGUCAACAGGGAACUCGCUAGGGACGAACGCGAUGGAGAGAGAAUCUCCUCCGCGGGUUUCUCCACCCAUCGCUACGGACAACACUGAAGUGUUGUCCCCAAGAACCUCUCCAAGUUGUGCGGGAGGCCGUGAAGGUGGAGACCGAGGGUAAUACCUCUGUGUCCGAAGAGAGGGGGAAAUCGACCCCCAUAGAGACCGGCGACGAGGGGCAUGCUCAAUUCGGCCCCCAACCCAAUAUUAUUCCGGAGACCCAUACGGCUCCGGAAUUGGGCCAACAGCCUCCUUCGAGAGAAGGGGGCGCGCCAUCUCCACCGGCGACCUCUAUCAAUCUGGAGGCGCCGGACACUCUGGUGGAAGCGCUUCAGAGUGCUUCCAUUGUGGAGGAACACCGUUCCCUUACGGGUACAAUGGUUGAAAAGGUUCAGUCCGCUGAGAGCAGAUUGAAUGAAGCUUAUACCAGCCUUUUAACAGGCUUUGAGGUGUGUGACAUAAUAUAAUUUUGGCUAUUUGCAAAAGGAGUGCCCGUGUAUAGAUAGUAGCCCCUAAGAAUCUGUCCGGCGUUCGUGAAGAAAGGCCGAACAAAGGAUCGAAUAAUACAUCACAGGAGCUAACAUAUAUGUCUCCUUUGAUGAACUGGCUGCAAGGCUAGCAGCAACCUCACAUGCUGCCGAAGUCUCCGAACUAAAGCGGAAGUUGGAGGAAAACAAGGUAUGCGAUACCAAAGCAUAUCUGAAAUGAUAUGAGUUCCAAUUUGUUAGCUAACUGAGCAUUAUGAUUAUUCUCAUAGUUGACACGUCUGAGGUCGAAGCCCUUAAGAGCACGCUGGCCGAGGCCAAGAAGGAGGUGGACGAGGAACGAACCGCCCACCCAAAACAUGAAGUGAGGUUGGAGGAAGUCCAACAAGAGUUCACUGAUGCCAUAAACAAAUGUGAGUCCUUGGAGCGCAAGGUGUCGGAUCGAGACUCCGAACUUACUGCGGUGCUCCAAAGUGCGAAGGAGACCCGGGUUGAAGCCCAAGGCGCCUAUCAGGAGAUCCGAGAGGCCAAGCAGAUCGUGGCGGGUAAGGCCUUUAAUAUGCAGAGCAAAUACAUAAGGAUAAAGUACACCUUACUGACACGCAUUUGGAGUUCUCCGAACCGUUUGCGGAUCUGCCCUGAAGUAUUGCAGAUGCUAUAGAUCUCUUCCGAGCCGAAGAGGGGAGCUCAACAAAGAAGCUAUUCUGGUUGUAGUACCUUGCGCCAGAGCAUCUUGUGCCCCUCAGUGAUCAGCUGAAACAACUGACUGAGCUACAUAGGGUGGCCGGACUGGCCAUGAAGGAUGUCAUAGUCCGUCUUUGGCCAGCCGAACCCAUACCUAGUAGCUACUUUGGGCUUGUGAAGCAGCUGGUCGAUGCCUGCCCACGGCUUGAUGCUAUAAAGCGGUCAAUCUAUAUCGAAGGUGCCUGGAUGGCCUUCGCCCGUGUCAAUACAAAGUGGGCAAAGAUGAAUGCCACCAGUCUUGCAACCGAGGGACCGCCCGUAGGCAAGGAACAUCUACGGUGGAGCGAUACUUCAACGACAUCCUUGAAGGAUCCCGCAUUAUAGGGGGCCUGUGUUCGAAGGACAUCAUUUUUGAAUGAAUGUAUCUGUGCUGCCCAAACUGUGUAUAAUGAAAACAAGGCGUUUAUAUAAUUAGUCUUAUUUCAUCUGAAAUUAUUUAUCCUUCAUUGCGGUCGUUUAUUGAAUUUGAGUGUUGUCCAGUCGUCGGCUUCAGCCCCUCACGUAAAUACUACAGGGGUGUUCGAAACAACACAAAAACACACUUAACCCAAUGACUUGGUCCUUGAAGGAGGUGCUGGUGCGGCGAACCAGGCAAUCAGGCUAUGUGUCUUUAUCACUCUCACUUAGCCUAGGAGUUUGACAAUAAGAUUGUAGGUGCAACCCCUGGUAUUGUUCGGUGAUCCGAACUUAGCUGUAGACACCUGACUUGGUAAAAACCAGUCCUUCAUGUGACACGGUAAAAAACUCAAGAGAUUUAUACUGAGUCACCGAAUAGCUGACCAGCUCUCGCCGCAUCAUGACAGUCAGUUUUUGGCUUUCUCUAUUGAGGUGUUUAUCCGGCUAACCAGAAACACAAUCGCAGUAGUUCUCCCUUUACUUCCUUAGCCAAACAAUCGGAAUGUAAGGUAGUAACCACAGGAGCCGGGCAACCCAACUAUUGAUCCAAGACAUGAUUCGGAGUCGAUGCAUAUAAUGCUAAAUUUGAGACGCCGAAUUGUACUGUAAAAGUGUUUGGACUUAUGGUAUAUUUAAGAAAUGUACGUGGCUGAAUGGAGCCCCUGGCAACUUAGGUCGUGCCGAGGUGUACAUGACAAUCAGAUGAAAGAGAAGAAGGAAUACAGAUUAGGAAAUAAGCCAAUUCCGAAUAGCUUGGGCAAAAAACUAUUUCCAUUAUAGUCUAAUUGAUACGUCAAAACGUAUUUAUACAAAUAAUGCUAUAAGAAUCGAGGCUAUUUUACAUGCCGAGCACAAGUGAAAGUUUUGUACAGAUGCUAAAAAGGGGAAGAGGUGAUCUUUGAAGAUCCUUGAGGUACUCUGCCGUGCAUCUGCGGUGCCUUUCGCCUUGGUGUGUGGUCCUUUGAGAGGAUUAAUGAACAAGUUUCAUAAGGGGCCGGCAAAAGGGCCCUUGACACCAUUAAAAGGUGAUGUGGGUUAUAAGGAACCUGAAAAAGAAAAGUGAAGUUAAGAAAAAGAUAGAUGGUGGUCCAGGUACGGUUGAGCCGAAUUGUGGACUUUAUCCUUCAUAUGCCUCCAUAUCGUCGCCCAUGGUAUCUUUAGUGCGUAGUUAUGUGCACGCAGUACAUACACCUCUGUUCGGUUGGGGUGAAGACAGAGGCCAUAUUGCUAAUCGAGCUCCUGACGAGCUGGACUAUCAUUCUGCGGGGUAGUCUAGACUCGUUUGAUAGGGUCCGGGGGCUUGAAUACCGAUGUGGAGUUUGGCUUGAUAAGGCCAACCUGCACUUCCGCUGCAAGGGCCGCGGUGUGUUCCUCAGUACGGAUGGAGCGAUCCAUGUUUCCAUGGACUGUUAUAACACCGUGUGAUCCUGGCAUCUUGAGUUUUAGACAAGCAUAGUGCGGGAACGCAUUAAAGCGGGCAAACGCAGUUUGUUCGAGCAGUGCAUGGUAGCCACUGCGAAAAGGGACGAUGUCGAAGAUCAAGUCUUCGCUUUGGAAGUUGUCCGGCGAACCAAAAAUGACUUCCAAUGUGAUUGAGCCCCUGUAGUGAGCCUCUACACCAGGUAUUACUCCUUUAAAGGUAGUUUUGGUGGGAAUGAUUCUUGACGAAUCAAUACCCAUUUUUCGGACUGUGUCCUAAUAGAGCAGGUUAAGACUACUGUCGCCGUUCAUGAGGACUCUCGUGAGGUGGAAUCCAUCGAUAAUUGGGUCGAGGAUCAACGCGGCUGAACCUCCAUGAUCAAUAUUGGUUGGAUGGUCCCUGAGAUUAAAGGUGAUCGAGCAUGCUGACCAUGGGUUGAAUUUUGGGGCGACGGGCUCUAUCGCAUAGACGUCCCUUAGCGCGCGCUUGCGCUCUCUCUUGGGGAUGUGAGUAGCGUAUAUCAUGUUCACCGUCUUGACCUCGGUGGGAAAUUUCUUCUGUCCUCCUGUGUUCGGUGGGCGAGGCUCCUCGUCGUCAUCCUCGCUGGGCGACCCUUUCCCCGUGUGCUCGUUGUUUAACUUGCCAGCCUAUUUAAAGACCCAACAGCUUCUGCUGGUAUGGUUGGCGGGCUUAUCCGGUGUGCCGUGAAUUUGGCAAGGUCGAUCGAGUAUUCGGUCCAGGCUAGAUGAACCGUCUUUGUUUCUUUUGAAUGGCCUCUUCCGCUGACCGGGUUUGGAGCCACUGAAUCCAGUGUUGACCGCCGUUUCUUUGGCAUUGUCAGUGUUGCUCCAUCUCUUGUUUUUCUUGCGUUGGGGUCUGCCAUUUCUGCUCCUUGCUUCAGAAGUGCCAGGAUCGCUGGUACUGUUGUUGCUACGGGUAAGCCAGCUAUCUUUGCCUGCGCAAAAGCGGGUCAAGAGUGAAGUGAGGGCUUCAUGGACUUCGAAUUUUCUUGGCCGAGGUGUCGGGCAAGCCAUUCAUCGUGGAUGCUGUGUUUAAAGGCUGCUAGAGCUUCGGCGUCUGGACAAUCAACAAUUUGGUUCUUUUUUAUUAGGAACCGGGUCCAGAAUUUUCUGGCUGACUCUCUGGGCUGCUGGACUAUGUGACUGAUCUCAUCGGCAUCCGGAGGCCGGAUAUAAGUGCCCUGGAAGUUGUCUCUAAAGGCAUCCUCCAGGUCUUCCCAGAUUCCAAUAGAGUUUUUUGGGAGGCUGUUUAACCAGUGCCGAGCUGGUCCCUUAAGUUUGAGAAGGAGGUAUUUGAUGGCAUGUAGAUCGUCACCGCGAGCCAUGUGAAUGUGGAGAAGAAAAUCUUCGAUCCAUACUACGAGAUCCGUUGUGCCAUCGUACGACUCGAUGUUCACGGGUUUAAACCCCUCUUAGAACUGGUGCUCCAUUACCUCAUCAGUGAAGCAUAGGGGGUGUGCGGCGCCUCUAUAUUGGGCCACGUCACGACAUAGUUCGUAUGGAGUCUGUAUGCGGUUUUCAGCCCGGGUGAACUUGUGCUUGUCGCGCCAGGCUUGAUGGUCGUCUUCUCGCGCUGGGGCAUGCCCCCUUGAUCCAUAUAUUGAUCUGGUCUGACCGGCUCUAUUAGCCAGGUCAUGUCGUUGGUCGUAAGUGUAUCCUGCAGCUGCUGUCUCUUUGCCUUUAUAGCAGGGUGGUGCAGGCUGGUGUUCGGCUUGAAUUGCCACUCUGGCCCGGCCACGUGGUGGUCAGUCAAGUUCGUUGGCAGUGUUACGCAUGGGCGGUAUAGGCUCUGGGGCCUCGUCGUCAAAUUGGGGUAGCAGCUUGUGCUUUGGGUAACUCUUGGUUGGCCGUUUGAGGUCGUAUUCCUCGGCUACCAGGACAUCGGUCCAUCUGUCAUUGAGCAGAUUCUGAUCAGCUUGAAGCUGUUGCUGCUUCUUUUUUAGGCUUCUUGCAGUGGCUAUUCACCGGCGAUUAAAGUGCUCUUGUUCGAGGGGUUCCUCCGGCAUGAUGAAUUCUUCGUCGCCAAUGCUCUCAUCCUCUUCGGAGGUUGGUAAGUAGUUAAUAUCCUCCGAGCCCACGUUCUUGAUGGGAUCGUCGGGACUGACUUGCCCAUCCUCCCAAUCAUCAUGCUCGGAUGCUGGUUCGAUAGGGGCUUCUUGAUCUUCGGUGUUAUCCGGAGUAUUGUUGUCUCUGGUGUCGGUAUUGCUGUCCUUUUCACGACGCGAUUUAGAGCGGCGCCGCUGACGUUGACACUUUGGUGGUGCCAUGGGAGACUUGUCCUCGACUGGAUCCUUCCCACCUUCGCCGUCAUCCUCUUUGGGCGUGUCCACCAUGUACACGUCAUAUGUGGAAGUAGCCGUCCAGCGUCUGGUAAACGGCAGGUUCUGGAUUUGUUCUUCUUCGGCAUUGUUUUCCAUGCCGUUGAUGUCUUCAGAAGUGUACUUGAGCAUGUCAGUUAAGUCCUCGACAGUGGCUAUGAAGUGGGUGGUGGGUGGGACAUAAAAUUCCCCGCUCUUAGCCCCUAGUGUGGGCUCGGCGUAGUUUGGCAGCGAUCCCUCUGUAAUGGCGAGGGAUCACAUUAAGUCCAGGUCCUCAUUUAAGAGUGAGGUUUGGACAGGGAAUGCGAGAGUCCGUGGAGCAGGGCGGGACAGGAGUUCUCAGGCCGAGCUCGCGUAACACGGACCUCGAGAGUUCGGAUCUGGUGUUCGGGGGGGAGUCCGGCUUCGUGUUGAUGAAGAGAGCCUAGUAUAACUCCGGGCCUGCUGGUGAAACAAUCCCCUCUAUAUCUCCGGUGUUGAGCUCUACGGCUGCGGAGAGUCCAGCGGGCUCUAAAUUCCCGUCUUUGGACUCGAUGAGGUGUUCCGGAUCUACGACCGUAGCUGCGGUUGAGGCCACGAGCCCUCGGAAUAUCAAGUCUCCUCGGAUAUCAGUGACGUAGUUUAGGUUUCCAAAACUGAUCUGACGACUAGGGGCAUAGCUGUCAAUCUGCUCCAGAUGGCCAAUCGAAUUGGCACACGGUGCGAAGCCACAGAAUACGAAGAUUUUGUCGGGGAGAAAAGUCUCCCUCAGGGAUAUAUUGUUGUGGAUGGUUGAUGGAGCCAUCGAACCUUCUGGCGACGACACGGUGGAACUCUCAAUGAAAGCACCAAUGUCGGUGUCAAAACCGGCGGAUCUCGGGUAGGGGGUCCCGAACUGUGUGUCUAAGGAUCGAAGGUAACAAGGAGGCAGGGGACACGAUGUUUACCCAGGUUCGGGCCCUCCUAAUGGAGGUAAUACCCUACUUCGUACUUGAUUGACUUUGAUGAGUAUAUGGGUUACAAGAGUUGAUCUACCUGGAGAUCGUAAUGGCUACACCCUAGAUGUCUAGCCUGUAUAAUUGUUGUUCCGCCUAUGGACUAAGCCCUCUGGUUUAUAUAGACACCGGAGGGAUCUAGGGUUGUACAAAGUCGGUUUACAAAGAAAGGUAGGUGCAUGAUCCGAACGCCAAGCUUGCCAUCCACGCAAAGGAGAGUCCCAUCUGGACACGGGGAAAGGUCCCUAGUCUCAUAUCUUCACGGCCCAUUAGUCCGGCCCAUAUCACAUAGCCCGGACGCGCGAGGACCCCUUAGUCCAGGUGUCCCUCAGUAAAUCGUUUGGACUAGUCAUCGUUGAUGAUUUUUCAAGAUUUACGUGGGUGUUCUUUUUCGAUGAUAAAUCGCAAGUUCAAAAGAUCUUGAAAAACUUCACUAGGAAGGCCCAAAACCAAUUUGAAGUGAAGAUCAAGAAGGUUCACAGCGACAAUGGAACGGAGUUCAGCAACGGCAAUGUGGACACCUUUCUUGAUGAAGAAGGGAUCUCACAUGAGUUCUCGGCUACGUACACACCUCAACAAAUGGAGUUGUUGAGAGGAAGAACCGGACGCUCAUCUAAAUGGCGAGAAUGAUGCUUGAUGAGUACAAGACGCCAAAACAGUUUUGGGCAGAAGCGGUUGAGACGGCUUGUCAUGCAAUGAAUUGUCUAUAUCUUCACAAGCUACUCGGCAAGACGGCAUACGAGCUCCUCACCGGUAACAAACCCCAAGUUGGAUACUUUCGGGUAUUUGGCUCAAAUUGUUACAUUCUUGACAAGCAUCGUCGUUCAAAAUUUGCUCCUAAGUCUCAUGAAGGUUUCCUACUCGGUUAUGGCUCAAACUCUCACACUUACCGUGUCUACAACAAUUUCACCCAAAAGGUUGAAGAGACGGUAGAUGUGAAGUUUGAUGAAUCUAACGGCUCGCAAGUAGACCAAUUGCCAAUUGAUGUAGGUGAAAAAGAUCCUUCGGAAGCAAUCCAAGACUUGUCUAUCAGCAAGAUUUUCCCAACGGAGGUGAAGGAGAGUACCUCAUCUGUCCAAGUGGAAGCCUCAACCUCACGCUAAGGUGAACCACGAGUUGACUUGGAGGCAUCCACAAGUGGGACACGUCAAGACAAUGACAACGAGGGUGUAAAACAAAUUGAACCUCAAUGACCUCCUUCUCCACCUCCAUAGGAGAACGACCAUGCCAACAACAACGAAGAAAUACAAGAAGAAGAACAAGACAAUGAAGAGGAUGUUCCACCCCGACCCAAACAAAAGCUAUCACGAGUUCGAGCAAGAGUCUCAAGAGAUCAUCUCGUCGAACAAAUCUUUGAUGACAUUCAAACCCGGAGAAUUACUCGCUCUAAAACUCGUUUGGCUAACUUUUGUGAACAUUACUCAUUCAUUUCUAGCAUUGAACCUAUGAAGGUUGAAGUAGCAUUAGAAGAUCCAUAUUGGAUAAAUUCCUUGCGCAAAGAGCUACACAGCUUUGAGAGGAACCAAGUAUGGAUGUUGGUUGAGAAGCCCGAUGAGAAGUACAAUGUCAUUGGAACCAAAUGGGUGUUUCGGAACAAGCAAGAUGAAGAUGAACAAGUUAUACGCAACAAGGCUCAUCUCGUUUCUCAAGGCUACACUCAAGUUGAAGGUAUGGACUAUGGUGAGACUUAUGCCCCCGUUGCUAGACUUGAGUCCAUUCGCAUCAUGACAUUACCUUAUAUCAAAUGGAAAUCAAAAGUGAUUUUCUCAAUGGUGAAAGUGAGGAGGAAAUUUAUGUUAAACAACCUCCCGGCUUUGUUAAUCCUAAGAAACCUGACCAUGUUUACAAACGUCACAAAGCUCUUUAUGGUCUUAAGCGAGCUCCUAGAGCUUGGUAUAAAUGCUUGACUAAGUUUCUUCUUGAUAAAGGGUUUGAAAUUGGUAAAAUUGUUUCUAUACUCUUCACCAAAAGGGUCAAUGUAGAAUUAUUUGUGUGCCAAAUUUAUGUUGAUGAUAUCAUAUUUGGAUCAACUAACCCUCAUUUUAGUGAGAAGUUUGGGAAGCUUAUGUCGGAGAAGUUUGAGAUGUCUAUGAUGAGUGAACUCAAGUUCUUUCUUGGUUUGCAAUUCAAGCAAACUAAGGAGGGAACCUUUAUCUCCCAAACAAAGUAUACCAAGGACUUAUUCAAGAAGUUCAACAUGCAAGAAUGCAAAGGUAUAAAUACCCCCAUGCCUACUAGUGGACAUGUUGACUUGACAAAGGAUGGAGAAUCGGUCGACCAAAAGGUUUACCGCUCUAUGAUUGGUUCCUUGUUAUAUAUAUGUGCCUCCCAUCCUGAUAUCAUGCUAAGUGUGUGCAUGUGUGCACGAUAUCAAGCAGCCCCCAAAGAGUGUCAUCUUAAAGCUGUGAAAAGGAUAGUGAGAUACUUAAUACAUACACCAAAUUUUGGCAUUUGGUAUCCUAAGAGGUCUUCUUUUGAUCUUGUUGGCUACUCUGACUCGGACUAUGCCGGUGACAAGGUUGAUAGAAAGUCCACUUCGGGUACUUGUCAAUUUCUUGGUAGAUCUCUUGUGUCUUGGUCCUCCAAGAAACAAAACUCAGUAUCCUUAUCCACCGCCAAAGCGGAAUACAUUGCCGCUGGUUCAUGUUGUGCUCAAUUACUUUGGAUGACCCAAACUCUUAAAGAUUAUGGGAUAUAUGUGGAACAUGUUCCAUUGCUUUGUGAAAAUGAGAGUGCUAUUAAGAUUGCUCAUAAUCCCGUGCAACAUUCUCGAACUAAGCAUAUUGAAGUUCAUCAUCAUUUCAUUCGAGAUCAUGUUGCUAAGGGAGAUAUCAAACUUAAGCAUGUUCGUACCGACAAGCAAUUGGCGGAUAUAUUCACUAAGCUACUUGAUGAGAAAGUGUUUUGCAGGUUGAGAGGUGAAUUGAACAUCAUUGAUGCCUCAAAUUUUGAGUAGAAACUCCAUGUGGAUGCAUGCAAGGCAUGAGCCUAACUAUGACUAAUCCUUGACCAUUCUCUUAUGAUGAUGAUCAUAUGUCUUGGAUACUCUUGUACUCUUGCAUGCUAUCUAACCCUGGUAGCUAGGUACUUGGAUAAGCCCAAUUCUAUGAGAUUGCAACUCAAUCAUAUUUUAAGCAAUCUCUACAUCUCCAAGUCUCUACAAUGGUGGACGAAUACAAGGAAGCACGAAUCCAUUCAAUAUAUCCUUUGACAAAUUCCUAUAUCAAAAUUUCAUGAUUGUCAUUUUGGAUACACAAGUGCUCUUCCUUGCAAGACUAACCCAUGUAGGAAGAUGAACUUCAACCACAAGUCGUGCUCCCAACUCGUGAUGAUCUACAUCAACUUGAGCACCCUACACAAGUUCAACUACAUGACCAAGUUCAUCACUGCUACCUCUUGAGCAUUGCGUUGGUUUUCCCUUGAAAGGGUGAUGCGGCAAAGUAGCGUAAGUAUUUCCCUCAGUUUUUGAGAACCAAGGUAUCAAUCCCGUAGGAGGCUACACGCAAGUCCCUCGUACCUACACAAACAAACAAGAACCUCCCAACCAACGUGAUAAAGGGGUUGUCAAUCCCUGCACAGCCACUUGCGAAAGUGAGAUCUGAUAGAGAUAAAAAGAUAAGAUAAAUAUUUUUCGUAUUUUUAUGAUAUAGAUUGAAAACUAAAGAUUGCCAAAUAAAGUAGAUCGAAGACUUAUAUGAUAGAAAAUAGACCCGGAGGCCAUAGGUUUCACUAGUGGCUUCUCUCAAGAUAGCAUAAGUAUUACGAUGGGUGGACAAAUUACUGUCGAGCAAUUGAUAGAAAAGUGCAUAGUUAUGAGAAUAUCUAGGCAUGAUCAUGUAUAUAGGCAUCACGUCCGUGAUAAGUAGAUCGAAACGAUUACGCAUCUACUACUAUUACUCCACACAUCGACCGCUAUCCAGCAUGCAUCUAGAGUAUUAAGUUCAUAAGAACAGAGUAACGCAUUAGGCAAGAUGACAUGAUGUAGAGGGAUAAACUCAAGCAAUAUGAUAUAAACCCCAUAUUUUAUCCUCGAUGGCAACAAUACAAUACGUGCCUUGCUGCCCCUGCUGUCACUGGGAAAGGACACCACAAGAUUGAACCCAAAGCUAAGCACUUCUCCCAUUGCAAGAAAGAUCAAUCCAGUAGGCCAAACCAAACUGAUAAUUCGAAGAGACUUGCAAAGUUAACCAAUCAUACAUAAAAAAAUUCAGAGGAGAUUCAAAUAUUUCUCAUAGAUAAACUUGAUCAUAAACCCACAAUUCAUCGGAUCUCGACAAACACACCGCAAAAAGAGUUACAUCAAAUAGAUCUCCAAGAAGAUCGAGGAGAACUUUGUAUUGAGAUUAAAAGAGAGAGAGAAGAAGCCAUCUAGCUAAUAACUAUGGACCCGAAGGUCUAUGGUAAACUACUCACAACUCAUCGGAGAGGCUAUGGUGUCAAUGUAGAAGCCCUCCUGAUCAAUUCCCCUUCCGGCGGAGCGCCGGAAAAGGCUCCAAGAUGGGAUAUCAUGGGUACAGAAGGUUGCGGCGGUGGAAAUAGGGUUUCGUGGUGCUCCUGGAUGUUUUCGGGGUACGUUGAUAUAUAUGUGCGAAGGAGGUCAGUCAGGGGAGCCAUGAAGGACCCCACAAGGGUGGGGGGCACGCCCUCCUGCCCCGUGGCUUCCUCGGCUGCUUCUUGACGUCCACUCCAAGUCUCCUGGAUUGCGUUUGUUCCAAAAAGAUCGCUCUUGAAGGUUUCAUUCCGUUUGGACUCCGUUUGAUAUUCCUUUUCUUCGAAACACUGAAAUAGGCAAAAAAACAGCAAUUUGGGCUGGGCCUCCGGUUAAUAGGUUAGUCCCAAAAAUGAUAUAAAAGUGUAUAGUAAAGCCCAUAAACAUCCAAAACGGGAAAUAUAAUAGCAUGGAACAAUCAAAAAUUAUAGAUACGUUGGAGACGUAUCAAGCAUCCCCAAGCUUAAUUCCUGCUCAUCCUCGCGUUGGUAAAUGAUAAAAAACAGAAUUUUUGAUGUGGAAUGCUAGCUAGCAUAUUUCUCAAUGUAACUUUCCUUAUUUUGGCAUGAAUGUUCAGAUCCAAAUGAUUCAAGAUAAAACUUCAUAUUGGCAUGAAAACAAUAAUACUUCAAGCAUACUAACAAAGCAAUCAUGUCUUCUCAAAAUAGCAUGGCUAAAGAAAGCUAUCCCUGCAAAAUCAUAUAGUCUGGCUAUGCUCUUUCUUCAUCACACAAAGUAUUUAAUCAUGCACAACCACGAUGACAAGCCGAGCAAUUGUUUCAUACUUUAGUAUUCUUAAACUUUUUCACUUUCACGCAAUACAUGAGCGUGAGCCAUGGACAUAGCACUAUAUGUGGAAUAGAAUGGUGGUUGUGGAGAAGACAAAAAAGAGAAGAUAGUCUCACAUCAACUAGGCGUAUCAAUGGGCUAUGGAGAUGCCCAUUAAUAGAUAUCAAUGUGAGUGAGUAGGGAUUGCCAUGCAACGGAUGCACUAGAGCUAUAAGUGCAUGAAAGCUCAACAAAAGAAACUAGUGGGUGUGCAUCCAAUUCGCUUGCUCACGAAGACCUAGGGCAUUUUGAGGAAGCCCGUCAUUGGAAUAUACAAGCCAAGUUCUAUAAUGAAAAAUUCCCACUAGUAUAUGAAAGUGACAACAUAGGAGACUCUCUAUCAUGAAGAUCAUGGUGCUACUUUGAAGCACAAGUGUGGAAAAAGGAUAGUAACAUUGUCCCUUCUCUCUUUUUCUCUCAUUUUUUUGGUGGGCUUCUUUGGCCUCUUUUUUUUAUUUGGGCUUCUUUGGCCUCUUUUUAUUUUUAGUAAAGUCUGAUGUCUCAUCCCGAUUUGUGGGGGAAUCAUAGUCUCCAUCUUCCUUUCCUCACUUGGGACAACGCUCUAAUAAUGAAGAUCAUCACACUUUUAUUUACUUACAACUCAAGAAUUACAACUCAAUACUUUGAAAAAAAAUAUGACUCUAUGUGAAUGCCUCCGGCGGUGUACCGGGAUAUGCAAUAAAUCAAGAGCGACAUGUAUGAAAAAAUUAUUGAGGUGGCUUUGCCACAAAUACGAUGUCAACUACAUGAUCAUGCAAAAGCAAUAUUAUAAUGAUGGAGCAUGUCAUAAUAAACGGAAUGGUGGAAAGUUGCACGGCAUUAUAUCUCGGAAUGGCUAUGGAAAUGCCAUAAUAGGUAGGUAUGGUGGCUGUUUUGAGGAAGGUAUAUGGUGGGUGUAUGGUACCGACGAAAGUUGCACGUCACAAGAGAGGCUAGCAAUGGUGGAAGGGUGAUAGUGUGUAUAAUCCAUGGACUCAACAUUAGUCAUAAAGAACUCAUAUACUUAUUGCAAAAACCUACAAGUUAUGAAAGCAAAGUACUACACACAUACUCCUAGGGGGAUAGAUUGGUAGGAAAAUACCAUCGCUCGUCCCCAACAGCCAUUCAUAAGGAAGACAAUCAAUAAACAAAUCAUGAUCUAGCUUCAUCACAUAACGGUUCACCAUACGUGCAUGCUACAGGAAUCACAAACUUCAACACAAGUAUUCCUCAAAUUCACAACUAAUCCACUAGCAUGACUCUAAUAUUACCAUCCUCAUAUCUCAAAACAAUUAUCAAGCAUCAAAUUUCUCGUAGCAUCCAAUACACUUUCUAUGAUAGUUUUUAUUAUACCCAACUUGGAUGCCCAUCAUAUUGGGACCAAUUUUAUAACCAUAGAAAAUACCAUGCUGUUCUAAAAGACUCUCAAAAUGAUAUAAGUGAAGCAUGAGAGAUCAAUAAUUUCUACAAAAUAAAACCACCGCCGUGCUCUAAAAAGAUAUAAGUGAAGCACUAGAGCAAAAUUGUCUAGCUCAAAAGAUAUAAGUGAAGCACAUAGAGUAUUCUAAUAAAUUCUGAAUCAUGUGUGUCUCUCCCAAAAGGUGUGUACAGCAAGGAUGAUUGUAGUAAACUAAAAAUAAAAGACUCAUAUCAUACAAGACGCCUCCAAGCAAAACACAUAUCAUGUGGUGAAUAAAAAUAUAGCUCCAAGUAAAGUUACCGAUAGACGAAGAAAAAAGAGGGGAUGCCUUCCCUGGCAUCCCCAAGCUUAGGCUUUUGGUUGUCCUUGAAUUAUCUUGGGGUGCCAUGGACAUCCCCAAGCUUAGGCUCCUGCACUCCUUAUUCCAUAGUCCAUCAAAUCUUUACCCAACACUUGAAAACUUCACAACACAAAACUCAACAGGAAAUCUCAUGAGUUCCGUUAGUGCAAGAAAGCAAACCACCACUUUAAGGUAUUGUAAUGAACUCAUUCUUUAUUUAUAUUGGUGUUAAACCUACUGUAUUCCAACUUCUCUAUGGUUCAUACCCCCCGAUACUAGCCAUAGAUUCAUCAAAAUAAGCAAACAACACACGAAAAAUAGAAUCUGUCAAAAACAGAACAGUCUGUAGCAAUCUGUAACUUUUGAAUACUUCUAGAACUCUAAAAAUCCUACCAAAAGUCCUGGGCAAUUUGUCUAUUAAUCUACUGCAAAAAGAAUCAACUAAAAAUCAUGUUUCUGUGAUUUAUUAAAAUUAUUCGCGUGCGCGCCAAAGUUUCUGUUUUUCAGCAAGAUCAAAUUAACUAUCACCCAAGAUGAUCAUAUAGGUUCUACUUGGCACAAACACUAAUUAAAACAUAAAACCACAUCUAAACAGAAGCUAGAUGAUUUAUUUAAUACUAAACAAGAGCAAAAAGCAAGGAACAAAAAUAAAAUUGGGUUGCCUCCCAACAAGCGCUAUCGUUUAACACCCCUAGCUAGGCAUAAAAGCGAGAAUAGAUCAAAGUAUUGCCAUAAUGAUAAGGUAAUUCACGAAAACUCAUCUCAUAUUCCAUACGUUCAGCAGCAAGUUUCCUUUGUGGCAAGCAAAAGUAAUCAAAAGGGCUAAAUUUAAUGGGACAAAAGUCCCCAAGAUCAAUCACGGGAGGUAUGGGUUCCUCCUUUGGCCCCACAUAUUGCACAACCAAUUCAUCAUUAUAAGCAUUCUUUUGGAAAAAGUCAUGAGCCUAUGCUCAAGAGAAAAUCCCAACCCAAUAUUUUGAAUAGAAAAAUCAUUAUUAAGUUCGGAAAUUCUAUCAACUAGAACAUCGGUAGGCACCUAUUUUCUAAGGUUUUCAUUAAAAGCAACAUGAUUUAAAGAUUGCAAACGCAUUAUGUCCUCUUGAUUAAAGAGGAUCGCCUCUAUGCGAGGACGACCACCGUCCACUCUAUAGUGCGCAAAAAUUUCUUUAGCUUCUUUCAUUAUAGAUCUAAACUCAUGUGCCAAAAAGAUAGUAGCUGCACGCUUAACAGAAGAAUGCUCAAUAUUGGAAAAUUCUAGGAAAAUCCUUUGUAUGCAAGGAUGCAUAUGCAUGAAUUGUCUUUCAAGUUCAACUAUAAGCAAAGAUAUAGCAUCUGCAAGACUAGUAGUUCUAGGAAGAAUAGAUCCACCCAUAGCGGGCAAAGCACCGGCACAAGUAAAGAGAUCUUGAAUAACCCCUUUUCCAAUAAUAUUACCAGUACCAAUUUGAAACUUUUGAGUGUGUAAGAUGGUGGGUUCUUCAACAGGAUCAUCAAAAGCAUCAAAAUUUCCCAAGUUAUUACUAUUGUUCUUAUCAACGAUAACCUCCCUAGUUUCAGACAUAGUGCCAGCAAAUACUAGGAGCAAGCAAAAAAGAGGCGAACGUAAAAGAGAGGGCGAAUAAAAUGGCAAGGGUGAAGUGGGGGAGAGGAAAACGAGAGGCAAAUGGCAAAUAAUGUAAUGCGAGGGAGAAGAGUUUGUGAUGGGUACUUGGUAUGUCUUGACUUGUGCGAAGACCUCCCCAGCAACGGCGCCAGAAAUCCUUCUUGCUACCUCUUGAGCACUACGUUGGUUUUCCCUUGAAGAGGAAAGGGUGAUGCAGCAAAGUAGCAUAAGUAUUUCCCUUAGUCUUUGAGAACCAAGGUAUCAAUCCAGUAGGAGGCUACACGCAAGUCCCUCGUACCUAUACAAACAAACAAGAACCUCGCAACCAACGCGAUAAAUGGGUUGUCAAUCCCUUCACGGCCACUUGCGAAAGUGAGAUCUGAUAGAGAUAAAAAGAUAAGAUAAAUAUUUUUGGUAUUUUUAUGAUAUUGAUUGAAAAGUAAAGAUUGUGAAAUAAAGUAGAUCGGAAACUUAUAUGAUAGAAAAUAGACCCUGGGGCCAUAUGUUUCACUAGUGGCUUCUCUUAGGAUAGCAUAAGUAUUAUGGUGGGUGAACAAAUUACUGUCGAGCAAUUGAUAGAAAAGUGCAUAGUUAUGAGAAUAUCUAGGCAUGAUCAUGUACAUAGGCAUCACGUCCGCGACAAGUAGAUCAAAAUGAUUCUGCAUCUACUACUAUUACUCCACACAUCGACCACUAUCCAGCAUGCAUCUAGAGUAUUAAGUUCACAAGAAUAGAGUAACGCAUUAGGCAAGAUGACAUGAUGUAGAGGGAUAAACUCAAGCAAUAUGAUAUAAACCCCAUAUUUUUAUCCUCGAUGGCAACAAUACAAUACGUGCCUUGCUGCCCCUGCUGUUGAUGUCUACUACACAACCUUCUUCUUAUAGACGUUGUUGGGCCUGCAAGUGCACAGGUUGGUAGGACAGUAGCAAAUUUCCCUCAAGUGGAUGACCUAAGGUUUAUCAAUCCGUGGGAGGCAUAGGAUGAAGAUGGUCUCUCUCAAGUAACCCUGCAACCAAAUAACAAAGAGUCUCUUGUGUCCCCAACACACCCAAUACAAUGGUAAAAUGUAUAGGUGCACUAGUUUGGCGAAGAGAUGGUGAUACAAGUGCAAUAUGGAUGGUAGAUAUAGGUUUUUGUAAUCUGAAAAUAUAAAAACAGCAAGGUAACUAAUGAUAAAAGUGAGCAUAAAUGGUAUUGCAAUGAUAGGAAACAAGGUAGGGUUUAUACUUUCACUAGUGCAAGUUCUCUCAACAAUAAUAACAUAGAUAGAUCAUAUAACAAUCCCUCAACAUGCAACAAAGAGUCACUCCAAAGCCACUAAUAGUGGAGAAAAACGAAGAGAUUAUGGUAGGGUACGAAACCACCUCAAAGUUAUUCUUUCGAAUCAAUCUAUUAAAGAGUUCGUACUAGAAUAACACCUUAAGACACAAAUCAACCAAAACCCUAAUGUCACCUAGAUACUCCAUUGUCACCUCAAGUAUCCGUGGGCAUGAUUAUACGAUAUGCAUCACACAAUCUCAGAUUCAUCCAACCAACACAAAGUACUUCAAAGAGUGCCCCAAAGUUUCUACCGGAGAGUCAAGAAAACGUGUGCCAACCCCUAUGCAUAGGUUCAUGGGUGGAACCUGCAAGUUGGUCACCAAAACACACAUCAAGUGGCACGUGAUAUCCCAUUGUCACCACAGAUAAACACGACAAGACAUACAUCAAGUGUUCUCAAAUAAAGACUCAAUCCGAUAAGAUAACUUCAAGAGGGAAACUCAGUUCAUCACAAGAGAGUAGAGGGGGAGAAACAUCAUAAGAUCCAACUAUAAUAGCAAAGCUCGCGAUACAUCAAGAUCGUGCCAUAGAGAGAACAUGAGAGAGAGAGAGAUCAAACACAUAGCUACUGGUACAUACCCUCAGCCCCGAGGGUGAACUACUCCCUCCUCGUCAUCGAGAGCGCCGGGAUGAUGAAGAUGACCACCGGUGAUGGAUUCCCCCUCCGACAGGGUGCCGGAACGGGCUCCCGAGAGGUUUUUGGUGGCUACAGAGGCUUGCGGCGGCGGAACUCCCGAUCUAUCUUGAUAUUCUUUGGUUUUAGGAUACGUAGGCUUAUAUAGGUGAAAGAAGUCGGUCGGGGGAGCCUCGAGGGGCCCACGAGACAGGGGGGCACCCUACGGGGGGGCGCCCUCUUAUCUCGUGGCUGCCUCGAGGAUCUUCUGACGUGAAGUCCAAGUCUCCAGGAUCAUAUUCUUCCAAAAAAUCACGCUACCGAAGGUUUCAUUCCGUUUGGACUCCGUUUGACAUUCCUUUUCUUUGAAAUACUGAAACAGGCAAUAAAACAGCAAUAUGGGCUGGGCCUCCGGUUAAUAGGUUAGUCCCAAAAGUAAUAUAAAAGUGUAUAAUAAAGCCCAUGAUCAUUCAAAAUAGAUAAUAAAAUAGCAUGAAUGCUUCAUAAAUUAUAGAUACGUUGGAGACGUAUCACUUUCACCGGGAAAGGACACCGCAAGAUUGAACCCAAGCUAAGCACUUCUCCCAUUGCAAGAAAGAUCAAUCUACUAGGCCAAACCAAACUGAUAAUUCGAAGAGACUUGCAAAGAUAACCAAUCAUACAUAAAAUAAUUCAGAGGAGAUUCAAAUAUUUCUCAUAGAUAAAAUUGAUCAUAAACCCACAAUUCAUGGGAUCUCGACAAACACACCGCAAAAAGAGUUACAUCGAAUAGAUCUCCAAGAAGAUCGAGGAGAACUUUGUAUUGAGAUUCAAAGAGAGAGAAGAAGCCAUCUAGCUAAUAAUUAUGGACCCGAAGGUCUGUGGUAAACUACUCACAACUCAUCGAAGAGGCUAUGGUGUUGAUGUAGAAGCCCUCCGUGAUCGAUUCCCCCUCCGGCGGAGCGCCAGAAAAGGCUCCAAGAUGGGAUCUCAUGGGUACAAAAGGUUGCGGCGGUCGAAAUAGGGUUUCUAGUGCUCCUGGAUGUUUUCGGGGUACAUAAAUAUAUGUAGGCGAAGGAGGUCGGUCAGGGGAGCCACGAGGGGCCCACGAGGGUGGGGGCGCACCCACCCCCCUAGGGCGCGCCCUCCGGCCUCGUGGCCGCCUCGGGUGCUUCUUGACGUCCACUCCAAAUCUCCUGGAUUGCGUUUGUUCCAAAAAGAUAGCUCCUGAAGGUUUCAUUUCGUUUGGACUCCAUUUGAUAUUCCUUUUCUUCGAAACACUAAAAUAGGCAAAAAAAACAGCAAUUUGGGUUGGGCCUCCGGUUAAUAGGUUAGUCCCAAAAAUGAUAUAAAAGUGUAUAGUAAAGCCCAUAAACAUCCAAAAUUGGUAAUAUAAUAGCAUGGAACAAUCAAAAAUUAUAGAUACGUUGGAGAUGUAUCAAUCACCACCACCUAACAUAUGUCAUUCCAUCUUAGAGAAUCUUAACCCCAAGACAUGGGUCAAAGCAACUCAACAAGAUGAGAAUGCAUCAAAAUGCUUAAACGAAAAACGGCAACCCCAUUUUGAGCUUAAACGAUGAGUAUGACCUGUGAUCAAGUGUCUUCACUUGACUCCUAAGUCAAUAUACUCUAGCAUAGGUGACUUUGUCGCCGACGAAUUCUAGAAGAAGUUCUCUAUUGUUUCUUUGUGCCCUUGCAUUUGUCUCAUGCAUGCUAGUUCCCCUUUCAAAAAAACUUCAUCUAGAUUUCUCUUCUUUUUCUUUCUCUGUUAUUUUCUGCAUUUCCCUGCAUCCAAUUCAUUGCAAAUCAUUAAAUUAAUUCCUUGCAUAUCCUUGUGAGAUCUUCUUUGCCCAAUGAGCUGAGGUGACAAGAAGUUACUCUCUGGGUUGAACUCGGUCUCACCGGAUUGAUUUCUUCGGUUGAACUGAAUCAACUCGGUGCCAUCGGUUGCAACUACUCGGUGCUACUGAUUUCAGUCCUGAGACAACAUCUGCGUCACUUGCAUUCUGCAGAUUUGUCCUAGCUCCACUCUUUGUAACUUGUCCUCUACCAGCAUCAAUAUUACAUGGCUUUGUAAUGUGACUCCAAGACCAAACAUACAUGACUCAUGCUCUAGAAGUCCCUUCUUGGAAAUUGAUGUCAAAUGGGGAGAGAGAGCACAUCAAAGCUUAUCACAUAAGAGAGAAUGCACUCAUAAAAGCUUCUCCUGAUGCUCCUAUUUGUUAAGAGGAAAGUUGUCUCAUGUCUUCAAGAGGGGAAAGACGUGAUAGUAUUUGUUAUGACUUGAUCUAGCUUUGGUUAUUUUCUUGUUUGCUCUGAUUUUCUGCUACCCUAUCUACUCCCAUUAUCCCAUGUUAGAUUCAGGGGGAGAAAUACAUCUAAGGGAAGAAAAUCUUUGGAAUUCAUUGCAUAUCUUUAUUCUUGGGGACAUGUCAAUAUCCAAAUAGAGUACCUAGUACUCACACUCUAUAUGUCAUCCCGGUCUUGGUAUUCUUGUGCUCUUCAGUUCUUGCUCUGUCUAGUAGAUGUUCUUGUGUUAUCUAACCUUGUUUACCCAGGUACAUCUUCUUCAAGCAAGCUCAAGACCACAAGGUAAGUAUAUGCAUCACACUCAUGUGCAUGAAGAUCUCUUGCUAUGGUACAUAUUGUUUGCAAGAGAGACUCAUGAACAUGAAGGUAUAACUCCAGUAUCUAUAUCAUUUGCUCUGAUGCAUAUAGCCAAGACACAUGUAACUCAUUGCUUUCUCUACACAUGUUUAUGCAUUCUCAUACUCUUAUGAUCUAUCAUCACAUGAUUGCAUACAUGUAGGGGGAGCCAAUGCAUGUUGCAUGUCUUUCCAGAGCUUUACUUGCUAUUUCCUUAUAUCUUUAUCUAAAGCUUUGAUGUGUGUUGUCAUCAAUUACCAAAAAGGGGGAGACUAAAAGCACAAGUGCCCCCUGGGUGAUUUUGGUAAUUCAUGACAACAUAUCUCUUGUUGGACUAAUACUUCUACCUAGUGCAUUUCAAAUAAGUUCAACAUUGGAGUGGCAUGGACAUGGACAAGAGGAUGUGGAACCCCUUCAAGAUGCUAAGGACAAAUAUUGACAAAAGCUCAGGACUCUACAUUUUCUAUUUUAGUGAUCCAAGAUCACAUUGAGUCCAUAGGAAAACCAAUACUAUUAAAAGGGGAUGAGGUGUUGCUUAAUGGCCUGCUUGCUCAAAGUGUUUAGUGAUAUGCUCCAAAACCCUCAGCCACUUUCUCAUUUCCACAUAUGUCCUAAACCUAAAUGUCAAACUCGGACCCACCAAUUUGAUCUAUCCGGCGCCACUGAGUUUCAUCUUAUUCAGCCACUACCAAACCCUAGUCAAUUCAGUCUCAUUGAUGGGAUCUCGGUCUUACCAAGAUGGGCUUGCAAAUUCUCUAUGACCUCUUGCAACAAAAUCGGUCCCACCGAGUUUGUUCAGUCGGUCCCACCGAGUUUGCUUGACCAAUCCUCUAUUUACUUAUUACCAAAAUCAGUAUCACCGAGUUCGAGUAAUCGGUCAAACCGAGUUGAGGUUUUACCCUAAUCCCUGCACAUCGGUCCCAUCGAGUUGACUAUAUCGGUCCCACCGAAAAUCCUAACGUUCACAUUUUUACAUAAAUCGGUCUGACUGAGUUUGUUGAUUCAGUCCCACCGAGUUUGGGAAUCUAUGUGUAACGACUAGAUUUUGUGUGGAGGCUAUAUAUACCCCUCCACCCACUCUUCAUUCAUGGAGAGAUCCAUCAGAACGUACCUACACUUCUACUACUCAUUUUUUGAGAGAGAGCCACCUACUCAUGCGUUGAGACCAAGAUACUCCAAUCCUACCAUAUGAAUCUUGAUCUCUAGCCUUCCCCAAGUUGCUUUCCACUCAAAUCAUCUUUCCACCAUAGCCAAAUCUGGGAGAGAGAGAGGGUUGAGUGUUGGGGAGACUAUCAUUUGAAGCACGAGAGCAAGGAGUUCAUCAACAACACACUAUCUAUUACCUUUUGGAGAGUGGUGUCUCCUAGAUUGGUUAGGUGUCACUUGGGAGCCUUCGUCAAGAUUGUGGAGUUGAACCAAGGAGUUUGUAAGGGCAAGGAGAUCGCCUACUUCGUGAAGAUCUACCCUAGUGAGGCAAGUCCUUCAUGGGUGAUGGCCAUGAUGGGAUAGACAAGGUUGCUUCUUCGUGGACCCUUCGUGGGUGGAGCCCUCCAUGGACUCGCGCAGUCGUUACCCUUUGUGGGUUGAAGUCUCCAUCAACGUGGAUGUACGAUAGCACCACCUAUCAGAACCACGCCAAAAAUCUCCAUGUCUCCAAUUGCGUUUGCACACUCCAAUCCCAUCCCUUUACUUUUUUGCAAGUCGCAUGCUUUACUUUCCGCUGCUCAUAUACUCUUUGCAUGCUUGCUUGAAUUGUAUUGUGUAUGCUUGAAAUUGUGUUAAUCUACCACCUUUACUUGAAAAACUGAACUGCCAACUUUGUUUGUUGAGGGUCUAAUCACCCCUCCUCUAGACACCUCUUCUCGAUCCUUUCACUUCACUUGGGAGCAAGUUUAUGAGAUAUGUAGCGGUCAAGAAUGCUUCAUCCCAAAAUUUGAGUGGCAUAGAUGCAUUUGCCAGUAGGGCUAGCCCUACCUCAACAACAAGGCGAUGUUUUCUUUUUGCAGAACCAUUCUGUUGGUGAGCAUGAGGACAUGAAACAUGAUGCGAGAUGCCAAGUUGCUGAAAGAAAGAAUUGAGUUUCUUGUAUUCACCACCCCAGUCAGUUUGCAUGGCAAUGAUAUUAGUGUUUAAUUGUCUUUCAACAAGAUUAUGAAAAUUCUUGAAAACUUGAAACACUUCAAAUCGUUUCUUAAGAAGAUAGGUCCAAGCAAAUUUGCUAUAUUCAUCAAUAAAGCUUACAUAAUAUAAGUGUCUACCAACUGAAACAGGAGCUGGCGCCCAAACAUCUGAGAAUACAAGUUGUAAGGGUGCAGUAGGGAUACUGGUAGAAAUAGGAUAUGGUAGUUGAUGACUUUUAGCUUGCUGACAUGGAUCACAAACUGACUCAAUGCUAGACGCACGGGGAAGCUUAUUUUUGCUAAGAACAAGUUUAACAAUAAUUGAUGAAGGAUGACCUAAUUGACUAUGCCACUUUGCAGAAGAUGGCUUGAUGGUGACAAAAGCUUGCUUAUUUGACGAUGACGACGACGAUGAUAAUAUAAGUGGGUAAAGACCUCCCACACACUUGCCCCUAAGAAGGAUUCUCCUCGUGUCCAAGGCCUUAACGAAAAAAAGUAAGGAUAAAAUUCAAUGAGAACAUGAUUAUCAAGAGUAAACCUAUGAACAGGGACAAGAUUUUUUGAAGUUUCAGGAACAUAAAGAAUUCUAUUUAGAUGAAAAAAUUUCAUGGGAGUUUUGACAACUGAAUGACCAACAUGAGUAGUUUUCAUACCAGAACCGCUUGCGGUGUGAACUUGAUCCGAUCCAUGGUACUUGUCCCUAAUGGUUAGCUUGUCCAACUCUCCCGUGAUAUGGUUUGUUGCUCCGGUAUCCGCAUACCAGUUAGUGUCAAUGCCAUAGCUAUUGGUGACAACAUUUGCUUCCUUUUCCUCAUAAUCAUCUUCCUCAUAGCGAUCCCAACAUGCACGAGCACCUCCUACAUGAAAUUUGUAACAGAUUUGGCACUCGGGGUAAUCCCGAGUUGGUUGUUGAUGUUGCUGCUGUUAUGGACGUCCUCGAUAGCUUCUGCCACUGUUAGCGCCAGAACCAGAAGGAGUGGGAGGACACCUUCCUCUGCCACGCCCCCUGUUGCCUCGGCCACGGCCUUUGUUGCUGCGCCCACGACACAUGUAUGCCAAACUCGCUGAAGAGUUGAAGUCGGCGCCUUCUGCCCCAUCACCCAACAUCUCCACCCUUUGGUCAAAGGCAGACAUUUGGGCAAGAGCUCGUCAACCGUGAUGGACGUCUUGACAGCGCCGAUGGCAGCCACCACGGGAUCACAGUCGCGAUCGAGACCCACGAGUACAUAGUCCACCAUCUCGGGUCUAAAACUGGACGACUUGCUACUGCAAGUUCGUCCCCAAGAUUCUUUAUCUUGGCGAUGAAGGAGGAGCUAGACAUCGUUCCCUUCUUUGUAGUGGUGAUGGCGAUCCGCAAAUUUGUGAUGCUAGACUAUGACUGUGAUGCAAAGAUUGUGGUAAUUGCAGUCCAUAGAUCAUAAGUAUUUUCCUUACUAAUAACCUGCGCAAGAAUCUCUUUUGAGAAAGAAUACAACAGAUGGCUGAGGACUUGUUGAUCCUUCUACAGCCAUGGCGCAUGAAGUGGGUUUGACACCUUAAUCAUGGUCUUGUCCGACUGCUGCUGCUCCACUGUGCCUAGGGGCGCGGCGUCGGUUCCAUCUAGGAGCCCUGUGACCUGCGCUCCUCGUAGGCCGGGCAUCACUUGGGUUUUCCGUAGGAGUUAGUUCCCCUUUGUCAAUUUCUCGGCCGGUGGAGGACCAAGGUUGAGGACGACUAUAGUCGAGGGAGCCAUGGUGAUGGAGAGGUUUUCAGUAGCUAGAUUGGGAAGAGGAUGGCUCUGUAUACCAUGAAAAAUUUGAUGGAAGCGUUCCUACUCCUCGUAAGGAGCCACAUGGUGUAUAUUUAUGUGCAACAAGAAAACCCUGUUCGUGGCGUACAAGGCAAGGCUGAUCGUUAGGAUACACCUCGUACAGAGAAGAGAGAACGAGGUAGUUACGUGAGGGAAUAGAGAUAGGAGAUAGCUAAGAUUACAAUAAGUUUAAACCAUAUCAUCCAACAAUGUGCACACAGCAAAUGUAUACUCCUUACCAUGUACUAUCAGUAGCAUGCAUGCGUGCCAUCUUUACAAAAAAAUUAAAGUGAAAUAGGCGGCAAAAGAUUUGCCUCACCUCAUUAGUUAAGAAGAAUAAAUACAAGGUUUAAAGGUAAUAUGACCAUAAAGAUAACUGACCAGACUUAAAAACCGGACCCAACCAGGUUUCACAAAUCUGGCCCAAACGCCCAGAAUGACCGGCACUCCCCAUACCCGGCCCAUAUAUGGGGCGGAUAUGGGGAUGCCCGGACGCGCCUGCCAUGUCCGGUCCGACAAGCUGGACCAAUCCCAAAUACUCUCAAAAUUGAUUAGUCCUCCACUUUGACCGAAAGCCUCCAGCCUUCGUCCUCCAUUUCCUGCCUUUGCACCGCCGCCCACCACCUCCCUUGUUCACCGUCCUCGUCCGUCGUUGCUAAUUUCAUCGUCAACAUCCCUAUCUGCCACCAUGGGCACGGAUGAUGACUCGGCCGAAUUGGUCAGGUUCCCCGGCCUAGAGGUUCCUUGCAAGGUAGAGAACCUUGCCCGGAAGGACCGCAGUCGAAGGUAGCACGAGCGUGAGGCGGCGGCGAAGGCAGCUGUGGAGGAUGCCGGUCCUAAGAUGGACUUCUUUCCCGGUGCUGAGGACAUGGACUUUGGUGCAACAUAGACCAAUCUGGAGGUUGUGGCCGUGGGGACAAGCAACUUGUUGGCGAUGCCCAACUUUGUUCCACACUCCCAGUGAACGGGCAUCCUAGAUUUGAGGUUUUCUCAAGCCGUCCGCAAUGUGUCCAUGAUGGCCGACUCGCCGCAGCUCCAAAGGCAUCGGGUGACGUCGGGCAAUGUAGGCUCCGGGCAUGCCCACAUGUUGUUCAAUGGAAUGCCUGACCAAUCUUUGCACCAUUCACGCUUGUGUUCGCAAAUUAUUUUGUUGCACAUACCAUCAUAUCAAACUUGUAGGAUGAUAGUUAAAUUGUGAUGCAUAUUGUAGGAACAAAUAUUGCAUAAUAUGAUAAAUGAUGGUCAACAUUCUUUGCAAUUUACCAUGGUGGAUUCCAAUUCCUUGGUGUUUGAAGUUGGGCAAACGUCACACGCUAAAAAGAAGAAGAUAGUGAAGCCAAGAGGUCUAGCAUUCACACAAUUUGAAGAUGUUUUGUUGUGUGAAAGUUGAUGUAACACUAGCAUGGAUCUGAUAUGUGGAAUUGAGCAAAAGAGCCAAGAAAUAUUGGGAAAAUUCUCAAACUAUAGCAUGGGAAAAACACUAUGUGAAGCACACCCAAUUGGUAGCAACCGUGUCACGUUCUCUCCAACAUAGAUGGCCACUCGUCCAAGAUGCCGUGAGAAAAUUUGUUUGUUAUCUCAAAACAAGUUGUUGGCCGGAACCAAAGUGGCAUCGGAGUUCAAACCCAUGCAACUUUGACUGCAGCUUUGUACCAUCAAGUGACUUGUCAGAGGGACUGAGGAGUCAAGGAUCAUGUUGCAAGACAUCAACCUCUUGGAUGAUGAAGGCAAGAAGUGGUUGCUCCUCAUGAAGAAGAUUAUCAAUGACCGCAAAAAAUCAAGUCAUUCAUUCAUUCAUUCGUUCGUUCGUGUAUGGCUUAUCUAUGUAUGAAUUGUUCAAUUUUAUUUUGGCAUGUAUGAAUUGUCAUUUACUUUGUAUCAUUGAAUUUAUGAUGAAUUUGCGUUGUAUGAUGGACGUGCGUGGAUUUGGGUAUUGAGAUAUGCAGAGUGUGGUUGUGGAGGAGGAGAAAAGAGGGCCUGCCUGAUGUUGUUCGUGAACGUAUAGGGGCUCAGAUAUGGAAACUAUGGUUGCAGAUGCUCUUAUGUCCCCAUUAUCUUAGUGGAUCUCCGUCUGGGUAUCUGGCCUAAGUGGGUAAACCCCCAUCAUGCGGGUCGACCUUCCCCUAUGUGAUAGACGUGGGCUUGGGCCUUAGUGGCUUCUACCCGGUUAAGAAAAAGUGGGCCUACCCGGUGAGAGAUGACCUCGUCAUUAGCCCUCUAAUCCAUCAGGAUCUUGAGAGAUAAGUCUCGUGAUACAUCGGAGUCAAUUGGAUGUUCGCGGGAAAAGGUAUCCCAAAUGUUUGCCGAUUCAAGACACAUGUACUUGCUCAAGAGAGAUCCGGAUGGAUUCUAAGAGCCAAUCUUUCACGGUUCGAAUCUUUUGGUACAAAUUCAUUAGGAGAAGUUUGGUGAUACUCAAUCGUCUCUCGGAAGAGGUUGACUAGUGAUCCAAGUGAGGAUGUACCAUAAAAUUCAAGUGAUGAAUUUAGCGUUUGGGCUGAUUCUCUUGGAGAGAUGCCAAGCAAUAUCCCGGAGGAACAUCAAUUUUCAUCAGUCAAGAUCCAAACUUGUGAUUUCAACACUUAGGAUCCUAGAAAAAGGUCCAAAUUGAUCCGUGUGGGAGCAUUGAGUAGCUGGCCAAGACGACAUUUUGGAACGACGCGACUAGCAGUUUUAGUGUUUGAGGAUAGCAUUUUUGACAAAAAACAUGGUAUUUUAAUUUUUUAGGGCAUUUUUCAUCCAACAACUGCUAUCGUUAGAUCUUAGUCCUGCAGCUAUGAAGGGGUUCAAAUUGUUCCAACAAGAGUUGGCAAAGAGGGGGACUGCUUUCCUCCUCCCCGAGAAAAGUCUCCUUCCUCCUCCCGUCAGCGCCGCCGCGGAUCCGCCCCGCCUCCAAUGUCCUUUGGCCUGUGGAGGUGCGGAGGAACUUGGCCCCCGCUGACGGGAGGGACCAUGUUCUCGUUUUUGCUAGGUUGAACGUCCUGGUUGGGGUUGUGUAGUGCUACCUCUUGAGCAUGCGUUGGUUUUCCCUUGAAGAGGAAAGGGUGAUGCAGCAAAGUAGUGUAAGUAUUUCCCUCAGUUUUUGAGAACCAAGGUAUCAAUCCAGUAGGAGGCUACACUCAAAUCCCUUGUACCUGCACAAACAAAUAAGAACCUUGCAACCAACGUGAUAAAGGGGUUGUCAAUCCCUUCACGGCCACUUGCAAAAGUGAGAUCUGAUAGAGAUAAUAAGAUAAAUAUUUUUGGUAUUUUUAUGAUAUAUAUUGGAAAGUAAAGAUUGCAAAAUAAAGUAGAUCAGAAACUUAUAUGAUGGAAAAUAGACCCGGGGGCCAUAGGUUUCACUAGUGGCUUCUCUCAAGAUAGCAUAAGUAUUACAGUGGGUGAACAAAUUACUGUCGAGCAAUUGAUAGAAAAGUGCAUAGUUAUGAGAAUAUCUAGGCAUGAUCAUGUAUAUAGGCAUCACGUCCGUGGCAAUUAGAUCGAAAUGAUUCUGCAUCUACUACUAUUACUCCACACAUUGACUGCUAUCCAGCAUGCAUCUAGACUAUUAAGUUCAUAAGAAUAGAGUAAUGCAUUAGGCAAGAUGACAUGAUGUAGAGGGAUAAACUCAAGAAAUAUGAUAUAGACCCCAACUUUUAUCCUCGAUGGCAACAAUACAAUACAUGCCUUGCUGCCCCUGCUGUCACUGGGAAAGGACACUGCAAGAUUGAACCCAAAGCUAAGCACUACUCCCAUUGCAAGAAAGAUAAUUCUAGUAGGCCAAACCAAACUGAUAAUUCGAAGAGACUUGCAAAGAUAACCAAUCAUACAUAAAAGAAUUCAGAGGAGAUUCAAAUAUUGUUCAUAGAUAAUCUUGAUCAUAAACCCACAAUUCAUCGGAUCUCGACAAACACACCGCAAAAAGAAUUACAUAGAAUAGAUCUCCAAGAAUAUCGAGGAGAACUUUGUAUUGAGAUCCAAAUAGAGAGAAGAAUCCAUCUAGCUAAUUACUAUGGACCCGAAGGUCUGUGGUAAACUACUCACACUUCAUCGGAGAGGCUAUGGUGUUGAUGUAGAAGAACUCCGUGAUCGAUUCCCCCUCCGGCGGAGCACCGGAGAAGGCCCCAAGAUGGGAUCUCACGGGUACAGAAGGUUGCGGCGGUGGAAAUAGGGUUUCGUGGUGCUCCUGGAUGUUUUCAGGGUAUAUGAGUAUAUAUAGGCGAAGGAAGUCGGUCAGGGGAGCCACGAGGGGCCCACGAGGGUGGGGGCGCACCUACCCCCCUGGGCAUGCCCUCCUGCCUCGUGGACGCCUCGUUUCUUUCUUGACGUCCACUCCAAGUCUCCUGGAUUGCGUUUGUUCCAAAAAUAACCCUCCCGAAGGUUUCAUUCCGUUUGGACUCCAUUUGAUAUUCCUUUUCUGCGAAACACUGAAAUAGGCAAAAAAACAGCAAUUUGGACUGGGCCUCCGGUUAAUAGGUUAGUCCCAAAAAUAAUAUAAAAGUGUAUAGCAAAGCCCAUUAAACAUCCAGAACAGAUAAUAUAAUAGCAUGGAACAAUCAAAAAUUAUAGAUACGUUGGAGACGUAUCAUGUAGCCGCAGCGAUGUCCCUUAGUAGCAAUAAUGUCUCCCACGUCCUAUCCCCACCCUGAUGGUGCGAAUAGUGUUGUCGGAGGAUUUGUGGAGGUGUGUCUCCGUCGGAUCUCACGGGAUUCGGUCGGUGCUGGUCUUCGAUGGAUCUAUUUGGAUCCAGUUUUUGCUCGUCUUCAUUUGUGUGGCUCCAGGUUUGAUCUACAACUCAACUCAUUGGCGAUGGUUGCUGCUCUGGUGUGCUGGUCUUCCCGACUGUCUACUACGACAAGGUUUGCCCGACUCAAAUGAUGGAGGGGCGAUGACAGCGGUGCGCCUUCGGCUCGCUCCAGUGCUUGUAGUCGUCGCUAGGUGGUCCGUAGACCUGGUUGUAAUUUUUAUUACCUCUUGUGUUCUCUGUACUGCCAUGAUUGAUGAAUAGAUUGGAAAUUUCUCUUACAAAAUAAGUUAUGAAGGGGUUCACUGGGAAUUUCCCCCUGGAAAAGGUCGCCUAACAUUCCCCUGGAUUAUUCGAAGGUACUUUAUGUAUCUUAGCUUUAGUUCUGUGCGACAUCGAUUCAUAUAUUACCAAAAAAAAUCUAGAAGAAACAAUGGGAAGGAGGGUGUGAGGGAAAAAAACAGGGGCCGAAGAUGAGACAAACCUACCAACUUUCGUUAACCGUACGCAUUCACUCAGCAGCACCAUCUUUUGAGUCGUCACCGCUGAAAGGACCACGAUGUCACCUAGAGGGGGGGUGAAUAGGCGUUUUAAAAUCUUAUACGGAUUUGGCUAUAUCCUAAUGCAGAAAUAAACUAAGAGGAUACUUUUCAAGCACAAAUCCUAAAUAUACCAGGCUAACUAAGUGCAACAACAACUUAGGAUAAACAAGAUGAGAACAACAAGGAUAUGAGUAAGCACAAGUAAGUUACACAAACUUACUCAAUGAUAUCACAAGAUAUAUAAAUGAAUAAUACACACAACCACAGGUAAGCAAUACAUGCUUACACAAAUUGUAUCACAAUAUAUGGAAUCGAAUGAUACAAUGAAACUCAAGUAAGCACUACAAGAUUACACAAGUUAUGUCACAAGAUAUGGAAAUGAAUGUUACAAGCUACCAAUUCACACUAAGCACACGAUAGAACAAUAGUAGCAAGUAUGAAUUGCGGACUCUAAAGUGUUGGCCUAGAUAAUCUCUACGAUAUGGUAACCAACACAAUAUAAUGAGGACAACAAGAUAUAGUGAAUGCAAGGUCAAGAGACCAAAGUAAACCACAAGUAGUGGCUAGGGCUAGAAUUAACCGAAGACACGGAGACGAGAAUGUAUCCCGAUGUUCACUUCCUUGGAGGGAAGCUAGUCACCGUUAGAGAGGUGGAUGUUACCACGAAGGCACACCAACGCCACGAAGGCUCACCCUAUUCUCCUUGAGAUAUCACCACGAAGGAGAUUCUCAACCACUAGUGGUAGACCUUGAGGCGGCCUCCAAACCUUCACAAACUUUCAGGGGGACAAAUCACAAGUUGAUUCCUCACCGGAGCACUCCUACCGCCUAGGAGUCUCCAACCUCCAAGAGUAACAAGAUCAAGGGGGAAAUGCUCAAGACUUGCUCAAAUCACGAAUUGCUUUGGUCACAAGAGGGAGAGGGAGAGGAUCUAUCUUUUGAUUGGAACAACUCUCAAGAACACUCACUAAUCUCUCCGGGAUCUAAGAUUUGGUGUAGGAGAAGUGAGAGGGAGCCACUUGUGUUCUUGGGACGAUUUGAGAUGAAGUGCUCAACCCUCCCCCGGAGUGGGAGAGGGAUAUUUAUACCCCCAAAGAAAAUAGAGCCGUUUCCCGCAGUUGUUGACCUGCCCGGAUGAUCUGGACGCAUACCCGGAUGAUCCGGGCAAUGCCCGGAUGAUCCGGGAAGGUCAAUAUACAAUGUGGUGAAGUAGAUACCCGGAUGUCCGGGGACAUAGCCGGAUGAUCCGGGUGGGUAGCCGGAUGAUCCGGCUAGCGGAAUAAGCUACUGUGAUGAAUUUUACGAAUAACCCGGAUGAUCCCCCGGAUGAUCCGGGCAAAGCCCGGAUGAUAUGGGAGAGGACCUGGAUGAUCCGGCCAAACCAAACUGGUGCAGCCUAGAAACUGAAACAGGCACAACUUUUACAUCCGGACUCCGAUUUUGAUGAUCUUGGGCUCGUUUUGAAGCUAUGAAAAAACCCAAGUCCUCACAUAGAGAACCACCCAAGAUGAACCAAAAUGGAGGAUGCAAAAUAUGCAAAGGUUUUAUCAUGUAUUUGGGUAACCUAUUUGGCUUUGGAUUUUCUUUGGUAUAUAGGAUAUGAGUGGAAUUGUGUAGAGAAGAUGUCGACUUGAGCAAAUCUAUCACGAACCCCUUUGAUCCCCUCUUAAUAGUGCAGGAUCCCUAUAACUCAAGAAUCAUAAAAGGUCUACACUACAUAGCUAUCAAGAAUCCAUUCUUGAGUGUAUGUGUUCCUUCGGUGUUCAUCACUCCACAACACUAACGUCGAAGGAACUAAUACCUUUGACUCGAGCCUUUCACUUGAGCUUGAAGUUGAAGUUUCUUCUUGGAUCAAGUUGAAUGGCAAGACAUUGGUGAAGUCUUCAAGUAGCUCCCCCAUACACAAUGUGGGAAGCUUUGCUUUGUAUUUAUCUUCAUGUGUCCAUCAUGUGAUCAUCCACAAGCUUCAAGCAUGUAAUCCUUCGGGAUAGUUAUCUUGAACUUGCCCUUGUCAACCAUGAUCAUCAACACUUGAUGUCAUCCUCUCAUAGACACUUGAAAUCUCUCUCUCGAUGCGAGCCCAUGAGAAUCUCCUCUCAAAAACAUAGGCAACACAUAGUAUGGGUUAGUACACAAAGCGCAAUUGACAAAUUCUUACCAUACCACAAGAUCUCACGUGGCACAUGAUUUGCGCUUGUGUGUUGACCAUCUUUGAAUUCAAUCUUCGAUCUUCAUCUUGGUCAACCUUAAUCUUUGCUCCAUGAUUAAUCUUGAUGCACAACUACAUGUAUAUGGCAUUCAUUCCGAAUCCAUUCAAUAUCCUUCUUGCAUCACCCAUGGAACAAACCUUCCUAUAUAACUUGAUGCCAUUGUUUCUUCAUAGGAAUUGUCAUUCAUUAUCAAGUCUCAAUGCAUAUAUAGAUGUUGAUGGAUUUCAUCAACCAAUUCAUCCAAUAUUCUUCAUGCAUUGCAAAUGGAACUUUCCUUCAGAUGUAUAUCUCAGUGCAAACAUUAGUCCAUUAGGAUUGUCAUUUAAUUACCAAAACCACACAUGGGGACUACAUGUACUUUCAAUCUCCCCCAUUUUGGUAAUUGAUGACAAUCUCAACAAGAGGGUUUAUAUAAUGAAUUUUUAAACAAGCAUGAAAUUUAUCCAAGGAUAAAUUGUAUACUUGGGAUGGUUGUAGUAUCAUCAAUACACAACACAAGCAUUUGAUGAUAGUACACCCAUAGUAUAUAGAGCGAACUCCCCCAUAAUAUAUGAAUUUGUGAAUGAACUUUGAAUGUCAUUGCAUAUAUUGGUUGACAUAAACUAGGAGAAGAUUUCUCUAUAUACAAGACUCAUCCAUGCAAUAAGAAUAUAUAACAAGGGUAGAUAUGCAUGAGUGACAACAAGAACUAGAAAAGAUAUUUAUCUUAAACCCUCUAAACUUCUCCCCCAUUGGCAAUAAAUGCCAAAAUGGAAGACAAAACAUCUAGCAGACCAAUAUAGUAUGAGUUCCUCCUUGAUGUGUGCAUAUAACAAAAUGUGAGUGAAAACAAAUGCACAUAUUCAAUGAUAACAAUUACAGGAGCUCGGAAUCUAUAGAAUGCAAUCAGAUACGAAGAUAUGAACUUUUUCAUGUAUAAAAAUUUCUAAGUGGCCUAUAAUAAUCAUGAUAUGUAUCCACAAAGAAACUCGUAUACACAAAAAUAAAGGUUGCAAUUGAUAAGAACAUGAUAUCCACAAGUGAAUCCACUAUUAUACAACUUGAGCCUAGUCAUAAUAGCAGGGCACAUGGCACAAAGCACAUGGCACAAAUUGAUAUCAUUUGCAUAACACAAAGUGAAGCAAGCAAUCAAAAGAUCCGAUGAGCCAAAAGGAUAAAUGAAUACUACGAUUUGGGAAGAGGAGUGUUCUAAGGAAAAUAGAGAAGCUCCCCAUGAUUUGUGCACUAUUUAGAUUUUUUGUAUUUGGAUACAAGUGCACAAAAUAGGAUCAUCACUCCCCCAAAAUCAAUAUUAACACAAAACAAUUGCAAGCAAGAAUAGAUAAGAAAAGAAGCCUAGCAUUUGUAACAAACAUAUGGUCGAGCAACAUAUAAAUGAGGCAACCUAAGAAUAGGCACAACCAAAAUGAUAUGUGUGAGUCACGUCAAAGCACUUGAGAAGACUAGUAUAAGGAUGAGAAUUAAGCAUCAACAUAGUCUUGAGUAAAUGAGAUACAAGGUGCAAGACAUGUCCUUCCCACACACACGAAAUUAAGAAGUUCACACACACAUCAAGCAAAUGGGUUCACAAGCUCACUAGUAUCAAAUUAAAAAUCAAAGCUUAUGACAACCCAUGAUGAAGAUAGGAAAUAAUAGGCUUGUCAAGACAAGCACGAGGACAACAAUCUUCACCAAACAUGAGUGCACUAAGAUGCAAAGAGGUAAGACACGCACUCAUACAACAAAUGCUUCCACGGAGCCACCAAAGAUAUAAAAAGAGAACGAAACAGUGGACAUGAAAGAAUAGGGAUAUCAACUAGGGAUGUAGCUUGGCUCACGUGUAUAAGAUUCUAGGUAGAUGACAAUCAUGAUGAUAUACAUCCACAAAGAAGGAUGUACACAUGAAAUAGUUACAAAAGGAAAGAAUAAGAUAUCCAAACGGGAGACAUAAAAUAUACCAAUGAGAUCUUUGCUUGAAAGUAUAGCACAUGGCUUAAUGUAAUCUUAUCGUAUAUUAAUGAACUCCAAAUACACAACCAUCAAAGACAUAACAACUAGCAACAAGAGAUCAUUGUUGCGAUUCUUUGAGAAAGGAAACAAGUAUGACAAGAACGAGUCAAGAAAUUCAUGCCAUGAUGCAACCUACACAAGGUUGAAUGCAAGAAGUGUAUGCAUGAAGUAGAUACUUGUUACCGAGAUAGCAUUGGAAUGAUUUAGUAGGUAAUGGUUCGAGCUUGGCUCUAAUUUCCUCAUAGUGCCACCACUUUCAUGAAUAAGCCAAGCACCCAAUGCUUCACAAAUGUACCUAAAACAAUUUAAGUACAAUAUGGUCCCCAAACUUAUUGGGUCCAAAGUAGUUAGCAUAACUGUAAAACAUAGGGUAAAAUCACUUAAAUAUGUGCAUAUCGAUAUGAAUUUGAAUAUCAUGCACAUCUUAGCUAUUAAGAAUUUGAUGGAUUUACCAUAUAUAUAUUGGAUCAAAUAAAGCAAACAAGGCAUGUGAAUUUACACAUAGUAAAUACACAUGCACAAGCCUCCCAAAAUCCAGGGAGAUACAAAUUGGACAAAUGAACACAUAACUGUUAAUACUUCCAACAACAUCACUAGUCAUUCAUGUUGUCCAAAAUGACUCAAAGUGACAAAUCAACAUAUGAUAGCACACAAAGUUCAACAUAUGAACCAAGGAAAAAACAAUGAGCAUAUAAGAUAUGCAUUGCACACAUACUCAUGGGAAUAUCUCACUCAAGUAGAUAUAGGACACUAUAAACAAUGAGAUAACAAACUACCAUAACUCCAUACAAACUAAUAAGAUGAACUCGAACAAAAUGGUGUUUCAAUUUGACAUUUCGUGUAGAAACCAAAUAAGUACAUGAUCAUCUAUACUAACACAAGCAUAACAUGAGAGUUUAGAAAUAAACACAAUGCUUGGAUAGCAUAUUAUUAACAUUCCAAUUAGAUAGAUCAUCAUGCAAAGCAACAAUUGGAAUGGAUCUAUUCAAAUGAUUUUCCAAAUACGAUUUUUAAGAUAACCAUGGGCAAAACCGCACAAGAAUACCAUACUCAAACAAAGCAUUGCAUGCCAUAGAGAUAUAAGAUAAUCUCAAAUAUAAAUUCUAAGUGGCAAACUGGCAAACCUCUAUUGUUAAUGUUCACACGGGAAGUGAUAUAUACAAAGUAUAUCACUCCCCCAUAAUGUGAUAAUCCAUGUAUUAUCCAUAAGAGGCAAAUGAAACCCAACUAAGGAUAAUUAAUGGAUGAGGAUUUGAGUUUCAAAUGAACUUUACAUACCACAUAGUAACUAGAUAAUAUUGCACUAACAAUACUAGGUGGUAUCCUACAUAUAUACCUAUUUAAGGUUUGUGAUAUGCGUAAAUCAUAGCACUCCCCCAUAAUGUGAUGAUCCAUUAAUAUCUCAAAAACACCAAUGAAGAUUCAACUAAUGAAGCAAUAAAGGAUCGAAACCACACACACAACUAUAUGAUGUGCAUAGCAACUUACGCAUGCUAGAUAACACGAAUCAAGUAUAUUAGGAAGCACAACAUAUACAAGCACAUGCUAGUUACAAAACUUAAACACGCAAGGGACUUAGUAACUUUCAAUGUACACAAUGCAAGUACAAGUUACCGCAAAGAGGAGCAUUGGAUUGAUAGAUAUGAUGAUAAUCCACUUGACUUGGCAUUAACCAUAACAUAUGGUGAAAAUAGUUUUUCUUCAUGAAGUAGCCAAGUCUCCAAUGCCCUCCACACACCUAUUGAUCAAGUUUGAGCUUGAUGGUCCCCAACCAAGUUGGGUCCUAAGAAGUUAGUAACAAUAGGCUUGGCAACCCAAAUGGUCUUGUCCACUUUGAAACCACUUUGGGCAUCCACAAAUUUGGCAAACACAUUGCCAACAAUAUCCUUCCUUAGUGAAUAAUGAUUAUUGACUAUAGGAGGCUUAGAUAUGUUACCAUUGGGGCAUGAUGAAGCUAUGUGUCCCUUUUGACGACAAUCAUAGCAACAUUUCCUCCCUUUUCUCUUCUUUAAUUUCUCAACUUGGGGAGCAAUAACAUGUUUCAUCAUGGAUAGUGGCUGUUCUUCAACUUGAGAUUGAGCUUGAGGCCGCUUCCCAUGUAGCUUCUCAUAUAAGCCCUUUUCUUCAAUGGGCAAGAUCUCACAUGAUGUCCAAUCUUUUUGCAUUUGAAGCAAGUAAUGUUGGCCGAAUUCUUGUAAUUCCCUUGUCCCUUAUUCUUGUUCUUGGACUUCUUCUUGUUGGAGUGAAAAUUAUGUCCAACAUCACACUUUUCCAAGUCUUUCUUUAAACUAGUGACUUGGGCCUUGAGCUCAUUAAUUUCCUCUACAUGGUUAGUUUCAACACUAGAAACAAGAGGACUAGUGGAACUAGAAACUUCAUGGUUAGAGAAGCAAGACAAGGUGACCAAUUCAUUACGAGUGGAUAUAAUAUGAGAGGUGGAUGAAUUGCAAGGAUUAGCACAUGGCAAUAAAGCAUUUAGAGUAGAUGUGCUAAUGUUCACAUGAGACUCACAAGAUUUUACCUCGGAGACCAUAGCCUCGUGAGCUAACUUUAUCUUACUAUGAGAGCUUAAAAGAUCCUCAUGAGUGCCUGAGAGCUUUGCAUGACUUUCUUCCAAUUUCCCAUAAUUUCUUGUUAGCAAAGCAAGUUGAGCACAUAGCUCAACAUUCUCCUUCAAAAUUGAUGCUUCACAUGAAAUCGAGUUAGUAGCACAAACAUCAUUAUCAAUAUGAGAGGAGCAAGUAGCACUUAGUGACUUCUCACGAGUUGAUUGAAGCUUCUCAUGAGACUUAGAGAGUUUUAUGAGCUCUCCCUUGACACUAUUGCAUUCAAGGAGAAGGAGCUCAAAAUCGUCUUUAAGCUUACCAUGAGUAACUUUAAUCUCUUCUUUUGAAGACCUCAAGUCACUAAGCGUUUCAUGAGCCUUAGCAAGUUCAUGUUCAAGCUGUUCACUUUUAGCUUGCUCAUUGAGAAAUAAAUCAUUACGUUUUUCAAAGCAAGCAAGAACAUCUUGGAACCUUUCAUAAGUGUUAUUCUUAGCUCUAUGAAGAGUUUUCCCAAUCUCAUAGAGAUUUUGAGUCAAGUCAUCAUCAUCAUCCUCAUUACAACUAUCAUCAUUAUCACUAAGAGAAGAUGAUACCUCGUCAUUACCUCUUGCCAUGAGGCACAUGUGAACAAAGGGGGUUGAUGAUGAUUCUUUUGAAGAAGAGGGUUCUUCAUCGGUCAAGCAUGCCUCAUCUUUCUUGGUUUCCUCUACAUGGUUAGUCAUAGAACAACUAGAGGAAACCAAGGCAUUUCUAUCAUGGCAACAUGGGAGAUCAAGCAUAUCAUCACAAAUGAGCUUAACAUCAUCAUCACAAGAUAUUUCUUCACUCACCAUGUCAUUACCUUGUGGCAUGCCACAUGUUGGUGAAGUGCAAGAUAUUGAAGUAUGCAAGUAAUCGGAGGUGGAAGUAAUAGAGAGCUCUUCAUGAUUUAAAAAUGUGGAGAACUCCUCCAUCAACUCCCGAAAUAGAAUAUUAUCUUCAUCAAGAUUGGACCCACCAUAUAUAUCUUCAAGUUUGGUCCAAGUCUCAUGAGCCGACUUGCAAGUCGUGACUGCCUUAAACACUUCAAAGGUUAAAGCUUGAUGAAUGACAAGAGAAGUAUCACAAUCAAGAUACAUAUCCUCAAUAGAUGGAGAAUGUCCAUCCUUAGCAAUAGAAAUUCCUAUAAGAACAAUUCGCAAAGCAUUUGGACCCAUGGCCAGAAAGUGACAAAGCAUGCGAAUUCUCCAUAGGUGAUAAUUUGUGCCAUCCAAAUCAAAAGUGUUUUUGUGCACUAGUUCACUAGUCGACAUCGUUACUCUCUAGGCGGUGAAGCCUAAUAAGGAGAGACCGGGCUCUGAUACCAAUUGAAAGGACCACGAUGUCGCCUAGAGGGGGGGUGAAUAGGCGUUUUAAAAUCUUAUACGGAUUUGGCUAUAUCCUAAUGCGGAAAUAAACUAAGAGGAUACUUUUCAAGCACAAAUCCUAAAUAUACCAGGCUAACUAAGUGCACCAACAACUUAGGAUAAACAAGAUGAGAACAACAAGGAUAUGAGUAAGCACAAGUAAGUUACACAAACUUACUCAAUGUAUAUCACAAGAUAUAUAAAUGAAUAAUACACACAACCACAAGUAAGCAAUACAGGCUUACACAAAUUGUAUCACAAUAUAUGGAAUCGAAUGAUACAAUGAAACUCAAGUAAGCACUACAAGAUUACACAAGUUAUGUCACAAGAUAUGGAAAUGAAUGUUACAAGCUAGCAAUUCACACUAAGCACACGAUAGAACAAUAGUAGCAAGUAUGAACUGCAGACUAUAAAGUGUUGGCCUAGAUAAUCUCUACGAUAUGGUAACCAACACAAUAUAAUGAGGACACCAAGAUAUAGUGAAUGCAAGGUCAAGAGACCAAAGUAAACCACAAGUAGUGGCUAGGGUUAGAAUUAACCGAAGACACGGAGACGAGGAUGUAUCCCGAUGUUCACUUCCUUGGAGGGAAGCUAGUCACCGUUAGAGAGGUGGAUGUUACCACGAAGUCACACCAACGCCACGAAGGCUCACCCUAUUCUCCUUGAGAUAUCACCACGAAGGAGAUUCUCAACCACUAGUGGUAGACCUUGAGGCAGCCUCCAAACCUUCACAAACUUUCCGGGGGACAAAUCACAAGUUGAUUCCUCACCGGAGCACUCCUACCGCCUAGGAGUCUCCAACCUCCAAGAGUAACAAGAUCAAGGGGGAAAUGCUCAAGACUUGCUCAAAUCACGAAUUGCUUUGGUCACAAGAGGGAGAGGGAGAGGAUCUAUCUUUUGAUUGGAACAACUCUCAAGAACACUCACUAAUCUCUCCGGGAUCUAAGAUUUGGUGUAGGAGAAGUGAGAGGGAGCCACUUGUGUUCUUGGGACGAUUUGGGAUGAAGUGCUCAACCCUCCCCCGGAGUGGGAGAGGGAUAUUUAUACCCCCAAAGAAAAUAGAGCCGUUUCCCGCAGUUGUUGACCUGCCCGGAUGAUCUGGACGCAUACCCGGAUGAUCCGGGCAAUGCCCGGAUGAUCCGGGAAGGUCAAUAUACAAUGUGGUGAAGUAGAUACCCGAAUGUCCGGGGACAUAGCCGGAUGAUCCGGGCAAUUCCCGGAUGAUCCGGGUGGGUAGCCGGAUGAUCCGGCUAGCGGAAUAAGCUACUGUGAUGAAUUUUACGAAUAACCCGGAUGAUCCGGGCAGGAACCCGGAUGAUCCGGGCAAAGCCCGGAUGAUAUGGGAGAGGACCCGGAUGAUCCGGCCAAACCAAACUGGUGCAGCCUAGAAACUGAAACAGGCACAACUUUUACAUCCGGACUCCGAUUUUGAUGAUCUUGGGCUCGUUUUGAAGCUAUGAAAAAAACCCAGGUCCUCACAUAGAGAACCACCCAAGAUGAACCAAAAUGGAGGAUGCAAAAUAUGCAAAGUUUUUAUCAUGUAUUUGGGUAACCUAUUUGGCUUUGGAUUUUCUUUGGUAUAUAGGAUAUGAGUGGAAUUGUGUAGAGAAGAUGUCGACUUGAGCAAAUCUAUCAUGAACCCCUUUGAUCCCCUCUUAAUAGUGCGGGAUCCCUAUAACUCAAGAAUCAUAAAAGGUAUACACUACAUAGCUAUCAAGAAUCCAUUCUUGAGUGUAUGUGUUCCUUCGGUGUUCAUCACUCCACAACACUAACAUCGAAGGAACUAAUACCUUUGACUCGAGCCUUUCACUUGAGCUUGAAGUUGAAGUUUCUUCUUGGAUCAAGUUGAAUGGCAAGACAUUGGUGAAGUCUUCAAGUAGCUCCCCCAUACACAAUGUGGGAAGCUUUGCUUUGUAUUUAUCUUCAUGUGUCCAUCAUGUGAUCAUCCACAAGCUUCAAGCAUGUAAUCCUUCGGGAUAGUUAUCUUGAACUUGCCCUUGUCAACCAUGAUCAUCAACACUUGAUGUCAUCCUCUCAUAGACACUUGAAAUCUCUCUCUCGAUGCGAGGCCAUGAGAAUCUCCUCUCAAAAACAUAGGCAACACAUAGUAUGGGUUAGUACACAAAGCGCAAUUGACAAAUUCUUACCAUACCACAAGAUCUCAUGUGGCACAUGAUUUGCGCUUGUGUGUUGACCAUCUUUGAAUUCAAUCUUCGAUCUUCAUCUUGGUCAACCUUAAUAUUUGCUCCAUGAUUAAUCUUGAUGCACAACUACAUGUAUAUGGCAUUCAUUCCGAAUCCAUUCAAUAUCCUUCUUGCAUCACCCAUGGAACAAACCUUCCUAUAUAACUUGAUGCCAUUGUUUCUUCAUAGGAAUUGUCAUUCAUUAUCAAGUCUCAAUGCAUAUAUAGAUGUUGAUGGAUUUCAUCCACCAAUUCAUCCAAUAUUCUUCAUGCAUUGCAAAUGGAACUUUCCUUCAAAUGUAUAUCUCAGUGCAAACAUUAGUCCAUUAGGAUUGUCAUUUAAUUACCAAAACCACACAUGGGGACUACAUGUACUUUCAACCGCCACAUUUCCAGUUGGAUGCAAGGAGAAAAGGAAGCACAUUGAAAGACAGAGUCGAAAGAUAGUUAGGUUACAUUUCCAAAUAGAUCCUCAAGUACAGUUUUUCUCAAAUCUUCUAACUUUCAACUUGGAUUUGCUCUUAUAAGCCCGCCAUAUUUUGUAGCAAUAACAGAUGAUAUGACAAGAUUGUUAUCUCUUCUUGGAAUGCAAUGGUGCUCAUCUACAAAGGUAAACACCUGUAGCCACUUAUUUCGACUAGUUUUAGAAGCAUAGAUCAUCCAGUUGCAACCUGGCCAAGUACACUUUGCACCAACUUUAUGAUUUUCAUCCUUUGUGAAAGUAAUAUGAAUAUGCUUCUUAAUGCCAUAUUUUAUUAGAGCUUUCUUCAUUUGAUGUCUUCCUCUAAAAACUAUUCCCAUCUCAAAUGUAGGCAUUUCUGAUUUACUGUCAUAUUUCUUCCAUUCACUUUUCCUUCUCACUAGUUGUGUGGCCCCCUCACCAUCACUUUCCUCAUCAAAAGAGCAGUCAUCAUCUGAUGACACAACAUCAUCUUCUAUAUCCCAUCCAGCUUCUCAUCACCAGACAAUCCUUCAAUCACAUUAUUAUCUUUGAUGACAGGCCCAUCAGCAUCCCCUAAUUUCUUUGCUCUCUUCUGCCUCCUAAUUUCCCUUGCUAAUUUCCUAACUUGCUCUGCCUCUGAUUCUUCGGGAGAACUAUGCUCUGACAAAGGCUGAUAGUCAAUGUCACUAUCAUCAUCAGCUUCUUCUCCUUCUUUUCCAUCUUCAUGUGAUACUUCAUUAGCACUUGUUCCAAUUUCAACAUGAUCAAGAGAAGUUGUAGCUGGACCUACAUACUCAAAUUCAAAAGUUGCAGCUGGUUUUGGUCUUACUGCUCCUUUUGUCUUUGCAGAAUUUGUUUUGUUUGCAAUUUUGGCUCUCUCUCUCUACAGAAGUUGUUGCUGGAGUUGAUGGACUUGUUGUACAAGCACCUGCAGCUAUGGAUCUGUUGUGGUUGUUGGAGGCACCUGGAUCUACUGUGGAAGCAACCGGUGCUAUUGUGGCUGCAGGUGGAGCUUGACCACCAACUUCUACAGGUAUUUUUCUUCUUUUAGCUGUAAGCCUAGUUGGUCUACUUUUCUGAAUCUUCACGGGACUCUCAUAUGUAGUAAGAAACUCAUUAGCCAGAUUUAUUAUCCUCAUAUUUUCUUCCUCGGCAGCUGACCUUUUCAAACCUACAACAACUUGUUGCUAUGCUUCUUUUUCUGCUUGUUGAUCUGACAAUAACAUGCCAUCAACCAUGUCUGUGUCCACAACAUCCACAUUUACCAAUGCAAAUUUGCUACUUGUAUGAUUGGAAUGUGUUAUAGAUAUUGCCACUGGAACUUCAUCCAUUCAUGCUUCUUCAUAAAAUGCCACUUCCGCCACAUAGAUCUCUGCACUUGAUCCAAAAGGUGUUGCAUGCUCCAUAUUCUCCACAGCUGAAUCAUCAUGAAUAAACAGCAAACCAUCACUCAAACUUUUUCUUGGAACAAGCCAAUGCAUCUUGUACCUAUGAUUCCCUCUGCAAUGUCCUCUUUCGAUAUGAUACAUGUCCUCUGCAUAGGAAAACAAUGUCUGCAACUGUAGGUCUUUCCUCUCAAUAGGAAAUGUUAUCAUCAUCCCUUCCUUGUAUUCAACCAAUCCUUGCACUGUCUGAAAUUUGCCAAAAUAAUGCAGUGACACAUAAAUGAAUUCAUCUUUAUCUGUUGCCUCAUCUUGAUCACCUGCCCAAAAAAAUAAACUUUAGAACAUCUUGAUCAACAGCGCUAAACCCCUCCCCUGAUUCUGGCAGCCAAAUCUACCCCUUCCCUACACCAGCACCUGCUCGAUUUGGCUGCCAUGGCAGCCAAAUCGACCCCUUCCAGCGAGCGGCCGGGCAGCCGGGUACCCAUCUUCUUGAUUUGGCGGGCGGCCGCGCGCGGGGAGAAAGAGAAAAAGAAAGAGGUGCUCACCAGCAGGCGCAGAGGUGCUCGAUUCUGCCGGCGUGGCUGGCGGCAUGGAGGCAAGGGCGGGCGCCGUGCUCGACGACGCCGGCGUGGUUGACGGCAUGGAGGCAGGGGCGGGCGCCGUGCUCGAGGCGGCGAGGGGAAUCAGGAGAGAAAUCACCUAAAAUCACCUGAUAUCACCUGAUGUGUCCAGUCAGCACUGUCCAGUCAACACAGGAAUAAGUCAAAACCACCGAAAUCUGGUCCAAAACCACCGCGGGGGAGAAUUGAUCCGGUUUUAGAUAGUUCGGGGGACUUGGGGGGGGGGGAUUGAUCCUUCAGGCAUGAUUUAUGGGGAAAACGAUACUGUCCUCUUUUUAAAAUUUUCCGAUGUAUUAGACAAAGAAGGCCCACAACUCAUAAAGGCGAAAUGGGCCCAGGCCUGCGCAUUUAACGUUCCAUGCCUGUUCUCGAAGGCAAGGCCCGCAUGCUGGCACGACACGUCACACUUAUAAACAGGCCUCCAUGUGCCGUGUCAUGCGAGGCCCAUUUAUGGCCGGGCCGUUGGCUACUGGAAAGCCGACCAAAAACCCUCUUUCCCCCCUCUGCUCUGCGCCGGAUACUCGGCUUUGAAAAAUACACGACUAGCACACACGAGAACGACUGAGUCUGUGAAGCGCGCCGUGUAUCCAGUUCAGAGAGGGGGAAAGAGGGUUUUUGGCCGGCUUUCAACUCGAGAUCCAGUGAUCAACCCAUCAUAAUUGGCGGCGGUGACCGAGUGGGAGAAGCGCGAUGCCGCUUGCCGGCGCCGUCCCUCCGCCGCAAUUCUUCUCCUUGUCGUCCUCUCAGCCAAGGGACGGCCGUUCAAGGGCAUCGUGCCUAAUAGCGGGAGAGUGGACUUGGUCGGCAACAACGUCACGGCGACGGCCGACGUGGCAGCGAUAUGCUACCAGAGGAGCGCCAUCGACGAAGAAGCCAAGGCCAAGCAAGACGGUCAUCGAUGUGGCCCCGCUCGACACACAGCAAGUGAAAUAAUCACAAAAACUUAUGUCUGCUUCAAUCAACUUAACACGAGGCGCUAAAUAUAAUUGAUCAAAGUGAAAUCCACUGCAACUCUAUUUUGGCCACAAGUUCACGGGUGCAAACAUACCAGGACGUGUGAAAUUUCGCCGCGCGCGAAGUUUGGUGGAAAGUCCCACGAAGAAAAACCCCAUCGGUGUACAAUUUCCUCAAUCAGAGACACAAAUCCUAUGUGGCACGCGCAUUCACUCAUCGAGUGUCGAAAGAGAAUUGGAAUCGAGGUAGUUGCGAUAGGCUAGGCACUGGGUCUGGAGUUGAAGUCGAGCCGCCGGCCAAAAAACCCUCUUUUCCCCCCUGCUCAUCAGUGUUCUCACUUCUCAGGGCCGGAGAAGCACAAUGGCGCCGCUCGCCGGAGCCGCCGUGGCCUCCUGCAUGAUCCUGCUCCUCCUGCUCGUCCCCUGCGCCCAGGGACAGGGGCAACCACCCGAGGCGUCGGAGGAAGCUUGGGCCGAGGGGCAACCACCGGAGGCGUCGGAAGACGCUCUGACGACGCUCUUAUCCGAGGGCGGGUGCGGCGCCUUCGCCGCCCUCGUCGCCGCGACGGCCGGAGUGGGCGACGCGUUCCGCGAGCAGAUCGCCGGCGACCUGGGGCUCACGCUCCUCUGCCCUGAUGACGAUGCGGUGCGGGCGUUCAUCCCGAGGUUCCAUAGCCUCACCGUCGAGGAGCAGGUCGCGGCCCUCCUGUACCACGGCCUGACGAUGGCCUACUCCGAGGAGCAGCUCAGCUGGGUCCACUGGAAGGUGUCGACGCUUGAUGGGGAGCAGAUGCUCACCGUCCGUCACCACAGAGGCAGGGUGAUACUUUCUUCGUGGCCGCCGUCGUCACGAAACGAGGCCCGGAUCACCAAGACUGUCGUCGGCGACGACCAUCUCGCCGUGUACCUCAUCGACGCCGUGCUGAUUCCGGCAGAUCCCAAGCCUCAAAUGUCGUUCUGGGGCGUUUUGGCAGUUAUCGUCGUCCUUCUAGUACUUCUUGUCGUCGGGAUCGCGGCGAUGUGAGUUUUCUUUCCUCACGCCUAAUUCCGCUACGAUCAAAUGGAAGCACAUGCAAAACGCAGCACGUACGCCUGUCCAUAGCUUCAGUUCAUGCGAUUUGUUGGUGUACUAGCUCGCUCUUGUUCCGUCCCACAGAGUUUUGAGCGCCUUCGAUCGAGCUGGUGCUAGAGGAUUCUAUCUAUGUAUAAAU